rnacentral:lncRNA from 1 species
CUGCGCGUAAUUGCUGGCCGGAGAUGGGAAUCGACGGUGGCUGACUGAUUUGGUAGAAGUCCUACUUGACAGACUAGGGUAGGAGUAUGCUCAGUUUCUUUGUUAUGGCUUAUACACAGAGCAGAUGGCUGCAGGUGGACGAUGCUGCGAGUGGGCGGUGGCGCACGUCGACAUGAGGCCAGAGUUUUGGAGAACGCAUCCUACCACGAACAGGUGAUAACUUAAGUACUAGGAGGAGUACUAGUUCUCAUCAUUGUCUCGAAGAAAACGUGACGGUUUAUUACGGCUGGAUAAUACUACAAGGUCCAGCGUUCGAUCUCUGGACCGUGUAUUAUAUUAGCGAACGUCAUUUAUUUAUUUUUCGAUCGAUGAAACCUCCGGUGGGCCGGGUACUGUGUCAGCGCGGGUACUGUGUCAGCGCGCGCGUAUGCCGAGUCGGCCCACGCGGACGAGCGCACAGGUCGUAUGCUCUAAAAAUUGUCCCACCUCGCCUGCUGUGGGACGCUGUGCCCAGCUUAUAUACUCUCUUCCUCCGAUCACAUUACAUCCACGGGGACAACCAGCUCAGAAAGAGGCCUUAGAGCCCACGAAAAUAAGAAAAGAGGCUUCAGAUUCAGAGCCCACGAGAAAAAGAAAAAGAGGCCUUCACAGCCCAGGAGGCUUUAGUAGAGCCCACGAGAAAAAGAAAGAAAAGAGGCCUUUAUAGAGCCCACAAAAGAAAAAGAGCCAGAGCCAAAAAAAAUGGACUGAGGCCAGAGGCACNNNNNNNNNNNNNNNNNNNNNNNNNNNNNNNNNNNNNNNNNNNNNNNNNNNNNNNNNNNNNNNNNNNNNNNNNNNNNNNNNNNNNNNNNNNNNNNNNNNNNNNNNNNNNNNNNNNNNNNNNNNNNNNNNNNNNNNNNNNNNNNNNNNNNNNNNNNNNNNNNNNNNNNNNNNNNNNNNNNNNNNNNNNNNNNNNNNNNNNNNNNNNNNNNNNNNNNNNNNNNNNNNNNNNNNNNNNNNNNNNNNNNNNNNNNNNNNNNNNNNNNNNNNNNNNNNNNNNNNNNNUACCCGUGGAGACUGUGCUAGACAUUAGCACAUGGCUUUUUUUAGUUUUGAUCUAUUUCACAACCUAUUUUUAAAACUCCCUACUAAUUUUUUCCUGAUAUAUAUAGCAUGACAAACAAUUUAUUAAUUCAUGGUGGUCAUUUUUAUCCUCCAACUAGGAGUGUGAAAAUGCCCAAAAUAGGAACAUGUAUUUUUUAUCUUUGUCAUAGCCUUUUUUUAACUCCUAUUUUUUCCCCUGAUAUAUACCAUGAGAAACAGUUUGUUUAUUUAUGGCGGUCAUUUUUAUCCUCCAACCAAGAGUGUGAAAAUGCCCAAAAUAAGAAAAGAGGCCUUCACAGCCCAGGAGGCUUUAGUAGAGCCCACGAGGAAAAGAAAGAAAAGAGGCCUUUAUAGAGCCCACAAAAGAAAAAGAGCCAGAGCCAAAAAAAUGGACCGAGGCCAGAGCCAACCCAAAAAAAAAGAGGCGACGUACCCGUGGAGACUGUGCUAGACAUUAGCACAUGGCUUUUUUUUAGUUUUGAUCUCUUUCACAACCUAUUUUUAAAACUCCCUACUAAUUUUUUCCUGAUAUAUAUAGCAUGACAAACAAUUUAUUUAUUUAUGGCGGUCAUUUUAUCCUCCAACUAGGAGUGUGAAAAUGCCCAAAAUAGGAACAUGUAUUUUUGAUCUUUGUCACAGCCUUUUUUUAACUCCUACUAUUUUCCCCCUGAUAUAUACCAUGAGAAACAGUUUAUUUAUUUAUGGCGGUCAUUUUUAUCCUCCAACCAGGAGUGUGAAAAUGCCCAAAAUAGGAACAUGUAUUUUUUAUCUCUGUCACAACCUUUUUUUAACUUCUAUUUUUUCCUGAUAUAUAUACGAGAAACAAUUUAUUUAUUCAUUUAUGGUGGUCUCUUUUAUCCUCCAAUCAGGAGUUUGGAAGUGCCCAAAAUAGAACAUGUAGUAUUGAUCUCUGUCACAAAUUUAUUUGUGGGGUUCACUUUUAUCGUCCAACCAAGAUUAUGUAAAUGCCCAAAAUAGAAACAUGUAGAACGCUGAGCUAAAAUAUAAUAGACCCGAUGUAGAACAAACAUUUACAUUAUCGCGAACCAAUCUAUGGUUGGAUGGUUAGAGAGUCUUUGGUAUCCCCAGUCCACUAGGGUUCAAGUCCUCGUGCUCGCAUUUAUUUUUGGAUUUAUUUCAGGAUUUCCGGUGAUGCGCAUUCAGUCGGAGGAGACGUUCCCGUCGACAACGAGGUGCCUACGGUGGUUUCGUAAAUUUCAAGUUGAUAUGCCGGCUAAGUCUUUCAGAGGUGCUCAUAGGAAUAGGGUGCAUGUGUGUGUGUUCAUAGGGGUGAGUGUAUGCGCGUGUAUAUGAGCGCUUGCGUCUGUACCGUGUUAAAAUAAACAUGUACACUGUCCAAUAAUCUUUAAUGCUCAAGUCCUGAUAAGUAAAAUGCAUUUUCUAAGGGGAGUAGGUAAAAUGCAUUUGAUGUUUAGAAAGACAACAACAUUAUCAUUACCACAUGGCUUUUAAUUUUUUUGAUCUUUGUCUCGAUAAACAAACUAUUUGUGGCGGUCACUUUUAUUCUUCAACCAGGAAUAUGAAAAUGCUCAAAAUAAAGCAUCCUGAGCAAAGUUUCAGAUCGCGGGCGAAAACAGCACGAUCGCGGUGCUAUCGCCUGCUGGAGCGCUUCCCGUGACGCAAUCCCGUAAAAAAUGCGAUCUGCCGCUAACCGUGUGAUUGCGCACGAAACGGCGCUAUUUGACUUCGUUGUUGCUGCAAAAUCACGGGCAUGGGCCGAAAGACUGAAGCACAAGGGCCUAAAGGCCCCAAACAGACCAGAACGGCCCAAAUUCGCGAUGGUAUAUGUAGGACCUUGAAGUAUGUCUAGAGGGGGGGGUGAUUAGACUACUUGGCCAAUUAAAAACUUAACAUUUUUCCAAUUUUAGAGUUUGGCAGAUUUUAGCUAUCUUAGGACAAGUCAAGCAAUCAUCACACAAUUCAAGCAAGCAUGCAAAGAGUAUAUAGGCAGCGGAAAUUAAAGCAUGCAACUUGCAAGAAAGUAAAGGGAAGGGUUUGGAGGAUUCAAACGCAAUUGGAGACACGGAUGUUUUUGGCGUGGUUCCGAUAGGUGGUGCUAUCGUACAUCCACGUUGAUGGAGACUUCAACCCACGAAGGGUAACGGUUGCGCGAGUCCACGGAGGGCUCCACCCACGAAGGAUCCACGAAGAAGCAACCUUGUCUAUCCCACCAUGGCCAUCGCCCACGAAGGACUUGCCUCACUAGCGGUAGAUCUUCACGAAGUAGGCGAUCUCCUUGCCCUUACAAAUUCCUUGGUUCAACUCCACAAUCUUGUCGGAGGCUCCCAAGUGACACCUAGCCAAUCUAGGAGACACCACUCUCCAAGAAGUAACAAAUGGUGCGUUGAUGAUGAACUCCUUGCUCUUGUGCUUCAAAUGAUAGUCUCCUCAAUACUCAACUCUCUCUCAUAGGAUUUGGAUCUGGUGGAAAGAAGAUUUGAGUGAAAAGCAACUUGGGGAAGGCUAGAGAUCAAGAUUCAUAUGGUAGGAAUGGAAUAUCUUGGCCUCAACACAUGAGUAGGUGGUUCUCUUUCAGAAAUGGUAAGUUGGAAGUGUAGGUUUUAGUCUGAUGGCUCUCUCCAUGAAUGAAGAGGAGGUGGAGGGGUAUAUAUAGCCUCCACACAAAAUCUAACCGUUACACACAAUUUACCAAAUCCGGUGGGACCGAUUCAACAGACUCGAUCGGACAGAUUUAGUAAACCUAGUGACCGUUAGGAUUUUCGGUGAGACUGACAUGCAACUCAGUGAGACUGAUUCGGUUCGGGUUAGGGCAUAACAUAAUCUCGGUAAGACCGAUUACACAAACUCGGUGAGACUAAUUUUGGUAAUAAGCUUUCCAGAGAGUUGGUCAGGUAAACUCGGUGGGACCGAUUUGCUCUUUUCGGUGAGAUCGAAAUGUUACAAAAGGGAAACAGAGAGUUUACAUUGCAAUAUCGGUGGGACCGAUCGCUCACUUCGGUUAGACCGAAACGUUACGAAGGGAAACAGAGAGAUUACAAUCCCAUCUCGGUGAGACCGAGAUCCCUAUCAGUAAGACCGAUUUGCUUAGGGUUUGUGGCAGUGGCUAUGACAAUCAAAAUCGGUGGCACCGGAUAGAAAGAAUCGGUUUGACCGAUUUUGGCUUUAGGUUUAGGUCAUUUGUGGAUGUGAGAAAGUAGAUGAGGGUUUUGGAGCAUAUCACUAAGCACAUGUAGCAAGAGGCUCAUUAAGCAACACCUCAUCCCUCCUUGAUAGUAUUGACUUUUCCUAUAGACUCAAUGUGAUCUUGGAUCACUAAAAUAUAUAAAAUGAAGAGUCUUGAGCUUUUGAGCUUGACCCAGUCCUUUGUCAUUAGUAUUUUGAGGGAUCCACUUUCAUCAUCCAUGUCAUGCCAUUCAUUGAGCUUUUCUGAAAUAAUAGUCUUGGAAUAGCAUUAGCUCAAUGAGCUAUAUGUUGUUAUGAAUUACCAAAACCACAUAGGGAUAGUUGCACUUUCAAUCUCCCCCUUUUUGGUAAUUGAUGACAACAUAUAGAUCAAAGCUUCGACAAAUGAUAAUAAGAUUUAGAACAUCGUCGCUUUGAGAAGUAUGUGAUAAGCAAGAGCUCCCCCUAAAUUUGUGCAUAGUUUAAGAUUUGCUUUGGACUGCAAAUGCACAAGGAAUUAGGCUCAUGGGUUAAUCUUCCAUGUCACAUACAUCUUGGUGGAGCGCUCAAAAUGAUAAAGAUUGAAUACAUGCACUCAUCACCAAGCAAAGUGAAUGAUCGCAUAGGAUAGAUAAGAUAAUAUCAUCAAACAUGCAUAAGUGUAGCUUAUGAUCAAACACAUGAUCAUCAAUGUCUCACAAGAACAGCAUAGUAUCUCAAGCAAUCAAAAUCAAACAAGUUUAACCACCAAAUCAAGAGAGAAUAAAAGCAACACUCUCUCUCUCUCUCGAAGCCUAUGAUCUAUACAUUUUUCUCCCCCUUUGGCAACAAGUUACCAAAAAGUUCAUAGAAAAGGCAUAGUGCUAGAUUGACUCUCAGGCUUGAUCUUCAGGUGGUGGUGUCCGGAUAACUCCAAGAACGAAGGCUUCAGUUAAAGUAGAGGGUGCUGGAGUUGAUGCUGGAGUUGGUUGCACUGGAGCAGUAGGAGCUGUAGCUGGUGCAGAUGAUGUGGCUCUGGUGUCUGUGACAGGCACUCUAGCUGACCUGUGAGCUCUAGGCACUCUGGCAAAUACAUUAGUGGUAGUCUUGCCCUGCCUCUCCUGCAUGUCAUCCUGUAGCUGCUCCACAACAGACUGAAUCUCAGUUACUUUGACAUCAAGAUCAUGAAAUUUGAGUUCCAUGAUUCUUUCCAAGCUCUCCUGAUUUUGAGUGAGGGUGGCCAAUCCCUUCUCAAUCCUCAGAGUUGAUGCUAUUAAGUAACCAAGCUGCUCCUGCUUGUUCUUCAAGAAAUACUCAGAUGCCUCCUCUUGAGUUGGCAUCCUGGCAGCCUUCUCCUUCCUUGCCUUCUCCUUCUUCUCUUGAGCUUCUACUGAUGAUGGAUCAUUCUCAUUCAUGACAACCUGAUUGUCCUCAAAAUCUGGAUAGAGAGGAAAAUGUUCCUUAUCCAAUAGAUAUUUGCCUGUGUCCAUCUUUGAGUUAAUCAACUCCUGAAUCCGAGGGGCAUAUCCACAACUCCUCUUCUGAUCUGCUGCAGUCCUCUUAAUGGUUUCAACUAUAAGGCUCAUGACCUUGAAUUUCUGUGGCACAUCAAACAAAUGCAACAUGUUGAUUGCAUGCCCUCUGAUCAUGUUGUGGUCACCAGACUUAGGCAACAGAGUGUGCCUUAAGAUCCAAUUGAUAGUUGGCAACCCUAACAGAAGAAAGUGGACUGAUCCAAACUUAUGUGUCUCAACAGCUUUGUCCGGGAUCUCCUUGUACAUGCGUGCCAUGGAAUUGUGGUCCAUCUUCUUUUUGGCAUAAAUAUCCAAGUCAUCAUCAUUUUCCUUUGGGGCAUUGAUCAGUCUUUCCCAUUCCUCAACAGUGGACUGGUACCUUGUAGCUUCAGACAUCCAAACUAUCCUUCCAUCUGGAUAAAAGUGUUUUGUGGAGUAGAAUUGCAUGAUAAGUUCAUCAUUCCAGUUGGUGAGCUUUUUCCCAACAUAAUCUGCAACUCCACAAGCAACAAAGCUGUCUUGCACUCCAGGAUAGUGUUCCUCAUUUUCCUUCAUAUAGGUCUAGUCGACCCACCUCAUGUCACACACUAUGGGCUUCUUAUCCCACAAGAUUGUCUCAUAGAAGUCCUGCUGUUCCUUUGUAUGGAACAUGUAAUCAACAGCAGUUCUUCUUUCUUGAGGCAUAUGGAUCUGUCAUCCUCCAUAGCCUCAACCCUGAGUCCUUUCUGAUCCUCAUGUCCUCAGCCACAGGAUGGGCAUCAUUGUGGUCUGGUAUCUUGGGCUUGAGCUUCCUUAGGACCUGUCCUUCUUCAUCUUCCUCAUCAGCAACAUUAGGCACUGGGGCCUUAUUCUUCUCAGCAGCUGGAAUACUCCUGGUAUUCCUCUUUGGUGCAAGCUUGGCCUUGGGGGCAGCUUUGGGUGCUUCCUUGGGCUUAGAUGUUGCAGCCCCUGAUCUAAUAGCAUCACCCAUAAGCUUUGGUGCCUUGGGUGCUGGUGCAGCAACCUCUUCUUCCUCUUCAGAAUCUCUUCUCAUUGAGGGCUUUCCAAGAACUUGGGCAGUUGUGGUUCUUGCUCUCUUCUUCUUCUUAUCCUAAGCUGCUUCAUCCUCUGAUUCAAUGGUAAACUUCAUAGUUUCUCCAGUAGGGACUUUCUUGGAUUUGGAAGUUGUGCCUUUUUUUGCAGGUGCCUCUUUGGGUUCUGACUGUUCUAGCACUUGAGUGGACCUUCUGACCUUGGGCAUAGGUGUCCUCUUGGCUGGAACCUUCUUAUUCAGUCCAGGCUUUGUGCUAUGUGCUAGGCCAUACUCCUUUUUGAGCACUGCCUUCUUGGAGGUAGCCUCAUCUUCUUCUGCUCUAUAAUCUUCAUCCUCAGAAUUUGAGGUUCUUUUCUUCCUUUGCCUGGUAGCAGCUUUAGGCAGAUUGCUAGGAGUGCUUCUGCUGCCUUCAUCUGAAGUGCUUGAGGGACUAGUGCCCUCACUCAUGUGAAUCUGCUCUUCAUCCCUGUUCUGGCUGUCACUCUGGUCUGACAUGCUGCAAACGCUGACUGCUGACCCUGUGAAGAGUUAUAGAUGAGAUAGAAUGGAUGAGCAUCACAAAAUGCAGAGAUUUUUGCAAAAGAAUGAUUCAAAAAUUCAGUUUUAGUUUUCCACAGAAAGCAUUUCAGAUCAACCGAUUUUCAAACUCGGUGAUACCGAAGCAGUUUUGGAACCUAAACUGAUGAACUCGGUUGGACCGACUCACAGUUCGGUGGCACCGAGACUGCUAGGGUUUCACAAAGUCCUAAAAUCGGUCUCACCGAUUAGCAAUUCUCGGUCAGACCGAGAGUUACUAGUGCAAUGGCAUUAGCCAAAUCGGUGGGACCGAGUUUUUCAACUCGGUGGGUCCGAGAUGGUUUCGGCGGAAACCUAACCCUAAAAUUUCGAAUCUCAUCUAAUCUACGGAUUGCAUUGACUGGAUAGGAGUGUUUCAAUCAUGGCAAGAAUCAAUAAGAACACAAUGUGCUAGGAAUCGGACGAGGAUAACACAGUGAUCGAGUCCAUACCCUAGCUUGGCGAUGAACUCGCUACGGCGGCAACGGCGGGGUUGAAAUCCGUUGACGGCGGCGGAGACCAGCGACAGGAGGCGGCUGGCGACAAGGAGACGAUCCAGAGACCUUGGAGGCAGAGCGAGCUAUUGCGCGGGCGAAGGGUUCGGAGGAAUUUUCAAAUUUUUGCCCAUGACUAUAUAUAGCCCGACCCUGUUGGUGUGACCGAGUGGAACAACUCGGUGGCACCGAGAUGCAUAACUGUGUACAGUUACAGCAACUCGAUGUGACCGAAAAGUUCAAAUCGGUUGCAUCGAGAUUGAAAACUUAGAUCGACUUAAUGAUCUUAGUAGGACCGAAAUGGAGGAAUCGGUCAGACCAAGAAUCACAAAGAAGUUUUGGAAGUUUAAGUCAAUGACGAAUCGGGGACUCCGAGUGCUCCUCACACAGAGUGGUUCGAAUCUGACUUGAUCAAAUUUUGUGAUGUAGCAUGAAUAGAGUUUGAGACGAGAAAAGCAUAGACAGCUAGAGAAGGUUCUUAGGCAUUCUUGUCCAUCCACUUGGCAAAAAGAAAAAGAAGCCAAUCAAUCAAAACAACAAGUGGAUGUCCUUGAAUGAGUCAAAUAUGCACCAACAUGCUCACACAAUAAGAUGGCAAAUGAAAUGUGUGGCAAAACAUGCACAACCAAUUCUAGCAUCUAUCAAACAAUUGGCGAUGACUAGGUCAUCUAUAUAUGAGUAUAUUGACUUAGGAGUCAAAUGAAAAUAUUUGAUCAUAGGUCAUACUCAUCGUUUAAGCUCAAGUGGGGUUACCACUUUUACAUAAUGCAUUGAUGUGUUCACACCAUUAGAGUUGCUUUGACUCAAUUUUUAGAGUUAAGCUCCCCCUAGAUGUGAGAUCCCCUUUUAGAGAGAUGAACUAACCUUGGGUUUUGUCGAUGAUGACUUCAUGUAGGUGUUGAAGAUGUGGAUGCUCAAUGUUGAUGUAGAUCAUUUGGAGUAAUCCUUUGGAGUGAGUUGCACUUUCAACUUACCUACAUGGGUUAGUCCCACAAGGAACAAACAAGAAUAUCCAUAGACAUAGAGUGAUGCACACACAAGAUGAUGUCCAUGAAAUCAUUAGGUUACCUUGUCCCUUGCCUUACCAACAUGAGGGUUUGUGACUCCUUGAACUAGUGCAAGAUGUGGAAGCUGACUGCACUUGUUCUUGCCAUAAUGAUAUGAGUGAAGAAUGUUGGCGGAGUCACCCUCAAGGACUCUCUAGUUCUUCUUUUUCGGGAUCCACAUCAUCUUGAUGGGAAUCCUUGGAGUUGUAGUUGUACUUGAUGAGGUAGAACUUGACGUAGUCUUGGGAACCCACUUGAACGAGGCCUUAGGUGCUUCUUCAAAUGCAUCGAUCUCUUCUUGAAGCUUGUCCUUGCCUUUGUUCUUGUGGUCUUGUGGUGGAAGAUCAUCUUGUGCUUGUGUUCCCUUGAAGGAAGUAGGAUCAUACUUCUCUUGUUGAGGAACAAACUUCGUCUUGGGGUAUUGAUCUUCUUCCCACUCAACUCCAUUGGCAUUGAGCUUUCGUUCAAAACCAACACCUUGAUUCUUCCGGUGCCUUCCUUGCUUGCAUACAAUUUCCUCAAAUUGCUUACUCCCGGCAAGGCUCUUGUAAACACCUUUCUCUAUAAUUCCCUUCAAUAAGCUAUUUUCUUGCUCAAAUGUAACUUGACUAAGAGAAUCAUUACUGGAAUCAAGAGAACUACUAGAAGCAACAAAAUUGGAUUUGACAUUAUUAUUGUUACUACUAGAGGAAGUAUCUUUCUUGUAGUUGUUACUAGACUUGACUUGAGGCAUGUAAGUAGAUAAGAGUAAACGCUUGGCAAUGUAAGAAGAACUUUUCUUACGGAGAUCAUCAUUGAUUGCUUUUAAGAACUCAUGCUCUUGCUCAAGAUUGAGCUUUUCAAAGCGUAACUUCUCAUGAGCCCUUAAAAGUUCUCGAUGAUCUUCGAAGAUAGUUUCAUGAGCUAACUUAAGAGUGUUUAGUUCUUUAGUUAGAAGCGCAAUCUUCUCCUUAUCAUUGUCAUUCGUUUUAUCUUGAUUAGCAUGGUUAAUUGACGUUUCAUCAUAGUAUUCAUCACUAGAGUUGUCAACAAGUAAAUCAUCAUCCACAAGCAAGUCAUCUUCAUCACUAUUGAAAUCAACAUACUCAGGAUGUGUUACCUUUGGACCUUUGGCCAUGAAGCAUCUUCCAAUUCCUUCAUUUGGUGAAUCAAAUAUGUCGUAGGAGUUGGUUGACACAAGUGCUAGGCCGACAACACCUUCAUCUUGAGUAUAUUCGGAGUCGGAGUGAUAGCUUCUCUCGGAGUGAUUGUCGGAGUCGGAGCCGGAUACCCAUUCACCAACAGUAGCUUGAUGUCUUUGUUUUGUGUAGCUCCUUGAUGACUUGUCCUUCCUUUCCAAAUCCUUGCUUCUCCGUGAGGGUCUUCGUUCAUAACGAUCAUCUCUACUCCUUCUCUCUCUUGGUGGUGAUUCUUCUCUUUUGCUUCUUCUUCUUGAAGAAUCUUCUCUUCUUUUGUAGGGUGCCGUACACUCAUUUGAAUAGUGUCCGGGUCUCCCACAAUUGUAGCAAUUGCGCUCUCGACUAGAAGAUCUUUUGUCAUUGUAAGACCUUGACUUGGAGCUUCUUUCUUUGCUUCUACUCUUGUAGAAUUUGUUGAAGUUCUUCACCAUUAAGCUCAAUUCUUCAUUGAAGGUUUGUUUCUCACUUGAUGAUGUGGGGGCUUCACUUGAGGCUUUGUAAGCACCACUUGACUUGUUGUGAAGUUCCUCCUUAUCCUUGAGUGACAUCUCAUGAGCAACAAUUCUUCCAAUGACUUCUGUUGGCUUGAGAUCUUUGUAGUUUGGCAUCAUUUGGAUCAAUGUGCACACGGUAUCAUACUUUCCAUCCAAUGCUCUUAGGAUCUUCUUGAUGAUGAAUUUGUCAGUCAUCUCUUCACUCCCUAAGCCGUCAAUCUCAUUUGUGAUAAGAGCAAGCCUAGAGUACAUUUCAGUGACACCUUCACCGUCCUUCAUUUUGAACUUGUCAAGCUGACUUUGGAGCAAAUCCAACUUGGAUUUCUUGACGGAUUCGGUACCUUCAUGCAUAUCAAUCAAAGUAUCCCAAAUUUCCUUUGCAUUCUCAAGACGGCUGAUUUUGUUGAAUUCUUUGGGGCACAAUCCGUUGAAGAUGAUAUCACAAGCUUGAGUGUUGUAUUGCAGCAUCUUCAAUUCUUCCGCAUUAGCUUCACGUUUCGGUUCUCCCCCAUCAAAGAAUUCACCUUGCAAGCCAAUACAAAUAAUUGCCCAAAUGGCGGGGUUAUGUCCGAGAAUAUGCAUUUUCAUCUUAUGCUUCCAACUAGUAAAAUUAGUACCAUCAAAGUAACAACCUCUACGGUGAUAGUUUCCCUCGCUAGACGCCAUACUCUCCUAGGUUGUGAAACCAAGGCUAUGACCACCAAAAGCUAUGGAAAUCAAAGCAAAUGGAGACCAAAGCUCUGAUACCACUUGCAGGACCUUGAAGUAUGUCUAGAGGGGGGGUGAUUAGACUACUUGACCAAUUAAAAACUUAACCUUUUCCCAAUUUUAGAGUUUGGCAGAUUUUAGCUAUCUUAGGACAAGUCAAGCAAUCAUCACACAAUUCAAGCAAGCAUGCAAAGAGUAUAUAGGCAGCGGAAAUUAAAGCAUGCAACUUGCAAGAAAGUAAAGGGAAGGGUUUGGAGGAUUCAAACGUAAUUGGAGACAUGGAUGUUUUUGGCGUGGUUCCGAUAGGUGGUGCUAUCGUACAUCCACGUUGAUGGAGACUUCAACCCACGAAGGGUAACGGUUGCGCGAGUCCACGGAGGGCUCCACCCACGAAGGGUCCACGAAGAAGCAACCUUGUCUAUCCCACCAUGGCCAUCGCCCACGAAGGACUUGCCUCACUAGCGGUAGAUCUUCACGAAGUAGGUGAUCUCCUUGCCCUUACAAACUCCUUGGUUCAACUCCACAAUCUUGUCGGAGGCUCCCAAGUGACACCUAGCCAAUCUAGGAGACAUCACUCUCCAAGAAGUAACAAAUGGUGCAUUGAUGAUGAACUCCUUGCUCUUGUGCUUCAAAUGAUAGUCUCCCCAACACUCAACUCUCUCUCAUAGGAUUUGGAUCUGGUGGAAAGAAGAUUUGAGUGGAAAGCAACUUGGGGAAGGCUAUAGAUCAAGAUUCAUAUGAUAGUAAUGGAAUAUCUUGGCCUCAACACAUGAGUAGGUGGUUCCCUCUCAGAAAUGGUAAGUUGGAAGUGUAGGUUUUAGUCUGAUGGCUCUCUCCACGAAUGAAGAGGAGGUGGAGGGGUAUAUAUAGCCUCCACACAAAAUCUAACCGUUACACACAAUUUACCAAACUCGGUGGGACCGAUUCAAGAGACUCGGACGGACCGAUUUAGUAAACCUAGUGACCUACGAGAGAAAAGGCAUUAGAAUUACUCCAAAAAGCAUUAUUAUACAAUAAAACAAUAUAAAUAACAGUAGGUAAACAUGAUGCAAAAUGGACGUAUCAACUCCCCCAAGCUUAGACCUCGCUUGUCCUCAAGCGAAAACCAAAAUCGAAAAACAUGUCCACAUGCUUAGAGAGAGGUGUCGAUAAAAACAAAAAUAUGGACAUAGCAGCAUCAUGUAACUUAUUAUAACAACAACACACUUUAACAUAAAACUUUUAUCAUAGAACUUUUAUCAUAGACUUCUCAUGGAUAAGUGACAAUUCAUCACAACAUCGAAGUAUAAAGCACAAACUCUUUAUGCCUCUUUUAAUUUUUGAUCUUUGUCUUGCAAACAAUUUUUUGUGGCGGUUACUUUUAUCCUCCAAUCAAGAUUAUUCAAACGCCCAAAAUAGAAACAUGUAGCAUGCUGAGCUAAAAAUAUGUCAGGACCCCGACUCAAUGCCACAUCGAUCUAGCAUGUAACACCUCAUAUCACUUUGCGGCCUCACGCACGGUAUUCCCACGGGUGUCGCCUUACCUUUGCCCGGGACCGUUUGCGUCUUUUGGCACACGUAUAUGAUAGUGUCGCUAGCAUCCAUAUGGUAAGGAGCCCGGGCUGACAUGGCUAGUCGUAAACCCAAAGUGGCACAAACUUACAGGGACAGGCAUCCAUGACCCAACAUCGAACAUGCCGGUCAUCAGCGAGUGAAUCCAGGCUGUAGCACUGGGCUAGCAGGACUCCGGUGAACCGGGCUGUAGCGGGCUAACAGGACUCCGAUAUUCAUCGCGUGACAUUUCCCCGAAGGGACAGACACAGGAACGAAGAAGGACACAUGCCGGCCAGCCUAAGUGUUCCGGAGCAGUAGCAAGCUACCAUGGCUCGGUGGAAACACUAGGAGACAUUUCCCGGUAAGAGAGGCUACUAAAGAUAAACAACUACAUAGUCAGAUCCCACACAUACCAAGCAUUUCAAUAACAUACACACAAUAUGCUCGAUAUGUGCAAUACAACAUGGCAUCACAAAAUGACUCUACGACUCAGUAUUUAUUCAAUAGGCUCCGAGGAGCGAGAUAUUACAAACAUGGGUCUCAUGACCCAACACUCAGAGCAUACAAGUCAAAGCACAAACGGAAGCUUAACAUGUCUGAGUACAGACAUCUAUAAAUGAAAAAGGCUGAGAAGCCUGACUAUCUACCAGAUCCUGCCGAGGGCACAAGAUCGUAGCUGAGGUAACAAGCUAAACAUCGAAGACCAUGCGGAACUACUAGCGAGACUGAAGUCUCUCUGCAAAAACAUAAAAUAGGCAAACGUGAGUACAAAUGUACCCAGCAAGACUUACAUCAGAACUAUCUACAUAUGCAUCAUUAUCAACAAAGGGGAUGGUGGGGUUUAACUGCAGCAAGCCAGCUUUGACUCGGUGGCUAUCCUAAACUACGACUGCAAAUAACUCUUUGAGGUGGCGCACACGAGUCCACAUAUUCACCAUAUUAAUACACCACUAUGGAUCCGCUCCCGUCUCCCUACGAGAACGCCAUCCAUAGCACUCACGCUUAUCUUGCGUAUUUUAGAGUAUGCACUUUCACUUGUCUAUGAACUGUACAAGGGGUCCAAGUUUCCAUAUCCGAGGAAUCCGGCUAUUCGAAUAGAUAGUGAUAACCCUGCAGGGGUGUACUUCUUCACACACGCUUUCGCCACUUAUCGCCCUGUACACGUCAUGUACCUCGGCAACCUUCAAGCGGAAGCCGGGCGAGGGAGUCGGCCACGACCUGACUAACCGAACAAGUCUCUAGUCCAGGUUUAUCGCCUAUUCGGGUUCCAUCCGCAAGGAGAUCCGGCCGGGGUGUCGCUCACGGCCCCAAACGAUGUGAGCAGGGUUCUCAAGCCCACCUCGACGGGUGGAUCUACGCUUGGUACACCGUGCCAUUGUGCCUAGUCUGUCCCAAGCCCACCUGUACCGGGUGCCACUUGGUAGACUACUAACACUACCUACAAACACCAGAAACUAGUUGCAACUCCUGGACAGAGAUCAAGUUGAUUAAUAAGUCGAGAGAGCUUGGAGCGCCCGGAGCCCAAUGUGUGGUAGUAACUGAUCAUGGAUCACAAACACAGAACUCGGUUCCUGAGGACGGCUGCAAUGAGACAACCCACCAUGUACUCCUACAUGGCCUCUCACCGCUACCUUUACCAAAUCGUGUUCACACACUUAGCUCACACACAGUAGGACAUGUUCACACGCCUCUGAUUCAUCCCCGAUGAAUCAGACCUGACUCAACUCUAAGCAGUAGCAGGCAUGACAAACAAACAUGAAUGAGUAGGCACAACAGGGCUCAAACAACUCCUACUCAUGCUAGUGGGUUUCAUCUAUUUACUGUGGCAAUGAUAGGUCAUGCAGAGGAUAAAGGGGUUCAACUACCGCAGCAAGUAACAGAUGAAUCGUUGUUGUCCUAAUGCAGUAAAAGAGAGCAGGAGCGAGAGAGUGGGAUUUUAUCGGAAUGAACAAGGGGUUUUUGCUUGCCUGGCACUUCUGAAGAUAAUAUAGCUCUUCGUCGGUGUCAUCGAUCACAUCGCCGGUACACGUCUAUCGAGAGGGGACAAUUACCGGCAAACAAGGAAAAACACAAUCAAUGCAAUGCGACAAUAUGAUGCAUGCUAUGACAUGGCAAUAUGAAUGUGUUUUGGGCUAAUGCACUUAGCUAUGAUUUAAAUGAAGUUGGUUUGAAUACAUGAUUCAAAUUCCAACUCCAUAUAUGAUUAUUUAAAUGCCCUUAAUUUGUUUUGUCCAAAACAGAGGACAAACAUUGUUUAAACAUGCAUGAAAAUGGUACAGAUGGAUUCCUUGAAUUUUUCUGAUAAUUUUUCAUAUAUAAAUUAUUUAAUUUGGAGUUACGGUUAAUUUUCUAUGAUUUAUUGAAGUUUUAGCUACUUCUGGAAUUUCCUGAUUAUUAUAAAAUAAACUAAAUUCCAGAAAAGGAAUAUUGCGUCAGCAUGACCUCACCCUGACGUCAUCAGGUCAACAGGGCGGGUCCAGGUCAAACCUGACGUGUGGGGGCCACACGUCAGUGACACAGGAACUAAUCCUGGUCAAACCCAGCGCUGGCUGGGGUUUGACCAGGGGUGGGGCCCACUGUCAGUGUCUGUAGGUUGAUUAACCAGCUGGGUUAGCUCCUAAUGACGGAGCCACGUCAGCUCCCGCCGGAGUUUCGCCGGCGACGACCAACGGAGCGGCGGAAACGCAUCGGGUUCGCGCUACAGGGCACAGUUUAGGGUGCGGUUGGGUUCUACGGCGAGCUGGGACUCGUGCGCAUCGAACGGUGGUGGUGGCCGUGCCGGUGAUGGCCGGUACCGAUGACGGCGAGCUCGUGAGCGGCGGCCGGAGUUCGGGUGGUGGCGGGUUUGGCGCUACGAGCGGUGGUUUGGCGCGCUGAGGGCACUAGGGAGAAGCUCUUGCUCCUCCGCAUCCAAAGGAACGGGCGGGAGGCCGCGAGGUGGCCGGAGUUGAGCACGGCGUCGACCUCGGCGGCGGCCGGAGCUCGGGCGAGCUCAGGGUCGGUGUUAGGGAGCACGGCAGGAGGUGUUGUGGGUGUCUACGGGUUCAUGCGAUCGUGCUGAGCACGAUGGUGGGCUCGGGAGUGAGCUGCGGUGGCUGUGGCCACGGCCACGCCAUGGCCGGCGGCGAGAAGCUCUCGGCCGAGGUGGGGAAGCUAGCUAGGGGAGGGGAACGACGGGGAUUCCAGGGGAAAAAAGAAGAGUGGCUCACGUAGGGACUAGCAGAGUCGACGACAAGGUCGGGGAAGCUCUGGACGACGCGAAUUUACGGCGGCGAUCUCCGGGCACCGGAGAUGAAGACGACGAUGCUCCGGUUGACUGGGGCCUCCUCUGGUCGCGUGCGUCAGUGUGCAGCUCCAUGGGGUCGGGACGGAGCUCAGGGGUGUGGAGAGGGAGCGAGGGGGUGGCUGUGGCCGCGGCGAACAGCGUCGGUGGCGACGAGCUCCGCUCGGGCAGAGAGGGAGAGAGAGCAGAGGAGAGGAUGAGGCGAGGGAGAGAGUGAGAGAGAGCCAGGGGCUGCGUGGCGCUCCGUGGCAUCGUCUAGGAGGGGCCGGGGAAGCAGGAGGUGGCCGGGGCGCGUGGCCGCGCGCGCCGGGCGCGUGCCCGUCCUCCUGGCAAGGGAGGAAGUCGACAGGGGGGUAGCGGUGGCGGGCUGGGCCGGCCAGCUGCAGUGCUGGGCCGGUUUGGCUACCAGGUGAGCGCCAGGUAGGCUUCUGCUCUUUUUUAUUUUUUUCUUCUGUUUUGUUUUAUUUAAUAUCUUUUGCCAUUGUUUUUGAAUUUUAAACAAAUUCAAACAAUGCCAAAAACUCCUCUGAAUAAUUUUAUUUGGCUAGAUGGACUUUUCCAAAAGCUCAUAAAAUAUUUCAGGGGUAUUUGAAAUUAUAUUCUAAUUAUAUGAAUAUAAUUCAAAUUCAAAUAGCUAAUGAUUUAAAUUCAAAGUCCCAAAAAUAAAUCCUUAAAAAUGUUCAAUAUUUUGGUUGGGACCAGAACCCUUGCCAAAAAUUAUCAAACAUUUAAGAAGAACAUUUUGGAACAAUGAAUGAGAUUUUAGGGUUUUUGCCCUUCUUUUAUUUAGGAUUUUGAGGCUUCCAAUUUUCCUCAGUUCAAGUUUCAAAAUUUAAACAUGAUGCACAGAUGGAAGCAAGCCUAGGUCAGGCCAGAACUAGGGAUGUGACAAAAUAUAACAGACCCGAUACAGAACAAACAUUUUCACUGCCCAAUAAUCUUCAAUGCUCAAGUCCUGAUAAGUAAAAUGCAUUUCUUUAAGGGGCGAAGGUAAAAUGCAUUUGAUGUUCAGAAAGACAAUAAUAACUAGUGACAUUAACAUCAACACAUGGCUUUUAAAAAUUUUGAUCUCUUGUCUCGGUAAACUAAUUAUUUAUGGCGGUCACUUUUAUCCUCCAACCAAGGGUAUGAAAACGCCCAAAAUAGAAACACGUAGCACACUGGGCUAAAAUAUAACAGACCUGAUCCAGAACAAACCUUUUCACUGCCAAAUAAUCUUCGAUGCUCAAGUUUUGAUAAGUAAAAUGCAUUUUCUAAGGGGCGAAGGUAAAAUGCAUUUAAUGUUCAGAAAGGCAAAAAUAACUAAUGGCAUUAAGCAAUAUGUCCUCUCUAGAUCAUAAGCACAAAACAACCGCAUUGACAUCCGUCUUGUUUCUUCCAACUAAUCCCUAUAAAUGAUAACCAGAAGACCCCGAUCCGACAUUAACUAUUUAUUUAUGUCUUUGCUAAUUUUUAAUCUAUGUCUUGUCAAACAAUUUAUUUGUGGUGUUCACUUUUAUCCUCCAACCAAGAUUAUGUAAAUGCCCAAAAUAGAAACAUGUAGCACGCUGAGCUAAAAUAUAACAUACCUGAUAUAGAACAAACAUUUACACUAUCACGAACCAACAUGUGUUUAGAUGGUUAGAGGGAUUGUGGUAUCCUUAGUCCAUCAGGGUUCAAGUCCUCGUGCUCGCAUUUAUUCCUGAAUUUAUUUUAGGAUUUCCGGCGAUGCGCAUUCAUUUAUUCUUGUAUUUAUUUCAGGAUUUCCGGUGAUACGCAUUCAAUGGGAGGAGAUGUUCCCGUCGACAACGAGGUGCCUAUGGUGGCUUCGUAAAUUUCAAAGUGAUAUGUCAUCUAAGUCUUCCGAAGGUGCUCAUAGGGGCGGGAUGUGCGUGUGUGCGUUCAUAGGGGUGAGUAUAUGCGCAUGUAUAUGAGCACUUGUGUCUGUACCGUGUUAAAAUAAACAUUUACAUUGUUUAAUAAUCUUUAAUGCUCAAGUCCUGAUAAGUAAAAUGCAUUUUCUAAGGGUAGUAGGUAAAAUGCAUUUGAUGUUUAGAAAGACAACAGUAACUAAUGACAUUAACAUUAGCACAUGGCUUUUAAAUUUUUUCAUCUAUGUCUUGAUAAACAAAUUAUUUGCGUCUGUCACUUUUAUCCUCCAACCAAGAAUAUGAAACUUCCGAAAAUAAAGCACACUGAGCUAAAAUAUAACAGGGCCGAUACAAAACAAACCUUUUCACUGCCCAAUAAUCUUCAAUGUUCAAGUCCUGAUAAGUAAAAUGCAUUUUCUAGGGGCGAAGGUAAAAUGCAUUUGAUGUUCACAAAGACAACAAUAACUAAUGACAUUAAGCAAGAUCUCAUCUCUAGAAUCAUAAGCACGAAACAACUAAUCCUUAAAUGACCAUAACCAGAAAACCCCGACCCGACAACUAAUCCUUAAAUGACCCAUAACCAGAAAACCCCGACCCGACAUAAACAAUUUAUUUAUGUCUUUUUUAAAUUUUGAUCUCUGUCUCGGUAAACAAUUUAUUUAUGGCUGUCACUUUUAUCCUCCAACCAGGAGUAUGAAAAUGCCCAAAAUAGAAACACAUAGCACGCUGAGCUAAGAUAUAACCGACCCGAUACAGAACAAACCUUUUCACUGCCCAAUAAUUUUCAAUGCUCAAGUCAUGAUAAGCAAAAUGCAUUUUCUGACAAGCAAAGGUAAAAUGCAUUUGAUGUUUAGAAAGACAACAAUAAUUAAUGACAUGAAGCAAUAUCUCAUCUCUAGAAUCAUAAGCAUGAAACAACUGCAUCGACAUCUGUCUUGUUUCUUCCAACUAAUCCUUAAAUGACACAUAACAAGAAGCCCCCGGCCCGACAUAAACAAUUUAUUUAUAUGUUUUUUAAUUUUGAUCUCUAUCUUGGUAAACAAUUUAUUUAUUGUGGUCACUUUUAUCCUCCAACCAAGAGUAUGAAAAUUCCCAAAAUAGAAACAUCAAGCAGGUUGAGCUAAAAUAUGACAGACCCAAUACAGAACAAACAUUUUCAUUGCCCAAUAAUCUUCAAUGUCAAGUCGUGAUAAGUAAUGCAUUUUCUCGGGGUGAAGGUAAAACACAUUUGAUGUUCAAAAGGACAACAAUAACUAAUGAGAUUAAGAAAUAUCUCUUCUUAAGAAUCAUAAGCAAGAAAUAACCGCAUCGACAUCCAUCUUGUUUCUUCCAACUAAUCCUUAAAUGAUCCAUAACCAGAAGACCCGGACCCAGAAUAAACAAUAUAUUUAUGGCGGUCACCUUUGUCCACCAAGACGUGAAAGAUGCUCAAAAUACAACAUGUAGCAAUAUGAGCUAAAAUAUCACAUACUCGAUACAGAACACACCUUUUUACUUCCCAAUGUCUUUCCUUUAUCCACAAUAUCUCUCAUGCUCAGGUCCAAAUGAGUAAAUGCAUUUUGGGGGGAGGUAAAGGUAAAAUGCAUUUGGUGUUGAGAAUGGCAACAAUAACUAUUCGCAUUAAGCAAUAUCUCAUCUCUAGAAUCAUAAGCGGGAAACAACCCAUCUUGUUUCUUCCAACUAAUCUUGAAAUGACCCAUAGUCGGAAAGACCCCAACCCUUCAAAACAAUUUAUUUGUGGCGAUCACUUUUAUCCUCCAACAUGUGAACCAAUAGUAUGAAGAUGCCCAAAUUAGUACAUGUAGCGCGAUGAGCUAAACUAUCACAAACUCGGUAUGGGACACGUUUUUACUGCCCAAUCAUGUGUCCUUAUCCACAAUAUCUCCAGUGCUUAAGUCUUGAUAAGUAAAAUGCAUUUUAUUGGGGAAGGGGGUAAAGGUAAAAUGCAUUUGAUGUUGGGAAGGACAACAAUAAUUAAUUAUAUUAAGAAAUAUCUAAUCUCAAUAAUCAUAAGCACAAAAUUGAAAGAAAUAUGCCCCAGAGGCAAUAAUAAAGUUGUUAUUCAUAUUUCCUUAUAUCAUGAUAAAUGUUUAUUAUUCAUGUUAGAAUUGUAUUAACCGGAAACUUAGUACAUGUGUGAAUACAUAGACAAAACAAAGUGUCUCUAGUAUGCCUCUACUUAACUAGCUCAUUAAUCAAAGAUGGUUAUGUUUCCUGACCAUAGACAUGUGUUGUCAUUUGAUGAAUGGGGUCAUAUCAUUAGAGAAUGAUGUGAUGGACAAGACCCAUCCGUUAGCUUAGCAUAAUGAUUGUUAAUUUUUAUUGCUAAUGCUUUCUUCAUGACUUAUACAUGUUCCUUUGACUAUGAGAUUAUGCAACUCCCGAAUACCGGAGGAACACCUUGUGUGCUAUCAAACGUCACAACGUACCUGGGUGAUUAUAAACAUGCUCUAGAGGUGUCUCCGAAGGUGUUUGUUGGGUUGGCAUAGAUCGAGAUUAGGAUUUGUCACUUAGUGUGUCGGAGAGGUAUCUCUGGGCCCUCUCGGUAAUGCUCAUCACUAUAAGCCUUGCAAGCAAUGUGACUAAUGAGUUAGUUACGGGAUGAUGCAUAACGGAACGAGUAAAGAGACUUGCCGGUAAUGAGAUUGAACUAGGUAUGAAGAUACCGACGAUUGAAUCUCGGGCAAGUAACAUACCGUUGACAAAGGGAACAACGUAUGUAGUUAUGCAGUUUGACCGAUAAAGAUCUUCGUAGAAUAUGUAGGAACCAAUAUGAGCAUCCAGGUUCCGCUAUUGGUUAUUGAUCGGAGAAGUGCCUCGAUCAUGUCUACAUAGUCCUCGAACCCGUGGGCUCCGUACGCUUAACGUUCGAUGACGAUUUGUAUUAUGAGUUAUGGUGACCGAAGUUUUGUUCGGAGUCCCGAAUGAGAUCAAGGACAUGACGGGGAGUCUCGAAAUGGUCGAGAGGUAAAGAUUGAUAUAUUGGAAGGUUAUAUUCGAACACCGGAAUGGUUUCCGGAAGUUUCAGAUAAGUUUCGGAGUACCGGGGAGGUUACCAGACCCCCCCCCCCCCGGGAAAGUAAUGGGCCAACAUGGGACUUAGUGGAGAAGAGAGGGCCAACCAACUAGGAGUGUGAAAAUGCCCAAAACAGGAACAUGUAUUUUUUAUCUUUGUCACAGCCUUUUUUUAACUCCUACUAUUUUUUUCCUGAUAUAUACCAUGAGAAACAGUUUAUUUAUUUAUGGCGGUCAUUUUUAUCCUCCAACCAGGAGUGUGAAAAUGCCCAAAACAGGAACAUGUAUUUUUUAUCUUUGUCACAGCCUUUUUUUUAACUCUUACUAUUUUUUCCUGAUAUAUACCAUGAGAAACAGUUUAUUUAUUUAUGGCGGUCAUUUUUAUCCUCCAACCAGGAGUGUGAAAAUACCCAAAAUAGGAACAUGUAUUUUUUAUCUCUGUCACAGCCUUUUUUUAACUUCUAUUUUUUCGUGAUAUAUAUACGAGAAAAAAUUUAUUUAUUCAUUUAUGGCGGUCUCUUUUAUCCUCAAAUCAGGAGUUUGGAAGUGCCCAAAAUAGAACAUGUAGUUUUGAUCUCUAUCACAAGCUUUUUUUUAAUCCUACUAAUUUUUUCAUGAUAUAUACCAUGAGAAACAGUUUAUUUAUUUAUGUCCGACACUUUUAUCCUCCAACAAAGAGUAUGAAAAUGCACAAAAUAGGAACAUGUGGCACUAUGAGCUAAAAUAUAACAAACCCGAUAAAGAACAAACAUUUUCACUGCCCAAUAAUCUUCAAUGCUCAAAUCCUGAUAAGUAAAAUGCAUUUGGGGGGUGGAGGGGGCAAAGAUACAAUGUAUUUGAUGUUUAGAAAGACUCAUAUCUACAAUCAUAAACACGAAAACAACCGCACCGACUGUGACGUCCGGAUAAUUAAGCUAUAGUAAUCCCCCGCUAAUGGUGCCAUGUCAUCACAUUACUGUUGCUAAUCCUCACUUGAUCAAAAUCAUGAUUCAAAUUCAAACUCAAAAUUUUAAAGUCAAUAAUUCAAAUUUGCCAAACAUGAAAACUAGAAUGUUCAAAGUGUGGAAAAUAAUCCCUGGAUAUUUUUCAUGUUGGAACCAACCUCUUUUGGAUUCCGAAAGGGCCCCUGGAAAUUAUUUAGUGAUCCAGCAGCAUUUAAACUUGGCCUUUUCAAUUUCCAAAAAUAGUUAGACAACUACUUUCGGCCUUAAACUUGUUGUGACUCCUAGAAUUAAUGUGCUUGUUUUAGUUGACAAGACUCUUUUCUAUCAAAACUCUUUUAGUGCUACAAUUUAAAAGAAAACAAAAAGGGUUUAAGAAAAAGAAAAAGGCAAAGGGAGGGAAGAAAAGCCCUGACCUCCCCUCUCACUAGGCCUCGGCCCAGCUGGACCGCCAGGCCAGCCCACCAUCUCUGGUCCCUCCCCUCUCCUCCUGUUCGUGCGACCGAGUCGCUACAGGGGUUUGGUCGCUGUCGCACCCUCUCGCCGGCAGCGCUGAGAGGGGAUAAGGGUGCCACGCCCCGACCCCUCGAUCCCAUUCCCCCACUCGCUCACCACUUCCCACUCUCUCUCCGCCUCUCGCCCAAGCGCUCGUUCCCCUUCUCCAGAUCCGUCGACGAGCGCGGCCAUAUCCACCAGGCUCACUCUGUCGUGGCCAUCGGCCACCUCUCACCUCGCCAUUGCGUCCGCGAAGACUGUCGUCAUCCGCUGCGUCCACUACGGAGAUGAAAACGGGCCGGAACCCCCCUCCUUCGCCGGAUCCGUGUCGUCCGCUUCGGUCGCCGGCCAUCUCCGUCAACUCCAACCGCCCUGCAGCUACUAAGCCGUCACCGGGCCCUCUUGCGCCUCCCCGGUGAGAUUCGCCUGCCUUCUCGUUUUCUUCGUCACCUUGCCGCGUGUGUAGCCGCCGUCCUUGCCAUGGCCGAACCCGCCACCGCUGACGAGCUCACCGCCAUAGUCAUCGUCACCGUAGCUCGCUCCCGAGUUGGUAACCGAGCUCCUAGGGCUCGUGCGGGUCCAACACCGCUGCCCGCAUCAACUACCAUGCCCCACAUCACCAUAGCCACCAACACCCGCCACCACCUAAUGUCGUCGUGCUCGCCGUGACCCCCGCCUGCUCGCGCUCCCAGGCCACGCCCCCUUGCUGCCUCUGACGUUCGCCUCUGGCCGCCCUGCUGCCGCCGAAUCCCCGUCACCCGCUCGCCGCAACGCCUCUUCCUGCCGCUGCCGUCUGGCCGCCUCAACCCACCAUCGGUCGUGCCCUGGCCUCGGCUCACGACCGCGGCCGUGCCCCGACUGCCCGCUCGCGCCAGGCUCCCCCACCGUGCUGCCCGCCCCCAUGCGCUUCCGUUGGAGCCCCUCCCCCCCAGCUCACCGACCUCACCGCGCCGCCCCGCGGGCUUCCCCGUCGCCGGUGGCCUCGCCCUGUGCUCGGGCGCAGCGCCCCUCGGGCACGGGCUCCCGCACCCAUUGACACCCGCCCCGCUGGGCUGGCCUGGUGCCACUGCCAGCGGGCCCCACGCCCUGCCUAUAAAAAAGGUUUUAAAAAUAUAUUAAUAAAAUUAAUUAAUUAAUUAAUUAAUUAAUUAGUCAGUAAUUAAUUAUUUAAGUUAAUUAACUCUGUUUAACUACCCUAAUUAACUAGGUUAACUAAUUAGAUCUGUUUAUUUAAGUUGGGCCAAUGACAGGUGGCCCCGAGUCAAACUUUUUGACCAGUCAACAGUUAACUGUUGACUGCUGACUCAGUAGUCAAUAGGGCCCAAUGCAAACUCUGUACUGCUCUGCUGUGUACACUUUGUGAGUGCACGUAGCAAUUUAGUCUUUUUUGAAUUAAUAUUAAAUCCAAUAAUUUCAGAAUAUUGUUAAAUAUUUGAAAAAUCAUAUAAAUUAAACAGCUCGGAUGAAAAUGUUUUCUACAUCGAAGUUGCUCAGAACGACGAGACGAAUCCGAAUACGCCCUCCGUUCGUCUAUCACACGCCCCUAGCAUAGCAAACAUUGAACUUUCUCCCUCCAGUUCAUCUGUCUGACAGACGUGCGGAACCAAGAAAAAUUUACCAGAUGUUUUCCCCCUUUGCCAGUUCGCCUAGCACUGCAUUAGAACACCUCUAGCCCCGCUUAUUAUCUUGUUAUGCAUAUGUUUGUGUGUAUUUACUGUUUCUUCCCCCCUUCACUCCGGUAGACCCUGAGAUCGAUGCUGAUGUCCCUGUGAUCGACUACGUCACCGACGACCCCUUCUUCCCUUUCAGCGGAGCUUCCAGGCAAGCCCCCCCUUUGAUCAUCCCGAUAUCGCCCAUUCCAUUCUUUCAUGCUUGCAUUAGAUUUUGCUACUGUAUUUGAUUGCUCCUAUUAUGAUGCAUAGCCUGCUUUUGUACCUGAUGUUGUACCUUACCUGUUUAUCCUAAACUGCUUAGUAUAGGUUGGUUAGUGAUCCAUCAGUGACCCCCACCUUAUCCUUGUUGCCCCUGCUUCAUCUUUGAUGACUCGAUCAACGUGAUCGACGACCAGAGCCCGACACCUCACAUCACAUCAUGCCCCUUUUGUUGCUCGACUCUACAGAGCUAGUAUCGAGUGCCGAGGGUGAUCCCUCAUAACGCACUCCUAAUGAUAAUUCUGUAGUGUAGCUAUUCAGUCGUGGUCAUCGAGGGUGAUUUUCUCUUUCACCAUUCCCGAUACGGCUCUAUCAUUCAACACCUCAAGUGUGAACCUUGAGGGUGGUCCCUCUUACGUUCACCUUGAUGAUUACAUUGAGUGGAAUUCUUCGUGGGUGAUUCCUCGGGUUUUGCCCUUGAUGUUUGGAGACACGGUUACAAUGACUUCACUUGAGACCUUGGUGAAAGUCGGGCGGGCCCGGAGAGCACCCGCAAGAUAAUGACGUGGCACGACCGGGCAUUCUAGGCCCUUGUCGUAAGUCCACGAGACGGGGCGACGGCGUCACUUUCGAUCAUGAGUCUCUGCUCAUCUCCGCAAACUAAUAAUACACUAUGGUUUGGGUAUUUAUUCUGAGUUGGCCUUUGGCCUUUACGCACCAACCAACAAGUGAGAAUAGUUAUGGGCCUCGACGUCGCAGUUUCAGCCGAAGCCUUGUCAGACAUCUAGUUCAGCAGUGCGGCGCGGCUCGGCCGGCACCAUCCAUGUGGAGGUGGAGCCUGGACCCGCCCUGCGUGCAACGACCCGGAGUGCAACGGGCGAUGGGCCCAGACCCCGGAGUGCUUAGGAGGUAGACCGGCGUGGACCUCUCUACUGAGCCUAGGUAGGGCUGCGACGUGUUGAUCUGCCGAGGCCGGGCAUAGACCCCAGAAAGGUGUGUCCAGACAGAGUGAUCGAGCGUGUUGGAAAACGUGGUGCACCCCUGCAGGGAAGAUUAUCUAUUAAUAGUCGUGUCCACGGUAAUGGACGUUCAGACUUAUAUCCUGAUCUUAUACAACUUCAAAUGGAUACUUGAGAUAUGUGGCUUCGGGGUUGUUUUCUCAUAGGGAGUCGAGGAAGGAUCUCUGGGCAUUAAUGAUACAACAUGUUUGUUAAUUAUAAACUGCUAUUCUUUACUCUUCUACAUGCUGCAAGAUGCUUGGAGCUGCUUGAAGAUGCUAGUUUUUGUUAGGCUAGGCCUUCUCCUCUAUUCUGGCAUUCUGCAGUUCAGUCCACAGAUACAACCCUUCCAUUUGAUACCGAUGCAUACUUAGUAUAGAUCUGAUGCUUGCGAGUACUUUGGAUGAGUACUCACGGUUGCUUUGCUACCCCCUUUUCCCCCUUCUUUCUUCUUUUCGGUUGAUGCAACCAGAUGGUGGAUCCCUGGAGCCAGAUGCCACCGCUGAUGGAUGCUACUAUGUGAAGAUCACCGACGACCAGGAGUAGUUAGGAGGUCCCAGGCAGGAGGCCUUGCCUCUUUGAUCGUGUUGCUUUUGUGCUAGCCUUCUUAUGUAUCGAGCUUGUAUUUGAGCCCUCGAGGCCCCUGGCUUGUAAUAUAAAUUUUGUAUUAUUUUGAUUUGUGCCUAGAGUUGUGUUGUGAUAUCUUCCCGUGAGUCCCUGAUCUUGUUCGUACACAUUUGCGUGUAUGAUUAGUGUACGAUUGAAUCGGGGGCAUCACAAGUUGGUAUCAGAGCCAACUGCCUGUAGGAUCCCCCUUUCCAACUCCUUGGCCGAAGUUGAGUCUAGCAUUUGAAAAUUUGUUUUACUAACAUGGUUGUGUGGCUUAUGGGCCCACGUCAUUAAUUGGGUGGUAUUAGGAUCUUUUACUCCUCCUCUAUACUCUGGGAAUCUGAUCUCUCUUCUAUUCGGGUUAACUAAUUUUGCUAACAACUCUAGGUUCUCGUAAAUACUUUCUCCCGGAGAGCCCCUCACUCCAGAUGAUUACUUGGUGUACCAGAAGUUUCUGAAGAUACUCUCCGAAGUUUUCUCGAGACCCUUGUGCCCUUCGUCGUUGCAAUCCCUAACACCGAUAAAUCCUUAUGCGUAACUACCUACGUUGUCAUUCAUACCUUCAUCCCCAGUUGCUCUUGUUAUUACAAGGUGUCCUGAAAUACUCUUCGAUGUUCCGAGGAUCCUUUAUGCUUACUGCCCUGCAGUCCUUGCCGCAUGAAUACCCCUACGGAUAAUUACUUGCUCUUAUCAAGUAUCCAUUCAUCCCCAAUUAUUCUUAUGCUUCAUAAGAUACUUUUUAAUACAAUCCGAGCUUUCGAUGACCUCUAUCGACUAUUGCUCUAGAAGGUCUUACCUGCCUACACUCUGGUUAAUUCCAUAUGCCUAGCAGUACCCAUUGACGUCCUUUGUCAUUAUCAUCUUGAGUCUUUUGAUUUGAUAUGUCUGUGUCGCAAUCAUCAGUUGAUCCUUAUAGAUUAUCUUUCCGGCUCAGACGCCUUCCCGAACAUGAGCUGGUUCUCGGCCAAUCAGAUUGGCAUCGAUUGUGCCCUAAGUCUAUUCAACUCAACCAUCCUUGGUCAGAGCGUUUGCUUCUGAUCCCUUGAUUUUGGGAAUCAUAAUUCCUUUGCAUUUGAACUAUGAAUUAGUCAGUUGCUUCUAUAAUCUGAUAUCCUUGCAUUCUUUCUACCUCUGGUUGAGUACUGAUACUCACAUCAGAUCCCUUGUGAACCACUAGAUCCUUUCUGGGGUUCUAUCCGACAACGUCCUUCAUAUACAGUAACCUUGUGAGCUUUUCCUCGGAUACAUAAUGCCUUUGGUAAAUUGUGUCUUCUGCUUCCUGAACCAUGCUCUACUCUUGGGAUUGAGUUAUUUACUCAUGAAGUUUGUGGUAUAUGUUCCUCAGAUGCCCUGAUGGGUUGAAUCUUUGUCUUACCUAAAUCCGUGUGAACCCGAAGAUUAUGCAAGUUAUAUCUACUGGUGUUUCUUCAGAUAAAUUUUCAAUUCUACAACUUCUUCGAACGCGAGAGGUGAAUGGAAAGUAGUGCAUAAGAGAAGUGGGAGUCGACCCUGAACCUUUGUGUUCAUACCCACAGACCCGAUGUGGAACUUAUCAUGGAAGCUUCUUGUUAUAAUAAUAAUCCCCUUCUGAUAAGUCCAUCUUGUAUCUAUGUUUGGUCCUCUGCAAUCGUGGUUCUGACCAUAUUGUUCUUGUUUGAUCUAUUUAUUGGACAAGUUAAAGUACUUGUCUUCUUCAGAUCAUUUCACCUGUUCAACCUCUACAUUGAUAUACCUUUGAGUAUAUCCCUUUGGUUAUCUCGAGAAUAUCACAGAACUACAUAACUUCUUAUGAGUUCUUGAUCAACUAUUAUUUCUCGUUGAUUCAAAUUUUCCACUCGUUCGGAGUUGUUAGACACUCGAGAAUACAGACAACUGAUUCGAGUCUAUGCUUUCCUUUCCAUUGUUUUGUUUAAUCUUUCUUGAAACCUAUCUUAUAUGAGCAGUGAUAAUUUCCCGCUUAUGUGAACACCUCGGUGUACAAGCUCUGUCUGUAAGACCUUGUUACUAUUGUUGAUGACAUUCCGAUAGCCACCAACGGACGACAACUUUGCCUAUUGGUCCGCCUCGUCUUAAUGAGCAGGGAAAUGGUUCUCUUUGUCCCUCGCCCUUGGUACCAACGUUGUUGCCAACAUAACUGACAGGUUGUCCUCUGACCUGCCUUGCUAUCAUGACCAUGCAAAAUGUAACGUCUUCUUGCUUUGAACGCACAUGGUGGGCCCAUAACUCACAGUUCCACAGGAUCGAAACCUGACUCUCUUGUACAUCCCUGUUUUCCAAAAAAUUUCCUCACGCUUGGCUUCGUAUGUAAAUCACGAACCACCUUCUUAGAGAUGAUCUUGUUGGAAAUAUGCCCUAGAGGCAAUAAUAAAAUGGUUAUUAUUAUAUUUCCUUUUUCAUGAUAAUUGUCUAUUGUUCAUGCUAUAAUUGUGUUAUCCGGAAAUCUUAAUACAUGUGUGAAUACAUAGACCACAACAUGUCCCUAGUGAGCCUCUAGUUGACUAGCUCUUUUAUCAAUAGAUGGUCAUGGCUUCCUGACCAUGGACAUCGGAUGUCAUUGAUAACGGGAUCACAUCAUUGGGAGAAUGAUGUGAUGGACAAGACCCAAUCCUAAGCAUAGCACAAGAUCGUGUAGUUCGUUUGCUAGAGCUUUUCUAAUGUCAAGUAUCAUUUCCUUAGACCAUGAGAUCGUGUAACUUCCGGAUACCGUCAGAGUGCUUUUGGGUGUACCAAACGUCACAACGUAACUGGGUAGCUAUAAAGGUAUACUACAGGUAUCUCCGAAAGUGUCUGUUGGGUUGACUCGAAUCGAGACUGGGAUUUGUCACUCUGUGUGAUGCAGAGGUAUCUCUGGGCCCACUCGGUAAUGCAUCAUCAUAAUGAGCUCAAAGUGACCAAGUGGUUGGUCACGGGAUCAUGCAUUGUAGUACGAGUAAAGUGACUUGCUGGUAACGAGAUUGAAUGAGGUAUUGGGAUACCGACGAUCGAAUCUCGGGCAAGUAAUGUACCGAUUGACAAAGGGAAUUGUAUACGGGAUUACUUGAAUCCUCGACAUGUGGGAGCCAACAUGGGUAUCCAGAUCCCACUGUUGGUUAUUGGCCGGAGAGUCGUCUUGGUCAUGUCUGCGUGUCUCCCGAACCCGUAGGGUCUACACACUUAAGGUUCGGUGACGCUAGGGUUGUAGAGAUAUUAGUAUACGGUAACCCGAAAGUUGUUCAGGGUCCUGGAUGAGAUCCCGGACGUCACGAGGAGUUCCGGAAUGGUCCGGAGGUGAAGAUUUAUAUAUAGGAAGUCCAGUUUCGGCCACCGGGAAAGUUUCGGGGGUCACCGGUAUUGUACCGGAACCACCAGAAGGGUCCCGGGGGUCCAUCGAGUGGGGCCACCUAUCCCGGAGAGCCACAUGGGCUGAAGUGGGAGAGGAACCAGCCCUUGGUGGGCUGGUGCGCCCCCCUUGGGCCUCCCCCUGCGCCUAGGGUUGGAAACUCUAGGGGUGGGGGCGCCCCACUUGGCUUGGGGGGCAAGUCCCCCCCCCCCUUGGCUGCCCCCCCUUGAGAUUCAAUCUCUAGGGGCCAGCGCCCCCCCCCCACGCCAGGGCCCCUAUAUAAAGAGGGGGGAGGGAGGGCUGCGCACCCUAGUCCCUGGCGCCUCCCUCUCCCCUCGUAACACCUCUCCCUCUCGCUGAGCUUGACGAAGCCCUGCCGAGAUCGCCGCUGCUUCCACCACCACGCUGUUGUGCUGCUGGAUCUCCAUCAACCUCUCCCUCCCCCUUGCUGGAUCAAGAAGGAGACGUCUUCCCCAACCGUAGGUGUGUUGAAUGCGGAGGUGCCGUCCGUUCGGCGCUAGGAUCAUCGGUGAUUUGGAUCGCGACGAGUACGACUCCAUCAACCCCAUUCUCUUGAACGCUUCCGCUCGCGAUCUACAAGGGUAUGUAGAUGCACUCCUCUCUCUCGUUGCUAGAUGACUCCAUAGAUUGAUCUUGGUGUUGCAUAGAAAAUUUUAUUUUCUGCUACGUUCCCCUACAGUGGCAUCAUGAGCUAGGUCUAUGCGUAGUUUCUAUGCACGAGUAGAACACAAAAUUGUUGUGGGCAUUGGUUUAGUCAAUUUUCUUGUCACUACUAGUCUUAUCUUGUUUCGGCGGCAUCAUGGGAUGAAGCGGCCCGGACCGACCUUACACGUACGCUUACACGAGACAGGUUCCACCGACUGACAUGCACUAGUUGCAUAAGGUGGCUAGCGGGUGUCUGUCUCUCCCACUUUAGUCGGAUCGGAUUCGAUGAAAAGGGUCCUUAUGAAGGGUAAAUAGAAAUUGGCAUAUCAAGUUGUGGUUUUGGCGUAGGUAAGAAACGUUCUUGCUAGUAACCUAUAGCAGCCACGUAAAAACAUGCAACAACAAUUAGAGGACGUCUAACUUGUUUUUGCAGCAUAUGUCUUGUUAUGUGAUAUGGCCAAAAGGAUGUGAUGCAUGAAAUAUAUGUGAUGUAUGAGAUUGAUCAUGUUCUUGUAAUAGGAAUCACGACUUGCAUGUCGAUGAGUAUGACAACCGGCAGGAGCCAUAGGAGUUGUCUUUAUUUUUUGUAUGACCUGCGUGUCAUUGAAUAACGCCAUGUAAUUACUUUACUUUAUUGUUAAACACGUUAGCUAUAGAAGUAGAAGUAAUCGUUGGUGUGACAACUUCAUGAAGACACGAUGAUGGAGAUCAUGGUGUCAUGCCGGUGACGAUGAUGAUCAUGGCGCCCCGAAGAUGGAGAUCAAAAGGAGCAAAAUGAUAUUGGCCAUAUCAUGUCACUAUUUGAUUGCAUGUGAUGUUUAUCAUGUUUUGCUUCUUAUUUUCUUAGUACGACGGUAGUAAAUAAGAUGAUCCCUUAUAAUAAUUUCAAGAAAGUGUUCCCCCUAACUGUGCGCCAUUGCGAAAGUUCGUUGUCUCGAAGAACCACGUGAUGAUCGGCUGUGAUAGAUUCUAACGUUCACAUACAACGGGUGUAAGCCAGAUUUACACAUGCAAAACACUUAGGUUGACUUGACAAGCCUAGCAUGUACAGACAUGGCCUCGGAACACAAGAGACCGAAAGGUCGAACAUGAGUCGUAUAGAAGAUACGAUCAACAUGAAGAUGUUCACCGAUGAUGACUAGUCCGUCUCACGUGAUGAUCGGACACGGCCUAGUUGACUCGGAUCAUGGAUCACUUAGAUGACUAGAGGGAUGUCUAGCUGAGUGGGAGUUCAUUAUAUAAUUUGAUUAGAUGAACUUAAUUAUCAUGAACUUAGUCUAAAAUCUUUGCAAUAUGUCUUGUAGAUCAAAUGGCCCAUGCUAAUGUUGCCCUCAACUUCAACGCGUUCCUAGAGAAAACCAAGAUGAAAGACGAUGGCAGCAACUAUACGGACUGGGUCCGGAACUUGAGGAUCAUCCUCAUGGCUGCCAAGAAAGCAUAUGUCCUAGAUGCACCGCUAGGUGAAGCACCCAUUUUCCCAGCAACUCAAGACGUUAUGAACGCCUGGCAGUCGUGUAGUGAUGAUUACUCCGUGGUUCAGUGUGGCAUGCUUUACAACUUAGAACCGGGGCUCCAAAAGCAUUUUGAGCAGCACGGAGCAUAUGAGAUGUUCCAAGAGCUGAAAAUGGUUUUCCAAGCUCACGCCCGGGUCGAGAGAUAUGAAGUCUCCGACAAGUUCUAUAGUUGUAAGAUGGAGGAGAAUGGUUCUGUCAGCGAGCACAUACUCAAAAUGUCUGGGUUGCACAACCGCUUAUCUCAGCUGGGAGUUAAUCUCCCGGAUGACACGGUGGUCGACAGAAUCCUCCAGUCGCUCACACCUAGCUACAAGAGCUUCGUGAUGAACUUCAAUAUGCAAGGGAUGGUGAAAACCAUUCCUGAGGUAUAUUCAAUGCUGAAAUUAGCGGAGGUGGAGAUCAAAAAGGAACAUCAAGUGUUGAUGGUCAAUAAAACCACUAGUUUCAAGAAAGGCAAGGGUAAGAAGAACUUCAAGAAGGACGGCAAGGGAGUUGCCACACCCGGUAAGCCAGUUGCCGGGAAGAAGCCAAAGCAUGGACCCAAACCUGAGACUGAGUGCUUUUAUUGCAAGGGAAGUGGACACUGGAAGCGGAACUGCCCCAAGUACUUAGCGGACAAGAAGGCCGGCAACACCAAAGGUAUAUGUGAUAUACAUGUAAUUGAUGUGUACCUUACCAGUACUCGUAGUAGCUCCUGGGUAUUUGAUACCGGUGCAGUUGCUCAUAUUUGUAACUCAAAACAGGAACUGCGGAAUAAGCGGAGACUGGCGAAGGAUGAGGUGACGAUGCGCGUCGGGAAUGGUUCCAAGGUCGAUGUGAUCGCCGUCGGCACGCUACCUCUACAUUUACCUACAGGGUUAGUUUUAAACCUCAAUAAUUGUUAUUUAGUGCCAGCUUUGAGCAUGAACAUUGUAUCUGGAUCUUGUUUAAUAUGAGAUGGCUACUCAUUUAAAUCCGAGAAUAAUGGUUGUUCUAUUUAUAUGAGAGAUAUGUUUUAUGGUCAUGCCCCGCUGCUCAAUGGUUUAUUCUUGAUGAAUCUCGAACGUGAUGUUACACAUAUUCAUAGUGUGAAUACCAAAAGAUGUAAAGUUGAUAACGAUAGUCCCAUAUACUUGUGGCACUGCCGCCUUGGUCACAUUGGUGUCAAAUGCAUGAAGAAGCUCCAUGCUGAUGGACUUUUGGAGUCUCUUGAUUACGAAUCAUUUGACACAUGCGAACCAUGCCUCAUGGGCAAAAUGACCAAGACUCCGUUUUUCCAGAACAAUGGAGCGGGCAACCAACUUAUUGGAAAUCAUACAUACUGAUGUGUGCGGUCCAAUGAGCGUUGAGGCUCGCGGAGGCUAUCGUUAUGUUCUCACUCUCACUGAUGACUUGAGUAGAUAUGGGUAUGUCUACUUGAUGAAACACAAGUCUGACACCUUUGAAAAGUUCAAGGAAUUUCAUAAUGAGGUAGAGAAUCAACAAGACCGAAAGAUAAAUUUCUUACGAUUAGAUCGUGGGGGAGAAUAUUUAAGUAACAAAUUUGGUACGCACUUAAGGAAAUGUGGAAUCGUUUCACAACUCACGCCGCCUGGAACACUUCAGCGUAACGGUGUGUCCGAACGUCGUAAUUGCACUCUAUUGGAUAUGGUGCGAUCUAUGAUGUCACUCACCGAUUUACCGCUAUCAUUUUGGGGAUACGCUCUAGAGACAGCUACAUUCACUUUAAAUAGGGCACCGUCUAAAUCCGUUGAGAUGACACCGUAUGAAUUAUGGUUUUGGAAGAAACCUAAGAUGUCGUUUCUAAAAGUUUGUGGAUGCGAUGCUUAUGUCAAGAAACUUCAACCUGAAAAGCUCGAACCCAAGUCGGAAAAAUGCGUCUUCAUAGGAUACCCUAAGGAAACCAUUGGGUAUACCUUCUACCUCAGAUCCGAAGGCAAGAUCUUUGUUGCUAAGAACGGGUCCUUUCUGGAGAAAGAGUUUCUCUCGAAAGAAGUAAGUGGGAGGAAAGUAGAACUCGAUGAAGUACUACCUCUUGAACCGGGAAGUAGCGCAGCUCAGGAAGAUGUUCAUGUGGUGCAUGCGCCGACUAGAGUGGAAGUUAAUGAUGAUGAUCAAGGUACUUCGGAUCAAGUUGCUACUAAACUUCGAAGGUCCACAAGGACAUGUUCCACACCAGAAUGGUAUGGCAACCCUGUCUUGGAAAUCAUGUUGUUAGACAACGGUGAACCUUCGAACUAUGAAGAAGCGAUGGUGUGCCCAGAUUCCAACAAAUGGCUUGAAGCCAUGCAAUCUGAGAUAGGAUCCAUGUAUGAAAACAAAGUAUGGACUUUGACAGACUUGCCCGAUGAUCGGCGAGCGAUAGAAAAUAAAUGGAUCUUUAAGAAGAAGACGGACGCGGAUGGAAAUGUUACCAUCUAUAAGGCUCGACUUGUCGCUAAGGGUUAUCAACAAGUUCAAGGGGUUGACUACAAUGAGACCUUCUCACCCGUAGCAAAGCUAAAGUCCGUCCGAAUCAUGUUAGCAAUUGCCGCAUACUAUGAUUAUGAGAUAUGGCAAAUGGACGUCAAAACGGCAUUCCUUAACGGCUUUCUUAAGGAAGAAUUGUAUAUGAUGCAGCCGGAAGGUUUUGUCGAUCCUAAGAAUGCUAACAAGGUAUGCAAGCUCCAGCGCUCCAUCUAUGGGCUGGUGCAAGCAUCUUGGAGUUGGAACAUUCGCUUUAACAAAAUGAUCAAAGCGUUUGGGUUUAUGCAGACUUAUGGAGAAGCUUGCGUUUACAAGGAAGUGAGUGGGAGCUCUGUAGCAUUUCUCAUAUUAUAUGUAGAUGACAUACUUUUGAUGGGAAAUGAUAUAGAACUUUUGGACAGCAUUAAGGCCUACUUGAAUAAGUUUUUUUUCAAUGAAGGACCUUGGAGAAGAUGCUUACAUAUUAGGCAUCAAGAUCUAUAGAGAUAGAUCAAGAUGCCUCAUAGGUCUUUCUCAAAGCACAUACCUUGAUAAGAUAUUGAAAAAGUUCAAUAUGGAUCAGUCCAAGAAGGGGUUCUUGCCUGUGUUUCAAGGUGUGAAAUUGAGCUCGACUCAAUGUCUGACCACGGCAGAAGAUAGAGAAAAGAUGAGUGUCGUCCCCUAUGCCUCGGCCAUAGGGUCUAUCAUGUAUACCAUGCUGUGUACUAGACCUGAUGUAAACCUUGCCGUAAGUUUGGUAGGAAGGUACCAAAGUAAUCCCGGCAUGGAACACUAGACAGCGGUCAAGAAUAUCCUGAAGUACCUGAAAAGGACUAAGGAUAUGUUUCUCGUAUAUGGAGGUGACGAAGAGCUCGUCGUAAAGGGUUACGUCGACGCUAGCUUCGACACAGAUCGGGAUGACUCUAAGUCACAAACUGGAUACGUGUAUAUUUUGAAUGGUGGGGCAGUAAGCUGGUGCAGUUGCAAGCAAAGCAUCGUGGCGGGAUCUACAUGUGAAGCGGAGUACAUGGCAGCCUCGGAGGCAGCACAUGAAGCAAUCUGGAUGAAGGAGUUCAUUACCGACCUAGGAGUUAUUCCCAAUGCGUCGGGGCCGAUGACUCUCUUCCGUGACAACACUGGAGCCAUUGCCCUUGCCAAGGAGCCCAGGUUUCACAAGAAGUUGAGGCACAUCAAGCGUCGCUUGAACUCCAUUCGUGAAAAUGUUCAAGAUGGAGACAUUGAUAUUUGUAAAGUGACACAUAUCUGAAUGUCGCAGAUCCUUGACUAAACCUCUUCCGCGAGCAAAACAUGAUCAACACCAGAACUCUAUGGGUGUUCGAUUCAUCACAAUGUAACUAGAUUAUUGACUCUAGUGCAAGUGGGAGACUAUUGGAAAUAUGCCCUAGAGGCAAUAAUAAAAUGGUUAUUAUUAUAUUUCCUUGUUCAUGAUAAUUGUCUAUUGUUCAUGCUAUAAUUGUGUUAUCCGGAAAUCGUAAUACAUGUGUGAAUACAUAGACCACAACAUGUCCCUAGUGAGCCUCUAGUUGACUAGCUUGUAUAUCAAUAGAUGGUCACGGUUUCCUGACCAUGGACAUUGGAUGUCAUUGAUAACGGGAUCACAUCAUUGGGAGAAUGAUGUGAUGGACAAGACCCAAUCCUAAGCAUAGCACAAGAUCGUGUAGUUCGUUUCCUAGAGCUUUUCUAAUGUCAAGUAUCAUUUCCUUAGACCAUGAGAUCGUGUAACUUCCGGAUACCGUAAGAGUGCUUUGGGUGUACCAAACGUCACAACGUAACUGGGUGGCUAUAAAGGUAUACUACAGGUAUCUCCGAAAGUGUCUGUUAGGUUGACUCGAAUCGAGACUGGGAUUUGUCACUCCGUGUGACGGAGAGGUAUCUCUGGGCUCACUCGGUAAUGCAUCAUCAUAAUGAGCUCAAAGUGGCCAAGUGGUUGGUCACGGGAUCAUGCAUUGCAGUACGAGUAAACUGACUUACCGGUAACAAGAUUGAACGAGGUAUUGGGAUACCGAUGAUCGAGUCUCGGGCAAGUAACGUACCGAUUGACAAAGGGAAUUGUAUAUGGGAUUACUUGAAUCCUCUACACCGUGGUUCAUUCGAUGAGAUCAUCGUGGAACAUGUGGGAGCCAACAUGGGUAUCCAGAUCCCGCUGUUGGUUAUUGACCGGAGAGUCGUCUCGAUCAUGUUUGCGUGUCUCCCGAACCCGUAGGGUCUACACACUUAAGGUUCGGUGAUACUAGGGUUGUAGAGAUAUUAGUAUGCGGUAACCCGAAAGUUGUUCGGGGUCCUGGAUAAGAUCCCGGACGUCAUGAGGAGUUCCGGAAUGGUCAGGAGGUGAAGAUUUAUAUAUAGGAAGUCCAGUUUCGGCCACCGGGAAAGUUUCGGGGGUCACCGGUAUUGUACCGGGACCACCGGAAGGGUCCCGGGGGUCCACCGGGUGGGGCCACCUAUCCCGGAGGGCCACAUGCACUGAAUUGGGAGGGGAACCAGCCCCUGGUGGGCUGGUGCGCCCUCCUUGGGCCUCCCCCUGCGCCUAGGGUUGGAAACCCUAGGGGUGGGGGCGCCCCACUUGGCUUGGGGGGCAAGUCCCCCCCUCUAGCCGCUGCCCCCCCCCCCCUUGAGAUUCAAUCUCUAGGGGGCCGGCGCCCCCCCAGGGCCCCUAUAUAAAGAGGGGGGAGGGAGGGCUGCGCACCCUAGUCCCUGGCGCCUCCCUCUCCCCUCGUAACACCUCUCCCUCUCGCUGAGCUUGGCGAAGCCCUGCCGAGAUCGCCGCUGCUUCCACCACCACGUCGUCGUGCUGCUGGAUCUCCAUCAACCUCUCCCUCCCCCUUGCUGGAUCAAGAAGGAGGAGACAUCUUCCCCAACUGUACAUGUGUUGAACGCGGAGGUGCCGUCCGUUCGGCGCUAGGAUCAUCGGUGAUUAGGAUCAUGACGAGUACGACUCCAUCAACCCCAUUCUCUUGAACGCUUCCGCUAGCGAUCUACAAGGGUAUGUAGAUGCACUCCUCUCUCUCGUUGCUAGAUGACUCCAUAGAUUGAUCUUGGUGUUGCGUAGAAAAUUUUAUUUUCUGCUAUGUUCCUCUACAGAUCUAAUCUAGUAUCAGACGCAACACUUAUUUUCGUUGCUCUGAAUCCCUCUCGCUCUCUGUUUCAGGCAACGAACGAUUGCCUACCCGGUUGAAGCUUCUUAUUGCUCCUCCUUACCUUUCUCUCGAUGAAUUUCUUCAAUUUCAACCCGAGAGAUGUCUCUGUGUCGCGUUCAUCGAAACCUCCCCCCAGGUACCUAUCUUGUGUUGAGCUCCGUCCUUCUCGAGUCUUUCCCCCUUACUCCACCCCUAAAAUCUCGGGACGAGAUUUCUUGUAGUGGAGGAGAAUUGUGACGCUCGAAUAAUUAAGCUAAAGUAAUCCCCCGCUAAUGGUGCCAUGUCAUCACAUUACUGUUGCUAAUCCUCACUUGAUCCAAAUCAUGAUUCAAAUUCAAACUCAAAAUUUUAAAGUCAAUAAUUCAAAUUUGCCAAACAUAAAAACUAAAAUGUUCAAAGUGUGGAAAAUAAUCCCUGGAUAUUUUUCAUGUUGGAACCAACCUCUUUUGGAUUUCGAAAGUGCUCCUGGAAUAUAUUUAGUGAUCCAGCAGCAUUUAAACUUGGCCUUUUCAAUUUCCAAAAAUAGUUAGACAACUACUUUCGGCCUUAAACUUUUUGUGACUCCAAGAAUUAAUGUGCUUGUUUUAGCUGACAAGACUCUUUUCUAUCAAAACUCUUUUAGUGCUACAAUUUAAAAGAAAACAAAAAGGGUUUAAGAAAAAGAAAAAGGCAAAGGAAGGGAAGAAAAGCCCUGACCUCCCCUCUCACUGGGCCUCGGCCCAGCUGGACCGCCAGGCUAGCCCACCAUCUCCGGUCCCUCCCCUCUCCUCCUGUUCGUGCGACCGAGUCGCUACAGGGGCUUGGUCGCCGUUGCACCCUCUCGCCGACAGCGCCACGAGGGGAUAAGGGUGCCACGCCCCGACCCCUCGAUCCCAUCCCCCCACUCGCUCACCACUUCCCACUCUCUCUCCGCCUCUCGCCCAGGCGCUCGUUCCCCUUCUCCAGAUCCGUCGACGAGCGCGGCCGUAUCCGCCCGGCUCACUCUGCCGUGGCCAUCGGCCACCUCUCGCCUUGCCAUUGCAUCCACGAAGACCGUCGUCGUCCGCUGCGUCCACUAUGGAGACGAAAACGGGCCGGAACCCCUCCUCCUUUGCCGGAUCCGUGUCGUCCGCUUCGGUAGCCGGCCAUCUCCGUCAACUCCGACCGCCCUGCAGCUACUAAGCCGUCAGCGGGCCCUCUUGCGCCUCCCCGGUGAGCUUCCCCUGCCUUCCCGUUUUCUUCGACACCUUGCCACGUGUGUAGCCGCCGUCCUUGCCAUGGCCGAACCCGCCACCGCUGACGAGCUCACCGCCGUAGUCAUCGUCACCGUAGCUCGCUCCCAAGUUGGUAACCGAGCUCCUGGGGCUCGUGCGGGUCCAACGUCGCUGCCCGCAUCAACUACCAUGCCCCACAUCACCGUAGCCACCAAUGCCCGGCACCACCUAAUGUCAUCGUGCUCGCCAUGACCCCUGCCUGCUCGCGCUCCCAGGCCACGCCCCCUUGCUGCCUCCGACGUUCGCCUCUGGCCGCCCUGCUGCCGCCGAAUCCCCGUCACCCGCUCGCCGCAGCGCCUUUGCCUGCCGCUGCCGUCUGGCCGCCUCAACCCACCAUCGGACGCGCCCUGGCCUUGGCUCGCGACCGCGGCCGCGCCCCGACUGCCCGCUCGCGCCAGGCUCCCCCACCGUGCUGCUCGCCCCCAUGCGCUUCCGCCGGAGCCCUCCCCCCCAGCUCACUGACCUCGCCGCGCCGCCCGGUGGGCUUCCCUGUUGCCGGUGGCCUCGCCCUGCGCUCGGGCGCAGCGCCCCUCGGGCAUGGGCUCCUGCACCCGUUGACACCCGCCCCACUGGGCUGGCUUGGUGCCACUGCCAGCGGGCCCCACGCCCCGCCUUUAAAAAGGUUUUAAAAAAUAUAUUAAUAAAAUUAAUUAACUAAUUAAUUAGUCAGUAAUUAAUUAUUUAACUUAAUUAACUCUGUUUAACUACCCUAAUUAACUAGGUUAGCUAAUUAGAUCUGUUUAUUUAAGUUGGGUCAAUGACAGGUGGCCCCCAGUCAAACAUUUUGACCGGUCAACAGUUGACUGUUGACUGCUGACUCAGCAGUCAAUAGGGCCCAGUGCCAGCCUCUGUACUUCUCUGAUGUGUACACUUUGUGUGUGCACGUAGCAAUUUAGUCCUUUUUUGAAUUAAUAUUAAAUCCAAUAAUUUCAGAAUAUUGUUAAAUCUUUGAAAAAUCAUAGAAAUUAAACUGUAGCUCGGAUGAAAAUAUUUUCUACAUGAAAGUUGCUCAGAACGAUGAGACGAAUCCGAAUACGACCUCCGUUCGUCUAUCACACGCCCCUAGCAUAGCAAACUUUGAACUUUUCCCCUCCAAUUCAUCUGUCUGACAGACAUCCGGAAACGGGAAAACUUUCCCGGAUGUUUUCCCCCUUCGCCAGUUCGCCUAGCACUGUGUUAGAACACCUCUAGCCCCACUUAUUGUCUUGUUAUGCAUAUGUUUGUGUGUAUUUACUGUUUCUUCCCCCUUCUCUUCAGUAGACCCUGAGAUCGAUGCUGAUGUCCCUGUGAUCGACUACGUCACCGACGACCCAUUCUUCCCUUUCAGCGGAGCUUCCAGGCAAGCCCCCCUUUGAUCAUCCCGAUAUCUCCCAUUCCAUUCUUUCAUGCUUGCAUUAGAUUUUGCUAAUGUAUUUGAUUGCUCCUACUAUGAUGCAUAGCCUGCUUUUGUACCUGAUGUUGUACCUUACCUGUUUAUCCUAAACUGCUUAGUAUAGGUUGGUUAGUGAUCCAUCAGUGACCCCCACCUUGUCCUUGUUGCCCCUGCUUCAUCUUUGACGACUUGAUCAACAUGAUCGACGACCAGAGCCCAACACCUCACAUCACAUCACGCCCCUUUUGUUGCUCGACUCUGCAGAGCUACUAUCGAGUGCCGAGAGUGAUCCCUCAUAACGCACUCCUGAUGAUAAUUCUGUAGUGUAGCUAUUCGGUCAUGGUCAUCGAGGGUGAUUUUCUCUUUCACCAUCCCGAUACGGCUCUGUCAUUCAACACCUCAAGUGUGAACCUUGAGGGUGGUCCCUCUUACGUUCACCUUGAUGAUUACAUUGAGUGGAAUCCUUCGUGGGUGAUUCCUCGGGUUUUCCCCUUGAUUUUGGACACACAGUUACAAUGAAUUUACUUGAGACCUUGGUGAAAGUCGGGCGGGCCCGGAGAGCACCCGCAAGAUAAUGACGUGGCACGACCGGGCAUUCUAGGCCCUUGUCGUAAGUCCACGAGAUGGGGCGACGGGUCACUUUCGAUCGUGAGUCUCUGCUCAUCUCCGCAAACUAAUAAUACACUAUGGUUUGGGUAUUUGUUCUGAGUUGGCCUUUGGCCUUUACGCAACAACCAACACGUGAGAAUAGUUAUGGGCCUCGACGUCACAGUAUUAGCCGAAGCCUUGUCAGACAUCUAGUUCAGCAGUGUGGCACGGCUGGGCCGGCACCAUCCAUGUGGAGGUGGAGCCUGGACCCGACCUGCGCGCACGACCCGGAGUGCAACGGGCGAUGGGCCCAGACCCCGGAGUGCUUAGGAGGUAGACCGGCAUGGACCUCUCUACUGAGCCUAGGUAGGGUUGCGACGUGUUGAUCUUCCGAGGCCGGGCAUUGACCUCAGAAAGGUGUGUCCAGACAGAGUGAUCGAGCGUGUUCGAAAACGUGGUGCACCCAUGCAGGGAAGAUUAUCUAUUAAUAGCCGUGUGCACGGUAAUGGACGUUCAGACUUAUAUCCUGAUCUUAUACAACUACAAAUGGAUACUUGAGAUAUGUGGCUCCGGGAUUGUUUUCUCGCAGGGAGUCGAGGAAGGAUCUCUGGGCAUUAAUGCUACAACAUGUUUGUUAAUUAUAAACUGCUAUUCUUUACUCUUCUACAUGCUGCAAGAUGCUUGCAGCUGCUUGAAGAUGCUAGUCUUUGUUAGGCUAGGCCUUCUCCUCUAUUCUGGCAUUCUGCAGUUCAGUCCACAGAUACAACCCUUCCAUUUGAUACCAAUGCAUACUUAGUAUAGAUCUGAUGCUUGCGAGUACUUUGGAUGAGUACUCACGGUUGCUUUGCUACCCCCUUUUCCCCCUUCUUUCUUCUUUCCGGUUGAUGCAACCAGAUGGUGGAUCCCUGGAGCCAGAUGCCACCGCCGAUGGAUGCUACUACGUGAAGAUCGCCGACGACCAGGAGUAGUUAGGAGGUCCCAGGCAGGAGGCCUUGCCUCUUCGAUAGUGUUGCUUUUGUGCUAGCCUUCUUAAGGCAUCCUUGUUUAACUUAUGUCUGUACUCAGAUGUUGCUUCUUCCGCUGACUCUUGUGUAUUGAGCUUGUAUUUGAGCCCUCGAGGCCCCUGACUUGUAAUAUAAAUCUUGUAUUAUUUUGAUUUGUGCCUAGAGUUGUGUUGUGAUAUCUUCCCGUGAGUCCCUGAUCUUGAUCGUACGCAUUUGCAUGUAUGAUUAGUGUACGAUUGAAUCAGGGGCGUCACAAGUUGGUAUCAGAGCCGACUGCCUGUAGGAUCCCCUUUCCAACUCCUUGGCCGAAGUUGAGUUUAGCGUUUGAAAAUUUGUUUUACUAACAUGGUUGUGUGGCUUACGGGCCCACGUCGUUAAUUGGGUGGUAUUAGGAUCUUUUACUCCUCGUCUAUACUCUGGGAAUCUGAUCUCUCUUCUAUUCGGCUUAACUAAUUUUGCUAACAACUCUAGGUUCUUGUAAAUACUUUCUCCCGGAGAGCCCCUCACUCCAGAUGAUUACUUGGUGCAACAGAAGUUUCUGACGAUACUCUCCGAAGUUUUCUCGAGACCCUUGUGCCCUUCAUCGUUGCAAUCCCUAACACCGGUAAAUCCUUAUGCGUAACUACCUACGGUUUCGUUCAUACCUUCAUCCCCAGUUGCUCUUGUUGUUACAAGGUGUCCUGAAAUAUUGUUCGAUGUUCCGAGGAUCCUUUAUGCUUACUGCCCUGCAGUCCUUGCCGCAUGAAUACCCCUACGAAUAAUUACUCGCUCUUAUCGAGUAUCCAUUCAUCCCCAAUUAUUCUUAUGCUACAUAAGAUACUUUUUAAUACAAUCCGAGCUUUCGAUGACCUCUAUCGACUAUUGCUCUAGAAGGUCUUACCUGCCUACACUCUGGUUAAUUCCAUAUGCCUAGCAGUACCCAUUGACGUCCUUUGUCAUUAUCAGCUUAAGUCUUUCGAUUUGAUAUGUCUGUGUCGCAAUCAUCAGUUGAUCCUUAUAGAUUAUCUUUCCGGCUCCGACGUCUUCCUGAACAUGAGCUGGUUCUCAGCCAAUCAGAUUGCCAUCGAUUGUGUCCUAAGUCUAUUCAACUUAACCAUCCUUGGUCAGAGCAUUUUCUUCUGAUCCCUUGAUUUUGGGAAUCAUAAUUCCUUUGCAUUUGAACCAUGAAUUAGUCAGUUGCUUCUAUAAUCUGAUAUCCUUGCAUUCUUUCUACCUCUGGUUGAGUACUAAUACUCACAUCAGAUCCCUUGUGAACCACUAGAUCCUUUGUGGGUUAAUCUCUGACAGCAUCCUUCAUAUACGGUAACCUUGUGAGCUUUUCCUCGAAUACAUAAUGCCUUUGGUAAAUUGUGUCUUCUGCUUCCUGAACCAUGCUCUACUCUCGGGAUUGAGUUAUUUACUCGUGAAGUUUGUGGUAUAUGUUCCUCAGAUGCCCCGAUGGGUUGAAUCUUUGUCUUACCUAAACCCGUGUGAACCCGAAGAUUAUGCGAGUUAUAUCUACUGGUGUUUCUUCAGAUAAAUUUUCAAUUCUACAAAUUCUUCGAACGCGAGAGGUGAAUGGAAAUUUGUGCAUAAGAGAAGUGGGAGUCGACCUUGAACCUUUGUGUUCAUGCCCACAGACCCGAUGUGGAACUUAUCAUGGAAGCUUCUUGUUAUAAUAAUAAUAUCCUUGUGAUAAGUCCAUCUUGUAUCUAUGUUUGGUCCUUUGCUAUCGUGGUUCCGACCAUAUUGUUCUUGUUUGAUCCAUUUAUUGGACAAGUUAAAGUACUUGUCUUCUUUAGAUCGUUUCACCUAUUCAACCUCUACAUUGAUAUACCUUUGAGUAUAUCCCUCUGGUUAUCUCGAGAAUAUCACAGAACUACAUAACUUCUUAUGAGUUCAUGAUCAACUAUUAUUUCUCGCUGAUUCAAAUUUUCCACUCGUUUGGAGUUGUUAGACACUCGAGAAUACAGAUAACUGAUUCGAGUCUAUGCUUUCCUUUCCAUUGUUUUGUUUAAUCUUUCUUGUAACCUAUCUUAUAUGAGCAGUGAUAAUUUCCUGCUUAUGUAAACACCUCGGUGUACAAGCUCUGUCUGUAAGACCUUGUUACUAUUGUUGAUGACAUUCCGAUAGCCACCGACGGACGAGAACUUUGCAUGUUGGUAUGCCUCGUCUUAACAAGCAGGGAAAUGGUUCUCUUCAUCCCUCGCCCUUGGUACCAACGUUGUUGCCAACAUAACUGACAGGUUGUCCUCUGACCUGCCUUGCUAUCAUGACCAUGAAAAAUGUAACGCCUUCUUGCUUUGAACGCACAUGGUGGGCCCAUAAAUCACAGUUCCACAGGAUCGAAACCUGACUCUCUUGUACAUCCCUGUUUUCCAAAAUUGUUCCUCACGCUUGGCUUCAUAUGUAAAUCACGAACCACCUUUUUAGAGAUGAUCUGAUCUAGUAUCAGACGCAACACUUAUUUUCGUUGCUCUGAAUCCCUCUCGCUCUCUGUUUCAGGCAAUGAACGAUUGCCUACCCGGUUGAAGCUUCUUGUUACUCCUCCUUACCUUUCUCUCGAUGACUUUCUUCAAUUUCAACUCGAGAGAUGUCUCUAUGUCGCAUUCAUCGAAACCUCCCCCUAGGUACCUAUCUUGUGUUGAGCUCCGUCCUUCUCGAGUCUUUCCCCCUUACUCCACCCCUUAAAUCUCGGGACGAGAUUUCUUAUAGUGGAGGAGAAUUGUGACGCCCAGAUAAUUAAGCUACAGUAAUCCCCCGCUAAUGGUGCCAUGUCAUCACAUUACUGUUGCUAAUCCUCACUUGAUCCAAAUCAUGAUUCAAAUUCAAACUCAAAAUUUUAAACUCAAUAAUUCAAAUUUACCAAACAUGAAAACUAAAAUGUUCAAAGUGUGGAAAAUAAUCCCUGGAUAUUUUUCAUGUUGGAACCAACCUCUUUUGGAUUCCGAAAGUGCCCCUGGAAAUUAUUUAGUGAUCCAGCAGCAUUUAAACUUGGCCUUUUCAAUUUCCAAAAAUAGUUAGACAACUACUUUCAGCCUUAAACUUUUUGUGACUCCUAGAAUUAAUGUGCUUGUUUUAGCUGACAAGACUCUUUUCUAUCAAAACUCUUUCAGUGCUACAAUUUAAAAGAAAACAAAAAGGGGUUGAGAAAAAGAAAAAGGCAAAGGGAGGGAAGAAAAGCCCUAACCUCCCCUCUCACUGGGCCUCGGCCCAGCUGGACCGCCAGGCCAGCCCACCAUCUUCGGUCCCUCCCCUCUCCUCCUGUUCGUGCGACCGAGUCGCUACAGGGGCUUGGUCGCCAUUGCACCCUCUCGCCGGCGGCGCCGGGAGGGGAUAAGGGUGCCACGCCCCGACCCCUCAAUCCCAUCCCCCCACUCGCUCACCACUUCCCACUCUCUCUCCGCCUCUCGCCCAGGCGCUCGUUCCCCUUCCCCAGAUCCAUCGACGAGCGUGGCCGUUGCCGCCCGGCUCACUCUACCGUGGCCAUCGGCCACCUCUCGCCUCGCCAUUGCAUCCACGAAGACCGUCGUCGUCCGCUGCGUCCACUACGGAGACGAAAACGGGCCGGAACCCCCCUCCUUCACCGGAUCCGUGUCGUCCGCUUUGGUCGCCGGCCAUCUCCGUCAACUCCGACCGCCCUGCAGCUACUAAGCCGUCAUCGGGCCCUCUUGCGCCUCCCCGGUGAGCUUUGCCUGCCUUCCCGUUUUCUUCGUCACCUUGCCGCGCGUGUAGCCGCCGUCCUUGCCAUGGCCGAACCCGCCACCGCUGACGAGCUCACUGCCAUAGUCAUCAUCACUGUAGGUCGCUUCCGAGUUGGUAACCGAGCUCCUGGGGCUCGUGCGGGUCCAACGCCGCUGCCUGCAUUGACUACCAUGCCCCACAUCACCGUAGCCACGAAUGCCCGCCACCACCUAAUGUCGUCGUGCUCGCCGUGACCCUGCCUGCUUGUGCUCCCAGGCCGCGCCCCUUGCUGCCUCCGACGUUCGCCUCUGGCCGCCCUGCUGGCCGCAGAAUCCCCGCCACCCGCUCGCUGCAGCGCCUCUGCCUGUCACUGCCGUCUGGCCGCCUCAAGCCACCGUCGGCCGCGCCCUGGCCUCGGCUCGCGACCGCGUGAAAGUGCAACUAUCCCUAGGUGGUUUUGGUAAUUAAUAACAACAUAUAGCUCAUUGAGCUAAUGCUAUUCCAAGACUAUUAUUUUAGGAAAGCUCAAUGAAUGGCAUGGCAUGGAUGAUGAAAGUGGAUCCCUCAAAAUUCUAAGGACAAAGGAUUGGCUCAAGCUCAAAAGCUCAAGACUCUUCAUUUUACAUUUUAGUUAUCCAAGAUCACAUUGAGUCUAUAGGAAAAGCCAAUACUAUCAAGGAGGGAUGAGGUGUUGCUUAAUGAGCCUCUUGCUUCAAUGUGCUUAGUGAUAUGCUCCAAAACCCUCAACUACUUUCCCACAUCCUCAAAUGACCUAAACCCAAAGCCAAAAUCGGUCACACCGAAACUUCCUACCCGGCACCAUCGAUUCCAAAAGUCAUAGCCACUGCCACAAACCCUAAGCAAAUCGGUCUUACCGAUAGGGAUCUCGGUCUCACCAAGAUGGGGUUGCAAUCUCUCUAUUUCCCUUCGUAACGUUUCGGUCUAACCGAAGUGAGCGAUCGGUCCCACCGAGAUUGCAAUGUAAACUCUCUGUUUCCUUUUUGUAACAUUUCGGUCUCACCUAAAAGAGCAAAUCGGUCCCACCGAGUUUACCUGACCAACUCUCUGGAAAGCUUAUUACCAAAUCGGUCUCACCGAGUUUGUGUAAUCGGUCUUACCGAGAUUACGUUAUGCCCUAACCCUAACCGAAUCGGUCUCACCGAGAUGCAUGUCGGUCCCACCGAAAAUCACUAACGGUCACUAGGUUUACUAAAUCGGUCCGACCGAGUUUAACAAUUCGGUCCCACUGAGUUUGGUAAAUUGUGUGUAACGGUUAGAUUUUGUGUGGAGGCUAUAUAUACCCCUCCACCUCCUCUUCGUUCGUGGAGAGAGCCAUCAGAACGAACCUACAUUUCCAGCAUACAUUUUCUGAGAGAGAACUACCUACUCAUGUGUUGAGGCCAAGAUAUUCCAUUCCUACCAUAUGAAUCUUGAACUCUAGCCUUCCCCAAGUUGCUUUCCACUCAAAUCUUCUUUCCACCAGAUCCAAACCCAUUGAGAGAGAGUAGAGUGUUGGGGAGACUAUCAUUUGAAGCACAAGAGCAAGGAGUUCAUCAUCAAUGCACCAUUUGUUACUUCUUGGAGAGUGGUGUAUCCGAGAUUGGCUAGGUGUCACUUGGGAGCCCCCGACAAGAUUGUGGAGUUGAACCAAGGAGUUUGUAAGGGCAAGGAGAUCGCCUACUUCGUGAAGAUCUACCACUAGUGAGGCAAGUCCUUCGUGGGCGACGGCCAUGGUGGGAUAGACAAGGUUGCUUCUUCGUGGACCCUUCUUGGGUGAAGCCCUCCAUGGACUCGCGCAGCCGUUACCCUUCGUGGGUUGAAGUCUCCAUCAACGUGGAUGUACGAUAGCACCACCUAUCGGAACCACGCCAAAAACAUAUGUGUCUCCAAUUGCGUUUGAAUCCUCCAAACCCUUCCCUUUACUUUCUUGCAAGUUGCAUGCUUUAAUUUCUGCUGCCUAUAUACUCUUUGCAUGCUUGCUUGAAUUGUGUGAUGAUUGCUUGACUUGUCCUAAAGUAGCUAAAAUCUGCCAAACUCUAAAAUUGGGAAAAGGUUAAGUUUUUAUUGGUCAAGUAGUCUAAUCACCCCCCCCCCUCUAGACAUACUUCAAGGUCCUACAAGUGGUAUCAGAGCUUUGGUCUCCAUUUUCUUUGAUUUCCAUAGCUUUUGGUGGUCAUAGCCUUGGUUUCACAACCUAGGAGAGUAUGGCGUCUAGCGAGGGAAAUUAUCACCGUAGAGGUCCUUACUUUGAUGGUACUAAUUUUGCUAGUUGGAAGCAUAAGAUGAAAAUGCAUAUUCUUGGACAUAACCCCGCCGUUUGGGCAAUUAUUUGUAUUGGCUUGCAAGGUGAAUUUUUUUAUGGGAGAGAACCGAACCGUGAAGCUAAUGUGGAAGAACUGAAGAUGCUGCAAUACAACACUCAAGCUUGUGAUAUCAUCUUCAACGGAUUGAGCCCCGAAGAAUUCAACAAAAUCAGCCGUCUUGAGAAUGCAAAGGAAAUUUGGGAUACUUUGAUUGAUAUGCAUGAAGGUACCGAGUCCGUCAAGGAAUCCAAGUUGGAUGUGCUCCAAAGUCAGCUUGACAAGUUCAAAAUGAAGGAUAGUGAAGGUGUCGCUGAAAUGUACUCUAUGCUUGCUCUUAUCACAAAUGAGAUUGACGGCUUAGGGAGUGAAGAGAUGACCGACAAAUUCAUCAUCAAGAAGAUCUUAAGAGCAUUGGAUGGAAAGUAUGAUACCGUGUGCACAUUGAUUCAAAUGAUGCCAAACUACAAAGAUCUCAAGCCAAUGGAAGUCACUGAAAGGAUUAUUGCUCAUGAGAUGUUACUCAAGGAUAAGGAGGAACUUCACAACAAGUCAAGUGGUGCUUACAAAGCCUCAAGUGAAUCCCCCACAUCAUCAAGUGAUAAACCAACCUUCAAUGAAGAAUUGAGCUUAAUGGUGAAGAACUUCAACAAAUUCUACAAGAGUAGAAGCAAAGAAAGAAGCUCCAAAUCAAGGUCUUACAAUGACAAGAGAUCUUCUAGUCGAGAGCGAAAGUGCUACAAUUGUGGGAGACCCGGACACUACUCCAAUGAGUGUACGGCACCCUACAAAAGAAGAGAAGAUUCUCCAAGAAGAAGGAGCAAAAGAGAAGAAUCACCACCAAGAGAGAGGAGGAGUAGAGAUGAUCGUUAUGAACGAAGACCCUCACGGAGAAGCAAGGAUUUGGAAAGGAAGGACAAGUCAUAAAGGAGCUACACAAAACAAAGACACCAAGCUCAUGUUGGUGAAUGGGUAUCCGGCUCCGACUCUGACAAUCACUCCGAGAGAAGCUAUCACUCCGACUACGAAUAUACUCAAGAUGAAGGUGUUGCCGGUCUAGCACUUGUGUCAACCAACUCCUACGACAUAUUUGAUUCACCAAAUGAAGGUGUUGGAAGAUGCUUCAUGGCCAAAGGCCCAAAGGUAACACAUCCCGAGUAUGUUGAUUUCAAUAGUGAUGAAGAUGACUUGCUUGUGGAUGAUGAUUUACUUGUUGACAACUCUAGUGAUGAAUACUAUGAUGAAACGUCAAUUAAUCAUGCUAAUCAUGCUAAAACAAGUGACAAUGAUAAGGAGAAAAUUGAGCUUCUAACUAAAGAAUUAAACUCUCUUAAGUUAGCUCAUGAAACUAUCUAUGAAGAUCAUCGAGAACUUUUAAGGGCUCAUGAGAAGUUACGCUUUGAAAAACUCAAUCUUGAGCAAGAGCAUGAGUUCUUAAAAGCAAUCAAUGAUGAUCUUCGCAAGAAAAGUUCUUCUUACAUUGCCAAGCAUUUACUCUUAUCUACUUACAUGCCUCAAGUCAAGUCUAGUAACAAGUACAAGAAAGAUACUUCCUCUAGUAGUAACAAUAAUAAUGUUAAAUCCAAUGUUGUUGCUUCUAGUAGUUCUCUUGAUUCCACUAAUGAUUCUCUUAGCCAAGUUACACUUGAGCAAGAAAAUAGCUUAUUGAAGGGAAUUAUAGAGAAAGGUGUUUACAAGAGCCUUGCCGGGAGUAAGCAAUUCGAGGAAAUUGUACGCAAGCAAGGAAGGCACCGGAAGAAUCAAGGUGUUGGUUUUGAACGAAAGUUCAAUGCCAAUGGAGUUGAGUGGGAAGAAGAUCAAUAAGCCCAAGACGAAGUUUGUUCCUCAACAAGAGAAGUAUGAUCCUACUUCCUUCAAAGGAACACAAGCUCAAGAUGAUCUUCCACCACAAGACCACAAGAACAAAGGCAAGGACAAGCUUCAAGAAGAGAUUGAUGCAUUUGAAGAAGCACCUAAAGCCUCAUUCAAGUGGGUCCCCAAGACUACGUCAAGUUCUACUUCAUCAAGUACAACUACAACUCCAAGGAUUCCCAUCAAGAUGAUGUGGAUCCCGAAGAAGAAGAACUAGAGAGUUCUUGAGGGUGACUCCACCAACAUUCUUCACUCAUAUCUUUUUUGGCAAGAACAAGUGCAAUCAACUUCCACAUCUUGCACUAGUUCAAGGAGUCACAAACCCUCAUGUUGGUAAGACAAGGGACAAGGUAACCUAAUAAUUUCAUGGACAUCAUCUUGUGUGUGCACCACUCUAUGUCUAUGGAUAUUCUUGUUUGUUCCUUGUGGGACUAACCCAUGUAGGUAAGUUGAAAGUGCAACUCACUCCAAAGGAUUGCUCCAAAUGGUCUACAUCAACAUUGAGCAUCUACAUCUUCAACACCUACAUGAAGUCAUCGUCGACAAAACCCAAGGUUAGUUCAUCCCUCUAAGGGGGGAUCUCACAUCUAGGGGGAGCUUAGCUCUAAGAAUUGAGUCUAAGCAACUCUAAUGGUGUGAACACAUUAAUGCAUUAUGUAAAAGUGGUAACCCCACUUGAGCUUAAACGAUGAGUAUGACCUAUGAUCAAAUGUUCUCAUUUGACUCCUAAGUCAAUAUACUCGUAUAUAGAUGACCUAGUCAUCGCCAAAUUGCUUCAUAGAUGCUAAAAUUGGUUGUGCAUGCUUUGCCACAUAUUUCAUUUGGUAUCUUAUUGUGUGAGCAUGUUGGUGCAUAUUUUACUCAUUCAAGGACAUCCGCUUGUAGUUUUGAUUGUUUGGUUUCUUUUCUCUUUGCCAAGUGGAUGGACAAGAAUGCCUAAGAACCUUCUUUAGCUAUCUAUGCUUUUCUCAUCUCAAACUCUAUUCAUGCUACAUCACAAAAUUUGAUCAAGUCAGAUUCGAACCACUCUGUUUGAGGAGCACUCGGAGUCCCCGAUUCGUCAUAGACUUAAACUUCCAAAACCUCUUUGUGAUUCUCGGUCUGACCGAUUCUUCCAUUUUGGUCCUACCGAGAUCACCAAGUUGAUCUGAGUUUUCAAUCUCGGUGCAACCAAUUUGAACUUUUCGGUCUAACCGAUUUGCUAUAACUGAACACAGUUAUGCAUCUCGGUGCCACCGAGUUGUUCCACUCGGUCACACCGACAGGGUCGGGCUAUAUAUAGCCACGGGCAAAAGUUUGGAAAUUUCUCCGAAACCCUUCACCCGCGCAAUAGCUCGCUCUGCCAUCGUGGUCUCCGGAUCGUCUCCUCGCUGCCAGCAGCCUCCUGUUGCUGGUCUUCGUCGCCGUCAACGGAAAUCGUCCCCGCCGUUGCCGCCGUAGCAAGUCCACCUCCAAGUUAGGGUAUGGACUUGAUCUUUGUGCUAUCCACGUCUGAUUCCUAGCACAUUGUUUUCAUAUUGAUUCUUGCCACGAUUGAGAUUCUUCUAUCCAACCAAAAUAGUCCGUAGUUUAGAUGCGAUUCAAAUUUUUAGGGUUAGGUUUCCGCCAAAACCAUAUUGGAUCCACCGAGUUGAAAAACUCGGUCUCACCGAUUUGGCGUAUGCCAUUGCACUAGUGACUCUCGGUCUGACCGAGAAUUACUAAUCGGUGCGACCGAUUUGAGGAUUCUGUGAAACCCUAGCAGUCUCGGUGCCACCGAACUAAAACUCAGUCCAACCGAGAUCAUCAGUUUAGGCUCCAAAACUACUUCGAUAUCACCGAGUUUGAAAAUCGGUUGAUCCGAAAUGCUUUCUGUGGAAAACUAAAACUAAACUUUUGAAUUAUUCUUUUGCAAAAAUCUCUGCAUUUUGUGAUGCUUAUCUAUUCUAUCUCAUCUAUAACUCUUCACAGGGUCAGAAGUCAGCUUUUGCAGUAUGUCUGAUCAGAGUGACAGCCAGAACAGGUCUGAAGAGCACAUGGACUUGAGUGAGGGCACUAGUCCCUCAACUUCGGAUGAUGGGAGCAGAAGUACUCCUAGCAACUUGCUUAAGGCUGCAACUAGGCAAAGGAAAAAGAGAACCUCAGACUCAGAGGAUGAGGAUUACAAAGCUGAGGAGGAUGAGGCCACUUCCAAAAAGGUGGUGCUCAAGAAAGAGUAUGGCUCUGCACAAAGCACAAAAACAGGCCUGAAGAAGAAAGUUCCUGCCAAGAGAACUCCAAUGCCAAAGGCCAGGCAGUCCACUCAAGUGCCAGCUCAAGCUCAACCCAAAGUGGCACCUGCAAGGAAAGAAGCACCAUCAAAACCUCAGAAAGUCCCCACUGGUGCAACCAUGAAAUUCACAAUUGAAUCAUAAGAUGAUGGUGAUCAGGACAAGAAAAAGAAGAGAGCUAGAACCACAACUGCCAAGGUCCUUGGAAAGCCCUCAAUGAGAAGGGAUUCUGAUGAAGAGGAAGAGGAUGCUGCACCAGCUCCUAAGGCAGCCAAGCUUAUGGGAGAUGCAAUCAGGUCAGGGGCUGCAACAUCCAAGCCCAAAGAUGCACCCAAAGCUGCCUCCAAGGCCAAGCAAGCUCCAAAGAGGAAUACUAGGAGUAUUCCAGCUACUGAAAAGAACAAGGCCCCAGUGCCAAAUGUUGCAGAAGAUGAAGAUGAAGAAGGACAGGUCCUCAGAAAGCUCAAGCCCAAGAUACCAGACCACAAUGAUGCCCAUCCUGUGGCUGAGGACAUGAGAAUCAGGAAGGAUUCGGGGCUGAGGCUGUGGAGGAUGGAGGACCCAUAUGCUUCAAGAAGAAGAACUGAUGUUGACUACAGGUUCCACACAAAGGAACAGCAGGACUUUUAUGAGACCAUUCUGUUGGACAAGAAGCCCAUUGUCUGUGAUAUGAGGUGGGUUGACUAGAAAUUCAUCAGGGAGAAUGAGCAGCACUACCCUGGAGUGGAGGAGAGCUUUAUUGCUUGUGGAGUAGCAGAUCUUGUUGGACAAAAGUUCACCAACUGGAAUGAUGAGCUUAUCAUGCAGUUCUACUCCACAGCACACUUUUAUCCAGAUGGUAGAAUUGUGUGGAUGUCUGAAGGUACAAGGUACCAUUCCACUGUUGGAGAAUGGGCAAGUUUGAUCAAUGCCCCCAAGGAAGAAGAAGAUGACCUGGACAUAUAUGCCAAGAAAAAGUUGGGACACAAUUCAAUGGCUCACAUGUACAAGGAAAUUCCUGACAAGGCUGUUGAGACUCACAAGUUUGGAUCCGUUCACUUUCUGUUGUCAGGGUUGGCAACCAUCAAUUGGAUUUUGGGGCACACCUUGUUGCCCAAGUCAGGUGACCAUAACAUGAUCAGAGGGCAUGCCAUCAACAUGCUGCAUGUGUUUGAUGUGCCCCAGAAAUUCAAAGUCAUGAGCCUCAUCAUUGAAACAAUCAAGAGGACUACAGCAGAUCAGAAGAGGAGCUGUGGAUAUGCACCUUAGAUUCAAGAAUUGAUCAACUCCAAGAUGGGCAUAGGAAAAUAUCAGUUGGAUAAGGAACGUUUUCCAAUUUAUCCAGACUUUGAGGACAAUGAGGUUGUCAUGAAUGAAGAUGAUCCACAAUCAGUCCAAGCUCAGUAGAAGAAGGAGAAGGCAAAGAAGGAGAAGGCUGCCAAGAUGCCAACUCAAGAGGAGGCAUCUGAGUAUUUCUUGAAGACCAAACAAGAGCAGCUUGGUUACCUGAUAGCAUCAACUCUGAGGAUUGAGAAAGGGUUGGCCACCCUAACUCAAAACCAGGAGAGCCUGGAGAGAAUCAUGGAACAAAACUUCUAUGAUCUAGAUGUCAAGGUAACUGAGAUUCAGUCAGUUGUGGAGCAGCUGCAGGAUGACAUGCAGGAGAGGAAGGGCAAGACAACUACCAAUGUGUUUGCCAGAGUGCCCAGAGCCCAGAGGUCAGUUGCAGUGCCAGUGACAGACACUAGAGCUACAACUUCAGCACCAGCUACUGCCCCAACAGUUCCAGUGCAACCAGCUCCAGCACCAACUCCUCCAGCACCCUCUACUUCAACUGAAGCCUUCGUCCUAGGAGCCAUCUCUACACCACCACCAGAAGAUCAAGCCUGAGAGACGAUCUAGCACUAUGCAUUUUCUAUGAACUUUUUGGUAACUUGUUGCCAAAGGGGGAGAAAAAUGUAUAGAUCAUAGGCUUCGAGAGAGAGUGUUGCUUUUGUUCUCUCUUGCUUUAUUUGGUGUUUUUUCAAACUUUGUUUGCUUUUGGUUGAGAUACUAUGCUUGUGAGACAUUGAUGAUCAUGUGUUUGAUCAUAAGAUACACUUAUGCAUGCUUGAUAUUAUCCUAUCUAUCCUAUGUGAUCAUUCACUAUGCUUGGUGAUGAGUGCUUGUAUUCAUUUUUUAUUAUUUUGAGUGCUCCACCAAGAUGUAUGUGACAUGGAAGAGUAACCCAUGAGCCUAAUUCAUUGUGCAUUUGCAGUCCAAAGCAAAUCUUAAACUAUGCACAAAUUUAGGGGGAGCUCUUGCUUAUCACAUACUUCUCAAAGCGACGAUGUCAUUCAAUCUUAUUAUCAUUUGUCGAAGCUUUGAUCUAUAUGUUGUCAUAAAUUACCAAAAAGGGGGAGAUUGAAAGUGCAACUAUCCCUAGGUGGUUUUGGUAAUUAAUAACAACAUAUAGCUCAUUGAGCUAAUGCUAUUCCAAGACUAUUAUUUCAGGAAAGCUCAAUGAAUGGCAUGGCAUGGAUGAUGAAAGUGGAUCCCUCAAAAUUCUAAGGACAAAGGAUUGGCUCAAGCUCAAAAGCUCAAGACUCUUCAUUUUACAUUUUAGUGAUCCAAGAUCACAUUGAGUCUAUAGGAAAAGCCAAUACUAUCAAGGAGGGAUGAGGUGUUGCUUAAUGAGCCUCUUGCUUCAAUGUGCUUAGUGAUAUGCUCCAAAACCCUCAACUACUUUCCCACAUCCACAAAUAACCUAAACCCAAAGCCAAAAUUGGUCACACCGAAACUUCCUAUCCGGCGCCACCGAUUCCAAAAGUCAUAGCCACUGCCACAAACCCUAAGCAAAUCGGUCUUAUUGAUAGGGAUCUCGGUCUCACCGAGAUGGGGUUGCAAUCUCUCUGUUUCCCUUCGUAACGUUUCGGUCUAACCAAAGUGAGAGAUCGGUCCCACCGAGAUUGCAAUGUAAACUCUCUGUUUCCUUUUUGUAACAUUUCGGUCUCACCGAAAAGAGCAAACCGGUCCCACCGAGUUUACCUGACCAACUCUCUGGAGAGCUUAUUACCAAAUCGGUCUCACCGAGUUUGUGUAAUCGGUCUUACCGAGAUUACGUUAUGCCCUAACCCUAACCGAAUCGGUCUCACCAAGAUGCAUGUCGGUCCCACUGAAGAUCACUAACGGUCACUAGGUUUACUAAAUCAGUCCGACCGAGUUUAACAAUUCGGUCCCACCGAGUUUGGUAAAUUGUGUGUAACGGUUAGAUUUUGUGUGGAGGCUAUAUAUACCCCUCCACCUCCUCUUCAUUCGUGGAGUGAGCCAUCAGAACGAACCUACACUUCCAGCAUACAUUUUCUGAGAGAGAACUACCUACUCAUGUGUUGAGGCAAAGAUAUUCCAUUCCGACCAUAUGAAUCUUGAUCUCUAGCCUUCCCCAAGUUGCUUUCCACUCAAAUCUUCUUUCCAACAGAUCCAAACCCAUUGAGAGAGAGUUGAGUGUUGGGGAGACUAUCAUUUGAAGCACAAGAGCAAGGAGUUCAUCAUCAACGCACCAUUUGUUACUUCUUGGAGAGUGGUGUCUCCUAGAUUGGCUAGGUGUCACUUGGGAGCCUCCGACAAGAUUGUGGAGUUGAACCAAGGAGUUUGUAAGGGCAAGGAGAUCGCCUACUUCGUGAAGAUCUACCGCUAGUGAGGAAAGUCCUUCGUGGGCGACGGCCAUGGUGGGAUAGACAAGGUUGCUUCUUCGUGGACCCUUCUUGGGUGAAGCCCUCCGUGGACUCGCGCAGCCGUUACCCUUCAUGGGUUGAAGUCUCCAUCAACGUGGAUGUACGAUAGCACCACCUAUCGGAACCACGCCAAAAACAUCCGUGUCUCCAAUUGCGUUUGAAUCCUCCAAACCCUUCCCUUUACUUUCUUGCAAGUUGCAUGCUUUAAUUUCCGCUGCCUAUAUACUCUUUGCAUGCUUGCUUGAAUUGUGUGAUGAUUGCUUGACUUGUCCUAAAGUAGCUAAAAUCUGCCAAACUCUAAAAUUGGGNNNNNNNNNNNNNNNNNNNNNNNNNNNNNNNNNNNNNNNNNNNNNNNNNNNNNNNNNNNNNNNNNNNNNNNNNNNNNNNNNNNNNNNNNNNNNNNNNNNNNNNNNNNNNNNNNNNNNNNNNNNNNNNNNNNNNNNNNNNNNNNNNNNNNNNNNNNNNNNNNNNNNNNNNNNNNNNNNNNNNNNNNNNNNNNNNNNNNNNNNNNNNNNNNNNNNNNNNNNNNNNNNNNNNNNNNNNNNNNNNNNNNNNNNNNNNNNNNNNNNNNNNNNNNNNNNNNNNNNNNNNNNNNNNNNNNNNNNNNNNNNNNNNNNNNNNNNNNNNNNNNNNNNNNNNNNNNNNNNNNNNNNNNNNNNNNNNNGGGCUGGCCUGGUGCCACUGCCAGCGGGCCCCACGCCCUACCUUUAAAAAAAGGUUUUAAAAAAAUAUAUUAAUAAAAUUAAUUAAUUAAUUAACUAAUUAAUUAGUCAGUAAUUAAUUAUUUAACUUAAUUAACUCUGUUUAACUACCCUAAUUAACUAGGUUAACUAAUUAGAUUUGUUUAUUUAAGUUAGGUCAAUGACAGGUGGCCCCCACUCAAACUUUUUGACCGGUCAACAGUUGACUGUUGACUGCUGACUCAGCAGUCAACAGGGCCCAGUGUCAGCCUCUGUACUGCACUGCUGUGUACACUUUGUGUGUGCACGUAGCAAUUUAGUCUUGUUUUUUGAAUUAAUAUUAAAUCCAAUAAUUUCUGAAUAUUGUUAAAUCUUUGAAAAAUCAUAGAAAUUAAACCGUAGCUCGGAUGAAAAUGUUUUCUACAUGAAAGUUGCUCAGAACGACGAGAUGAAUCCGAAUACGCCCUCCUUUCAUCUAUCACACACCCCAAGCAUAGCAAACGUUGAACUUUUCCCCUGCGGUUCAUCUGUCUGACAAACGUCCGGAACCAGGAAAACUUUCCCGGAUGUUUUCCCCCUUCGCCAGUAUCGCCUAGCACUGCGUUAGUGUUGGGGAACGUAGUAAUUUCAAAAAAAUUCCGACGCACACGCAAGAUCAUGGUGAUGGCAUAGCAACGAGAGGGGAGAGUAUUGUCCACGUACCCUUGUAGACCAUAAGCAGAAGCGUUAUGACAACGCGGUUGAUGUAGUCGUACGUCUUCACGAUCCGACCGAUCCAAGUACCGAACGUACGGCACCUCCGAGUUCAGCACACGUUCAGCUCGAUGACGUUCCCCGGACUCCGAUCCAGCAGGGUGUCGGGGAUGAGUUCCGUCAGCACGACGGCGUGGUGACGAUGAUGAUGUUCUACCGGCGCAGGGCUUCGCCUAAACUCCGCGACGAUAUGACCGAGGUGGAAUAUGGUGGAGGGGGGCACCGCACACGGCUAAGGAACGAUCCGUAGAUCAACUUGUGUGUCAUAGGGUGCCCUCCUGCCCCCGUAUAUAUAGGAGCCAGGGGGAGGGGCGGCCGGCCAAGGAGGGCGCGCCAAGGGGGAGUCCAACUCCCACCGGGAGUAGGACUCACUUCUUUCCUAGUUGGAGUAGGAGAAGGGGGAAGGAGGAGGAAGAGGGGAAGGAAAGGGGGGGCGCCGCCCCCUUCUCCUUGUCCUAUUCGGACUAGGAAGGGGAGGGGGCGUGGCCCACCUCUUGCCUCCUCUCCUCUUCUUCCUUAUGGCCCAUGAAGGCCCAAUAACCCCCUGGAGGGUUCCGGUAACCCCCCGGUACUCCGGUAAAAUGCCGAUUUCACCCGGAACACUUCCGAUGUCCAAACAUAGGCUUCCAAUAUAUCAAUCUUUAUGUCUCGACCAUUUCGAGACUCCUCUUCAUGUCCGUGAUCAUAUCCGGGACUCCGAACAAACUUCGGUACAUCAAAACUUAUAAACUCAUAAUGAAACUGUCAUCGUAACGUUAAGCGUGCGGACCCUACGGGUUUGAGAACUAUGUAGACAUGACCUAGAACUAUUCUCGGUCAAUAACCAAUAGCGGAACCUGGAUGCCCAUAUUGGUUCCUACAUAUUCUAUGAAGAUCUUUAUCGGUCAAACCGCAUAACAACAUACGUUGUUCCCUUUGUCAUCGGUAUGUUACUUGCCCGAGAUUCGAUCGUCGGUAUCCAAUACCUAGUUCAAUCUUGUUUACCGGCAAGUCUCUUUACUCGUUACAUAAUGCAUCAUUCCGUAACUAACUCAUUUAGCUACAUUGCUUGCAAGGCUUAUAGUGAUGUGCAUUACCGAGAGGGCCCAGAGAUACCUCUCCGACAAUCGGAGUGACAAAACCUAAUCUCGAAAUACGCCAACCCAACAUGUACCUUUGGAUACACCUGUAGUGCUCCCUUAUAAUCACCCAGUUACGUUGUGACGUUUGGUAGCACCCAAAGUGUUCCUCCGGUAUACGGGAGUUGCAUAAUCUCAUAGUUACAGGAACAUGUAUAAGUCAUGAAGAAAGCAAUAGCAACAUACUAAACGAUCAAGUGCCAGGCUAACGGAAUGGGUCAUGUCAAUCACAUCAUUCUCCUAAUGAUGUGAUCCCAUUAAUCAAAUGACAACUCUUUUGUCCAUGGUUAGGAAACAUAACCAUCUUUGAUAAACGAGCUAGUCAAGUAGAGGCAUACUAGUGACACUAUGUUUGUCUAUGUAUUCACACAUGUAUUAUGUUUCCGGUUAAUACAAUUCUAGCAUGAAUAAUAAACAUUUAUCAUGAAAUAAGGAAAUAAAUAAUAACUUUAUUAUUGCCUCUAGGGCAUAUUUCCUUCAGUCUCCCACUUGCACUAGAGUCAAUAAUCUAGUUCACAUCGCCAUGUGAUUUAACACCAAUAUUCAUAUCUGUAUAGGAUUAACACCCAUAGUUCACAUCGUCAUGUGACCAACACCCAAAGGGUUUACUAGAGUCAAUAAUCUAGUUCACAUCACUUAUGUGAUUAACACCCAAAGAGUACUAAGGUGUGAUCAUGUUUUGCUCCUGACAGAACCUUAGUCAACGGGUCUGUCACAUUCAGAUCCAUAUGUAUUUUGCAAAUAUAUUAUGUCUACAAUGCUCUGUAUGGAGCUACUCUAGCUAUUUCUCCCACUUUCAAUAUGUAUCCAGAUUGAGACUUAGAGUCAUCUGAAUCGGUGUAAAAGCUUGCACCGUUGUAACUCUUUACGACGGGCUCUUUUAUCACCUCCAUAAUCGAGAAAUAUUUCAUUAGUCCUCACUAAGGAUAUUCUUGACCAAUGUUCAGUGAUCUACUCCUAGAUCACUAUUGUACUCCCUUGCCAAAAUCAGAGGAAGGUAUACAAUAGGUCUGAUACAUUGCAUAACAUACUUUAUAGAACCUAUGACUGAGGCAUAGGGAAUGACUUUCAUUCUCUUUUCUAUUUUCUGCUGUGGUCGGGAUUUGAGUCUUACUCAAUUUCAUACCUUUGUAAAACAGGCAAGAACUCUUUCUAUGACUGUUCCAUUUUGAACUACUUCAAAAUCUUGUCAAGGUAUGUAUGUUGGGGAACGUAGCAGAAAUUCAAAAUUUUCCUACGUGUCACCAAGAUCUAUCUAUGGAGAAACCAGCAACGAGGGGAAGGAGAGUGCAUCUACAUACCCUUGUAGAUCGCUAAGCGGAAGCGUUCAAGAGAAUGGGGUUGAAGGAGUCGUACUCGUCGUGAUUCAAAUCACCUGAGAUCCUAGUGCCGAACGGACGGCACCUCCGCGUUCAACACACGUACAGCUCGGUGACGUCUCCCACGCCUUGAUCCAGCAAGGAGAGAGGGAGAGUUUGAGGAAGACUCCAUCCAACAGCAGCACAACGGCGUGGUGGUGAUGGAGGAGCGUGGCUAGAAGAGGAGGAAGAAGAGACGCAGGGCUGCACCAACCAGAGAUCGAAAUCGCGUGUUAUGGGCAGCCCUAGGCCUCAUAUAUAUAGGGAAGGGGAGGGGCUGCGCCCCCUCUAGGGUUCCCACCCCCUAGGGGGGCGGCAGCCCUGGAUGGGGAUCAAGGAUGGCGGCCAAGAGGGGGAGAGGAGAGGGAGGCGCACCAAUAUGGGCCCUAAGGCCCAUAUCCCCUUAGGGUUUGCCCCCUUUCCACCUCUUAGGCGCCAUGGGCCCUUGUGGGAGGCGCACCAGCCCACUAAGGGGCUGGUCCCUCACCACUCUUAGCCCACGCAUGCCUCCGGGGUUGGUGGCCCCACUUGGUGGACCCCCGGGACCCUCGCGGUGGUCCCGGUACGUUACCGAUAAACCCCGAAACUCUUCCGGUGACCAAAACAGGACUUCCCAUAUAUAAAUCUUUACCUCCGGACCAUUCCGGAACUCCUCGUGACGUCCGGGAUCUCAUCCGGGACUCCGAACAACAUUCGGUAACCACAUACAAGCUUCCUUUAUAACCCUAGCGUCACCGAACCUUAAGUGUGUAGACCCUAUGGGUUCGGGAGACAUGUAGACAUGACCGAGACGUUCUCCGGUCAAUAACCAACAGCGGGAUCUGGAUACCCAUGUUGGCUCCCACAUGUUCCACGAUGAUCUCAUCGGAUGAACCAUGAUGUCAAGGACUUAAUCAAUCCCAUAUGCAAUUCCCUUUGUCUAGCGGUAUUUUACUUGCCCGAGAUUCGAUCGUCGGUAUACCGAUACCUUGUUCAAUCUCGUUACCGGCAAGUCUCUUUACUCGUUCCGUAACACAUCAUCCCGUGAUCAACCCCUUGGUCACAUUGUGCACAUUAUGAUGAUGUCCUACCGAGUGGGCCCACAGAUACCUCUCCAUUUACACGGAGUGACAAAUCCCAGUCUCGAUCCGCAUAAAACAAUAGAUACUUUCGGAGAUACCUGUAGUGCACCUUUAUAGUCACCCAGUUACGUUGUGACGUUUGAUACACCCAAAGCACUCCUACGGUAUCCAGGAGUUACACGCUCUCAUGGUCAAAGGAAGAGAUACUUGACAUUGGCAAAGCUCUAGCAAACGAACUACACGAUCUUUGUGCUAUGCUUAGGAUUGGGUCUUGUCCAUCACAUCAUUCUCCUAAUGAUGUGAUCCCGUUAUCAACGACAUCCAAUGUCCAUAGCCAGGAAACCAUGACUAUCUGUUGAUCACAACGAGCUAGUCAACUAGAGGCUCACUAGGGACAUAUUGUGGUCUAUGUAUUCACACGUGUAUUACGAUUUCCGGAUAAUACAGUUAUAGCAUGAAUAAAAGACUAUUAUCAUGAACAAAGAAAUAUAAUAAUAGCUUAUUUAUUAUUACCUCUAGGGCAUAUUUCCAACAGUCUCCCACUUGCACUAGAGUCAAUAAUCUAGUUCACAUCACCAUGUGAUUAACACUGACAGGUCACAUCACCAUGUGACCAACAUCCAAAGAGUCUUGGGUUUGAUCAUGUUGCUUGUGAGAGAGGUUUUUAGUCAACGGGUCUGAACCUUUCAGAUCCGUGUGUGCUUUACAAAUCUCUAUGUCAUCUCCUAGAUGCAGCUACCACGCUCUAUUUGGAGCUAUUCCAAAUAACUGUUCUACUUGGAGCUAUUCUAAAUUGUUGCUCCAUUAUACGUAUCCGGUAUCUCUACUUAGAGCUAUCCGGAUAGGUGUUAAGCUUGCAUCGACGUAACCUUUACGACGAACUCUUUUACCACCUCCAUAAUCGAGAAAGUUCCUUAGUCCACCAGUUACUAAGGAUAACUUUGACCGCUGUCUGUGAUCCACUCUUGGAUCACUCUUGUACCCCUUGACUAACUCAUGGCAAGGCACACUUCAGGUGCGGUACACAGCAUAGCAUACUUUAGAGCCUAUGUCUUAAGCAUAGGAGAUGACCUUCGUCCUUUCUCUCUAUUCUGCCAUGGUCGAGCUUUAAGUCUUAACUUCGUACCUUACAACUCAGGCAAGAACUUCUUCUUUGACUGAUCCAUCUUGAAUACCUUCAAGAUCAUGUCAAGGUAUGUGCUCAUUUGAAAGUACCAUUAAGCGUUUUGAUCCAUCCUCAUAGAUCUUGAUGCUCAAUGUCCAAGUAGUUUAUUCCAGGUUUUCUAUUGAAAAACACCUUUCAAAUAACCCUAUAUGCUUUCUAGAAAUUCUACAUCAUUUCUGAUCAACAAUAUGUUAACAACAUAUACUCAUCAGAAAUUCUAUAGUGCUCCCACUCACUUCUUUGGAAAUACAAGUUUCUCAUAAACUUUGUAUAAAACCAAAAAUCUUUGAUCAUCUUAUCAAAGUGCACAUUCCAACUCCGAGAUGCUUACUUCAGUCCAUGGAAGGAUCGCUAGAGCUAGCAUACCUUUUAGCAUCCUUAGGAUUGACAAAACCUUUCUGAUUGUAUUACAUACAACCUUUCCUUACGAAAACUGGUAAGGAAACUCGUUUUGACAUCCAUCUGCCAGAUUUCAUAAAUGCAGCUAAUGCUAACAUGAAUCCGAUGGACUUAAGCAUCGCUACGGAUGAGAAAAUCUCAUCGUAGUCAACUCCUUGAACUUGUGGAAAAAAAACUCUUCGCCACAAGUCGAGCUUCAUAGACGGUGACAUUACCGUCCACGUCCGUCUUCUUCUUAAAGAUCCAUUUAUCUUAAUGGCUUGCCGAUCAUUGGGCAAGUCCACCAAAGUCCAUGCUUUGUUCUGAUACAUGGAUCCUAUCUCGGAUUUCAUGGUUUCUUAACCAUUUGUCGGAAUUUGGGCCCACCAUCGCUUCUCCAUAGCUCGUAGGUUCAUUGUUGUCUAGCAACAUGACCUUCAAGACAGGAUUACUGUACCACUCUGAAGUAGUACGUAUCCUUGUCACCCUACGAGGUACGGCAGUGACUUGAUCCGAAACUUCAUGAUCACUAUCAUAAGCUUCUACUUCAAUUGGUGUAGGUGCCACAUGAACAACUUCCUGUGCCCUGAUACACACUGGUUGAAGUGAUGGUUCAAUAACCAUAUCAAGUCUCCACCAUCCUCCCACUCAACUCUUUCGAGAGAAACCUUUCCUCGAGAAAGGACCCGAUUCAAGAAACAAUCCAUAUUGCUUUCGGAUCUAAAUUAGGAGGUAUACCCAACUGUUUUGGGUGUCCUAUGAAGAUGCGUUUUAUCCGCUUUGGGUUCGAGCUUAUCAAUCCUGAAACUUUUUCACAUAAGCGUCGCAGCCCCAAACCUUUAAGAAACGACAACUUAGGUUUCUCUAAACCAUAAUUCAUACGGUGUCAUCUCAACAGAAUUACGUGGUGCCCUAUUUAAAGUGAAUGUGGUUGUCUCUAAUGCCUAACCCAUGAACAAUAGUGGUAAUUCGAUAAGAGACAUCAUGGUACGCACCAUAUCCAAUAGGGUGCAACUAUGAUGUUCGGACACACCAUCACACUAUGGUGUUCCUGGCGGUAUUAAUUGCGAAACAAUUUCCACAAUGUCUUAAUUGUGUGCCAAAACUCGUAACUCAGAUAUUCGUCUCUAUGAUCAUAUCAUAGACAUUUUAUCCUCUUGUCACAAUGAUCUUCUACUUCACUCUGAAAUUACUUGAACCAUUCAAUAAUUUAGACUUGUGUUUCAUCAAGUAAAUAUUCUCAACAUCUACUCGAAUCAUCUGUGAAGUAAGAACAUAACGAUAUUCACUGCAUGCCUCAGCACUCAUUGGACUGCACACAUCAAAAUGUGUUACUUCCAACAAGUUGCUAUCUUGUUCCAUCUUACUGAAACCGAGGUUUUUCAGUCAUCUUGUCCAUGUGGUAUGAUUUGCAUAUCUCAAGUGAUUCAAAAUCAAGUGAGUCUAAAUGAUCCAUCUGCAUGGAGUUUCUUCAUGCAUAUACACCAAUAGACAUGGUUCGCAUGUCUCAAACUUUUCAAAAACGAGUGAGUCCAAAGAUCCAUCAACAUGGAGCUUCUUCAUGCGUUUUAUACCAUUAUGACUUACAUGGCAGUGCCACAAGUAAGUGGUACUAUCAUUACUAUCUUAUAUCUUUUGGCAUGAAAAUGUGUAUCACUACGAUCGAGAUUCAAUAAACCAUUCCUUUAGGUGCAAGACUAUUGAAGGUAUUAUUCAAAUAAAUAGAGUAACCAUUAUUCUCUUUAAAUGAAUAACCGUAUUGCGAUAGACAUAAUCCAAUUAUGUCUAUGUUCAACGCAAACACCAAAUGACAAUUAUUCAGGUUUAACACUAAUCUUGAUGGUAGAGGGAGCGUGCGAUGUUUGAUCACAUCAAACUUGGAAACACUUCCAACACUUAUCGUCAGCUCACCUUCAGCUAGUCUCCAUUUAUUCCGUAGCUUUUAUUUCGAGUUACUAACACUUAGCAACCGAACCGGUAUCCAAUACCCUGGUGCUACUAGGAGUACUAGUAAAGUACACAUUAACAUAAUGUAUAUCCUAUAUACUUCUAUAGACCUUGCCAGCCUUCUCAUCUACCAAGUAUCUAGGGUAAUCCUGCUCCAGUGGUUGUUCCCCUUAUUACAGAAGCACUUAGUCUCGGGUUUGGGUUCAACCUUGGGUUUCUUCACUAGAGCAGCAGCUGAUUUGCCGUUUCAUGAAGUAUCCCUUCUUGCCCUUGCCCUUCUUGAAACUAGUGGUUUCACCAACCAUCAACAAUUGAUGCUCCUUCUUGAUUUCUACUUUCGCGGUGUCAAACAUCACGAAUACCUCAAGGAUCGUCAUAUCUAUCCCUGAUAUGUUAUAGUUCAUCACAAAGCUCUAGCAGCUUGGUGGCAAUGACUUUUGGAGAAACAUCACUAUCUCAUCUGGAAGAUUAACUCCCACUCGAUUCAAGUGGUUGUUGCACUCAGACAAUCUGAGCACAAGCUCAACGAUUGAGCUUUUCUCCCUUAGUUUGUAGGCUAAGAAAAUCGUCGGAGGUCUCAUACCUCUUGACGUGGGCACGAGCCUGAAAUCCCAAUUUCAGCCCUUGAAACAUCUCAUAUGUUCCGCGAUAUUUCGAAAAACGUCUUUAGUGCCUCAACUCUAAACCGUUUAACUGAACUAUCACGUAGUUAUCAAAACGUGUAUGUCCGAUGUUCACAACAUCCACAAACGACGUUUGGGGUUUAGCACACUGAGCGGUGCAUUGAGGACAUAAGCUUUCUACUGUCCGCAUAAUCGCUACUAUCAACUUUCAACUAUAUUUUCUCUAGGAACAUAUCUAAACAGUGGAACUAAAGCGCGAGCUCACGACAUAAUUUGCAAAAGGUCUUUUUGACUAUGUUCAGGAUAAUUAAGUUCAUCUUAUGAACUCCCACUCAGAUAGACAUCCCUCUGGUCAUCUAAGUGAUUACAUGAUCCGAGUCAACUAGGCCGUGUCCGAUCAUCACGUGAGACGGACUAGUCAUCAUCGGUGAACAUCUUCAUGUUGAUCGUAUCUACUAUACGACUCAUGCUCGACCUUUCGGUCUCCGUGUUCCGAGGCCAUGUCUGUACAUGCUAGGCUCGUCAAGUUAACCAUAAGUGUUUUCGCUGUGUAAAACUGUCUUACACCCGUUGUAUGUGAACGUAAGAAUCCAUCACACCCGAUCAUCACGUGGUGCUUAGAAGCGACGAACUGUAGCAACGGUGCACAGUUAGGGGAGAACACUUCUUGAAAUUUUGUAAUGGAUCAUCUUAUUUACUACCGUCGUCCUAAGUAAACAAGAUGCAUAAACAUGAUAAACAUCACAUGCAAUCAAAUAGUGACAUGAUAUGGCCAAUAUCAUUUUGCUCCUUUUGAUCUCCAUCUUCGGGGUUCCAUGAUCAUCAUCGUCACCGGCAUGACACCAUGAUCUCCAUCAUCAUGAUCCCCAUUAUCGUGUCUUCAUGAAGUUGUCACGCCAACGACUACUUCUACUUCUAUGACUAACGCGUUUAGCAAUAAAGUAAAGUAAGUUACAUGGCGUUGUUCAAUGACACGCAGGUCAUACAAUAAAUAAAGACAACUCCUAUGGCUCCUGCCGGUUGUCAUUCUCAUCGACAUGCAAGUCGUGAAUCCUAUUACAAGAACAUGAUCAAUCUCAUACAUCACAUAUCAUUCAUCACAUUCUUCUUGGCCAUAUCACAUCACAUAGCAUACCCUGCAAAAACAAGUUAGACGUCCUCUAAUUGUUGUUUGCAUGUUUUACGUGGCUGCUAUGGGUUUCUAGCAAGAACGUUUCUUACCUACGCAAAACCACAACGUGAUAUGUCAAUUUCUAUUUACCCUUCAUAAGGACCCUUUUCAUCGAAUCCGUUCCGACUAAAGUGGGAGAGACUGGCACCCGCUAGCCACCUUAUGCACCAAGUGCAUGUCAAUCAGUGGAACCUGUCUCACGUAAGAGUACGUGUAAGGUCGGUCCGGGCCGCUUCAUCCCACAAUACCGUCGAAACAAGAUUGGACUAGUAACGGUAAGCAUAUUGAACAAAAUCAACGCCCACAACUACUUUGUGUUCUACUCGUGCAAAGAAUCUACACAAUAGACCUAGCUCAUGAUGCCACUGUUGGGGAACGUAGCAGAAAUUCAAAAUUUUCCUACGUGUCACCAAGAUCUAUCUAUGGAGAAACUGAAGGAAAUAUGCCCUAGAGGCAAUAAUAAAGUUAUUAUUUAUUUCCUUAUAAUCAUGAUAAAUGUUUAUUAUUCAUGCUAGAAUUGUAUUUACCGGAAACAUAAUACAUGUGUGAAUACAUGGACAAACAGAGUGUCACUAGUAUGCCUCUACUUGACUAGCUCGUUAAUCAAAGAUGGUUAUGUUUCCUAACCAUAAACAAUGAGUUGUUAUUUGAUUAACGAGGUCACAUCAUUAGUAGAAUGAUCUGAUUGACAUGACCCAUUCCAUUAGCUUAGCACCCGAUCGUUUAGUAUGUUGCUAUUGCUUUCUUCAUGACUUAUACAUGUUCCUAUGACUAUGAGAUUAUGCAACUCCCGUUUACCGGAGGAACACUUUGGGUACUACCAAACGUCACAACGUAACUGGGUGAUUAUAAAGGAGUACUACAGGUGUCUCCAAUGGUCGAUGUUGGGUUGGCGUAUUUCGAGAUUAGGAUUUGUCACUCCGAUUGUCGGGGAGGUAUCUCUGGGCCCUCUCGGUAAUACACAUCACAUAAGCCUUGCAAGCAUUACAACUAAUAUGUUAGUUGUGAGAUGAUGUAUUACGGAACGAGUAAAGAGACUUGCCGGUAACGACAUUGAACUAGGUAUUGGAUACCGACGAUCGAAUCUCGGGCAAGUAACAUACCGAUGACAAAGGGAACAACGUAUGUUGUUAUGCGGUCUGACCGAUAAAGAUCUUCGUAGAAUAUGUAGGAGCCAAUAUGGGCAUCCAGGUCCCGCUAUUGGUUAUUGACCAGAGACGUGUCUCGGUCAUGUCUACAUUGUUCUCGAACCCGUAGGGUCCGCACGCUUAAGGUUACGAUGACAGUUAUAUUAUGAGUUUAUGCAUUUUGAUGUACCGAAGGUUGUUCGGAGUCCCGGAUGUGAUCACGGACAUGACGAGGACUCUCGAAAUGGUCGAGACGUAAAGAUUGAUAUAUUGGAAGCCUAUAUUUGGAUAUCGGAAGUGUUCCGGGUGAAAUCGGGAUUUUACCGGAAUACCGGGAGGGUUACCGGAACCCCCCGGGAGCUAUUUGGGCCAUAGUGGGCCUUAGUGGAAAAGAGAAGGGGCUGCCCUAGAUGGGCUGCGCGCCCCCCCUUCCCCUAGUCCUAUUAGGACUAGGAGAGGUGGCCGGCCCCCUCCUCCUCUUUUCCCCUCCGAGGAAUCCUAGUUGGACUAGGAUUGGAGGGGGAAUCCUACUCCCAGUGGGAGUAGGACUCUCCUGCGCCUCCCCCCCUUUGGCCGGCCAGCCUCCCCUCCUCUCCUCCUUUAUAUACGGAGGCAGGGGCACCUCUAAACACACAAGUUGACACAAGUUGAUCCACGUGAUCUAUUCCUUAGCCGUGUGCGGUGCCCCCUGCCACCAUAUACCUCGAUAAUACUGUAGCGGAGUUUAGGCGAAGCCCUGCUGCUGUAGUUCAUCAAGAUCGUCACCACGCCGUCGUGCUGACAAAACUCUUCCCCGACACUUUGCUGGAUCAGAGUCCGGGGAUCGUCAUCGGGCUGAACGUGUGCUCGAACUCGGAGGUGCCGUAGUUUCGGUGCUUGAUCGGUUGGAUCGUGAAGACGUACGACUACUUCCUCUACGUCGUGUCAUCGCUUCCGCAGUCGGUCUGCGUUGGGUACGUAGACAACACUCUCCCCUCGUUGCUAUGCAUCACAUGAUCCUGUGUGCGCGUAGGAAAAUUUUUGAAAUUACUACGAAACCCAACAGUGGCAUCCGAGCCUAGGUUAUUGAUGUUGAUGUUAUAUGCACGAGUAGAACACAAGUGAGUUGUGGACGAUACAAGUCAUACUGCCUACCAGCAUGUCAUAUUUUGGUUCGGCGGUAUUGUUGGACGAGACGACCCGGACCAACCUUACGCGUACGCUUACGCGAGACCGGUUCCCUCGACGUGCUUUGCACAGAGAUGGCUUGCGGGCGACUGCCUCUCCAACUUUAGUUGAACCAAGUAUGGCUACGCCCGAUCCUUGCGAAGGUUAAAACGGAGUCUAUUUGACAAACUAUCGUUGUGGUUUUGAUGCGUAGGUGAGAUUGGUUCUUACUUAAGCCCGUAGCAGCCACGUAAAACAUGCAACAACAAAGUAGAGGACGUCUAACUUGUUUUUGCAGGGCAUGUUGUGAUGUGAUAUGGUCAAGGCAUGAUGCUGAAUUUUAUUGUAUGAGAUGAUCAUGUUUUGUAACCGAGUUAUCGGCAACUGGCUGGAGCCAUAUGGUUGUCGCUUUAUUGUAUGCAAUGCAAUCGCGAUGUAAUGCUUUACUUUAUUACUAAACGGUAGUGAUAGUCGUGGAAGCAUAAGAUUGGUGAGACGACAACGAUGCUACGAUGGAGAUCAAGGUGUCGCGCCGGUGACGAUGGUGAUCAUGACGGUGCUUCGGAGAUGGAGAUCACAGGCACAAGAUGAUGAUGGCCAUAUCAUAUCACUUAUAUUGAUUGCAUGUGAUGUUUAUCUUUUAUGCAUCUUAUCUUGCUUUGAUUGACGGUAGCAUUAUAAGAUGAUCUCUCACUAAAUUAUCAAGAAGUGUUCUCCCUGAGUAUGCACCGUUGCCAAAGUUCGUCGUGCCCAGACACCACGUGAUGAUCGGGUGUGAUAAGCUCUACGUCCAUCUACAACGGGUGCAAGCCAGUUUUUGCACACGCAGAAUACUCAGGUUAAACUUGACGAGCCUAGCAUAUGCAGAUAUGGCCUCGGAAUACGGAGACCGAAAGGUCGAGCGUGAAUCAUAUAGUAGAUAUGAUCAACAUAACGAUGUUCACCAUUGAAAACUACUCCAUCUCACGUGAUGAUCGGUUAUGGUUUAGUUGAUUUGGAUCACGUAAUCACUUAGAGGAUUAGAGGGAUGUCUAUCUAAGUGGGAGUUCUUAAGUUAUAUGAUUAAUUGAACUUAAAUUUAUCAUGAACUUAGUACCUGAUAGUAUCUUGCUUGUUUAUGUUAAUUGUAGAUAGAUGGCUCGUGCUGUUGUUCCGUUGAAUUUUAAUGCGUUCCUUGAGAAAGCAAAGUUGAAAGAUGAUGGUAGCAAUUACACGGACUGGGUCCGUAACUUGAGGAUUAUCCUCAUUGCUGCACAGAAGAAUUACGUCCUGGAAGCACCGCUGGGUGCCAGGCCUGCUGCUGGAGCAACGCCAGAUGUUAUGAACGUCUGGCAGAGCAAAACUGAUGACUACUCAAUAGUUCAGUGCGCCAUGCUUUACGGCUUAGAAUCGGGACUUCAACGACGUUUUGAACGUCAUGGAGCAUAUGAGAUGUUCCAGGAGUUGAAGUUAAUAUUUCAAGCAAAUGCCCGGAUUGAGAGAUAUGAAGUCUCCAAUAAGUUCUAUAGCUGCAAGAUGGAGGAGAACAGUUCUGUCAGUGAGCAUAUACUCAAAAUGUCUGGGUAUAAUAAUCACUUGAUUCAAUUGGGAGUUAAUCUUCCGGAUGAUUGCGUCAUCGACAGAAUUCUCCAAUCACUGCCACCAAGCUACAAGAGCUUCGUAAUGAACUAUAAUAUGCAAGGGAUGAACAAGACUAUUCCCGAGCUCUUCGCAAUGCUGAAAGCUGCGGAGGUAGAAAUCAAGAAGGAGCAUCAAGUGUUGAUGGUUAACAAGACCACUAGUUUCAAGAAAAAGGGCAAAGGGAAGAAAAAGGGGAACUUCAAAAAGAACGGCAAGCAAGUUGCUGCUCAAGAGAAGAAACCCAAGUCUGGACCUAAGCCUGAAACUGAGUGCUUCUACUGCAAGCAGACUGGUCACUGGAAGCGGAACUGCCCCAAGUACUUGGCGGAUAAGAAGGAUGGCAAGGUGAACAAAGGUAUAUGUGAUAUACAUGUUAUUGAUGUGUACCUUACUAGAGCUCGCAGUAGAACCUGGGUAUUUGAUACUGGUUCUGUUGCUAAUAUUUGCAACUCGAAACAGGGACUACAGAAUAAGCGGGCACUGGCAAAGGACAAGGUGACGAUGCGCGUGGGAAACGGUUCCAAAGUCGAUGUGAUCGCAGUCGGCACGCUACCUCUACAUCUACCUUCGGGAUUAAUAUUAGACCUAAGUAAUUGUUAUUUGGUGCCAGCGUUGAGCAUGAACAUUAUAUCUGGAUCUUGUUUAAUGCGAGACGGUUAUUCAUUUAAAUCAGAGAAUAAUGGUUGUUCCAUUUAUAUGAGUAAUAUCUUUUAUGGUCAUGCACCCUUGAAGAGUGGUCUAUUUUUAUUGAAUCUCGAUAGUAGUAAUACACAUAUUCAUAAUGUUGAAGCCAAAAGAUGCAGAGUUGAUAAUGAAAGUGCAACUUAUUUGUGGCACUGUCGUUUAGGUCAUAUCGGUAUAAAGCGCAUGAAGAAACUCCAUACCGAUGGACUUUUGGAACCACUUGAUUAUGAAUCACUUGGUACUUGCGAACCGUGCCUCAUGGGCAAGAUGACUAAAACACCGUUCUCCGGUACUAUGGAGAGAGCAACAGAUUUGUUGGAAAUCAUACAUACCGAUGUAUGUGGCCCGAUGAAUAUUGAGGCUCGUGGCGGAUAUCGUUAUUUUCUCACCUUCACAGAUGAUUUAAGCAGAUAUGGGUAUAUUUACUUAAUGAAACAUAAGUCUGAAACAUUUGAAAAGUUCAAAGAAUUUCAGAGUGAAGUUGAAAAUCAUCGUAACAAGAAAAUAAAGUUUCUACGAUCUGAUCGUGGAGGAGAAUAUUUGAGUUACGAGUUUGGUGUACAUUUGAAAAACUGUGGAAUAGUUUCGCAACUCACGCCACCCGGAACACCACAGCGUAAUGGUGUGUCCGAAUGUCGUAAUCGUACUUUACUAGAUAUGGUGCGAUCUAUGAUGUCUCUUACUGAUUUACCGCUAUCAUUUUGGGGAUAUGCUUUAGAGACGGCCGCAUUCACGUUAAAUAGGGCACCAUCAAAAUCCGUUGAGACAAUGCCUUAUGAAAUGUGGUUUGGCAAGAAACCAAAGUUGUCGUUUCUUAAAGUUUGGGGCUGCGAUGCUUAUGUGAAAAAGCUUCAACCUGAUAAGCUCAAACCCAAAUCGGAGAAAUGUGUCUUCAUAGGAUACCCAAAGGAAACUGUUGGGUACACCUUCUAUCACAGAUCCAAAGGCAAAACAUUCGUUGCUAAGAAUGGAUCAUUUCUAGAGAAGGAGUUUCUCUCGAAAGAAGUGAGUGGGAGGAAAGUAGAACUUGACGAGGUAACUGUACCUGCUCCCUUACUGGAAAGUAGUUCAUCACAGAAAACUGUUUCAGUGACACCUACACCAGUUAGUGAGGAAGCCAAUGAUAAUGAUCAUGAAACUUCAGAUCAAGAUACUACUGAACCGCGUAGAUCAACCAGAGUAAGAUCCGCACCAGAGUGGUACGGUAAUCCUGUUCUGGAGGUCAUGCUACUAGAUCAUGAUGAACCUACAAACUAUGAAGAAGCGAUGGUGAGCCCAGAUUCCGUAAAGUGGCUUGAAGCCAUGAAAUCUGAGAUGGGGUCCAUGUAUGAGAACAAAGUAUGGACUUUGGUUGACUUGCCCGAUGAUCGGCAAGCAAUUGAGAAUAAAUGGAUUUUUAAGAAGAAGACUGACGCUGAUGGUAAUGUUACUGUCUACAAAGCUCGACUUGUCGCAAAAGGUUUUCGGCAAGUUCAAGGAAUUGACUACGAUGAGACCUUCUCACCCGUAGCGAUGCUUAAGUCCGUCCGAAUCAUGUUAGCAAUUGCCGCAUUUUAUGAUUAUGAAAUUUGGCAAAUGGAUGUCAAAACUGCAUUCCUGAAUGGAUUUCUGGAAGAAGAGUUGUAUAUGAUGCAACCAGAAGGUUUUGUCGAUCCAAAGGGAGCUAACAAAGUGUGCAAGCUCCAGCGAUCCAUUUAUGGACUGGUGCAAGCCUCUCGGAGUUGGAAUAAACGUUUUGAUAGUGUGAUCAAAGCAUUUGGUUUUAUACAGACUUUCGGAGAAGCCUGUAUUUAGAAGAAAGUGAGUGGGAGCUCUGUAGCAUUUCUGAUAUUAUAUGUGGAUGACAUAUUACUGAUUGGAAAUGAUAUAGAAUUUCUGGAUAGCAUAAAGGGAUACUUGAAUAAAAGUUUUUCAAUGAAAGACCUCAGUGAAGCUGCUUACAUAUUAGGCAUUAAGAUCUAUAGAGAUAGAUCAAGACGCUUAAUUGGACUUUCACAAAGCACAUACCUUGACAAAAUUUUGAAGAAGUUCAAAAUGGAUCAAGCAAAGAAAGGGUUCUUGCCUGUGUUACAAGGUGUGAAAUUGAGUAAGACUCAAUGCCCGACCACUGCAGAAGAUAGAGAGAAUAUGAAAGAUGUUCCCUAUGCAUCAGCCAUAGGCUCUAUCAUGUAUGCAAUGUUGUGUACCAGACCUGAUGUGUGCCUUGCUAUAAGUUUAGCAGGGAGGUACCAAAGUAAUCCAGGAGUGGAUCACUGGACAGCGGUCAAGAACAUCCUGAAAUACCUGAAAAGGACUAAGGAUAUGUUUCUCGUAUAUGGAGGUGACAAAGAGCUCACCGUAAAAGGUUACGUUGAUGCAAGCUUUGACACUGAUCCGGACGAUUCUAAAUCGCAAACCGGAUACGUGUUUACAUUAAACGGUGGAGCUGUCAGUUGGUGCAGUUCUAAACAAAGCGUUGUAGCAGGAUCUACAUGUGAAGCGGAAUACAUAGCUGCUUCGGAAGCAGCAAAUGAAGGAGUCUGGAUGAAGGAGUUCAUAUCCGAUCUAGGUGUCAUACCUAGUGCAUCGGGUCCAAUGAAAAUCUUUUGUGACAAUACUGGUGCAAUUGCCUUGGCAAAGGAAUCCAGAUUUCACAAAAGGACCAAACACAUCAAGAGACGCUUCAACUCCAUCCGGGAUCUAGUCCAGGUGGGAGACAUAGAGAUUUGCAAGAUACAUACGGAUCUGAAUGUUGCAGACCCGUUGACUAAGCCUCUUCCACGAGCAAAACAUGAUCAGCACCAAAGCUCCAUGGGUGUUAGAUUCAUUACAGUGUAAUCUAGAUUAUUGACUCUAGUGCAAGUGGGAGACUGAAGGAAAUAUGCCCUAGAGGCAAUAAUAAAGUUAUUAUUUAUUUCCUUAUAAUCAUGAUAAAUGUUUAUUAUUCAUGCUAGAAUUGUAUAUACCGGAAACAUAAUACAUGUGUGAAUACAUGGACAAACAGAGUGUCACUAGUAUGCCUCUACUUGACUAGCUCGUUAAUCAAAGAUGGUUAUGUUUCCUAACCAUAAACAAUGAGUUGUUAUUUGAUUAACGAGGUCACAUCAUUAGUAGAAUGAUCUGAUUGACAUGACCCAUUCCAUUAGCUUAGCACCCGAUCGUUUAGUAUGUUGCUAUUGCUUUCUUCAUGACUUAUACAUGUUCCUAUGACUAUGAGAUUAUGCAACUCCCGUUUACCGGAGGAACACUUUGGGUACUACCAAACGUCACAACGUAACUGGGUGAUUAUAAAGGAGUACUACAGGUGUCUCCAAUGGUCGAUGUUGGGUUGGCGUAUUUCGAGAUUAGGAUUUGUCACUCCGAUUGUCGGAGAGGUAUCUCUGGGCCCUCUCGGUAAUACACAUCACAUAAGCCUUGCAAGCAUUACAACUAAUAUGUUAAUUGUGAGAUGAUGUAUUACGGAACGAGUAAAGAGACUUGCCGGUAACGAGAUUGAACUAGGUAUUGGAUACCGACGAUCGAAUCUCGGGCAAGUAACAUACCGAUGACAAAGGGAACAACGUAUGUUGUUAUGCGGUCUGACCGAUAAAGAUCUUCGUAGAAUAUGUAGGAGCCAAUAUGGGCAUCCAGGUCCCGCUAUUGGUUAUUGACCAGAGACGUGUCUCGGUCAUGUCUACAUUGUUCUCGAACCCGUAGGGUCCGCACGCUUAAGGUUACGAUGACAGUUAUAUUAUGAGUUUAUGCAUUUUGAUGUACCGAAGGUUGUUCGGAGUCCCGGAUGUGAUCACGGACAUGACGAGGACUCUCGAAAUGGUCGAGACGUAAAGAUUGAUAUAUUGGAAGCCUAUAUUUGGAUAUCGGAAGUGUUCCGGGUGAAAUCGGGAUUUUAUCGGAAUACCGGGAGGGUUACCGGAACCCCCCGGGAGCUAUUUGGGCCAUAGUGGGCCUUAGUGGAAAAGAGAAGGGGCUGCCCUAGAUGGGCUGCACGCCCCCCCCCCUUCCCCUAGUCCUAUUAGGACUAGGAGAGGUGGCCGGCCCCCUCCUCCUCUUUUCCCCUCCGAGGAAUCCUAGUUGGACUAGGAUUGGAGGGGGAAUCCUACUCCCAGUGGGAGUAGGACUCUCCUGCGCCUCCCCCCCUUUGGCCGGCCAGCCUCCCCUCCUCUCCUCCUUUAUAUAUGGAGGCAGGGGCACCUCUAAACACACAAGUUGACACAAGUUGAUCCACGUGAUCUAUUCCUUAGCCGUGUGCGGUGCCCCCUGCCACCAUAUACCUCGAUAAUACUGUAGCGGAGUUUAGGCGAAGCCCUGCUGCUGUAGUUCAUCAAGAUCGUCACCACGCCGUCGUGCUGACAAAACUCUUCCCCGACACUUUGCUGGAUCAGAGUCCGAGGAUCGUCAUCGGGCUGAACGUGUGCUCGAACUCGGAGGUGUCGUAGUUUCGGUGCUUGAUCGGUUGGAUCGUGAAGACGUACGACUACUUCCUCUACGUCGUGUCAUCGCUUCCGCAGUCGGUCUGCGUUGGGUACGUAGACAACACUCUCCCCUCGUUGCUAUGCAUCACAUGAUCCUGUGUGCGCGUAGGAAAUUUUUUGAAAUUACUAUGAAACCCAAUAGAAACCAGCAACGAGGGGAAGGAGAGUGCAUCUACAUACCCUUGUAGAUCGCUAAGCGGAAGCGUUCAAGAGAACGGGGUUGAAGGAGUCGUACUCGUCGUGAUUCAAAUCACCAGAGAUCCUAGUGCCGAACGGACGGCACCUCCGCGUUCAACACACGUACAGCCCGGUGACGUCUCCCACGCCUUGAUCCAGCAAGGAGAGAGGGAGAGGUUGAGGAAGACUCCAUCCAACAGCAGCACAACGGCGUGGUGGUGAUGGAGGAGCGUGGCUAGAAGAGGAGGAAGAAGAGACACAGGGCUGCACCAACCAGAGAUCGAAAUCGCGUGUUAUGGGCAGCCCUAGGCCUCAUAUAUAUAGGGAAGGGGAGGGGCUACGCCCCCUCUAGGGUUCCCACCCCCUAGGGGGGUGGCAGCCCUAGAUGGGGAUCAAGGAUGGCGGCCAAGAGGGGGAGAGGAGAGGGAGGCGCACCGAUAUGGGCCCUAAGGCCCAUAUCCCCUUAGGGUUUGCCCCCUUUCCACCUCUUAGGCGCCAUGGGCCCUUGUGGGAGGCGCACCAGCCCACUAAGGGGCUGGUCCCUCACCACUCUUAGCCCACGCAUGCCUGCGGGGUUGGUGGCCCCACUUGGUGGACCCCCGGGACCCUCCCGGUGGUCCCGGUACGUUACCGAUAAACCCCGAAACUCUUCCGGUGACCAAAAUAUGACUUCCCAUAUAUAAAUCUUUACCUCCAGACCAUUCCGGAACUCCUCGUGACGUCCGGGAUCUCCUCCGGGACUCCGAACAACAUUCGGUAACCACAUACAAGCUUCCUUUAUAACCCUAGCGUCACCGAACCUUAAGUGUGUAGACCCUACGAGUUCGGGAGACAUGUAGACAUGACCGAGACGUUCUCCGGUCAAUAACCAACAGCGGGAUCUGGAUACCCAUGUUGGCUCCCACAUGUUCCACGAUGAUCUCAUCGGAUGAACCACGAUGUCAAGGACUUAAUCAAUCCCGUAUGCAAUUCCCUUUGUCUAGCGGUAUUUUACUUGCCCGAGAUUCGAUCGUCGCUAUACCGAUACCUUGUUCAAUCUCGUUACCGGCAAGUCUCUUUACUCGUUCCGUAACACAUCAUCCCGUGAUCAACCCCUUGGUCACAUUGUGCACAUUAUGAUGAUGUCCUACCGAGUGGGCCCAGAGAUACCUCUCCGUUUACACGGAGUGACAAAUCCCAGUCUCGAUCCGCAUAAAACAAUAGAUACUUUCGGAGAUACCUGUAGUGCACCUUUAUAGUCACCCAGUUACAACACCCAAAGCACUCCUACGGUAUCCAGGAGUUACACGCUCUCAUGGUCAAAGGAAGAGAUACUUGACAUUGGCAAAGCUCUAGCAAACGAACUACGCGAUCUUUGUGUUAUGCUUAGGAUUGGGUCUUGUCCAUCACAUCAUUCUCCUAAUGAUGUGAUCCCGUUAUCAACGACAUCCAAUGUCCAUAGCCAGGAAACAAUGACUAUCUGUUGAUCACAAUGAGCUAGUCAACUAGAGGCUCACUAGGGACAUAUUGUGGUCUAUGUAUUCACACGUGUAUUACGAUUUCCGGAUAAUACAGUUAUAGCAUGAAUAAAAUACUAUUAUCAUGAACAAAUAAAUAUAAUAAUAGCUUAUUUAUUAUUGCCUCUAGGGCAUAUUUCCAACAAUGUACUCAUUGAAAAUCUUAUCAAGCGUCUUGAUCUAUCUCAAUAGAUCUUGAUGCUCAAUGUGUAAGUAGCUUUACUAAGGUCUUUCUUUUAAAGAACUCCUUUCAAACACUCCUUUAUGCUUUGCAGAAUAAUUCUACAUUAUUUCUGAUUAACAAUAUGUCAUUCACAUAUACUUAUCAGAAAUGUUGUAGUGCUCCCACUCACUUUCUUGUAAAUACAGGCUUCACCGUAAGUCUGUACAAAACUAUAUGCUUUGAUCAAUUUAUCAAAGCGUAUAUUCCAACUCUGAGAUGCUUGCACCAGUCCAUAGACGGAUCGCUGGAGCUUGCACAUUUGUUAGCACCUUUAGGAUUGACAAAACCUUCUGGUUGCAUCAUAUACAACUCUUCUUUAAGAAAACCAUUAAGGAAUGCAGUUUUGACAUCCAUUUGCCAGAUUUCAUAAAAUGUGGCAAUUGCUAACAUGAUUUGGACAGACUUAAGCAUCGCUACAGUUGAGAAAAUCUCAUUGUAGUCAACACCUUGAACUUGUCAAAAACCUUUUUGCGACAAGUCGAGCUUUGUAGAUAGUAACACUACUAUCAACGUCCGUCUUCCUCUUGAAGAUCCAUUUAUUUUCUAUGGUUUGCCGAUCAUCGGGCAAGUCCACCAAAGUCCACACUUUGUUCUCAUACAUGGAUCCUAUCUCAGAUUUCAUGGCCUCCAGCCAUUUUGCGGAAUCUGGGCUCAUCAUCUCUUCCUCAUAGUUCGUAGGUUUAUCAUGGUCUAGUAACAUGACUUUCAGAACAGGAUUACCGUACCACUCUGGUGCGGACCGUACUCUGGAAGACCUACGAGGUUCUGUAGUAACUCGAUCUGAAGUUUCAUGAUCAUCAUCAUUAGCUUCCUCACUAAUUGGUGUAGGAAUCACUGGAACUGAUUUCAGUGAUGAACUAUUUUCCAAUUCGGGGGAAGGUACAGUUACCUCAUCAAGUUCUACUUUCCUCCCACUCACUUCCUUUUAGAGAAACUCCUUCUCUAGAAAGGAUCCAUUUUUAGCAACGAAUAUCUUGCCUUCGGAUCUGUGAUAGAAGGUGUACCCAACAAUUUCCUUUGGGUAUUCUAUGAAGACGCACUUCUCUGAUUUGGGUUUGAGCUUAUCAGGAUGAAACUUUUUCGCAUAAGCAUCGCAGCCCCAAACUUUAAGAAACGACAACUUGGGUUUCUUACUAAACCACAGUUCAUAUGGUGUCGUCUCAACGGAUUUAGAUGGUGCCCUUUUAACGUGAAUGCAGCUGUCUCUAAUGCAUAACCCCAAAACAAUAUUGGUAAAUCAGUAAGAGACAUCAUAGAUCACACCAUAUCCAAUAAAGUGCGGUUACGACAUUCGGACACACCAUAACGUUGUGGUGUUCCAGGUGGCGUGAGCUGUGAAACUAUUCCGCAUUGUUUUAAUUGAAGACCAAACUCGUAACUCAAAUAUUCGUCUCCGCGAUCAAAUCGCAGAAACUUUAUUUUCUUGUUACGAUGAUUUUUCCACUUCACUCUAAAAUUCUUUGAACCUUUCAACUAUUUCAGACUUAUGUUUCAUCAAGUAGAUAUACCCAUAUCUGCUCAAAUCAUCUUGUGAAGGUCAGAAAAUAACGAUACUUGCCACGAGCAUCAACACUCAUUGGAUCACAUACAUCGGUAUGUAUUAUUUCCAAUAAGUCAGUAGCUUGUUCCAUUGUUCCGGAGAAUGGAGUUUUAGUCAUCUUGCCCAAAGGCACGGUUCGCAAGCAUCAAAUGAUUCAUAACCAAGUGAUUCCAAAAAUCCAUCUUUAUGGAGUUUCUUCAUGCGCUUUACACCGAUAUGACCCAAACGGCAGUGCCACAAAUAAGUUGCACUAUCAUUAUUAACUUUGCAUCUUUCAGCAUCAAUAUUAUGAAUAUGUGUAUCACUCCGAUCGAGAUCCAACAAACUAUUUUCAUUGGGUGUAUCACCAUUGAAGGUUUUAUUCAUGUAAACAGAACAACAAUUAUUCUCUGAUUUUAAAUGAAUAACCGUAUUGCAAUAAACAUGAUCAAAUCAUAUUCAUGCUCAACGCAAACGCCAAAUAACAUUUAUUUAGGUUUAACACUAAUCCCAAAAGUAUAGGGAGUGUGCGAUGAUGAUCAUAUCAAUCUUGGAACUACUUCCAACACUCAUUGUCACUUCCCCUUCAACUAGUCUCUGUUUAUUCUGUAACUCCUGUUUCGAGUUACUAAUCUUAGCAACCGAACAAGUAUCAAAUACUCAGGGGCUACUAUAAACACUAGUAAGGCACACAUCAAUAAUCUGUAUAUCAAAUAUACCCUUGUUCACUUUGCCAUCCUUCUUAUCUACCAAAUAUUCAGGGCAUUUCCGCUUCCAGUGACCAUUUCCUUUGCAGUGUAAACACUCAGUUUCAGGCUUUGGUCCAGCUUUGGUUUUCUUCAUGGGAGUGACAACUUGUUUGCCAUUCUACUUGAAGUUUCCCUUUCUUUCCCUUUGCCCUUUUCUUGAAACUAGUGGUCUUGUCAAUCAUCAACACUUGAUGCUCUUUCUUGAUUUCUACCUUCGUUGAUUUCAACAUCACGAAGAGCUCGGGGAUUGUUUUCGUCAUCCCUUGCAUAUUAUAGUUCAUCACGAAGUUCUAGUAACUUAGUGAUGGUGACUAGAGAAUUCUAUCAAUCACUAUCUUAUCUGGAAGAUUAACUCCCACUUGAUUCAAGCGAUCGAAGUACCUAGACAAUCUGAGCACAUGCUUACUAGUUGAGCGAUUCUCCUCCAUCUUUUAGCUAUAGAACUUGUUGGAGACUUCAUAUCUCUCAACUCGGGUAUUCGCUUGAAAUAUUAACUUCAAUUCCUGGAACAUCUCAUAUGGUCCAUGACGUUCAAAACAUCUUUGAAGUCUCAAUUCUAAGCCGUUAAGCAUGGUACACUAAACUAUCAAGUAGUCAUCAUAUUGAGCUAGCCAAACGUUCAUAACAUCUGCAUCUGCUCCUGCAAUAGGUUUGUCACCUAGCGGUGCAUCAAGGACAUAAUUCUUCUGUGCAGCAAUGAGGAUAAACCUCAGAUCACGGAUCCAAUCCGCAUCAUUGCUACUAACAUCUUUCAACACAGUUUUCUCUAGGAACAUAUCAAAAUAAACAUAUGAAAACAACAACGCGAGCUAUUGAUCUAUAACAUAAUUUGCAAAAUACUACCAAGACUAAGUUCAUGAUAAAUUAAAGUUCAGUUAAUCAUAUUACUUAAGAACUCCCACUUAGACAGACAUCUCUCUAGUCAUCUAAGUGAUCACGUGAUCCAAAUCAACUAAACCAUAACCGAUCAUCACGUGAGAUGGAGUAGUUUUCAAUGGUGAACAUCACUAUGUUGAUCAUAUCUACUAUCUGAUUCACGCUCGACCUUUCGGUCUCCGUGUUCCGAGGCCAUAUCUGCAUAUGCUAGGCUCGUCAAGAUUAACCUGAGUAUUCUGCGUGUGCAAAACUGGCCUGCGCCCGUUGUAGAUGGACGUAGAGCUUAUCACACCCGAUCAUCACGUGGUGUCUGGGCACGACGAACUUUGGCAACGGUGCAUACUCAGGGAGAACACUUCUUGAUAAUUAGUGAGAGAUCAUCUUAAAAUGCUACCGUCAAUCAAAGUAAGAUAAGAUGCAUAAAGGAUAAACAUCACAUGCAAUCAAUAUAAGUGAUAUGAUAUGGCCAUCAUCAUCUUAUGCUUGUGAUCUCCAUCUCCGAAGCACCGUCAUGAUCACCAUCGUCACCGGCGCGACACCUUGAUCUCCAUCGUAGCAUUGUUGUCGUUAUGCCAUCUAUUGCUUCUACGACUAUCGCUACCGCUUAGUGAUAAAGUAAAGCAAUUACAGGGCGUUUGCAUUUCAUACAAUAAAGCGACAACCAUAUGGCUCCUGCCAGUUGCCGAUAACUUCGGUUACAAAACAUGAUCAUCUCAUACAAUAAAAUAUAGCAUCACAUCUUGACCAUAUCACAUCACAACAUGCCCUGCAAAAACAAGUUAGACGUCCUCUACUUUGUUGUUGCAAAUUUUACGUGGCUGCUACGGGCUGAGCAAGAACCGUUCUUACCUACGCAUCAAAACCACAACGAUAGUUCGUCAAGUUAGUGAUGUUUUAACCUUCUCAAGGACCGGGCGUAGCCACACUCGAUUCAGCUAAAGUGAGAGAGACAGACACCCGCCAGUCACCUUUAAGCACGAGUGCUCGUAACGGUGAAACCAGUCUCGCAUAAGCGUACGCGUAAUGUCGGUCCGGGCCGCUUCAUCUCACAAUACCGCUGAGCCAAAGUAUGACAUGCUAGUAAGUAGUAUGACUUGUAUCGCCCACAACUCACUUGUGUUCUACUCGUGCAUAUGACAUCUACGCAUAAAACCUGGCUCAGAUGCCACUCUUGGGGAACGUAGUAAUUUCAAAAAAAUUCCUACGCACACGCAAGAUCAUGGUGAUGGCAUAGCAACGAGAGGGGAGAGUAUUGUCCAUGUACCCUCGUAGACCGUAAGCGGAAGCGUUAUGACAACGCGGUUGAUGUAGUCGUACGUCUUCACGAUCCGACCGAUCCAAGUACCGAACGUACGGCACCUCCGAGUUCAGCACACGUUCAGCUCGAUGACGUUCCCCGGACUCCGAUCCAGCAGGGUGUCGGGGAUGAGUUCCGUCAGCACGAUGGCGUGGUGACAAUGAUGAUGUUCUACCGGCGCAUGGCUUCGCCUAAACUCCGCGACGAUAUGACCGAGGUGGAAUAUGGUGGAGGGGGGCACCGCACACGGCUAAGGAAUGAUCCGUAGAUCAACUUGUGUGUCAUAGGGUGCCCCCCUGCCCCCGUAUAUAAAGGAGCCAGGGGGAGGGGGCGGCCGGCCAAGGAGGGCGCGCCAAGGGAGAGUCCUACUCCACCGGGAGUAGGACUCCCUUAUUUCCUAGUUGGAGUAGGAGAAGGGGGAAGGAGGAGGAAGAGGGGAAGGAAAGGGGGGCGCCGGCCCCCUCUCCUUGUCCUAUUCGGACUAGGGAGGGGAGGGGGCACGGCCCACCUCUUGCCUCCUCUCCUCUUCUCCCUUAUGGCCCAUGAAGGCCCAAUAACCCCCGGGAGGGUUCCGGUAACCCCCCGGUACUCCGGUAAAAUGCCGAUUUCACCCGGAACACUUCCGAUGUCCAAACAUAGGCUUCCAAUAUAUCAAUCUUUAUGUCUCAACCAUUUCGAGACUCCUCAUCAUGUCCAUGAUCAUAUCCGGGACUCCGAACAAACUUUGGUACAUCAAAACUUAUAAACUCAUAAUGAAACUGUCAUCGUAACGUUAAGCGUGCGGACCCUAUGGGUUCGAGAACUAUGUAGACAUGACCUAGAACUAUUCUCGGUCAAUAACCAAUAGCAGAACGUGGAUGCCCAUAUUGGUUCCUACAUAUUCUACGAAGAUCUUUAUCGGUCAAACCUCAUAACAACAUACGUUGUUCCCUUUGUCAUCGGUAUGUUACUUGCCCGAGAUCCGAUCGUCGGUAUGCAAUACCUAGUUCAAUCUCGUUUACCGGCAAGUCUCUUUACUCGUUACGUAAUGCAUCAUUCCGUAACUAACUCAUUUAGCUACAUUGCUUGCAAGGCUUAUAGUGAUGUGCAUUACCCAGAGGGCCCAGAGAUACCUCUCCGACAAUCGGAGUGACAAACCUAAUCUCGAAAUAUGCCAACCCAACAUGUACCUUUGGAGACACCUGUAGUGCUCCUUUAUAAUCACCCAGUUACAUUGUGACGUUUGGUAGCACCCAAAGUGUUCCUCCGGUAUACAAGAGUUGCAUAAUCUCAUAGUUAUAGGAACAUGUAUAAGUCAUGAAGAAAGCAAUAGCAACAUACUAAACGAUCAAGUGCUAGGCUAACGGAAUGGAUCAUGCCAAUCACAUCAUUCUCCUAAUGAUGUGAUCCCAUUAAUCAAAUGACAACUCUUUUGUCCAUGGUUAGGAAACAUAACCAUCUUUGAUAAAUGAGCUAGUCAAGUAGAGGCAUACUAGUGACACUAUGUUUGUCUAUGUAUUCACACAUGUAUUAUGUUUCCGGUUAAUACAAUUCUAGCAUGAAUAAUAAACAUUUAUCAUGAAAUAAGGAAAUAAAUAAUAACUUUAUUAUUGCCUCUAGGGCAUAUUUCCUUCAGUUAGACCACCUCUAGCCCCGCUUAUUGUCUUGUUAUGCAUAUGUUUGUGUGUAUUUACUGUUUCUUCCCCCCUUCUCACCGGUAGACCCCGAGAUCGAUGCUGAUGUCCCUAUGAUCGACUACGUCACCGACGACCCCUUCUUCCCUUUCAGCGGAGCUUCCAGGCAAGCCCCACCUUUGAUCAUCCCGAUAUCUCCCAUUCCAUUCUUUCAUGCUUGCAUUAGAUUUUGCUACUGUAUUUGAUUGCUCCUAUUCUGAUGCAUAGCCUGCUUUUGUACCUGUUGUUGUACCUUACCUGUUUAUCCUAAACUGCUUAGUAUAGGUUGGUUAGUGAUCUAUCAGUGACCCCCACCUUGUCCUUUUUGCCCCUGCUUCAUCUUCGACGACUCGAGCAACGUGAUCGACGACCAAAGCCCAACACCUCACAUCACAGCACGCCCCAUUUGUUGCUCAACUCUGCAGAGCUACUAUCGAGUGCCGAGGGUGAUCCCUCAUAACGCACUCCUGAUGAUAAUUCUGUAGUGUAACUAUUCGAUCAUGGUCAUCGACGGUGAUUUCCUCUUUCACCAUUCCCGAUACGGCUCUGUCGUUCAACACCUCAAGUGUGAACCUCGAGGGUGGUCCCUCUUACGUUCACCUUGAUGAUUACAUUGAGUGGAAUCCUCCGUGGGUGAUUCCUUGGGUUUUCCCCUUGAUGUUUGGACACACGGUUACAAUGACUUUACUUGAGACCUUGGUGAAAGUUGGGCGGGCCCGGAGAGCACCCACAAGAUAAUGACAUGGCACGACCGGGCAUUCUAGGCCCUUGUCGUAUGUCCACGAGACGAGGUGACGGGAUCACUUUCGAUCGUGAGUCUCUGCUCGUCUCCAUAAACUAAUAAUACACUAUGGUUUGGGUAUUUGUUCUGAGUUGGCCUUUGGCCUUUACGCACCAACCACCGCGUGAGAAUAGUUAUGGGCCUCGACAUCGCAGUAUCAGCCGAAGCUUUGUCAGUUGUCCAGUUCAGCAGUGUGGCGCGGCUGGGCCGGCACCAUCCAUGUAGAGGUGGAGCCUGGACCCGCCCUGCGUGAAACGACCCGGAGUGCAACGGGCGAUGGGUCCAGACCCCUGAGUGCUUAGGAGGUAGACCGGUGGGGACCUCUCUGCUGAGCCUAGGUAGGGCUUCGACGUGUUGAUCUUCCGAGGCCGGGCAUUGACCCCAGAAAGGUGUGUCCAGCUAGAGUUAUUGAGCGUGUUGGAAAACGUGGUGCACCCCUGCAGGGAAGAUUAUCUAUUAAUAGUCGUGUCCACGGUAACGGACGUUCAGACUUAUAUCCUGAUCUUAUACAACUACAAAUGGAUACUUGAGAUAUGUGGCUCCGGGAUUGCUUUCUCGUAGGGAGUCGAGGAAGGAUCUCUGGGCAUUAAUGCUACAACAUGUUUGUUAAUUAUAAACUAUUAUUCUUUACUCUUCUACAUGCUGCAAGAUGCUUGGAGCUGCUUGAAGAUGCUAGUCUUUGUUAUGCUAGGCCUUCCCCUCUAUUCUGGCAUUCUGCAGUUCAGUCCACAGAUACAACCCUUCCAUUUGAUACCAAUGCAUACUUAGUAUAGAUCUGAUGCUUGCGAGUACUUUGGAUGAGUACUCACGGUUGCUUUGCUACCCCUUUUCCCCCUUCUUUCUUCUUUUCGGUUGAUGCAACCAGAUGGUGGAUCCCUGGAGCCAGAUGCCACCGCCGAUGGAUGCUACUACGUGAAGAUCGCCGACGACCAGGAGUAGUUAGGAGGUCCCAGGCAGGAGGCCUUGCCUUUUCGAUCAUGUUGCUUUUGUGCUAGCCUUCUUAAGGCAUCCUUGUUUAACUUAUGUCUGUACUCGGAUAUUGCUGCUUCCGCUGACUCUUGUGUAUCGAGCUUGUAUUCGAGCCCUCGAGGCCCCUGGCUUGUAAUAUAAAGUUUGUACUAUUUUGGUUUGUGUCUAGAGUUGUGUUGUGAUAUCUUCCCGUGAGUCUCUGAUCUUGAUCGUACAUAUUUGUGUGUAUGAUUAGUGUACGAUUGAAUCGGGGGCGUCACACCGACAUCAUCUUGUUUCUUCCACCUAAUCCUUUAAUGACCUAUAAACAAAAGACCCCAACCCGCCAUAAACAAUUUAUUUAUGCCUCUUUUAAUUUUUGAUCUCUGUCUUGCAAACAAUUUUUUUGUGGCAGUUACUUUUAUCCUCCAACCAAGAUUAUGUAAACGCCCAAAAUAGAAACAUGUAGCAUGCUGAGCUAAAAAUAUAACAGACCCAAUACAGAACAAACAUUUUCACUGCCCAAUAAUCUUCAAUGCUCAAGUCCUGAUAAGUAAAAUGCUUUUCUUUAAGGGGCGAAGGUAAAACGAUUUGAUGUUCAGAAAGACAAUAAUAACUAAUGACAUUAACAUCAGCACAUGGCUUUUAAAAAAUUUGAUCUCUGUCUCGGUAAACUAAUUAUUUAUGGCGGUCACUUUUAUCCUUCAACCAAGGGUAUGAAAAUGCCCAAAAUAGAAACAUGUAGCACACUGGGCUAAAAUAUAACAGACCCAAUCCAGAACAAACCUUUUCAUUGCCCAAUAAUCUUCAAUGCUCAAGUUCUGAUAAGUAAAAUGCAUUUUCUAAGGGGCGAAGGUAAAAUGCAUUUAAUGUUCAGAAAGACAAAAAUAACUAAUGACAUUGAGCAAUAUAUCAUCUCUAGAAUCAUAAGCACAAAACAACCGCAUUGACUUUCGUCUUGUUUCUUCCAACUAAUCCCUAUAAAUGAUAACCAGAAGACCCCGACCCGACAUUAACUAUUUAUUUAUGUCUUUUUUAAUGUUUGAUCUCUAUCUUGUCAAACAAUUUAUUUGUGGCGUUCACUUUUAUCCUCCAACCAAGAUUAUGUAAAUGCCCAAAAUAGAAACAUGUAGCACGCUGAGCUAAAAUAUAACAGACCUGAUAUAGAACAAAUAGUUACACUGUCGUGAACCAACCUGUGUUUAAGAUUGUUAGAAGGAUUGUGGUAUCCCCAGUCCACCAGAGUUCAAGUCCUCGUGCUCGCAUUUAUUCUUGGAUUUAUUUCAGGAUCCGGCGAUGUACAAUCAUUUAUUCCUGGAUUUAUUUCAGGAUUUCCGGCGAUGCGCAUUCAGUGGGAGGAGACGUUCCCGUCGACAACGAGGUGCCUACGGUGGCUUCGUAAAUUUCAAGAUGAUAUGUCGUCUCAGUAUUUCGGAGGUGCUCAUAGGGGCGGGGUGUGCCUAUGUGCGUUCAUAGGGGUGAGUGUAUGCGCAUGUAUAUGAGCGCUUACGUCUGUAUUGUGUUAAAAUAAACAUUUACAUUGUCUAAUAAUCUUUAAUGCUCAAGUCCUGAUAAGUAAAAUGCAUUCUCUAAGGGUCGUAGGUAAAAUGCAUUUGAUGUUUAGAAAGACAAUGGUAACUAAUGACAUUAACAUUAGCACAUGGCUUUUAAAUUUUUUGAUCUAUGUCUUGAUAAACAAAUUAUUUGGGUCGGUCAUUUUUGUCCUCCAACCAGGAAUAUGAAAAUGCCCAAAAGAAAGCACGCUGAGCUAAAAUAUAACAGGCCCGAUAGAAAACAAACAUUUUCACUUCCCAAUAAUAUUCAAUGUUCAAGUCCUAAUAAGUAAAAUGCAUUUUCUAGGGGCGAAGGUAAAAUGCAUUUGAUGUACAGAAAGACAACAAUAACUAAUGACAUUAAGCAAGAUCUCAUCUCUAGAAUCAUAAGCACGAAACAACUAAUCCUUAAAUGACCCAUAACCAAGAUCUCAUCUCUAGAAUCAUAUGCACGAAAUAACUAAUCCUUAAGUGACCCAUAACCAGAAAACCCCGACCCGACAUAAACAAUUUAUUUAUGUCUUUUUUUAAAUUCUGAUCUCUGUCUCGGUAAACAAUUUAUUUAUGGCUGUCACUUUUAUCCUCCAACCAGGAGUAUGAAAAUGCCCAAAAUAGAAACACAUAGCACGUUGAGCUAAGAUAUAACAACCUGAUACAAAACAAACCUUUUCACUGCCCAAUAAUUUUCAAUGCUCAAGUCAUGAUAAGUAAAAUGCAUUUUCUGACAGGCAAAGGUAAAAUGCAUUUGAUGUUCAAAAAGACAACAAUAAUUAAUGACAUGAAGCAAUAUCUCAUCUCUAGAAUCAUAAGCAUGAAGCACUGCAUCAACAUUUGUCUUGUUUCUUCCAACUAAUCCGUAAAUGACACAUAACAAGAAGCCCCUGGCCCGACAUAAACUAUUUAUUUAUAUCUUUUUUAAUUUUGAUCUCUAUCUUGGUAAACAAUUUAUUUAUUGCGGUCACUUUUAUCCUCCAACCAAGAGUAUGAAAAUUCCUAAAAUAGAAACAUCAAGCAUGUUGAGCUAAAAUAUAACAGACCCGAUAGGGAACAAACAUUUUCAUUGCCCAAUAGUCUUCAAUGUCAAGUCGUGAUAAGUAAUGCAUUUUCUGGGGGUGAAGGUAAAACACAUUUGAUGUUCAAAAGGACAACAAUAACUAAUGAGAUUAAGCAAUAUCUCUUCUUAAGAAUCAUAAGCAAGAAAUAACCGCAUCGACAUCCAUCUUGUUUCUUCCAAGUAAUCCUUAAAUGAUCCAUAACCAGAAGACCCGGACCCAACAUAAACAAUUUAUUUAUGGCAUCACCUUUAUCCACCAACACGUGAAAGAUGCUCAAAAUACAACAUGUAGCAAUAUGAGCUAAAAUAUCACAUACUCGAUACAGAACACACCUUUUUACUUCCCAGUGUCUUUCCUUUAUCCACAAUAUCUUUCAUGCUCAGGUCCAAAUGAGUAAAUGCAUUUUGGGGGGAGGUAAAGGUAAAAUGCAUUUGGUGAUGAGAAUGGCAACAAUAACUAUUGGCAUUAAGCAAUAUCUCAUCUCUAGAAUCAUAAGCGGGAAACAACCCAUCUUGUUUCUUCCAACUAAUCUUGAAAUUACCCAUAGUCGGAAAGACCCCGACCCUUCAAAACAAUUUAUUUGCGGUGAUCACUUUUAUCCUCCAACAUGUGAACCAAUAGUAUGAAGAUGCCCAAAUUAGGACAUGUAGCGCGGUGAGCUAAACUAUCACAAACUCGGUAUGGGACACCUUUUUACUGCCCAAUCAUGUGUCUUUAUCCACAAUAUCUUCAGUACUGAAGUCUUGAUAAGUAAAAUUCAUUUUAUUAGGGAAGGGGACAAAGGUAAAAUGCAUUUUAUGUCAGGAAGGACAACAAUAAUUAAUGAUAUUAAGAAAUAUUUAAUCUCAAUAAUCAUAAGCACAAAAUUGAAAGAAAUAUGCCCCCAGAGGCAAUAAUAAAGUUGUUAUUCAUAUUUCCUUAUAUCAUGAUAAAUGUUUAUUAUUCAUGCUAGAAUUGUAUUAAUCGAAAACUUAGUACAUGUGUGAAUACAUAGACAAAAUAAAGUGUCCCUAGUAUGCGUCUACUUAACUAGCUCGUUAAUUAAUGAUGGUUAUGUUUCCUGACCAUGACAUGUGUUGUCAUUUGAUGAAUGGGAUCACAUCAUUAGAGAAUGAUGUGAUGGGCAAGACCCAUCGGUUAGCUUAGCAUAAUGACUGUUAAUUUUUAUUGCUAUUGCUUUCUUCAUGACUUAUACAUGUUCCUGUGACUAUGAGAUUAUGCAACUCCUGAAUACCGGAGAAACACCUUGUGUGCUAUCAAACGUCACAACGUAAUUGGGUAAUUAUAAAGAUGCUCUACAGGUGUCUUCGAAGGUGUUUGUUGGGUUGGCAUAGAUCGAGAUUAGGAUUUGUCACUUAGUGUAUCGGAGAGGUAUCUCUGGGCCCUCUUGGUAAUGCUCAUCACUAUAAGCCUUGAUUUUUUCUCUCCGAAUCUUCCAAUAAAAGUGUAAUAGGUUUGACACUUUCAUCAUCCCUGUACUACUUGUCUUAAAAAACAACAGGCUAUCAUUAGGAAAUAACAAAUGGUUAACUUAUGGCCCCUCCCAAAAUCGAAUGUAUUCCUUCCGUUCCUAAAUAUUUAUCUUUUUAGAGAUUUUAAAUAGACUACCACAUACGAAGCAAUGAUAUUUUAGUCACUUGUUGAAAUCUCUACUAAGACUAAUAUUUCGGAACGGAGGCAGUAGUAUAUAUCUCUACUAUUAAAGGAGAAUCUGCCGUCGUUGUGAUGGUUCGACCUCCCUGCUCCUCUCGUACGACCUCGAAGAAAAAAAUCACAGGAGGAAAAGCCCACGUUGCACGUCAACGAAAAACCGAAAAAACAUGCACGUUCUCCGCCUCCUCCCCCGACCUGCCAGUUUCCAUCCCCAGAUCUCUCUCUCGCUCUUCCUAACCAGAACCACGAGGGCGAUCAUCUCCCCCGACCUCCAACUCCACCGCUCCAGGCUCCGGCAGCUAGGUCGCCGCCAUCUCCCAUCCACUCAACAUCUCCAACAUAUCCGAAUCUUUGCGCGCGGCGCACAGAUGCCGCUCGGCCUUGACAUCCCCAUUGGCCUUGCCUCCUGAGUCCUGACCCAAGUCCUAGGGUCACGGUCCAAGAUUGGAAGGGCGACAUGCGGCUUGGUGGUGCUGCGGCGGACGGCAACGAUCCAAGAUUGGCAGGUUACUAACAGAAGCCACGGACACCAGGAACACUCGAUUGAUAUCUCCCUCCCUCUAUUCCUCUCUUGGGGUUUUUCUGAUUGGUAUUUUUGUGGACGGAAGACAAAUCUAAGGAAGAAGAUGAGGUGGGAAGCUAACCAGAAACUUGCCGGUAAGGAUCCCUUGUUUCUUGGUGCUAAUCCCACAUGAUCAUCUUGAAUAAGAAAAUACAAUUUUUUUUGUCAUGUUUCUUUCUGGACGAGCAGGACCUCGAGAAACCCUGUGUUCUGGAUCUGGGAGGCACCAACUUCAGCGUGCUGAGGGUGCAGCUGGGAGGAAAAGAUAGGCGUGUCGUUGACACUGAAUCCGAGCAAGUGUCGAUCCCAGAGGAAAUCAUGCAUGGCACAACUGAGGUAAUCAGUUCACUGAAUUUGUUCUCUUCUUUUGUUUUGUAUUCUUUCGCUGUUUUCUAUUGCUGGAAUAAUGAAUCGUCACUUUCUCAACCUCCUUAGUUUCUGAUUAACGCUCAUGUAAGAAGCUUAAACUUGAGGUCUAAACAAACACUGGAACUGGUGCUUUGCGUUUCACUUCGGAACAUGGAUGAGAGCACAUGCAUCAUCAUUUCACUAUGCAUAGUGGUUGUUGGAUUUUCAGCUUUUGUUUUCAACUACUAGGCACACGUACAGCAGUGAAGAUGGAUUUUCGACUAUUGUAUUUCGAACGCCAUUAACGCAGAAAUGCAGUCUCAAGGAUGGAAAUAAACGAGUGUGUGUGGUGUUCUUUUUCUUAAAGAAUACGUUUAUAUUCCCUGUUCUUUUCGCUUCAGGUUUACAACUAUUUGGCCUACUACACAAUGCAUGUGUUCACCAGCAAAAUUUCAGUUCUAUUAUCCAACAUUAAAGAUCAAUUAACCAAUGUUGUUGUCUUAAAUCUCAGUAUUAUUUUAGUUUUUCUAAAGGACAAAAUGGAUCUAGGAAUAUUAUGUUGAAUCAUUGAAUUUGUACAAUUUUUAUUUGAGGGGUCAUUACAGAGAGAAAUAUUGGUUGGUUAUUAUAACUUUCUUGCAUAUUAGUAAUUGAUAUUUACAGUGCGAACAAGAUAUUAAAGUUUAGUCAGCUAUUCCCUCGAAGAAAAGAUCUAGGUGGUUAUUUUUUUUACUACUUCUCUUUAGAUUCAUUUUAUAGGACUGUAAAAAUAGUAAUCAGGAAGCAACAUGUAUAAAUAGUGAGUGUUGAUACUGCUCCCUCUAGAUUUCAAAUAGUACUUUUAGGCUCAAAGUAUAGACAAAAUAGGUGAACAAAUCAUUUCCUCGAAAUAAACAUAGUUGACUUUGCACAGAGUGUAAUCGAAUUAGGAUGAAAGAAAAUUAUCCUCAAUUUUUCGUUCAUGUUUCGUAUCUACUGCUUAUUUGCUCUGCCUCAAUUACUCAAGGCUACGAGGAAAGUUUUUUUUUUACCAGGAUGGUGUUUUUUAGCAAAGAAGUGGAAAUGAUGCUUGUUUUGCUAAGAUAUAUUCUCAAGUGAUAAUCGUAUCUUGUUUGGCCCUUUGUGCUAUGAGAGGAAUUGAAAGAUUGAAUUAUAUAUUCGAUGUUACCAACAUAGCUCCGUUUUUUUCUUUUCAGUGUGCACUAUAUGGGUUUGCUCUAGGGCAAGGAGGCGGUGACGAGCUGAAGGCGGCCAAAGCAAUAUCUUCCCCGUCUAUGAGCUCCAAAUAUGUGUCUCAGCAUGAAGGAUUCGGACAUGGCCAUUGGAGUUUGAACAUGACACCGUUGAUGGAGAGAAGAAGAGAUCCCCAUAUACACUGUGAACAAUUGGGUUGACGGCGUCGCAUCUCGGAACACACUACAAGAAAUAUGUAGCUGUCUCCCUCCCUUAUACAUGUUGUUUUGACUCAGGCGAGAUAUAUUAUAAUUUACCUGACAUGAACUCUAUUUAUCAUGUAAAAUGUACAAUCUAAUUAUGGGUUUUAAGUGUUGUUUCUUUUCAUUGUCAGAGGUGGACUUGGUUGAUAGUCCAUGGGGAGAAUGGUAUGAGGGGGGUGCAACGAUAGGACACCGUUGGUUUGUCCCAACAAUGUGCAACAGGUAAAUUUGCUUAGGGGAAAGCUUAGAAAAUAGGGACAAAGGAUGAUUCAGUUAACUAAGUCUUUGUAUUAGUUUCCAGUCGUAUCUUUGUUGUGGUCGAAUAAUAAGGAACUACAAAUUUUUUUGCACCCAGUACAUCAUUCGUCAUUCACAAAUCAUAAAUACAAAUCAGUCUCUUGAAUCGAUAAAUAUUGUAUAUAUUCAUAUAAGUACAAGAUGAAAAAUGAAGGUAAGGAGGGGUGGGGAGAAGAUUAGAUAUUACUGUCUUCUUGCAAGGGGACUAUGGUUGUGAAGAAACGGAGAUUGACGAGGGGGUAGAAGCGGGAGAAAGUCUGUUUAUUGAUGAAAACCACAUGACAUGUUCAACCAAUUUUUUAUUUGGAACAUUAUUUGAUCACUAUGUUUUUUAUCCCGUGGCAACGCACGGGCAUUAAACUAGUUAGAAAAAAAAGAGAGCCCGCAACUGUUUGAAUGGUCAAACCAAAGCACCAUUUGUACAGUUACGGACAACAAAAUUUUGCCUUAAAUGUCUCCGCAGAAAAGGAAAUAAUAGUUGUUUAGAGCAUCUACAGUUGGUCUUCUCAUAUUCAUUUUAAACGCCUGGGCAGGCCGGCCGGCAACCGACUGGUCAAAAACAAACGACCCAACCCGACCUCUCAUCGCGCGUUCGCUACUCCCCCGUCUCAUGCGAUCGAUACUUCCCGGAAAAAAAAGUCCAUCAUAAACAAACCAACUGCUGUGAUCCGAAAAAACACGGCCUCAUGUGAUCGCUUCUUCCCCUGGAAAAAAAAUCUAUCGUAAACAAACCACAAAAACAACUGUGACCUACUAACGCACGUCGCACGCCCGGUCUCUCAAACCCCCUCGCUCCCGUCUCUAUCGCGUGAAAAGUCUCCCGGCCGUUCCGCCCACAAACACCACCGCUCCCACCCAGAGCUCUCGAUCCGGCGCUAUGAGCGACGCAUGGCCAAUGAUAUCUUCUGCAACUGCUCCCCUCCUCGUCCACCUCGUGGUCUCCUCGUCCACCUCAUGGUUGAGGUGGCCGUCGUCUUUCCGUGCCUCCAUGGCCGACGCUGCUCCGCCACCCGAUCUCCUCUACAUGAGUAGUACAUGACAACCCUCCCUUCUCAUCGUCGUCCGACGCUCAUCUCCUUCGCUGUCGUGUUGUCGUCGUGUCGGUCACCAGCGUGCCUCUCCUCUAUACUGCCCUGUACCACAUGCUCGACACCGCCCCCGCUAAUAUUGACUGACGACGACUCGGACGCCGAGCUCGACGGAUCACUGCUCGGCUGCUCCUGUUGGCCGACGGUCCCAGUCCCCGUCCCAUCGCGCCGCUGGUACUGACUUUCUUCAUCGCCACCAGUCCUUCACGGACCCCUUCUCUUCUGAAGCCAGGCGCUGCUCCACCUCCCUUUCUUUAUCAGAUGCAGGUCGACGGGUUCUGCUUCGUACUAAAAUUGCCAAUUUCUGUUACGCAUGCGCAGUUCUUAUUCCUGUAGUCCAGUUCAUCAAUCAUCUUGACCAGGACGGUAGGUGCAUCAAACUAUUCGAGUGAGAAUGUUCAGUUGGCUCUGAAUUUCCCUCUUAUUGGAUAGCCUGCAGUAAUGUGCACCGAGUACCCUGUUGUGUGUGUGUGUGUGUGUGUGUGUGUGUGUAUGUGUGUUUGAGAACACCCUACUGUGUUUUUGCAAGUCAUCUGAAACAGCUCGUGCUAUACUUUUGCAGGAAAUUGCUUUAACUGAAUUAUGCAAGCGAUCAAUCCAGCAUGUGGUGUUUUUGCCAGAGUGGUGGCAGAGGCUGACGACACCUGUGGACUCAUGCAGCUUGAAUGUUUUAAUGAAGACUUGAUUUGAUUACUCUAGCUGAAUAUUUUUCUUACUUGUGGCCGAGCAUGUCGUCACGUUGGCCGAGCAUGUGCGUCCAAAGCGCGGCCGUGGGCUCUUCGUCGGCUCCGGCGAGCUCUCACGUCGCUGUGCAAGGCCGGGUAUGCGACUCUCAAGGGCGGACAAUGAGGGCAUCAUCACCAAAUUAGUCCUGUUGGGUUCACAUGCUGUGUUCACCUAUCCACCCAUAUCCGCCUGUUUGUCGACCCAAACGAACAAAAUGCAAAGAAAAUUUGGGUAUAUGUGCUUUGGAGUUGCCCUUAUAUAAUACCUUAAAGUAAACUAGAUUUCCCAAUGGAUGACAUACAUUUCGGUCACUAAUGUAUAUCAAAUGAGUUUACACAUGCACAAUUAGGUUCAAUUUUAAUGGGCAAAUUGCUGUGUUUUUUGGAGUUCUUUCUUUGGUUUUGUAUUGAUGUCACUUAUUUGAGAGGGAUUGGAGAGGAUAGGUUUUUCAUCAUGUAUAUAUCUCCGUAGCAUGAAGAACUUUCAUAAAUGAAUUUGAUUCAGCAACCUGCUCCCCAUGCCGUAUCUUGUUUGUUCUUGGGGCCUGUGCGCACCCCUUUCCCUUGUACGCGCCACCGUAGUCCUCACUCACGCCCUCCUGUGUGCGUGCUUGUGAAACUACCCCUGUAACCGCUAACNNNNNNNNNNNNNNNNNNNNNNNNNNNNNNNNNNNNNNNNNNNNNNNNNNNNNNNNNNNNNNNNNNNNNNNNNNNNNNNNNNNNNNNNNNNNNNNNNNNNNNNNNNNNNNNNNNNNNNNNNNNNNNNNNNNNNNNNNNNNNNNNNNNNNNNNNNNNNNNNNNNNNNNNNNNNNNNNNNNNNNNNNNNNNNNNNNNNNNNNNNNNNNNNNNNNNNNNNNNNNNNNNNNNNNNNNNNNNNNNNNNNNNCUCCAUGAAUGCAAUGAUAUGCAAGCCUUUUGCGUAUUCACCAAAAAAAUCUGUAAUAAAUAAAUGUAUCCUGGAUUUGCAAGUGUACCUGUUCCUGUAAGCAUUUGAAUGAAUUAGGUCAACAUGAAAUACCGUACUUACUAUUUAGUAGAUCAGCCUGCUCUUAUCAUAUUUGUGUAUCCUUACUAUAUUUUUGUUUAUUGAAUAAAGGUUACAAUUAUGGUAGUGAAGAGCUUAGAAUCUUUUAUUUAUCCAAGUAUUUAUCCAGUGUUGCGCUUCUUUUUCUCUUCUACUCAGCUCACUUUUUCCCAUAGAGGCCUGCCACUCAUGGACAUACUUGUUGAUGCAUAUCAACGCAAUACUCACCCUGCUUCAACAAAAUGAUCAUACUAGGGUGUUGGAGCAUUUGUAAUCAUUGAGUUAUCAUCAUAUUUGAUGGAGAUAAUAUUAGUUAUGUACAUGUUCCAGGUUACAUUGAUUAUACAAAUGGCCACCCCAGGAUGAAUGAGGUAUAAAGGGGAGUUGGUGAUUAUAUGUCCCUUUGUUGGUAAGUCGUCAUCCCUACUCAUCAUUUCUCUUGAUAUAUAUGCACCAUUUCAUAGAUCUUUCUAAUGUUUUGAAGAACUACCCAAGCAAUAGUAAGGCGAAGUGACUAACAUUUGAAUUGACAACAAUGGUAGAGCAAAGAUGGAUUAAGACAAUGGAUGUGGAGAGGAAGGAACGGCGGGAGAAAUAUGCCGCUUUUCUGGAUGCAAGGGAAGUAGUGAAAGAGAUGGUGACAUAGGGAGUUAGGGACACACUUCUAAUUUUUAAAAUACACAUCAGGAGCCUUCCCUACUAUUCCAUGGUGAAAUAUAGAUAUGGUUAGCGUCCAGGAGAAAAGAAGUGGGAGAAAGAAUUGGUGGUUGUCGUUAUAUGGCUGAAUAUCCAUCAUGUUUGACAUACACUUCCGGAUUAAAACGAUGACCGGUGUAUCUAUUUUAUGUCCCGUGGCAACACACGGGCAUUCAACUAGUAUUUUUAGGAUUACAAUCGAAUGUCAUAUAGAUCAACCUGAAGCCAUGAGGCCCAGGCCCAGCCUAGUCACGAGGGUCUCCGCUCUGUCACCUCGCGCCGCAUCCUGAAACGUCGCUUUCUUCCCUAAAAAAAAUGUCGCUCUCUCCUUCCUCCAUCGCCUCCAGCUCCAGUGCUCCCUCCGCCAUCGCCUCCAGUGCUCCCGCCGCCAUCGCCGGCGCACGGCACUGACCGGAAAACACGCUCUCAGCUAGGCGCCAGCACCGCCGCCGCUUCCAGGUUCGGAGCGCGCUUGACCUGCAGCCAGCCUCCAUUGCCCCGGCCAGGUCGCAGGUUAGUAAAAAACCUAAGUCUGCCUACAGUUCGGCGGGCACCACUUCUGCUAUGUUGUUGCUAUUCUGCUUUAGUUAACACUAGAAUGAAGCAAAUUGAUAUUCUUGCCUGCAGACGCUCCUUCAAUCAGAACCCUGGGAUGUCUAGUUUGGUCAAAACUGACAUGUCAAAUUUGUGUGAACUCUUGUUGUUGUCGAUUACAAGCUAGCUAGUGUAAAAUUCUGCUUUCCUGUAUGGUUUCCUACUCUAAUUUCUUGUACCGCACUGUAUGAUGCGCACCGGUUCUACUCUCUCAAAUAAGAAAAAAAAAGGACAAAUCAGGGAGGAACCUCCUCGGUUCCAGUUUGUAUAGGAACGGGACCACCUUUUCCACCAACGUCCAAAGUUACGUAGGUUUAGAAACAAAAUAUACGUUCACCUUUUGUUACCUGAUGUCUACAGCGGAAAUGUUUCUCGAGCAACAGGUGUGAUGAAGUUUGCCUUAGUGAAGAAAAACAAAAAAAAUCCAGUAAAAUCUUGAGGGGAAGGGAAACAUGGUUAUUUGGUCAUGGUCAACCAUGUCGCCUCUUGUUAUAAUGGGAAAUAAAAACAUUACAAUGUCACCAGAGAAAUUAGUUCAUUCAGACGUUUACAAUGGAAAAUGUGUUAAAUCCAAAAAUGCUAGUUGCAAACUUGCAAUGAAGAUUUCACCCAAAUUUUCUAAACUGUCUCUUUGCUACAAUUUUAUGUAGGUGUAGCUCCAAGAACAUGUGUUCUGUGGCGUGUAUUGAUGGCCAAUAGCGAGUACGAGUAUGUGAAGAGGGAAUUCGAGUUCGACCAUCACCUCCCGGCCUCCAACUGGAUCAUUGUCUGCUUAGAUGGCUGUCAUUUCCACCGGUACUGUUCAUCUCUUCCUUCAAUAAGAAAAAAAAGUGGUUAAGCAACUGCAUAGAUCAUUUCACCAUGUCAAGUUCUUAAUCUUGUCCAUGUACCAAUGUCUUUUGCUUGAUUGUUGAAGUAUAAGCAUGUGGGAAACAUGCAAUGAAGGUUACUAUAUGCAUAUCUGGGAAUUACUGUUGCUUCAGAUUAUAAAUAGCUUAUCUUUGUUGUUCCAGUCUCCACUAAUUUCACUCCUCUUUUUGUUAGAUUCUCGAAGAUACACGCCUUUGAGAAACCAAAUGAUGAGAGCGCUUUAAGAUUGAUGAAUGCUUGUGCUAGUUCUAUCCUCGAGGAAUUUCCUGACAUAGUGUUUUCUUAUGGUGUUAGAGCAUCUCUAGCAGACCCCUUAAAAGAGCCAAAACUGUAAAAUAACUGCUUUUUACGGGAUUGAGCGGAAAAACCGACCCGGCCAGACCACUCAAAAUCGGCCGACCCGCAUAUUUUUUUGAGGGAAACCUUAAAAUAAGCCUCCAAUCCUGCAGUUGUUCAGGAUUCAGGGCAAAUUUUUCUGUUCACCUUAAAAAAAGACAGUUGGCGGGAGGGAAGUUUCAGGUCCAACCGCCAGAAUAGUUUUCAUUUUGAUCAAGAUCUAUCAUGUCAGUCUCGAUUCCGGCCAAAUUUCCAGCGGACAGGCCUGAUCUGGAGCGAUUCUAGUUGAUUUCGGUGGGCCGGCGCUAGCUCCGUGCGUGCUCCUUGGGAGGGACGGUGACAUGCCGCUGCUGCUGCGGCUGUUCAUAGACGGGAGGUACGUUGGCGUCGCUGACGAGGUGGUUGCGCUGCACGAGCAGUCGCGGCUCUGGUCGGUGCUCCGCCGAGCAGCCAGGCGCGUGCGAGGCGGCCUGCGAGGUGUGCGGCGACACCUGGUUCGUCGUGUGCGGAGGUGGACUGCACGGUGUGUGGCGACAAGGAUUCAGGGAGAUGCGGGUGAAAGGAAGAAGGAGAAGACCACGGGGAAUAUUUGGUAUUACGGUAUUUUUUUUGGGAUCCGUUCCAAUGUAGCCUGCACGGUACCACAAAACAGGUUUAAGGUUCCCCUUAUAAUGCUUUUACGGUACCGCGAUAUAAGGGAUCUACUAGAGAUGCUCUUAGUGAUGAGUACAGGUAUAACCCGUAUAACAUCUUCUCAUGAAAGUUAGAUUGUAAAAUGGAUGCAAAUUUUAUAUUAAAAAUUUGUAUGCAAAUACUUUUAUGAAUGGAGAUACUUUUGAAUUGCACGGGCUUUGUUCUCAGAUAAUAAUGUUAGGUUCUCAUAUUUCUGUUUGCUUUGCAGUUUUGUUUUCAGAGAGGGAACAGAAUUCUGUCAAAGACUUCUCUACCAAUAAUUGCAGCAAAAUUCUCUCUUUGUGUGUUUCUUACAUCACACCUGUGUAUGUGAUGAAGUUGAAAGAUUUCUUUCCAAAUAAAGAGUUGAGAGAGGCUCCAUAUUUUGAUGGGCGAGUUGUAUGCUAUCCAAAUAUGAAGACCAUUCGUGAUUAUUUGGCAUGGAGGCAACUGGACUGUAAGCUUCUUUAACUACAGUCGACAGUUUCCUAGUAUAAGUGAUAAGAUUCUUGUAUUUUGCAAUUGUGCAUGUUGAUCUCCUCUACAAUAACAUCUUGUCGUGUAUGUUAUUCCCCCAAAGUUGUAGAAACGUCAGCAAUAUUAAAUAAACACAAGUAUGGUGUAUGUAUCAUCAUUCAAUAGAUUUGUAUGUCCGGUUGCUCCGUUGCUUAGUUUGUUUUAGUUUAUUGGGUAAGUAUAAUGAACAUAUUUAAUUUGAGACGUGUGUUUCAGGUCAUAGAAAUAAUCAUUAAAAUACAUGCUUCUGGACAUUAGUGAUAUCUGAAAAAACUGAAAAAGAGGCACAACAAGCAUUGAAGGUAAUCUGAGUUUUAUAGAGUUUGAGUUGUCUUUUGUAUCAUUUGUAUAAAUUCUUUUUUGUGAACCAUCUAUUCUAGGGAACAUUUUCUAAGGAUAAAAUCGAGUUGCUUUCACAACAGUUCCAAAUCAUCCAUGAUGAUGAAUCGACUAUGUUCCGAAAAGGAUCCAGCGUUUAUCGAGAUAACGUAAUGGUGUCAACCAUACAAAAGGAAAUCAUCAUUAAAUGUUCCUACUCAUUCUCAGUGACAUAAUUUCCAUGUUUCUGUCACAAGAUAUCGCUUGCAUGAUUUAUGCAAAUGACCAUCAUAGUUUCUAAUCAUAACUUGGUGCAGAGAUCAAUCUAGCAUUUCUGAAUUCGCAUCUGAUAUCCAGAUAGUUAAAUGUGAAAAGUCCCUCUAUACUUUAGUUUUGAGGGAUAAUCGGAACUCCGUAUUUGGCAUUUCACGCCAUUUCCUUGUCUGAUAUUGGUCGAAUGCUAUAAUUCUUCUAAUCAGCUGUGCAGAUUACGUAAUGUAUUUCUAUUGUGGGUCUGAUUGUUGAAUAAUGUUAUUUUGUGGGACAUGUUUUGCUCAACUCUUACUUAAGAACAGUUAACCCUGUAUGGUGCUCUUUCGAAUACUGAUGGAAGUGUUGUUGUACAUAUCAUUGCAGGUAGAAACAACGCUGAAAAUUGACGAUUAUGGGAAUCUUAUAAAAAGAACCCGGUUGGCAAUUACAGUGUCAAUUUUUGAUAUCAUAGGACAUGAGUUUCGAGAAAAACAUCAAAACAUUCUUCGAGAAGGUUGGUUGAAUCAUUAUAGUUUUAGCAAUGCUUCCAGUCCAGCUCCAGUCAACUUUCAUACAUACAACCAGUACUGUACUGUAUACAACAUCGGUCUAACUGUGUGUUUGGGAGAAGAAAAAUAUAGAUACGAAUAUAUUAUAGAAGUACGAAUACAUCCAUAGGCUUCCAUGUUGUAAUUGAACUGUUGUUCAUAUCAGCGCCUGCCAAAUUGAUCAGUGAGGACCCCAAGUUUCCUAUUUAUGGAAUGUAUAUGCUCCAAUGCCAUUUACAGUUUCUUGUCGACAGUAGUACAAUAUGUAACAUCUAAAUUUAUCUCUUCAUCCACACCAGUAUGUAUGCAUUAAAUUUAGUUCUUGUUUAGUGUUUUACUGUGAUGAAUACUUAUCAAUGCCCUUGUCACUUCAUUUUCAUUUUCUAAUAGUAUCCUGAUGCAAGGGCUUAUUACUGUUGUAGCUAGUUCGAACAACAAACCAUAAGAAAAUGAGCUGACUCCCUGUACAAUUCACAGGUCACAACAGGAUCCAGUACAAGACAUGCUUUUGGAUGCUAGUGAAGUCCAGAAAGGGCGAAAACGAAGCUUACGAUAUGCUGAAGGUCUUCUUUCAUCAUCUACGUAAUCUAAAUAUUUGUUUGCAUUAUCCUAUUCAAUUCUUCUGUUAUCUACAGUCCCUAACUUUCUACCGUUCUCUGAAGGUCAAAGGACAAGAACGAGUUGCUCUUUCAGCCGUUUGAAAUGAACUAUAACAACGAACCGGCCAUGUACUGAAAGGGCUCAUGUGCUUACCGUGAAAAAGGUAUGUUUACCAUCAUCCAGGAACUAUUUUCAACAACAAUGCUGUUUGCGCUGCAGUUUCAUAUUAAGCAUUCCAAAAUAAAAUGUAGCGAUGCUGAAGAAACAAGAUUUACUUUGCCUAAUAAAAGAUUAAAGUUUUUUUUCCAACCCUGUAUGUAUUACGAUGAUGGGCUGUGCGGGGCGGCUUAUGGCUGUGCGGGGCGAGUAGGUGGCGGCUCAGGGCAUGGUAAUGCAGUGUCGGCGGUUGGCGGUGGCCCGCGGUGCAUCUUCUCCUUCCGCAGCGUCCGGGAAGACGAGGGGAUCCGGCAGUCUGCUGGGUACCCUGCUUAGCACCCCAGGCACAGCCCGCGUGCGUCGCUGCUGGAGGUAGUCACCCCCCGGCGUCGCUGCUGGAGCUAGUCACCCCCCGUCUUGCUUCCUGGCAUCUUUGCGUGGGCGCUGUGUCCGGUCCUUGGUCCCGUGCACCCACCUCGCCCGGAGUGGAGGGAGUCCUGCGGGUACCAGAUGUGCGUAGCAGCAGCCUUGUGUUCGCCACCGAUUGCGUGCACCAGCUCAUCCCCACCCACGCCUGCUUCGUGUCUCUCCCGCGUCGACAUGUUAUCCGUUCCAUAACCUCCAGAUGCCUCUGAAAAUAUGGCAUUCUAUCGGUUCCUCGUCGACGCGCUGCUCUCGUGGUCCUCGAAGCGCCAGCCCACGGCGUCCCGCUCCAGCGUGGAGGCAGAGUACCGUAGCGUGGCCAACACCGGGCCGAGUGUGUCUAGCUUCGACAACUCCUCGGCAAGCUCUGCUGCGCGGUCACCACUGCAACGCUGCCAUGCUGGUCUACUGCGACAACAUCUUUGCCGUGUACCUAUCCAGCAAUCUCGUUCACCACCACGGCACCAAGCAUGUCGAGCUGGACAUCCACUUGUAUAAAUCUAACCUUGAUCAAUGCAAUCGGUGUGUUCCCCCUGUAUAAGUCUAACCUUAAUGGCUUCUGCACAGAGCGGAUGACUGCAGGUGGACGAUGCUGCGAGUGGGCGGUGGCGCACGUCGACAUGAGGCCAGAGUUUUGGAGAACGCAUCGUCGUGGUCGUGGCUUUGUUAGCAGGUCGCAGGAACAGGUGAUGACUAAGUAGGAGUAGUUCUCAUCAUUGUCUCAAAGAAAACGUGACGGUUUAUUACGGCUGGAUAAUACAGCAAGGUCCGGCGUUCGAUCUCUGGACCGUGUAUUAUACUCCCUCCGUUCUGAAUUAAUUGUCUUGGAUUUGUCUAGAUACGGAUGUAUCUAGACUCAUUUUAGUGCUAGAUACAUCCGUAUCUAGACAAAUCCAAGACAAGUAAUUCGGAACAGAGGGAGUAUUAGCGAACAUCAUUUAUUUAUUUUUUCGAUCGUUGAAACCUCUGGUGGGCCGGAUACUGUGUCAGCGCGCGUGCGUGCCGAGUCAGCCCAUGCGGACGAGCGCACAGGUUGUAUGCUCUAAAAAUUGUCCCACCUCGCCUGCUGUGGGACGCUGUGCCCAGCUUAUAUAGUGCCUUCCUCCAAUCGCAUUACCUCCACGGGGACAACCAGCCGAGAAAGAGGCCUUAGAGCCCACCAAAAGGAAAGAUGCUUCAGAGCCCACAAGAGGCUUCAUAGCCUAGCCCAUGAGAAAAAAGAAAAGAGGCCUUUAUUAGAGCCCAUGAGAAAAAAAAGGGCUCUUUAUAGAGCCCACAAAAGAAAAAGAGCCAGAGCCGAAAAAUGGACCGAGGCCAGAGCCAACCAAUAAAAAUAGAAGCUUCAUAGCCUAGCCCAUGAGAAAAAGGUGAAGAGGCCUUUAUUAGAGCCCAUGAGAAAAAUAAAAGAAAAUAGGCUCUUUAUAGAGCCCACAAAAGAAAAAGAGCCUAGCCCAUGAGAAAAAGGAAAAGAGGCCUAAAAAAAGAGGCAAAGUACCUGUGGAGUUUGUGCUAGCACAUGGCUUUUUUUAAUUUUUAAUCUCUGUCACGGCCUUAUUUUAACUCCUAAUUUUUUAUUUAUUUAUUUAUGACGGUCACUUUUAUCCUCCAACCAAGAGUAUGAAAAUGCCCACAAUAUGAAUAUGUAUACUUUUUUUAACUCCUACUAAUUUUUUCCUGAUAUAUAUACCAUGAGAAAUAAUUUAUUUCUUUAUGGCGGUCAUUUUUAUCCUCCAACCAGUAGUGUGAUAAUGCCCAAAACAAUUUAUUAGAGCCCACGAGAAAAAAAGAAAAAAGGCUCUUUAUAGAGCCCACAAAAGAAAAAGAGCUAAAAUGGACCGAGGCCAGAGCCAACCAAUAAAAAAAGACGGAAAGUACAUGUGGAGUCUGUGCUAGACAUUAGCACAUGGCUUUUUUUAAGUUUUUAUCUCUGUCACGACCUUAUUUUAACUCCUAAUUUUUUAUCUGAUAUAUGUACGAGAAACAAUUUAUUUAUUUAUGACAGUCACUUUUGUCCUCCAACCAAGAGUAUGAAAAUGCCCACAAUAUGAAUAUGUAUACUUUUUUUAACUCCUACUAUUUUUUUCCUGAUAUAUAUACCAUGAGAAACAAUUUAUUUAUUUAUGGCGGUCAUUUUUAUCCUCCAAUCAGGAGUGUGAUAAUGCCCAAAACAAUUUAUUAGAGCCUAUGAGAAAAAAAAAGAGGCUCUUUAUAGAGCCCACAAAAGAAAAAGAGCCAGAGCCGAAAAAUGAACCGAGGCCAAAGCCAACCAAUAAAAAAAGAGGCAAAGUACUUGUGGAGUCUGUGCUAGACAUUAGCACAUGGGUUGUUUUUUAAUUGCUUUUUUUAACUCCUAUUUUUUUUCUGAUAUAUGUACGAGAAACAAUUUAUUUAUUUAUGACGGUCACUUUUAUCCUCCAACCAAGAGUAUGAAAAUGCCCAUAAUAUGAAUAUGUAUAUUUUUUUAGCUUCUACUAAUUUUUUUUCCUGAUAUAUAUACCAUGAGAAACAAUUUAUUUAUUUAUGGCGGUCAUUUUUAUCCUCCAAUCAGGAGUGUGAUAAUGCCCAAACCAAUUUAUUAGAGCCCAUGAGAAAAAAAGAAAAGAGGCUCUUUAUAGAGCCCACAAAAGAAAAAGAGCCAGAGCCGAAAAAUGGACCGAGGCCAGAGCCAACCAAUAAAAAAAGAGGCAAAGUACGUGUGGAGUCGGUGCUAGACAUUAGCACAUGGCUUUUUUUAGUUGCCUUUUUUAACUCCUAUUUUUUUCUGAUAUAUGUACGAGAAACAAUUUAUUUAUUUAUGACGGUCACUUUUAUCCUCCAAACACGAGUAUGAAAAUGCCCACAAUAUGAAUAUGUAUACUUUUUUUAACUCCUACUAAUUUUCUUUCCUGAUAUAUAUACCAUGAGAAACAAUUUAUUUAUUUAUGGCGGUCAUUUUUAUCCUCCAACCAGGAGUGUGAAAAUGCCCAAAAUAUGAACAUGUAUUUUUUAUCUUUGUCACAACCUUUUUUUAACUCCUACUGUUUUUUCUAGUAUAUAUACGAGAAACAAUUUAUUUAUUUAUUUAUGGCGGUCACUUUUAUCGUCCAACAAAGUGUAUGAAAAUGCCCAAAAUAGGAAGGGAAACGUUUUACGUCGGGGCACCGGCCGAGUUUUCGGCCGGUCGCUCGCGACACACGACUUGACUCGUGGGCCCACAUCGCUCCCGUUCUCCACCACACCUUAUCCUCAGCCGCACCACACCGCUAUAUUUCCCCCACCUUAUCCUGAGCCACACCAGCAUCUAUCUUCAUCAAAUCCCUCUCACCAUGCAAGCCCUCUCAAGCUCGAUUCCUCCCCCCCUCUCUCUCCUUUCAUUCCUCCUGCAGCCAUGAGAGCACUAGUUUGUUGCUACUCCGUCGUGCAUCACCCCCCACCCCCCACCCCCCACCCCACGCCCGCCCCACCGCGUGCUUGGCUGGAACCAGCCAGUCUAGUGCCUGGCAACGAAAAUUCUUGUUGAUAAAGCUUCAACCUUCGGCUGGAUUUUUGCUGGAACCACUGGUUGGGAAUGUUACAAGUAGGGGGCAUUUUUGCAGCAACUAUAUUCUUUUUUUGCUGGAACCGAUCCUAAUUUUUGCUACCAUCUUGUUUUGAUUUUGCUGGAAGCAGUUUAAAAUUACUACCACGGUCUUUCUAUUUUGCUGGAACCGGUAAUUUUUUCUGCUUCAACCUAAUACUGGAGAUUUUUGUUGGUAAAGCUUCAACCUCCGGCUGGAUUUUUGCUGGAACCGCUUUGAUUUUUGUUGGAUCCGGCAUGCAUAUGCUAGGAUUUGGGGCGGCGACGGACAACGGUUGCUAUGUGUUUUGUUGCAUAAGUUUUUUUCUGCUAUAACCAGCAAUCAAUUUUGUUACAACCAACUGCAGCGGAGCUGGAACCAGCGACAUUUAUUUUGUUUGUGACCUCUGGUGAGGGAACAUUUUUGCUAGAACCGUGAUAUAUUUUUGCUAGGACGGUUUUUGGUUUUUGCUACUACCAGCGGAACCCCUUUUUCGUUGUCGAAGCUCUUUUUGAUGAACACGGUGGUGGAAGCCGGUUUCGGUGGCGAGCUGAGAUAGCGACGGCGGGGGCUGCCGCAACCACGACGUCCACAUGUUGGAACCAGCCGAUGAAGAGCUACAAACGGCAGAAGCUGAAUUUUCGCGGGCAACCGUGCUGCAAUCCCGACGGCCGCACGACGAGAGGCGUCAGGCCGACAGAACGACGGCACAUGCGGUGGUGCUGCAACGGGAAGACAAGGCGAGGCAGUGGCGCACGCGGCGGUGCUGCAACCGGAAGACGAGGCGAGGCAGUUGGCGCGGGCGGAGGCGGCAUUCUCGUCCUCUCCCUAUUUUCCCGUGCGGGAGGUUGACGAAGGAGGGGAAGGGGGAUUGAUCUGACUUUUUUUUAGAGCAAGGGGAUUGAUCUGACGGGUAUGCAUGUACAGAUCGAAUGGCCCUAGGCAGACCGGCUGAAAGUUUUGGCCGGGACGCCGGCGCCUAUCACUCACCAAAUAGGAACAUGUAGCUUUCUUCUCUGUCACAGUGUUUUUUUUCUAACUCCUACUAUUUUUUUCCUGAUAUAUAUAUAUAUAUAUAUAGAGAGAGAGAGAGAAAAUGUAUCCUACUACCGGGUGUAGCUAUACCCAUUUCUCAUAUACUACCAUUUGGUAGUAUAUACUCUAAUUUAUUAUUUUUAGUAUGCUCAUAUACAACAUCUAAGAUACUCCAAAGUGAGUUAUAUGAAAAAAUUGUAAGUGAGCUCAUGGUUUUAUUGUAUUUGUGAAAUACAUAUAUAUUUGUACGCGAAAUAGAGUAUGCACAAAAUACGAUACAUACUACCAAAAAAGUAGUAUAUAUACUACCUAAACAUUCUUAUAUACUACAUACUACGCGUACAUACUCUUUAAUAUAAUAGAUACUACCUAGAACGUAUCAAACAAAAUUGGGAGUAACUACAUCCGGUAGUAGGAAAAAUUUGUCAUAUAUAUAUAUAUGUGUGUGUGUGUAUAUACUUUUAUCCUCCAACCAAGAGUAGGAAAAUGCACAAAAUAGGAACAUGUAGCACGGUGAGCUAAAAUAUAACAAACCGAUACAGAACAAACCUUUCCAAUGCCCAAUAAUCUUCAAUGCUCAAGUCCCGAUAAGUAAAAUGCAUUUUUUUACGCCAACUGCAUUCUUUAGGGGGUAAAGGUAAAAUUCAUUUGAUGUUCAGAAAGACAACAAUAACUAAUGACAUUAACAUUAGCACAUGGCUUUUAAAAGAUUUUAUCUCGUAAACAAAUAACUUACGAGGAUCACUUUUAUCCUCCAACCAAGAGUAUGCAAAUUCCCAAAAUAGAGCACGCUGAGCUAAAAUAUAACAGACCCGAUACAGAACAAACCAUUUCACUGCCCAAUAAUCUUCUGCUCAAGUUCUGAUAAGUAAAAUGAUUUUUUCGAGGGCGAAGGUAAAAUGCAUUUGAUGUUCAGAAAAGACAACAAUAACUAAUGAACGGUAUGGGAACAAAUAAUAUGAAGAUGCACAAAUUAGGACAUGUAGCACUGUAAGCUAAACUAUCACUGACCCGGUAUGGGACACCUUUUUGCUGCCCAAUAAUUUGUCCUUAUCGACAAUAUCUCCGGCGCUCAAGUUUUGAUAUGUAAAAUGCAUUUUAUUGGCAAGGGGGUAAAGGUAAAAUGCAUUUGAUGUUGAGAAACACAACAAUAAUUAAUGAUAUAUUUAAGAAAAAUCUGAUCUCAAUAAUCAUAAGCAUGAAACAAUCUCUUUAAGCUUUCUCACUGAGAGAUAAAUCUCUCGAUAAAAAAGAUAGGUAGACAUUGGGCUUUGGAACAUCGCCACGCUUUUCUCCGCGUUGUCCAUAUCGCACAUAGUGUGAUCGCCAUCUUGACAAAUUCACCGCGAUAGAGAUUCUAGCUUCAAGAAAGCCAGUUUUUAGCAUUAGUUUCACGGGUCUCCACCACAUGCUUGAUAAAUUCUUCAUCGCCCAAUUGUUGGGGAACGUAGUAAUUUAAAAAAAAUCCUACGCACACGCAAGAUCAUGAUGAUGCAUAGCAACGAGAGGGGAGAGUGGCGUCCACGUACCCUCGUAGACCGAAAGCGGAAGCGUUAGCACAACGCGGUUGAUGUAGUCGUACGUCUUCACGAUCCGACCGAUCCAAGUACCGAACAUACGGCACCUCCGAGUUCAGCACACGUUCAGCUCGAUGACGUCCCGUGAACUCCGAUCCAGCAGAGCUUCACGGGAGAGUUUCAUCAGCACGACGGCGUGAUGACGGUGAUGAUGUUGUUACCGACGCAGGGUUUCGCCUAAGCACCGCUAAGAUAUGAUCGAGGUGGAAUAUGGUAGAGGGGGGCACCGCACACGGCUGGGAGAGAUCAACAGAUCAACUUGUGUGUCCAUGGGGUGCCCCCCUUCCCCGUAUAUAAAGGAGUGGAGGAGGGGGAGGGCCGGCCCUCAACUAUGGGGCGCCCUGGGGAGUCCUACUCCCACCGAGUAGGAUUCCCCCCUCCCUUCCAUGUAGUAGGAGUAGGAGAGAAGGAAAGGAAAAAGAGAAGAGAAGGAAGGAGGGGGCGCAGCCCCUCCCCCUAGUCCAAUUCUGACUAGGCCUGUGGGGGGGGGGCGCAGCCUCCCCUCUCUCUUUCCCCUAAAGCCCAAUAAGGCCCAUAUACUCCCCGACGAAUUCCCGUAAUUCUCCGGUACUCCGAUAAAUACCCGAAUCACUCGGAACCUUUCCGAUGUCCGAAUAUAGUCGUCCAAUAUAUCAAUUUUUACGUCUCGACCAUUUCGAGAUUCCUCGUCAAGUCCCCGAUCUCAUCCGGGACUCCGAACUACCUUCGGUACAUCAAAACACAUAACUCAUAAUAUAAAUCGUCACCGAACGUUAAGCGUGCGGACCCUACGGGUUCUAGAACUAUGUAGACAUGACCGAGACACAUCUCCGGUCAAUAACCAAUAGCAGAACCUGGAUGCUCAUAUUGGCUCCCACAUAUUCUAUGAAGAUCUUUAUCAGUCGAACCGCAUAACAGCAUACGUUGUUCCCUUUGUCAUCGAUAUGUUACUUGCCCGAGAUUCGAUAGUCAAUAUCUCAAUACCUAGUUCAAUCUCAUUACCGGUAAGUCUCUUUACUCAUUAUGUAAUGCAUCAUCCCGCAACUAACUCAUUAGUCACAUUGCUUGCAAGGCUUAUAGGGAUGUGCAUUACCCAGAGGGCCCAGAGAUACCUCUUCGACAAUCGGAGUGACAAAUCCUAAUCUCAAAAUACGCCAACUCAACAAGUACCUUCGGAGACACCUGUAGAGCACCUUUAUAAUCACCCAAUUAUGUUGUGACGUUUGGUAGCACACAAAGUGUUCCUCCAGAAACGGGAGUUGCAUAAUCUCAUAGUCAUAGGAACAUAUAUAAGUCAUGAAGAAAGCAAUAGCAACAUACUAAACAAUCAAGUGCUAAGCUAACGGAAUGGGUCAAGUCAAUCACAUCAUUCUCUAAUGAUGUGAUCCCGUUAAUCAAAUGAUAACUCAUGUCUAUGGCUAGAAAACUUAACCAUCUUUGAUUCAACGAGCUAGUGAAGUAGAGGCAUACUAGUGACACUAUGUUUGUCUAUGUAUUCACACAUGUAUUAUGUUUCCGGUUAAUACAAUUCUAGCAUGAAUAAUAAACAUUUAUCAUGAAAUAAGGAAAUAAAUAAUACUUUAUUAUUGCCUCUAGGGCAUAUUUCCUUCAGUCUCCCACUUGCACUAGAGUCAAUAAUCUAGUUCACAUCGCCAUGUGAUUCAACACCAAUAGUUCACAUCACCAUGUGAUUAAUACCCAUAGUUCACAUCGCCAUGUGACCAACACUCAAAGGGUUUACUAGAGUCAAUAAUCUAGUUCACAUCGCUAUGUGAUUAACACCCAAAGAGUACUAAGGUAUGAUCAUGUUUUGCUCGUGAGAGAAGUUUAGUCAACGGGUCUGUCACAUUCAGAUCCGUAAGUAUUUUGCAAAUUUCUAUGUCUACAAUGCUCUGCACGGAGCUACUCUAGCUAAUUGCUCCCACUUUCAAUAUGUAUCCAGAUUGAGACUUAGAGUCAUCUGGAUCAGUGUCAAAAAAUUGCAUUGACAUAACUUUUUAUGGCGAGCUAUUUUAUCACUAUCAUAAUCGAGAAAUAUUUCCUUAGUCCUCACUAAGGAUAAUCUUGAUCGAUGUCCAGUUAUCUACUCCUAGAUCAAAAUUGUACUCCCUUGCCACACUCAGAGCAAGGUAUACAAUAGGUCUGGUACACAGCAUAGCAAACUUUAUAGAACCUAUGACUGAGGCAUAGGGAAUGACUUUUCAUUCUCUUUCGAUUUUCUGCCAAGGUCAGGUUUUGAGUCUUACUCAACUUCACACCUUGUAACACAGGCAAGAACUCCUUCUUUGACUGAUCCAUUUUGAACUACUUCAAAAUCUUAUCAAGAUAUGUACUUAUUGAAAAAUCUUAUCACGCGUCUUGAUCUAUCUCUAUAGAUCCUGAUGCUCAAUGUGUAAGCAGCUUCACCGAGGUCUUUCUUUGAGAAACUCUUAUUCAAGUAUCCUUUUAUGCUAUCCAGAAUUUCUAUAUCAUUUCCAAUCAACAAUAUGUCAUCUACAUAUAGUUUUAGAAAUGCUACAGAGCUCCCACUCACUUUCUUGUAAAUACAGGCUUCUCCAAAAGUCUGUAUAAAACCAUAUGCUUUGAUCAACUCAUCAAAGCAUAUAUUCCAACUCCGAGAUGCUUACACCAGUCCAUAGAUGGAUCGCUGGAGCUUGCACAUUUUGUUAGCAUCUUUAAGAUCGACAAAAUCUUCUAGUUGCAUCAUAUACAACUCUUUUUUAAGAAAUCCAUUAAGGAAUGUAGUUUUGUCAUCCAUUUGCCAGAUUUCAUAAAAUGUGACAACUUACUAACAUGAUUCGGACAGACUUAAGCAUCGAUACGAGUGAGAAGAUCUCAUCGUAGUCAACACCUUGAACUUUGUCAAAAAACCUUUUUCGACAAGUCUAACUUUGUAGAUAGUAACACUACUAUCAGUGUCCGUCUUCCUCUUUGAAAAUCCAUUUAUUUCUAUGGCUUGCCGAUCAUGGGGCAAGUCCACCAAAGUCCACACUUUGUUCUCAUACAUGGAUCCCAUCUCAGAUUUCAUGGCCUCAAGCCAUUUUGCGGAAUCUAGGCUCAUCAUCGCUUCCUUAUAGUUCGUAGGUUCGCCAUGGUCAAGUAACAUGACCUCCAGAAUAGGAUUACCGUACCACUCUGGUACGGAUCUUACUAUGGUUGACCUACAAGGUUCGAUAGUAACUUGAUCUGAAGUUUCAUGAUCAUCAUCAUUAGCUUCCUCACUAAUUGGUGUAGGAAUCACUGGAACUGAUUUAUGUGAUUAACUACUUUCCAAUUCGGGAGAAGGUACAAUUACCUUAUCAAGCUCUAUUUUCCUCCCACUCACUUCUUUCGAGAGAAACUCCUUCUCUAGAAAGGAUCCAUUUUUUAGCAACGAAUAUCUGGCCUUUCAGAUCUAUGAUAGAAGGUGUACCCAACAGUUUCCUUUACGCUGUGGUGUUCCAUGUGGCGUGAGCUAUGAAACUAUUCCACAUUGUUUUGAAUGAAGACCAAACUCGUAACUCAAAUAUUCUCCUCUACGAUCAGAUUGUAGAAACUUUAUUUUCUAGUUAUGAUGAUUCUCCACUUCACUUCUGAACUCCUUUGAUCUUUUCAAAUGUUUUCAGACUUGUGCUUCAUUAAGUAGAUAUACUCAUAUCUGCUCAAAUCAUUUGUGAAGAUCAGAAAAUAACGAUACUCGCCACGAGCAUCAACACUCAUUGGACCGCAUACAUCGGUAUGUAUUAUUUCCAACAAGUGAGUAGCUCGUUCCAUUGUUCCGGAGAACGGAGCUUUAGUCAUCUUGCCCAAAUGGCACGGUUCGCAAGCAUCAAAUGAUUCAUAACCAAGUGAUUCCGAAAAUCCAUCUUUAUGGAGUUUCUUCAUGCGCUUUACACUGAUAUGACCCAAACGGCAGUGCCACAAAUAAGUUGCUGAUACGGGGCAAACCCGGUGUAGGCCAAUCUUUCAUGUUUGGAGUGGGAUCCCUCGAAGAGCACGAAGAACACGGGGAAGAACGGGGAGAAAUCACAAGGGGAAACACUCAAGAACAAGUCCAAAUCACACAUCCACUAGACAAUCAAACACACAAGAUCACAAGAUACAUGAACAACAAAGGGAAAGAUACAAGGUAAGGUUCAUCUCCAAGAGGAGGUCUUGAUGAUAUCCUAGAUGGAUCUUCCCACAGGGGGGUCUUGAUGAUAUCCCGCAGGAUCUUCUCACAUGGAGGUCUUGAACUCCAUGGGAGUGGUAGUCUCUCUCUCUCAAGAGUAGAGGUAGGAGCAAAGCUCACCUAAGAAUGAGCUAUCAUAUUUUCUAACCCUAACUAGGGGAAGGGGAUGGAGUAUAUAUAGGAUAGUCCACAAAGGGGUAAGUGAGGAGGGGAUACCUGGGCCUUCGGCCCGACUCUGCACGCGGGCAGGCGCCGGAUGUCCGGGCUGGGGGCCGGAUGUCCGGGCGUUCGCGGGAGGCCGGAUGCUCGGGGCAUGGGCCGGAUGUCCGGGCUGGUGAGAUCGGCCUCGGUGCUCUCUGGAUAGGGGCGUCGGAUUUCCGGGCUUAUGGCCGGAUGUCCAGGCUGUCGGGAGGCGCCGGAUGUCCGGGCUUGCGGGACGGAUGUCCGGGGCCUGUAGGUACUUGGCGGCUGGGCGACUGCUGUGGGUGAUGCUCCAGGGGCCGGAUGUCGGGGGUCCUGGACGGAUGUCCGGGUCCUGGGGGUUGUCGCCAUCUUCUUUCGUCGUCGCUUCUAGGCUUCCCUCGCGGAUGGUGUAGUUGUUCCUUGGCGCUUGCACUCCUCCUCAACAUCCGUGAAGCUCCGACAAUACCUAUGCAUGCACACGGGAGAAGUGUCAAGUAGUAUACCAUCCUCGAAGGGGUCAAGUGAGCACGUGUAAAGGAGAAGAUUCACCUUUAUGUAUGAGAAGUAGAGGUCGCAUGUGUCACUUGCCAAACGGACUGUUGACAUGGUGAUGACCGUAGGAUGCUCCGCAUCAUCCCCUCCCCCUUGGAAAAGAUCCGACCUCGGAUCGAAAACCAAAUCACCAUGGGAAAGAGAUGGCGGUGCUGUGUCGAAGUGGUCGGUCACCAAGCACUCAUCAUCUUGAAACUCGAAAUGGGCACUCUCCAAUGUCGCACCGUCUAGUGAUUCCUUCAAAAGAAGCAAGAACAACAAACACUUGGAAAAACAAAUGUGGUUAGCGUUAGUGCAAAACCAAGCAUUCAAGAGGUGGUUCACCAAACAAGUGUCGUCAUCAAGCAUAGCAUCGGGUGUGACAAAGGAUUGCAACAUGGCAUGUAAGCAUAUCAAUUGAGCAUAAGCAAAGAUAUCAUGGGGACAAGUAUGCAAAUGUGAGGUAGACAUGCAAAUAUGUGUGACAAGAGCAUAAGCAUCCACCUCAAGGUCAUAGCAAGCAUGCAUAAAGCACUCGACAAAUGGUCGAUGGUAGGCAUAGGAAUCAUUCACAACACCAAAUAAGAUGAGAUGUCUAAACACAUGGGUCAAGUGCAAGACAAUCCAAGCAUAAUGUGCAUAGGGUGUAGUGAAUAUAGUGUGGCACUCAGCACAAUAGAAAGAGCAAUUGUUCAUCAUGUGUGAGGCAAUCAAGUCAAGCAUGUGACAAGCAAUGGGACAUGGCAUAUGUGAGGAAAUGAUAUUGGUGCAACCAACCAUAUGAUAGUAGCAAGUAGACCAAGAAUUGGAUGCAACACACAAGGUAUAUAUAUGAUGAAGCAUGGAAAUGUGGCAAUCAUAGGUGAAAGCAAUAUCUUGAACAUGCGUGCAAAUGGUGCAAGCAACACAUGAAGUAUGAUCCACAAUAUCCAAGCUCAAGAAGGAUGUCACCUUGAAAGCAUUUCCUUGUGUAUUCUUCACAAUGCUGAAGUGGAAGCAAAUACGAUGUAGAAGCGAGUCGUGGUAGAAUGUAUGAGGCUCGCUCUCAAGAGCUCGAAUGGUCAACUCACAUGAAGUGGAAGUCGACACAAAGUCCAAGUAUCCUACACAUGCACAAAACAAAACAAAGAACGUAUGCGCAUGAUAGAUAAACACAUCAUCCAUCAUGAUGGUUCUCAUCUUUUGCACAAAACCAUUAGAAGCACAAGUGCAUGAAUAAUAUGAUACAACAAUGGCUAAAUUCAUGGCACUAGGUAUAUGGUGCAAAGAAGUAAGACAAGCAUGCUUCACAAGAAAUAUGUCAAAAUCUCCAAACAUAUGUGAGAAUGCUAUGGGGGCAAUCUCAUGAGCAAGACUAUAAGCAUUGUUGCACUCAAUACAUGGCAAGUCUAGCAUGAGAGAGGCAACACAUGGAGAUAUAUGACAAGAAGCAGUAUGAUUCAUGUGCAAAGCAUAUAGAUGGUUGUCAUCAACCGCAUGAAAUGAGCAAGUAUGAAUCAUUGGUGAUGCAACAUAAGCAAGCAUUGUAAUCAAGUCGUGCAAACUAGUAGAGCGAAGAUGCAACACACUAGAGUAAAUCAUGGCAAUCAUGUCAUGUGAGCAAAUAAUAGGCAAAGAAAAUGCACAUGACAUAUCGCAAGCACGAGCACAAAGCAAGAUGAAAGUAUCAUCAUAGGAAUGGUGCACAAAAGAAACAUGGCAAUAACAAGCAGUAUCUCCACCAAGCUUGCAAAUACACAUACAAGUACUAGAAUCAAUCAUCAUGUGUAAUGCAAAAGCAUGGGUCACAAAUGCAUGGCAAAGGCAUAGUAAAUAGCAUAUCAUGCAAAGUGAACAUGGCAAGAUGGGAAAAUGAUAUAUAAUGGACAAUAAGCCAUAACCAUGUGAGGGCCAUGUAUAAGAAAUGCGCCAAGUCUUUGCGCGAAGAGAGCGGUGGGAAAGACAAUCCAUGGGAUCCCAAAUCAUCGUUGCUCUAUAGAGCUCGUUUUGUCAACUCGUGGGAUUGCGAGGUUGACAAGUAUUCAUGGGUACCUACACAAAAAGAACACAAACCAAAGAAAUUAUGCGCGUGGUAAAUUUACACAUCAUCCAUCAUGAUGUGUAUGUGCACAUGUGAGUUAGCACAAGAUAAGUAUCGCUCAAAGAAAUUUGAUGCAUGGUAUAUGAACAUGUCAUCCAUCAUGAAAGAAUAGUUAUUGUGUAUGACACGAUGGGGACACAAAUUGAGAAUGCAAGUAUAUGACACAUCAAUAUCAUGUUUAAUCAUGGGGAGCAUAUGGUGCACACAAGUAUUGGGAUCAUGCAAUGAAUGGGAUGGAUCAAAAUCUCCUAAAAUGCAUGAGGAAACUAUGGGGGUCUCCUCAUGAGCAAUAUCAGAAACAUCAUAUGGAGAAAAUGGACAACACCAAAACAAUGCAUAUCCGAAGCUAGGUGGUAAUGGCAUGGCAUAUGAGAUAAAUGAUGCAAAGGUAGCAUAUCAAUAUCAUCACAAGAAAGACAAAUGCCAAUAACCAUGGGCUUGUCAUCUAUGUCAUAUGUGCAAAUUGGGUUCAUUUUAAUGGCAUAUACAUAGUCACUAUGAAGAGAUUGCAAAUAAGACAUAUGGUUGAUCUCUUGCAUAGCAUAUGACAAGUCAAGCGGAUUAUCAAACAUGAUGUGACCUAAAGAAUUGUUACAAGAAAUCCUAUGUAACAUGGCAUCACUACUAAUAGACUCCACAUGAGAAUCAUCAUAUUCAUCAUAAAUGGGCAAAUCAUCACAUGGGGAAAUCAUACUAGCAUGAAGCAUGGCAAUAGGUGGAUCAACAUCAUGCAAGCAAUCAAUGUCAAGAAUGUCCACUAGUGGGACUAGAGCAUCACCGUCACCUUUGUUACCUUUGUCAUUCCACUCAAGUGGUGUAGGUGAGGUGGGAAAGACCAAAUGGUGGUCAUCUUCAUCUUGAUGGAACCAUGUGGGGGGUGCAUCAUAUUCCACCAUGGCCAUCGUCUCGUCCAAAGGGAGGACGAAGUCGUCGAGGAUCGGCGCAUCAUCAUAAAUGGGACCUAGCACCAAAUGAGAAGACACAAUAGAGGUAGAGGUCAAGUUGUUAGAAAUGCAAAUGGUCUCACGAGACCUAUCAACUAUCUCACUCUCUCUAUGUGGUGGUUCACUCACUCCCUCAAAGUAGGUGCACUCAAUCUCACAUAUGGUGGAGUCACUCAUCUCACUCAAGUGGUGGGGGUUGUGGCUCUCCUCACAUGGGAAUUGUGGCAACUCAUCAUAUAUGGGGCUAGUGGUGAAGUCACUCUCACUCUCCAUAUGGUGGCACAAGUCACUCAAGUCAUCAUACGUCACCGUGGUAGAGGUGAAAUACUCAACCAUCUCAUCGCCAUCGCCAUGGAUGAAGGCCGAAGAUGGCACAUCAUCACUCUCCUCCAUGACCGAAGGGAAAAUCCCAUUCUCGAUCAUCUCGUCAUCGUCGCCGUGGAUGAAGGCCGAAGAUGGCAAAUCAUCACUCUCCUCCAUGACCGAAGGGAAAAUCCCAUGCUCGAUCAUCUCGUCACCGUCGCCGUUGAUGAAGGCCGAAGAUGGCACAUCAUCACUCUCGCCUCCUAAGAUGGAAGCAUCAUCCUUGCUCGCCACCUUGUCGCUCGCCUCCAAAGCUUGGUCCUUGAGGGUCUCCGUAGUCGUACUCGUCGCCGCACCGUCUUGAAAAAGAGUCGAAGUAGACUCGGCACCAUCAAUGCCACAAAGAGGGAUGGCGGUGAAGUCAAACUUGGGAGCAUCGUCUUGGAGCUCGUCGGGCUUGGACAUCUUGAUGGUACUAGCCUCAUGCUUAUCGUAGAGCUUGGUCGCCGCGAAGUGUGCUUGGGGUGGAGAAGCCUUGGCCUUCAUGAGUUCUUGUUCCGCCUUGAGAGCACCAAUGUAGUAGUCGUCGAUGGACUUGUAGUUUUCGAGGAAGAUUGUCUUGGAGAUGUUGUUGUGCAAUCCCAUCAUGAAGUGGAACUUCAUUGACAUGGGGUCGUCCACGCCGGCUCGUCGCAAGGCAAUCUUCAUCUCCUUGAAGUACUUGUCGAUGGACUUGGAUCCUUGGGUGGUGUCCUCCAAUUGGUGUUGAAGUUGUUCCAUGUAGGUUGGAGGCACAAACUCUCACCGCAAAGCUCUCUUCGUCUUGGGCCAACUCAUGUCGUAGUACUUCGAAGGUGUGUGAAGCCACCAAGUUGAGGCGUAGUCGUGGAAGUUUCUUGUGGCGCACUUCACUUGAUCUUCGGGACGAACUUGAUGUAGCUUGAGGUAGUCGUCCAUCAAACGCUCCCACUCAAGAUACUCCUCGGGUUCAUGAGUCCCGUAGAAAGGAAUCGCGUGGUCGAUGUUGAGGUCGUAGUAGCUCGUGGAAGUCACGGACUUGAGCUUGGGGAGCUUCUCUUGAGCAUAGUCUUGAGGUUCUUGUUGGCGAAGAUGCCGUAUGUCCGUAGGCGAAGAUGCCUUGAAGUUGCUUGGCGAAGAUGCCAAGGGAGAUGGUGAAGUCGUUGAGCGGUUGUUGGUGUUGAGCUCUUGACCUUCACGUUCUUGUUGGUGAUGGUGUCGAUGCCGAUGUGAUCUUGCCGAAGAUGGUAGCUCGGAAGGAUGUGUUCUUGAGCAUCUUCUCGAAGAUGAGGAAGAUCGCUUGUAGGACUUGAUGAGGGCUUUGAUCUCCUCCAUUUGAGCUUGCAUCUUGGCGUCGGAGUUGUUGUUCGUGGCAUCGAACUCGUCGUUGUUGUUGUAGACCGAAGGUGAAAUGCCUUGCCUAUCCAUCACAAGACUCGAGUAGAGGUGAGUAGGAAAUGAGAUAAACAAUACCAAGUUACCUUUUCCCAAAAUUGAGGAUGUAUCCCGUUUCACUCAAUGUGAAAUGAAAGAAUAGUGGAAUUGGUACCGGACUUGUUCACUCACACCUAUCAAGUAAGGCUUAUGGUAGAGCUCGGUGAGGAUAGUGGCACAAAAAUUUGAUGCAAAAUGUUAGCAAGAGUCAAUAGUGUUGAAAGAGAUUCAUAAAUUUGCAAGCGAAACAAGUAGACCAAUAGCAAUAUGUGGCACACGGAAACACACACACGGAUAGAUAAAUGGGGUCGUGCAACCAAGGAAUGAGCACAAAAUGUGGAAUCCACGGAAAAUGCUCGUGUUGCACAACUCAAGAGAGACGCUAGCACGAUUGCUCAAUAGGCGGAUACGACACUUGUGCACAACCUAUAAGAUGCAAAAUGGAUAAACUUUCUAUCCCAAGUAUGCUAUGUAUGUAUGGUUGAAAGGACCACGAUGUCGCCUAGAGGGGGGGUGAAUAGGCGUUUUAAAAUCUUUUACGGAUUUGGCUAUAUCCUAAUGCGGAAAUAAACUAAGCGGAUACUUUUCAAUCACAAAUCCUAAAUAUACUAGGCUCACUAAGUGCACCAACAACUUAGCAUAAACAAGAUGGGAACAACGAGGAUAUGAGUAAGCACAAGUAAGUCACACAAACUUACUCAAUGUAUAUCACGAGAUAUGGAAAUGAAUAAUACACACAACCACAAGUAAGCAAUACAAGCUUACACAAAUUGUAUCACAAUAUAUGGGAUUGAAUGAUACAAGCAAACUCAAGUAAGUUACACAAACUUACUUGAGCAAUAUCGCAAUAUAUGGAAGUGUAUGACACAAGUUAGCAAUUCACACUAAUCACAAAGUAUAUCAAUAGUAGCAAGUAUGAAUUGUGGAAUAUGAAGUGUAGGCCUAAAUAAUCUCUACAAGGAAAUGGCCAACACAAUAUAAUGAACCACCACAAUAUAAUGACGACAACAAGAUAUAGUGAAUGCACGGUCAAAUGACCAAAGUAAACCACAAGUAAGGAGUUAGGGUUAGGGAUAACCAAAGUCACGGAGACGAGGAUGUAUCCCGAUCACUACUAGGAAAAUGGUUUUUAACGAUGGCAUAUGUGGUCGUUAAAAUCAGAUUGUGAUCGUUAAUGGUCAUUAACGACCACAAUAUGCUGGUCUUAAUAGGCUCCGUCGUUAAAAGUAUAACGACCACAUCUUGUGGUCGUUAUUUUUUAACGACCACAUAUUGUGGUUGUUAUACUUUUAACGAUGGGAUAGUGUGUCAUCGUCAAUCCCAAGGAAAUAACAACCACACUUAGUAUUAACAACCACUUUUAACAUAAGUAAUUGUGUUCUCAUGGUUACGAAAGUAUCAUUAAUAACCACUUUAUAGAAUAAUAGACAAUCUUUUCAUCAUUAUGACAUCCUUCAUAAUCACUUAUAUUUAGUAUAACUUCUGUUCAACAAUCACUUUAUGAAUCAUCCAACUUUGAAUAUUAACAUCCACAUUAAUAUAGAAACAAAGGAAUAUUAAUUGAAAGGAUCUUAACAUCUUUAUGAAAAGAAAUCAGAUAAAUUAACAAAAAUCCGACAUAUGAUUCUUGAACUAAAAGACUACUAAAAAAUUGUGGCAAAAUAACUCCUUAUAUGAUCAAUAUACUUGCUCAUAUCUAGAAAAUGAGACAACUAGAAAAGAUAAUAUUUAUUAAAUCUUCAAUCAAGGGACACCAUCGUUGCUUGAAUGGAUAUCAUUCUUCAUUGGCAAUCACAAUGCCUCCUAAUUCUUCUAAAUAUCACGGUUGACCAUCAGUCCUACAAAACGUUGAGUAAUUUAUCAAAGUCAGUCCAUGUAAAUAAAUUGGCACAAAGUAUGACAUAAAUAAAUGUACUGAACAAAGUUGCUUAAUUUUUAACAAAGCCGCUUAGAGAUGUAUUGAACUUUUCUUGGAGUACUAUUUUCAUUUGAUCAGAAGUUUGAAGUUUAGAAACCAAUUCAGCCUUACUUAAUGCUGGUCCCACGGACCCGUUCUUUUCACCCGUUUGAGAUGUUGUGCAAUCAAAAUACAUGUGUAUAGAAACCAAUUCUAUUUACAUGUGUGUAGCCUUUUAGAGAUCGGCUUGAUAUGUUUCCCUUGACUGCACUGUCCCUGCCCUGUCCAUGGAGAUCCAAAUUACUAUGCUAAAGAAAUAGGAGAAGUACUAUUCAUAGAAAAGGAUGAAAAAAAAUACUACGAUGCUGCUUUUGAAGAUCUUACCUCAACGUCUCACAUUAACUUCUAUCAACCACUGCAUAUGAGGGAAUCUUUCAGGUUCAUAAACGUACAUCUGUAGUCAUCAUAAUGCAAACAUCUAAUAAAAAAAUCAGGUUGAUAACUCAUAAAUAUCAACAGGGCAACAAGCUCUUGCAACCUCGUGAUAGCUUCCUAGAAAGUUUGUACGCUAUAUAUAAUAAUAAAAGGGUUAGGUGAUCAAUCAAGCAAUAAUGUAAUAGGCAAUGAAGACCAUGUUUAAAUAAUGUAUACCCUAGCUUCAGUUAAAAAAACAUCCUGGCUUGUAAUACAUUGUGAUUGAAAAAUAAUUAAGAGAAUAGGCAUGUUCACACGUCAUAUGACUUAGGCUAUAGAAAUUUUGGCACCUUCUACUAGUAUAGAUGCGAGCAGCUAGCUCUGCACGUACGCGUCUAGUCGGAGCUCAUUUUCAUGUGUAUCUCUCGCCGUAACUUCGUAGGUGUGCCUCGCCGAAAAUUACUUGGCGAGUAGCAUCAGAGUAUCUGGUCUGCACCAAUUUACAGUACGGUGAGGAUGAUCUCCACAGGGCCAACAUGACUAUCGGUGAUAACUGGAACAGUGCAACAUAAAACAAAGGUUCCUAUUAUUACUUUUGUAUUACCUCGAACAUCUAACUGGGCAGUCCUGGAACAGAUCAUCACGCCACGAUUUCCCCUUCCAAAAAGAGUCUGCUGGCUCUUCUUGGGACUGUAGCUGCGGCAGAUGAUGGAGCAGAUCAGCAAAGGCGGCUGGACCUUGAUAACCGUAAACAAAUCCAAAGAGUUCGUCCCGGGCUCUCGACGCCCAACUUCUGUGGCGUAGGAAAUAGAAGGUUGUAUGUGAGGUCGAUCAACAAAUUAUUUUGAUAUAUAUAAUGGGAGCAAACCUUUCAUGGAAUUUGAAGGACGAACUCGGAUGUACACAUAGAUUAUAUCCAAAUCACAACUAGCUUCGGCUGUUGCGCCUCCUCCUAACCGAGAUCAUGGCGACGCUCCAAGGACCAUGGCCGCCUUCAAUCCAUGGGAGGGGAUUCCACCACUCCGCCGCCAUGGUUCUCAUGGACGAAUGGGAGUCUCAGUUAGGUUAGUAAACCUAGACUUAGAUUGAUAUUUAUCCUUUCUCUCAUCUCUCACGAUGUAAAUAAAAGAGACAAGGAGUAACAACUUCGGAAAGUACGCUAAUUGUGCAACAACAACCGCUAACUUACGAUGGGAAGUCCCCAGAGUUUUCACGGGCCAAAGUUGGAUGUGGGGUUGGCCCGUGGUGGUAGUAACGACCAAGCAUUAUUUGGGGCUGGUCGUUAAUGAUCUAAUUUAUAGUAGUGGAUGUUCACUUCCUUGGAGGGAAGCUAGUCACCGUUAGAGAGGUGGAUGUUACCACGAAGGCACACCAACGCCACGAAGGCUUACCUUAUUCUUCUUGAGAUAUCACCACGAAGGCGAUUUCCAACCACUAGUGGUAGACCUUGAGGCGGCCUCCAAACCUUCACAAACUUUCCGAGGGACAAAUCACAAGUUGAUUCCUCACCGGAGCACUCCUACCGCCUAGGAGUCUCCAACCUCCAAGAGUAACAAGAUCAAGGGGGAAAUGCUCAAGACUUGCUCAAAUCACAAAUUUCUUUGGUCAAACAAGAGAGGAGGAGUGGUUGUAUGCUUGGAUGAAAUCUCUCUCAAGAACUCUCACAAAUCUCUUUGGGGUGUAGCACGAGAAGGCUCAAAUCCCUCUCUCUCAAAUUCCACCAAAAGCAACUAAUGCUAUGGAGGGAUGGGAGAGGAGAGGAACAAUGGAGGAGGUCAACCAAUGAACCCUAGAUCCAUGGGAUAGUUUUCCCCCAAAUGGAUUGGAGUUUUGAGGCUUGGGGGAUGAGGAUAGAGCUCAAAAGAAUGGGGAAAUCUCAGAUGCAAAAGCUCUAACUCGAUGGGGAAGAAGGGUGCCUUAUAUAGUGCCCCACCAAAUCUGCCCGUUACGCACAGAGAAACGUAGCCCGGAACUUCCGGGCAAGCCCGGAACUUCCGGGCCCCCUAUUAGACACAUAUGUGCAAACUUUCUGGUUAGCCCGGAACUUGGCCCGGAAUUUGCCCAGAACUUCUGGCCCCCGGAACUUCCGGGAGUCCCAGAACUUCCGGGCUCCCUUUGGACCAGAUCUGUGCAAACUCUCUGGUUAACCCGGAACUUUCCCCGGAACUUGCCCGGAACUUCCGGGCCCCGGAACUUCCGGGCUGCCCGGAACUUCUGUCCCCACAAAAAACAGCCAGCAUACUGAAAGUAAAACAUGCAUAACUUUUCAUACGAACUCCGAUUUUGAUGAUCUUGGGCUCGUUUUGAAGCUAUGGAAAAACCCCAGGUCCUCACAUAGAUAACCAUCCAAGAUCAACCAAAAUGGAGGAUGCCAAAUAUGCAAAGGUGUUAUCAUAUAUUUGGGAAACCUAUUUGGCUUUGGAUUUUGUUUGGUAUAUAGGAUAGGAGUGGAAUUGUGUAAAGAAGAUGUUGACUUGAGCAAAUCCAUCACAAACCCCUUUGAUCCCCUCUUAAUAGUGCGGGAUCCCUAUAACUCAAGAAUCAUAAAAGAGCUACACUACAUAGCUAUCGAGAAUCCAUUCUUGAGUGUAUAUGUUUCUUUUUGGUGGUCAUCACUCCACAACACUAACGUCAAAGGAACUAAUACCUUUGACACGAGCCGUUCACUUGAGCUUGAUGUUGAUGUUUCUUCUUAGCUCAAGAUGAAGGCAAGACAUUGGUGAAGUCUUCAAGUCUCUCCCCCAUACACAAUGUGGGGAAGCUUUGCUUUGUAUUCAUCUUCACUUGUUCAUCAUGUGAUCAUCCACAAGCUUCAAGCAUGUAAUCCUUUGGGAUGGUUAUCUUGAACUUGCCCUUGUCAACCAUGAUCACCAAUACUUGAUGUCAUCCUCUCAUAGACACUUGAAAUAUCUUUCUCGAUGCGAGCCCGUGAGAAUCACCUAACCUUUCGCUCGUGUGUUGACCAUUUAGAGUUUGAUCUUUGAGCUUCAUCUUGGUCAACCUAUAUCUCUACUCUAUGUUUAAUCUUGACGUCUUGAAGGGUAUAUUGAAUUCUUCACUUGAAUAGCUUGCUUGAAUACUUGAUCAAUCAUGACUCACACAUGAGUCCAUUAUGAUCAUAUCUCUGAGCCACUCCUUAAGAUACUCCGAUGAACUUCAUUUUGAUCAUCUCAAUGUAAUUGUUGCUUCAAAGGAGUUGUCUUCCAUUAUUCUUCAAUCAUAUUCCAAUGGGACUAACCUUCAAAUAUAUAUCUCAAUGCAAACAUUAGUCCAUAAGGAUUGUCAUUAAUUACCAAAACCACACAUGGGGACUACAUGUACUUUCAAUCUCCCCCAUUUUGGUAAUUGAUGACAAUCUCAACAAGAGGGUUUAUAUAAUGAAUUUUUUUACACAAGCACGCACUUUUUCUAGAAUAAAUUGUAUACUUGCGGUGACUUUGAUAGCAUUAAUUAUCACAAACAAACUUGAUGUUUAUCAAAACCGGUUGUACUAACAUCAAAACACUACACAAGCAUUUGAUGUUAAUAAGACCACAAUAUAUAGAGCAAGCUCCCCCACAAUAUAUGCAUGUGUCUAGUUGGAGUUUUUUUAUAUAUAUUCAUUCAUGCAACAAGCAUAUAUAACUAAGGUGGAUAUGCAUGAAUGACAGCAAGAACUUCAAAAGAUAUUUAUCUUAAACCCUCUAAACUUCUCCCCCAUUGGCAACAAAUGCCAAAAUGGAAGACAAAACAUCUAGAAGACCAAUAUAGUAUGAGUUCCUCCUUGAUGUGUGCAUAUCACAAAAUGUGAGUGAACGCAAAUGCACAUAUACAAUAAUUAAAAAUUUGAGGAGCUCGGAAUCUAUAGAAUGCAACCAGAUAUGAAGAUAUGAAAACAAGCAUUAGACAUGAGAGGAAAACAAUCAAAACACAUGAGUGCGCAAGAUUAUAUGUCAAACAUACAAGCACUCACGACACAACCUCUUACCGAAGCUACCAUAAGAAUAAGAGGAAACAAACAAAGUGGCCGGCAAGGAAUAAAUGAUAUCAAGGAAAGAUAUGAACUUUCUCAUGUAGAAAAAUUUCUGAGUGUCCAAUCAUAAUCAUGAUAUGUAUCCACAAAGAAACUUUGCAUACACAAAAUAUACGCAAUUGAUAAGAACAUGAUAUACACAAGUGAAUCCAUUAUUAUACAACUGAAACCUGGUCAUAAUAGUAAGGCACAUGGCACAAAGCACAUGGCACAAAUUGAUCUCAUUUGCAUAACACAAAGUGAAGCAAGCAAUCAAAAGAUCCGAUAAGCCAAAAGGAUAAAAGAAUAUUAUGAUUUGGGCAAAGGAGUGUUCUAAGGAAAAUAGAGAAGCUCCCCAUGAUUUGUGCACUAUUUAAAAUUUUUGUAUUUGGAUGCAAGUGCACAAAAUAGGAUCAUCACUCCCCCAAAAUCAAUAGAAACACAAAACAAUUUCAAGCAGGCAUAGCUAAGAAAAGAAGCCUAGCAUUUGCAACAAACAUAUGGUUGAGCAACAUGUAAAUGAGGCAACCUAAGAAUAGCACAACCAAAAAUGAUGUGUGUGAGUCACGUCAAAGCACUUGAGAAGACUAGUAUAAGGAUGAGAAUUAAGCAUCAACAUAGCCUUGAGUAAAUGAGAUACAAGGUGCAAGACAUGUCCUUCCCACACAAACGAAGUUAAGAAGGUCACACACACAUCAAGAAAAUGGGUUCACAAGCUCACUAAUAGCAAACUAAAAAUCAAAGCUUGUGACAACCCAUGAUGAAGAUAGGAAAUAAUAGGCUUGUCAAGACAAGCAUGAGGACAACAAUCUUCACCAAACAUGAGUGCACUAAGAUGCAAAGAGGUAAGACAUGCACUCAUACAACAAAUGCUUCCAUGGAGCCACCAAAAAGAUAUAAAAAGUGAAUUAAAUGGUGGACAUGAAAGAAUAGGGAUAUCAACUAGAGAUGUAACUUCUCUCACGUGUAUAAGAUUCUAGGUAGAUGAUAUCCACAAAGAAGGAUGUACACGUAAAAUAGUUACAAAAGGAAAAAAUAAGGUAUCCAAACGGGAGUCAUAAAAUAUACCAAUGAGAUCUUUGCUUGAAAGCAUAGCAUGUGGCUUAAUAUAAUCUUAUUGUAUAUUAAUGAACUCCAAACACACAACCAUCAAAGACAUCAUAACUAGCAACAAGAGAUCAUGUUGGGAUGCUUUGAGAAAGGAAACAAGUAUCACAGGAACAAGUCAAGAAAUUCAUGCCAUGAUGCAACCUACACAAGGUUGACCCCAUUUCUAUAUAUAUGCAUGAAGUAAAUACUUGUUACCGAGGUAGCAUUGGUAUGAAGUCGUAGAUCAAUAAAAUGUCCAAGCUUGGCUCUAAUUUCCUCAUAGUGCCACCACCUUCAUGAAUAAGACAAGCACCCAAUGCUUCUCAAAUGUACCUAACACAUUUUAAGUACAAUAUGGUCCCCAAACUUAUUGGGUCCGAAAUAGUUAGCAUAACUACAACACAUAGGGUAAAACCACUUAAAUAUGUGCAUAUUGAUAUGAAUUUGAAUUUCAUGCACAUCUUAGAUAUUAAGAAUUUGAUGGAUUUACCAUAUAUAUAUAUUGGAUCAAAUAAGGAAAACAAGGCAUGUGAAUUUACACAUAGUAAAUAUGCAUGUACAAGCCUACCAAAAUCCAAGGAGAUACAAAUUUGGCAAAUGACCACAUAACCGUUAAUACUUCCAAUAACAUUACUAGUCAUUUAUGUUGUACAAAAUGAAUCAAAGUGACAAAUCAACAUAUGAUAGCACACAAAGUUCAACAUAUGAACCAAGGAAAAAAAACAAUGAGCAUAUAAGAUAUGCAUUGCACACAUACUCAUAGGAAUAUCUCACUCAAGCAGAUAUAGGACACUAUAAACAAUGAGAUAACAAACUCUCAUAUAGAGCAAUAAGAUGAAUUCGAACAAAAUGGUAUUUCGGGUUAUCAUCCGUUGUAGAAACAAAAUAAGUACAUGAUCAUCUAUACCAACCCAAGCAUAACAUGAGAGUUUAAAAAUAAACAUAAUGCUUGGAUAGCAUAAUAUUAACAUUCCAACUAGAUAGAUCAUCAUGCAAAGCAAUAAUUGGAAUAGCUUUAAUCAAAUGAUUUUCCAAAUAUGAUUUUAAAGAUAACCAUGGGCAAAACCGCACAAGAAUGCCAUACGUAAACAAGACAUUGCGUGCCAUGGAGAUAUAAGAUAAUCUCAAAUAUAAAUUCUAAGUGGCAUCCCUCAAUUGUUCAUAUUAACAUAGAUUGUGAUAUGCACAAAGCAUAUCACUCCCCCAUAAUAUGAUGAUCCAUGUAUUAUCCACAAGAAGCAAAUAAAACCCAACUAAGGAUCAUUAAUGGAGAGAAUUUGAGUUUCAAAUGAGCUUUACAUACCACAUAGUAACUAGAUAAUAUUGCACUAACAAUACUAGGUGGUAUCCCACAUACAUACACAUUUAAGGUUUGUGAUAUCCUUAAAUAUCUCAAAAGAGCCAAGGAAGAUUCAACUAAUGAAGCAAUAAAGGCUUGAAACCACACACACAAAUAUAUGAAGUGCAUUGCAACCUACAAAUGCUAGAUAACACAAAUCAAGCAUACUAGGAAGCACAACUAUACAAGCACAUGCUAGGUACAAAACCUAAACAUGCAAGGGACAUAGUGACUUUCAAUGUAAACAAUGCAAGUACAAGUUACCGCAAAGAGGAGUAUUGGAUUGAUAGAUAUGAUGAUAAUCCACUUGACUUGGCAUUAACCAUAACAUAUGGUGAAAAUAGUUUUUCUUCCUAAAGUAGCCAAGUCUCCAAUGCCCUCCACACACCUAUUGAUCAAGUUUGAGUUUGAUGGUCCCCAACCAAGUUGGGUCCUAAGAAGUUAGUAACAAUAGGCUUGGCAACCCAAAUGGUCUUGUCCACUUUCAAACUUCUUUGGGAACCCACAAACUUGGCAAACACAUUGCCAACAAUAUCCUUCCUUAGCGAAUAAUGAUUAUUGACUAUAGGAGGCUUAGAUAUGUUACCGUUGGGACAAGAUGAAGCUAUGUGUCCCUUCUUACGGCAAAUAUAGCAACAUGUGCUCCCCUUUCUCUUCUUCUUUACCUUUUCAACUUGGAGGGCAUUAUCUUGGUUAGGCAUGGGAAGAGGCCUUUCAUUAUCUUGAUAUUGAACUUGAAGCCACUUCCCUUGAUGCUUCACAUUUGAAGCCUUCUUCUUCAAUGGACAAGAUCUCACAUGGUGUCCAACAUUCUUGCACUUGAAGCAAGUAAUGUUGUCUGAAUUCUUGACUUGAUCAUGUCCCUUCUUCUUAUUCUUGGACUUCUUGUUGGAGAUGAAAUCAAGUCCUAUUUUGUCUUGAGGGUCCUUUUGCACACUCAAGAUAUUAUCACAACAUUUUUCCAAGUCUUUCUUCAAACUAGUGACUUGAGCCUUGAGCUCUUUAUUUUCCUUUACAAGGUUAGUAUUAACAAAAGAACUAGAGGAAGUAGAAGCUUCAUUGUUAGAGCAACAAGGCAUGGUGAGCAAUUCAUUACAAGAUGUACCAAUAUCAUGUAGAGAGGAAUUGCAAGGACUAGCACAUGACAAUAAGGCAUUUCGAGUAGAAGAUGUGCUAAUAUCCACAUGAGACUCACAUGAUUUUACCUUGAUGACCAUAGCCUCAUGAGCUAACUUUAACUCAUCAUGAGAGAUUAGAAGAUCCUCAUGAGUGCCUGAGAGCUUUUUAUGACUUUCUCCCAAUUUCCCGUAAUUGCUAGUUAGCAAAUCAAGUUGAGUCCUUAGCUCAACAUUUUCUUUUAAUAUCGAUGCGUCACACAAGAUAGAGUUAGUAUCACAAGCAUCAUUAUUAAUAUGAGAGGAGCAUGUAGAGGCUAGAGACUCCGCAUGAGUAGCUUGAAGUUCCUCAUGAGACUUAGAGAGUUUGGUGAGCUCUCCUUUGACCUUCUUGUAGUCAAGGUCAAGGUGCUCAAAAUCCUCUUUAAGUUUACAAUGAGUAACUUCAAUCUCUUCUUUUAAAGACCUAAAGUCACUAAGACAUUGAUGAGCCAUAGCAAGUUCAUGUUCAAGUUGUUCACUUUUUGCUUGCUCGUAAAGGAAUAGGUUGUUACAUUUUUGAAAGCAAGCAAGAACAUCUUGGAGCCUUUUAUAAGUGUUAUUUUUAGCUCUACGAAGAGUUUUCCCAAUCUCAUAGAGAUUUUGAGUCAAGACUUCAUCAUCUUCCUCAUUACAACUAUCAUCAUUAUCACUAAGAGAAGAUGAUACCUCGUCAUUACCUCUUGCCAUGAGGCACAUGUGAACACAAGGGGUUGAUGAUGAUUCUUUUGGAGAGGAGGGUUCUUCAUCAACCAAGCGUGCCUUAUUUUUCUUGAUUUCCUCUUGUGGUAAGCCACAUGUUGGUGAAGUGAAAGAUGUUGAGGUAUGCAAGUAAUCGGAGGUGGAAGCAAUAGAGAGCUCUUCAUGAUUUAGAAAUGUGGAGAACUCCUCCAUUAACUCCCCAAAAAUAAUAUUGUCUUCAUCAAGAUUGGACCCACCAUAUAUAUCUUCAAUUUUGGUCCAAGCCUCAUGAGCCAACGAACAAGACGAGAUUGACUUGAACACCUCGAAGGUUAUAGCUUGGUGAAUGACACUUAAUGCUUCACAAUCAAGAUGCAUAUCAUCAAGUGAUGGAGAUUGUCCAUCCUUUAGAUUUGAAUUCCCUACAACCAUAAUCCGCAAAGCAUUUGGACCCAUGGCCCGAAAGUGACAAAGCAUGCGUAAUCUCCAUAUAAUGUAAUUUGUGCCAUUAAAACAAAAUGUGUCAUCGUGCACUAGUUCACUAGUCGACAUCGUUACUCUCUAGGCGGUUAAGCCUAAUAAGGAGAGACCUAGCUCUGAUACCAAUUGAAAGGACCAUGAUGUCGCCUAGAGGGGGGUGAAUAGGCGUUUUAAAAUCUUUUACGGAUUUGGCUAUAUCCUAAUGCGGAAAUAAACUAAGCGGAUACUUUUCAAUCACAAAUCCUAAAUAUACUAGGCUCACUAAGUGCACCAACAACUUAGCAUAAAUAAGAUGGGAACAACGAGGAUAUGAGUAAGCACAAGUAAGUCACACAAACUUACUCAAUGUAUAUCACGAGAUAUGGAAAUGAAUAAUACACACAACCACAAGUAAGCAAUACAAGCUUACACAAAUUGUAUCACAAUAUAUGGGAUUGAAUGAUACAAGCAAACUCAAGUAAGUUACACAAACUUACUUGAGCAAUAUCGCAAUAUAUGGAAGUGUAUGACACAAGUUAGCAAUUCACACUAAUCACAAAGUAUAUCAAUAGUAGCAAGUAUGAAUUGUGGAAUAUGAAGUGUAGGCCUAAAUAAUCUCUACAAGGAAAUGGCCAACACAAUAUAAUGAACCACCACAAUAUAAUGACGACAACAAGAUAUAGUGAAUGCACGGUCAAAUGACCAAAGUAAACCACAAGUAAGGAGUUAGGGUUAGGGAUAACCAAAGUCACGGAGACGAGGAUGUAUCCCGAUGUUCACUUCCUUGGAGGGAAGCUAGUCACCGUUAGAGAGGUGGAUGUUACCACGAAGGCACACCAACGCCACGAAGGCUCACCCUAUUCUCCUUGAGAUAUCACCAUGAAGGCGAUUCCCAACCACUAGUGGUAGACCUUGAGGCGGCCUCCAAACCUUCACAAACUUUCCGAGGGACAAAUCACAAGUUGAUUCCUCACCGGAGCACUCCUACCGCCUAGGAGUCUCCAACCUCCAAGAGUAACAAGAUCAAGGGGGAAAUGCUCAAGACUUGCUCAAAUCACAAAUUGCUUUGGUCAAAAGAGAGAGGAGGAGUGGUUGUAUGCUUGGAUGAAAUCUCUCUCAAGAACUCUCACAAAUCUCUUUGGGGUGUAGCACGAGAAGGCUCAAAUCCCUCUCUCUCAAAUCCCACCAAAAGCAACUAAUGCUAUGGAGGGAUGGGAGAGGAGAGGAACAAUGGAGGAGGUCAACCAAUGAACCCUAGAUCCAUGGGAUAGUUUUCCCCCAAAUGGAUUGGAGUUUUGAGGCUUGGGGGAUGAGGAUAGAGCUCAAAAGAAUGGGGAAAUCUCAGAUGCAAAAGCUCUAACUCGAUGGGGAAGAAGGGUGCCUUAUAUAGUGCCCCACCAAAUCUGCCUGUUACGCACAGAGAAACGCAGCCCGGAACUUCCGGGCAAGCCCGGAACUUCCGGGCCCCCUAUUAGACACAUAUGUGCAAACUUUCUGGUUAGCCCGGAACUUGGCCCGGAAUUUGCCCGGAACUUCUGGCCCCCGGAACUUUCGGGAGUCCCGGAACUUCCGGGCUCCCUUUGGACCAGAUCUGUGCAAACUCUCUGGUUAACCCGGAACUUUCCCCGGAACUUGCCCGGAACUUCCAGGCCCCGGAACUUUUGGGCUGCCCGGAACUUCUGUCCCCACAGAAAACAGCCAGCAUACCGAAAGUAAAACAUGCAUAACUUUUUCAUACGAACUCCGAUUUUGAUGAUCUUGGGCUCGUUUUGAAGCUAUGGAAAAACCCCAGGUCCUCACAUAGAUAACCAUCCAAGAUCAACCAAAAUGGAGGAUGCCAAAUAUGCAAAGGUGUUAUCAUAUAUUUGGGAAACCUAUUUGGCUUUGGAUUUUGUUUGGUAUAUAGGAUAGGAGUGGAAUUGUGUAAAGAAGAUGUUGACUUGAGCAAAUCCAUCACAAACCCCUUUGAUCCCCUCUUAAUAGUGCGGGAUCCCUAUAACUCAAGAAUCAUAAAAGAGCUACACUACAUAGCUAUCGAGAAUCCAUUCUUGAGUGUAUAUGUUUCUUUUUGGUGGUCAUCACUCCACAACACUAACGUCAAAGGAACUAAUACCUUUGACACGAGCCGUUCACUUGAGCUUGAUUUUGAUGUUUCUUCUUAGCUCAAGAUGAAGGCAAGACAUUGGUGAAGUCUUCAAGUCUCUCCCCCAUACACAAUGUGGGGAAGCUUUGCUUUGUAUUCAUCUUCACUUGUUCAUCAUGUGAUCAUCCACAAGCUUCAAGCAUGUAAUCCUUUGGGAUGGUUAUCUUGAACUUGCCCUUGUCAACCAUGAUCACCAAUACUUGAUGUCAUCCUCUCAUGGACACUUGAAAUCUCUUUCUCGAUGCGAGCCCAUGAGAAUCACCUAACCUUUAGCUCGUGUGUUGACCAUUUAGAGUUUGAUCUUUGAGCUUCAUCUUGGUCAAACUAUAUCUCUACUCCAUGUUUAAUCUUGACGGCUUGAAGGGUAUAUUGAAUUCUUCACUUGAAUAGCUUGCUUGAAUACUUGAUCAAUCAUGACUCACACAUGAGUCCAUUAUGAUCAUAUCUCUGAGCCACUCCUUAAGAUACUCCAAUGAACUUCAUUUUGAUCAUCUCAAUGUAAUUGUUGCUUCAAAGGAGUUGUCUUCCAUUAUUCUUCAAUCAUAUUCCAAUGGGACUAACCUUCAAAUAUAUAUCUCAAUGCAAACAUUAGUCCAUAAGGAUUGUCAUUAAUUACCAAAACCACACAUGGGGACUACAUGUACUUUCAAUGGUUCCCGGUGUUUCUCACAAGAUGAUCCAAGAUGAUCGAGUAUGAUAACAUAUGAUAUAUUGUGAUGCUAUGGCUAUUGCUUACAAGCUCUUUGCUCUCUUUUGCUUAAAAGCUUAUUCUCUUUUUUUUUGGAUAUGGCCACUUUUGCACAAUGCACAAACCAAGAUAGCAAUUGUAUAUAUGCGGGAACAAGCUUGUGACACAAGAGAUGAUAUGAUGAUACCAAUAUGAUAUAGUAUGUAUGCUAUGGGAAGUAUGAUCACUAAUGUGCACAAGUCAAGUUGCCGGCAAUACUCAAAUGGCUAGUCUCGAUAGGCAAGUAACGCAAAAUGGGUUAAGGGGUUAUCAAUGCAAUUGCAAAGGGAAUAUACAAUGGUGUUGUCGAGGUUACCGUCCUUGGUGAUGAUGAGAGGCGGUGUUCUUGAUGUCGAGCCGUUCCUAGUUAGCCGAAACACCCUAGGAAACGGAAAAACCGCAAACUCAAAAGCUCCAAAGGCAAAUGUCAAAUGGUGGUAGCGGAAAAUGGUGGUGGUUUUGCACUAGGCAAUGCGGAAGUGGAAUGAUGGGCUAUACACGUGUCGGAGUUGAAGUUGCCGUCCCUAAGUAGCCGAAACACCUUAGGAGACACAAGCCACAACUCAAACAAAAUUGGGUUAGGUUUGGGUGAUCGGUGAUGGUAAUGCGGAUGAUAUGGUGGAGGGCCUAGGCAAACUUGCCAAAUUUUGAAAAAUUUGAUGGAGUCAAAUGGUGAUGGUGGUAUUUUUGUGGGAUGGGGGAUGUCAAUAGCUUCAAAACAAGCUAAAGAAUGUCAAAAUCGGACUCCGGAUGAAUUAGUUAUGGCCAAAACGGUGAAACGAAAAAAACUGAAAUCCCAGGGGCCGGACAUCCGGGGCUCGGGCCGGAUUUCCGGAACCUGAUAUCCAGAAACUUGUGCGAAAAUGCACUCCAGGAGCCGGAUUUUCGGGCUAAUGGCCGGAUUUCCGGGAUGGCCGGAUGUCCGGGGCUCGGGCCGGAUGUCCGGGCUCCAAAUCCGAGGAUGAACUCGAGGAACUCGAUUUUGGGGCGGAAAAUUGAGAUUUCGGGGGCAAAAUUGGAGAGAUUUUGUGGAUGGAAGAUGGGGAAACUUGGGGAAAAGCUAGAUCCACUUGAAACCAAGCAAAUCCACGGAUCAAAAUCAACAAAACAUCAUCAAACCAACAAAUCACAAAAAAAAAUUGGGGCUAUUUUUGGUGGGGAUUUUCGGAUUUUAGGAUGAAAUCAAGCAAAAGAAGGCUAGAAAACGGUGGGAUGGACUCCAAAUACGUGAUAAGCGUGGCUCAUGAUACCAUAUGAUACGGGGCAAAUCCGGUGUAGGCCGAUCUUUCACGUUUGGAGUGGGAUCCCUCGAAGAGCACGAAGAACACGGGGAAGAACGGGGAGAAAUCACAAGGGGAAACACUCAAGAACAAGUCCAAAUCACACAUCCACUAGACAAUCAAACACAUAAGAUCACAAGGUACAUGAACAACAAAGGGAAAGAUACAAGGUAAGGUUCAUCUCCAAGAGGAGGUCUUGAUGAUAUCCUAGAUGGAUCUUCCCACAAGGGGGUCUUGAUGAUAUCCCGCAGGAUCUUCUCACAUGGAGGUCUUGAACUCCAUGGGAGUGGUAGUCUCUCUCUCUCAAGAGUAGAGGUAGGAGCAAAGCUCACCUAAGAAUGAGCUAUCAUAUUUGCUAACCCUAACUAGGGGAAGGGGAUGGAGUAUAUAUAGGCUAGUCCACGAAGGGGUAAGUGAGGAGGGGAUACAUGGGCCUUCGGCCUGACUCUGCGCGCAGGCAGGCGCCGGAUGUCCGGGCUGGGGGCCGGAUGUCCGGGCGUUCGCGGGAGGCCGGAUGUCCGGGGCAUGGGCCGGAUGUCCGGGCUGGUGAGAUCGGCCUCGGUGCUCUCUGGAUAGGGGCGUCGGAUUUCCGGGCUUAUGGCCGGAUGUCCGGGCUGUCGGGAGGCGCCGGAUGUCCGGGCUUGCGGGCCGGAUGUCCGGGGCCUGUAGGUACUUGGCGGCUGGGCGACUGCUGUGGGUGAUGCUCCAGGGGCCGGAUGUCCGGGGUCCUGGCCAGAUGUCUGGGUCCUGGGGGUUGUCUCCAUCUUCUUUCGUCGUCGCUUCCAAGCUUCCCUCGCGGAUGGUGUAGUUGUUCCUUGGCGCUUGCACUCCUCCUCAACAUCCGCGAAGCUCCGACAAUACCUAUGCAUGCACACCGGAGAAGUGUCAAGUAGUAUACCAUCCUCGAAGGGGUCAAGUGAGCACGUGUAAAGGAGAAGAUUCACCUUUAUGUAUGAGAAGUAGAGGUCGCACGUGUCACUUGCCAAACGGACUCUUGACAUGGUGAUGACCGUAGGAUGCUCCGCAUCAGUUGCACUAUCAUAAUUAACUUUGCAUCUUUUGGCAUCAAUAUUAUGUAUAUGUGUAUCACUACGGUCGAGAUCCAACAAACUGUUUUCAUUGGGUGUAUGUCCAUUGAAGGUUUUAUUCAUGUAAAUAGAACAACAAUUAUUCUCUGAUUUUUAAAUGAAUAACCGUAUUGCAAUAAACAUGAUCAAAUCAUAUUCAUGCUCAAUGCAAAGGCCAAAUAACAUUUAUUUAGGUUUAACACUAAUCCCGAAAGUAUAGGGAGAGUGUGCGAUGAUGAUCAUAUCAAUCUUGGAACUACUUCCAACACUCAUCGUCACUUCACCCUCAACUAGUCUAUGUUUAUUUUGUAACUCCUGUUUCGAGUUACUAAUCUUAGCAAUUGAACAAGUAUCAAAUACCCAGGGGCUACUAUAAACACUAGUAAGGUACACAUCAAUAACCUGUAUAUCCAAUAUACCCUUGUUCACUUUGCCAUCCUUCUUAUCCACCAAAUAUUCAGGGUAUUUCCGCUUCCAGUGACCAUUUCCUUUGCAGUAGAAGCACUCAGUUUCAAGCUUUGGUCCAACUUUGGGCUUCCUGCGGGAGUGACAACUUGCUUGUCAUUCUACUUGAAGUUCCCUUUCUUUCCCUUUGCCCUUUUCUUGAAACUAGUGGUCUUGUCAAUCAUCAACACUUGAUGCUCUUUCUUGAUUUCUACCUUCAUCGAUUUCAACAUCAUGAAGAGCUCGGGAAUCGUUUUCGUCAUCCCUUGCAUACUAUAGUUCAUCACAAAGUUCUAGCAACUUGGUGAUGGUGACUAGAGAACUCUGUCAAUCACUAUCUUAUCUGGAAGAUUAACUCCCACUUGAUUCAAGCGAUUGUAGUACCUAGACAAUCUGAGCACAUGCUCACUGCUUGAGCUAUUCUCCUCCAUCUUUUAGCUAUAGAACUUGUUAAAGACUUUAUAUCUCUCAACUCGGGUAUUUGCUUGAAAUAUUAACUUCAACUCUUGGAACAUCUCAUAUGGUCCAUGACAUUCAAAAUGUCUUUGAAGUCCCGAUUCUAAGCCGUUAAGCAUGGUACACUAAACCAUUACGUAGUAUCAUAUUGAGCUAGCCAAACGUUCAUAACGUCUGCAUCUGCUCCUGCAAUAGGUCUGUCAGCUAGCGGUGCAUCAAGGACAUAAUUAUUCUGUGCAGCAAUGAGGAUACACCUUAGAUCAUGGACCUAGUCCGCAUCAUUGCUACUAUUAUCUUCCAACUUAGUUUUCUCUAGGAACAUAUCAAAAAUAAUCAUAAACGGGGAGCAAAAUUGCGAGCUAUUGAUCUACAACAUUAUUUGCAAAAUACUAUCAGGACUAAAUUCAUGAUAAAUUAAAGUUCAAUUAAUCAUAUUACUUAAGAACUCCCACUUAGAUAGACAUCCCUCUAAUCAUCUAAGUGAUCACAUGAUCCAAAUCAACUAAAUCAUGUCUGAUCAUCACGUGAGAUGGAGUAGUUUUCAAUGGUGAACAUCACUAUGUUGAUCAUAUCUACUAUAUGAUUCACGCUCGACCUUUCGGUCUCCAGUGUUCCGAGGCCAUAUCUGCAUAAGCUAGGCUCGUCAAGUUUAACCCGAGUAUUCUGCAUGUGCAAAACUGUCUUACACCCGUUGUAUUUGAACUUAGAGCUUAUCACACCCGAUCAUCACGUGGUGUCUCAGCACGAAGAACUGUCGCAACGGUGCAUACUCAGGGAGAACACUUAUACCUUGAAAUUUUUAGUAAGGGAUCAUCUUAUAAAGCUACCGCCGAACUAAGCAAAAUAAGAUGUAUAAAAGAUAAACAUCAUAUGCAACCAAAAUAUGUGACAUGAUAUGGCCAUGAUCAUCUUGCGCCUUUGAUCUCCAUCUCCAAAGUACUGUCAUGAUCUCUAUCGUCACCGACAUGACACCAUGAUCUCCAUCUUCUUGAUCUCUAUCAAUGUGUCGUCACAUGGUUGUCUCGCCAACUAUUGCUCUUGCAACUAUUGCUAUCACAUAGUGAUAAAGUAAAGCAAUUAUUUGGCGCUUGCAUGUUAUGCAAUAAAGAGACAACCAUAAGGCUACUGCCAGUUGCCGAUAACUUUAACAAAACAUGAUUAUCUCAUACAACAACUUAUAUCUCAUCACGUCUUGACCAUAUCACAUCACAACAAGACCUGCAAAAACAAGUUAGACGUCCUCUACUUUGUUGUUGCAAGUUUUAUGUGACUGCUAUGGACUGAGAAAGAACCGUUCUUACCUAUGCGUCAAAACCACAAGGAUAUGUCGUCAAGUUAGUGCUGUUUUAACCUUCGCAAGGACCGGGCGUAGCCACACUCGGUUCAACUAAAGUUGGAGAAACUGACACCCGCCAGCCACCUAUGUGCAAAGCACGUCGGUAGAACCAGUCUCGCGUAAGCGUACGCGUAAUGUCGGUCCGGGCCGCUUCAUCCAACAAUAUUGCCGAACCAAAGUAUGACAUGCUGGUAAGCAUUAUGACUUGUAUCGCCCACAACUCACUUGUGUUCUACUCGUGCAUAUAACAUCUACGCAUAAACCUGGCUCGGAUGCGACUGUUGAGGAACGUAGUAAUUUCAAAAAAAAUCCUACGCACACGCAAGAUCAUGGUGAUGCAUAGCAACGAGAGGGGAGAGUAUCGUCCACGUACCCUCGUAGACCUAAAGUGGAAGCGUUAGCACAACGCGGUUGAUGUAGUCGUACGUCUUCACGAUCCGACCGAUCCAAGUACCGAACAUACGGCACCUCCGAGUUCAGCACACGUUCAGCUCGAUGACGUCCCGCGAACUCCGAUCCAGCAGAGCUUCACGGGAGAGUUUCGUCAGCACGACGGCGUGAUGACGGUGAUGAUAUUGCUACCGACGCAGGGUUUCGCCUAAGCACCGCUACGAUAUGACCGAGGUGGAAUAUGAUAGAGGGGGGCACCGCACACGGCUGGGAGAGAUCAACAGAUCAACUUGUGUGUCCAUGGGGUGCCCCCCUCCCCCGUAUAUAAAGGAGUGGAGGAGGGGGAGGGCCGGCCCUCAACUAUGGCGCGCCCUGGGGAGUCCUACUCCCACCGGGAGUAGGAUUCCCCCCCCCCUUCCAUGUACUAGGAGUAGGAGAGAAGGAAAGGGAAAAGAGAAGAGAAGGAAGGAGGGGGCGCAGCCCCUCCCCCUAGUCCAAUUCGGACCAGGCCUUGGGGGGGGGGGGGCGCAGCCUCCCCUCUCUCUUUCCCCUAAAGCCCAAUAAGGCCCAUAUACUCCUCGGCGAAUUCCCGUAACUCUCCGGUACUCCGAUAAAUACCCGAAUCACUAGGAACCUUUCCGAUGUCCGAAUAUAGUCGUCCAAUAUAUUGAUCUUUACGUCUCGACCAUUUCGAGACUCCUCGUCAUGUCCCCGAUCUCAUCCGGGACUCCGAACUACCUUUGGUACAUCAAAACACAUAACUCAUAAUAUAAAUCGUCACCGAACGUUAAGCGUGCGUACCCUACGGGUUCGAGAACUAUGUAGACAUAACCGAGACACAUCUCCGGUCAAUAACCAAUAGUGGAACCUGGAUGCUCAUAUUGGCUCUCACAUAUUCUACGAAGAUCUUUAUUGGUCAAACCGCAUAACAGCAUACGUUGUUCCCUUUCUCAUCGGUAUGUUACUUGCUGAAGAUUCGAUAGUCGGUAUCUCAAUACCUAGUUCAAUCUUGUUACCGAAGUCUCUUUCCUCGUUAUGUAAUGCAUCAUCCCGCAACUAACUCAUUAGUCACAUUGCUUGCAAGGCUUAUAGUGAUGUGCAUUACCGAGAGGGCCCAGAGAUACCUCUCCGACAAUCGGAGUGACAAAUCCUAAUCUCGAAAUAUGCCAACUCAACAAGUACCUUCGGAGACACCUGUAGAGCACCUUUAUAAUCACCCAGUUACAUUGUGACGUUUGGUAGCACACAAAGUGUUCCUCCGGUAAACGGGAGUUGCAUAAUCUCAUAGUCAUAGGAACAUAUAUAAGUCAUGAAGAAAGCAAUAGCAACAUACUAAACGAUCAAGCGCUAAGCUAACAGAAUGGGUCAAGUCAAUCACAUCAUUCUCUAAUGAUGUGAUCCCGUUAAUCAAAUGAAAACUCAUGUCUAUGGCUAGGAAACUUAACCAUCUUUGAUUCAACGAGCUAGUCAAGUAGAGGCAUACUAGUGACACUAUGUUUGUCUAUGUAUUCACACAUGUAUUAUGUUUCCGGUUAAUACAAUUCUAGUAUGAAUAAUAAACAUUUAUCAUGAAAUAAGGAAAUAAAUAGUACUUUAUUAUUGCCUCUAGGGCAUAUUUCCUUCACCAACGCCCACACACAUCUUGACAUUGUGCACUCAAUAAGGGAGAGUGUCUCCACGAGUCAUUGCUUCCACAUAUUUGGCAGCUAUCCGUAUGGCUCAUCUUUCUAAGACGACGAACAUCCUUGAAUGGCAACACAUGUUUUGCUAACCCCCAUAAGAAAGUUCUAAUCUUUCCUGAUACUUGGAUGUUCCAUAAUUAUGUCCAACACUUUUCCUCGACCCAAGCAUUUGAAUCUCAUCAAGCAAGCCCUCCUUUGGUUCAUAGGAUGGGAAUAUUGUAGGAAUAGGAACUUCAUAGGAAGUGAGAUGACAUGCAUCUCAAUUCCUAUAAAGAAAAAGAUGUCAUUUGAUGCAUCGGAUAGGAAUUUUUCCGUUGAGUCUAGGCUAAUGUUUAUUCCCCUUUGAAAUGUGAAGGAUUGAACCCUAUCCUACAUAGGAAUAGGAAUCCAUUCCUACAGACCAAAGGGCUCCAUAGGAAUUUUUCCUUUGAAAAUCCUAUCCUAUGAAAUUCCUACAAGAUUCCUGCAAACCAAAGGAGGCCCAAAUCUUCUCUCCUAUUUCUUGUGUUAACUAGCAUAUGGUAGGCCAAUCUAACUGAUAAGUACCCCUUUCUUUCAAACUGCCAUGCCCAAAAGUGUGUCAUUGGUGUCGUGCUUAAAGGAACGCCUCUGAUUGCUACCGCAUCAGAAGGAAGACAAUACUAUUGUAGUUUAUCCUCUCGCCACGACGCCGGCGUGUUGUCUAUGGGAUCACAAACAUAUAUUGGGGGAUCACUCGCCAAGCAUGCAACAUGCCUCAUAGUAGUAUCUCUUGGGCCAACCCAGUUCUGAGUCCAAAUCCGUGUCGAUGACCGGUUCCCAAUUCUCUUUAUGAGUCCCUGGGAGAGCACGCCCCUGCCUUGCAAUAUCGACCUCCAGACUUGGGAGGGAUGGGACCCGAGACCAGCAGCCAAAAUGUCUUACAAUGGGUAGUAUUUAGCCUUUAAGACCCUUCCACAAAAUGAUUGAGGCGUAGUCAACAACCGCCAUGAUAGUCGUGCAAGAAUGGCUAGGUUAAAAAGCUUGAGGUCCCUAAACCCAAAUCCCCACAUUUUUUGGUUGAGUCAUCGUUUUCUAAGAAACCCAAUGUGGUUUUCGCUGGCCCUCCUUACUGCACCAAAAGAACCGACGGAUUAGCUUAUUGAGAUGCUCACAAGGUCCUCGGGGUAGCUUGAAACAAGACAUAGAAUAAACCGGAAUCGCCUACCCCACCUAUUUAAUUAAAAUUUCUUUGCCGAUAAGAGUCCAAUAGGGUUGACACUUCCAUCGCCCAUAUACCAUCGGUCUUGAAUAACAACAGGCUACGUCAACAAAUAACAAGUGGUUAACUUGUGUCCGCUUCCACAAUCGAAUGCAACAUCUCCUGCCAGGAUGCUCCUUCUCCCGGAAGGUGUGGCACGAGAUCCUAGGCUGGAUCAGAUCAACUGCCGAUCUAUCGAAUGUGGACCCUAACUUCUACUCCUGGUGGGCCCACUCAUACGACCGUGCACCCGGGCCGGCGCGAAAAGGAUUGGCUUCCACCAUCAUCCUCGCCGCCUGGUGGCUUUGGAAGCACCAGAACGCGUGCAUCUUCGAUGGCGAGCGACCUUCGCUCUCCCACCUCACAACAUAAUUAGAGACGAAGCGCGCCUUUGGGCUAGGGCCGGCGUCACUGGGAUCCAUAAGAUCAUUCGUGAGGGGUAGUUUACUUACCCGCAGGGGCCGAGCAACCCCCUAUCUGUCUUCUUCUAACUCACGUUCAUGCCUUCUUGUGUACAUGGCUUAGUUAGUUGAUGUAAUUCCGUGCUGUAUCUCUCUUUAUCAAUAAAAAGAUACGCGAACUUUGUCUAUUCAUGAAAAAAAAAGUAGAUUAUUUUAUUUUUGAGGAUUACAAUCGAAUGUCGUAGAUCAGCCUGAAACGUACCACGAGGCCCAGGCCCAGCCUAGUCACGAGGCUCUCCCUCUGUCACCUCGCGCCGCAUCCUGAAACGUCGCUCUCUUCCCUCACCAAAAAAUAAAAAAGAAAGAAAAGAGAAAAAAAGGAAACGUCGCUCUCCCCUUCCUCCCAUCGCCUCCAGGUCUCCAGUGCUCCAUCCGCCAUCGCCUCCAGUGCUCCCGCCGCCAUCGCCGGCGCACGGCACUGACCGGAAAACACGCUCUCAGCUAGGCGCCAGCACCGCCGCCGCUUCCAGGUUCGGAGCGCGCUUGACCGGCAGCAGGCCUCCAUUGCCCCGGCCAGGUCGCAGGUUAGUAAAAAACCUAAGUCCGUCUACAGUUCGGCGGGCACCACUUCUGCUAUGUUGUUGAUAUUCUGCUUUAGUUAACACUAGAAUGAAGCAAAUUGAUAUUCUUGCCUGCAGACGCUCCUUCAAUCAGAACCCUGGGAUGUCUAGUUUGGUCAAAACUGACAUGUCAAAUUUGUGUGAACUCUUGUUGUUGUCGAUUACAAGCUAGCUAGUGUAAAAUUCUGCUUUCCUGUAUGGUUUCCUACUCUAAUUUCUUGUACCGCACUGUAUGAUGCGCACCGGUUCUACUCUCUCAAAUAAGAAAAAAAAAGGACAAAUCAGGGAGGAACCUCCUCGGUUCCAGUUUGUAUAGGAACGGGACCACCUUUUCCACCAACGUCCAAAGUUACGUAGGUUUAGAAACAAAAUAUACGUUCACCUUUUGUUACCUGAUGUCUACAGUGGAAAUGUUUCUCGAGCAACAGGUGUGAUGAAGUUUGCCUUAGUGAAGAAAAACAAAAAAAAUCCAGUAAAAUCUUGAGGGGAAGGGAAACAUGGUUAUUUGGUCAUGGUCAACCAUGUCGCCUCUUGUUAUAAUGGGAAAUAAAAACAUUACAAUGUCACCAGAGAAAUUAGUUCAUUCAGACGUUUACAAUGGAAAAUGUGUUAAAUCCAAAAAUGCUAGUUGCAAACUUGCAAUGAAGAUUUCACCCAAAUUUUCUAAACUGUCUCUUUGCUACAAUUUUAUGUAGGUGUAGCUCCAAGAACAUGUGUUCUGUGGCGUGUAUUGAUGGCCAAUAGCGAGUACGAGUAUGUGAAGAGGGAAUUCGAGUUCGACCAUCACCUCCCGGCCUCCAACUGGAUCAUUGUCUGCUUAGAUGGCUGUCAUUUCCACCGGUACUGUUCAUCUCUUCCUUCAAUAAGAAAAAAAAGUGGUUAAGCAACUGCAUAGAUCAUUUCACCAUGUCAAGUUCUUAAUCUUGUCCAUGUACCAAUGUCUUUUGCUUGAUUGUUGAAGUAUAAGCAUGUGGGAAACAUGCAAUGAAGGUUACUAUAUGCAUAUCUGGGAAUUACUGUUGCUUCAGAUUAUAAAUAGCUUAUCUUUGUUGUUCCAGUCUCCACUAAUUUCACUCCUCUUUUUGUUAGAUUCUCGAAGAUACACGCCUUUGAGAAACCAAAUGAUGAGAGCGCUUUAAGAUUGAUGAAUGCUUGUGCUAGUUCUAUCCUCGAGGAAUUUCCUGACAUAGUGUUUUCUUAUGGUGUUAGAGCAUCUCUAGCAGACCCCUUAAAAGAGCCAAAACUGUAAAAUAACUGCUUUUUACGGGAUUGAGCGGAAAAACCGACCCGGCCAGACCACUCAAAAUCGGCCGACCCGCAUAUUUUUUUGAGGGAAACCUUAAAAUAAGCCUCCAAUCCUGCAGUUGUUCAGGAUUCAGGGCAAAUUUUUCUGUUCACCUUAAAAAAAGACAGUUGGCGGGAGGGAAGUUUCAGGUCCAACCGCCAGAAUAGUUUUCAUUUUGAUCAAGAUCUAUCAUGUCAGUCUCGAUUCCGGCCAAAUUUCCAGCGGACAGGCCUGAUCUGGAGCGAUUCUAGUUGAUUUCGGUGGGCCGGCGCUAGCUCCGUGCGUGCUCCUUGGGAGGGACGGUGACAUGCCGCUGCUGCUGCGGCUGUUCAUAGACGGGAGGUACGUUGGCGUCGCCGACGAGGUGGUUGCGCUGCACGAGCAGUCGCGGCUCUGGUCGGUGCUCCGCCGAGCAGCCAGGCGCGUGCGAGGCGGCCUGCGAGGUGUGCGGCGACACCUGGUUCGUCGUGUGCGGAGGUGGACUGCACGGUGUGCGGCGGCAAGGAUUCAGGGAGAUGCGGGUGAAAGGAAGAAGGAGAAGACCACGGGGAAUAUUUGGUAUUACGGUAUUUUUUUUUGGGAUCCGUUCCAAUGUAGCCUGCACGGUACCACAAAACAGGUUUAAGGUUCCCCUUAUAAUGCUUUUACGGUACCGCGAUAUAAGGGAUCUACUAGAGAUGCUCUUAGUGAUGAGUACAGGUAUAACCCGUAUAACAUCUUCUCAUGAAAGUUAGAUUGUAAAAUGGAUGCAAAUUUUAUAUUAAAAAUUUGUAUGCAAAUACUUUUAUGAAUGGAGAUACUUUUGAAUUGCACGGGCUUUGUUCUCAGAUAAUAAUGUUAGGUUCUCAUAUUUCUGUUUGCUUUGCAGUUUUGUUUUCAGAGAGGGAACAGAAUUCUGUCAAAGACUUCUCUACCAAUAAUUGCAGCAAAAUUCUCUCUUUGUGUGUUUCUUACAUCACACCUGUGUAUGUGAUGAAGUUGAAAGAUUUCUUUCCAAAUAAAGAGUUGAGAGAGGCUCCAUAUUUUGAUGGGCGAGUUGUAUGCUAUCCAAAUAUGAAGACCAUUCGUGAUUAUUUGGCAUGGAGGCAACUGGACUGUAAGCUUCUUUAACUACAGUCGACAGUUUCCUAGUAUAAGUGAUAAGAUUCUUGUAUUUUGCAAUUGUGCAUGUUGAUCUCCUCUACAAUAACAUCUUGUCGUGUAUGUUAUUCCCCCAAAGUUGUAGAAACGUCAGCAAUAUUAAAUAAACACAAGUAUGGUGUAUGUAUCAUCAUUCAAUAGAUUUGUAUGUCCGGUUGCUCCGUUGCUUAGUUUGUUUUAGUUUAUUGGGUAAGUAAUGAACAUAUUUAAUUUGAGACGUGUGUUUCAGGUCAUAGAAAUAAUCAUUAAAAUACAUGCUUCUGGACAUUAGUGAUAUCUGAAAAAACUGAAAAAGAGGCACAACAAGCAUUGAAGGUAAUCUAAGUUUUAUAGAGUUUGAGUUGUCUUUUGUAUCAUUUGUAUAAAUUCUUUUUUGUGAACCAUCUAUUCUAGGGAACAUUUUCUAAGGAUAAAAACGAGUUGCUUUGACAACAGUUCCAAAUCAUCCAUGAUGAUGAAUCGACUAUGUUCCGAAAAGGAUCCAGUGUUUAUCGAGAUAACGUAAUGGUGUCAACCAUACAAAAGGAAAUCAUCAUUAAAUGUUCCUACUCAUUCUCAGUGACAUAAUUUCCAUGUUUCUGUCACAAGAUAUCGCUUGCAUGAUUUAUGCAAAUGACCAUCAUAGUUUCUAAUCAUAACUUGGUGCAGAGAUCAAUCUAGCAUUUCUGAAUUCGCAUCUGAUAUCCAGAUAGUUAAAUGUGAAAAGUCCCUCUAUACUUUAGUUUUGAGGGAUAAUCGGAACUCCGUAUUUGGCAUUUCACGCCAUUUCCUUGUCUGAUAUUGGUCGAAUGCUAUAAUUCUUCUAAUCAGCUGUGCAGAUUACGUAAUGUAUUUCUAUUGUGGGUCUGAUUGUUGAAUAAUGUUAUUUUGUGGGACAUGUUUUGCUCAACUCUUACUUAAGAACAGUUAACCCUGUAUGGUGCUCUUUCGAAUACUGAUGGAAGUGUUGUUGUACAUACCAUUGCAGGUAGAAACAACACUGAAAAUUGACGAUUAUGGGAAUCUUAUAAAAAGAACCCGGUUGGCAAUUACAGUGUCAAUUUUUGAUAUCAUAGGACAUGAGUUUCGAGGAAAACAUCAAAACAUUCUUCGAGAAGGUUAGUUGAAUCAUUAUAGUUUUUGCAAUGCUUCCAGUCCAGCUCCAGUCAACUUUUGAUACAUACAACCAGUACUGUACUGUAUACAACAUCGGUCUAACUGUGUGUUUGGGAGAAGAAAAAUAUAGAUACGAAUAUAUUAUAGAAGUACGAAUACAUCCAUAGGCUUCCAUGUUGUAAUUGAACUGUUGUUCAUAUCAGCGCCUGCCAAAUUGAUCAGUGAGGACCCCUAGUUUCCUAUUUAUGGAAUGUAUAUGCUCCAAUGCCAUUUACAGUUUCUUGUCGACAGUAGUACAAUAUGUAACAUCUGAAUUUAUCUGUUCAUCUACACCAGUAUGUAUGGUAGGACUAGGGUUCCUACCGGCUCUACUCCGUAGGUUAUACGGGCAGAACAGCGAGGGUUGGGGCCGAGGGCGGCGGCUCCGGCGUGUUGGCGCCGUCGCGAGGGAGAAGAAGGGCGGCGGCGGCUAGGGCAAGGUGCGGCUAGGGUUUCCGGCUCCUCUGGAGCCGGGCAAUAUGAUAGAACUAUCUUUAUUGCUUGAUCUCAAACGAUGUCUUACAACUAGUAUUUAUAACUUUAGCCUAAGAUAACUUGCUAAAAUAACUUGCCUAAGAUAACUUGUGGGUCAAGCCCCUAAGGCCUUGUACAAUGGGAGAUGCUUAGAGGAGGUGCUUAGAUAAAUAAACCAGACUUUUCUUAAGCACCGGUGCUUAUUUAUACAGGGUAGACGCUUAACUAAGCGUCUCUCCUGUAGAAGUAGGCACCGGUGCUUCAGAAAAUCUCGGUUUAUUUUUCUAAGCACCCCUCUAAGCAUCUCCCAUUGUACAAGGCCUAAUACUAAUGCCCGGUGGGCCUCUUUCGGGUAUAGACCAAACCGGUCAUAACAUCUCUCCCCGCCUGCGCAAACAGCUCGUCCUCGAGCUGAAAGUCUGGAUGGUGUUGGCGGAAUUCCUCACGCUGCUCCCAAGUAGCCUCCUCCUCCGGAAGGCCCGCCCACUGAACGAGGAUGAACCAGGCGCCACGACGGAGCUGCGCCUGCAACACCUUUGCCGGCUCUGGAAGAAUGCGACCAUCGGCGAUGGGAGGAAGCGCCGGAGGAGCCGCCGGUGGCUCGCCACGGAAAGGCUUGAGUAGCCCCACAUGGAAGACGUCGUGGAUGCGAGCGCGGGCUAGAAGCUGAAGACGAUAGGCCACCUUCCCAAUGCGCUCCAAGAUAGGGAAGGGCCCGGCGUAGUGAGGGCCGAGCUUGCGCUUCGCGCGUGGGUCGAGUGACUGCGUAGAGUGGUGGAGAAGACGCAGCCACACCCAAUCACCCACCGCGAACUCCGCCUCGCGAUGAUGAUCGUCGUAGUAGUGCUUGGCCAGCUGCUGGGCCUGAAGGAGACGCUGACGAACCUCAGCAAGCAUCUCGUCACGAGUGCGGAUGAGGUCACCCGCAACCUCCGUCCGAGCUGUCUCCGGAUCCACCGGAAGUAUAGGCGGGGGUGGUCGACCAUAGACCACCUCAAACGGCGUAGCGCGCAGGGGGCGGAGUGAUAAGAGGUGUUGUAGCAGUACUCCGCCCAAGAGAGCCAGUCCACCCAAGCGCGAGGCCGAUCACCUGUCACACAAUGCAAAUACAUGGCAAUGACCUUGUUAACCACCUCGGACUGACCGUCUGUCUGAGGAUGGAAUGCCCUACUCAGGCGGAGCUGGACACCCGCCAUCCUGAAGAGGUCGCGCCAGACGUGGCCCGUGAACAAUGGGUCCCGAUCACUGACGAUCGAAGCAGGGAACCCGUGUAGACGGACGAUGCCGUCGAAGAAGGCCCGGGCCACUGACGCUGCCGUGUAUGGAUGGCCGAGCGCGAUGAAGUGGGCGUACUUGGAGAAGUGGUCAACCACCGUGAGGAUGACCGACUUGCCGGCCACCUUGGGAAGACCCUCAAUGAAGUCCAUGGAUAUAUCCGCCCAGACCUGAGACGGCACCUCCAAGGGUUGGAGUAACCUGGCCGGCCUCAGGGUCUCUGUCUUGUUUCGUUGGCAUGUCUGAUAAGACCGAACCCAGCCGCGGACCAGGGCGCGAUCGCCAGGGAUGUAGAAGUCGGCGCGAAGACGAUGGAGGGUUUUCUGCAUACCCUCAUGACCCGCCGAGUGGGCGAGCUAUAACACCUGGUGACGGAGAUCAUCCUGCGCCGGAACAAAGACCCGGCGCCCAUGUAGGAGCAGUCCGUCAGAGAAGCGCCAAGGCUCCUCCAGGUCACCGGCCGUGAGCUGCUGCUGAAGACGGACGGCGUCGUCGGCCGCCGCAGUGGCGCGGCGAAUGUCGGCGAAGAGGCCGAACGUCGGCCCGGAGCGGAUGCACAGGGCCGCCCCGGCGGACUCGUCGGCGGAGGAAGCGAGGUCGGAGUCACGACGGGACAGCGCGUCGGCCACGGUGUUAAGGCGGCCCGGCCGAUACUCGACGGAGAAGUUGAAGCCGAAGAGCUUGCUGAUCCACUGGUGCUGCGGCACGGUCGACAGUCGUUGGUCCAGCAAGAACUUCAGGCUGUAGUGGUCGGUGCGAAUGUGGAAGGACCGUCCCCACAAGUACGUCCGCCAAUGACGAACGGCCUAUACAAGGCCAAUGAGCUCCCGCUCGUAUGCCGCCAGCUUAAGAUGACGCGGAGCGAAAGGCCGGCUGAAGAAGGCGAGGGGCCCAUCGCCCUGAUGAAGCACGACGCCGAACCCUGCGCCCGAGGCGUCACAGUCCACCACGAACGGGCGGUCGAAGUCGGGCAUCUGGAGGACGGGGCCUGUCGUGAGGGCCCCCUUGAGGGCCUCGAACGCCGUCGUCGCCUCGUCGUCCCAGGCGAAAGCGUCGCGGCGAAGCAACCGCGUGAGGGGCGCCGCGAUGAGCCCGAACUCCCGGAUAAAUUUUCGGUAGUAGCCGGCGAGGCUGAGGAACCCGCGGAGAGCCCGCGGCGAAUGAGGCGUCGGCCAUGCGGAGACGGCAGCCACCUUGUCGGCGUCCAUAGCCACCCCGUCGGCCGAGAUGAAGUGGCCCAAGUAGGCCACCGAAUGCGUCCCGAACGAGCACUUCGAGCGCUUAAGGUGGAGGUGGUGCGCUCGAAGCUCGUUGAAGACGAUGGCGACGUGCUGGAGGUGCUCGGCCCAAGACGCACUGUAGAUCAGAAUAUCAUCAAAGAAAACGAGCACAAACCGGCGUAAGUAGGGCCCGAGGACGUCGUUUAUCAGAGCCUGGAAGGUCGCCGGGGCGUUGGUGAGGCCAAAGGGCUUCACCAAGAACUCGAAGUGGCCGUGACGAGUCCGAAACGCCGUCUUGGCGAUGUCAUCCGGGUGCAUGCGCACCUGGUGGUACCCCGACCGGAGGUCGAGUUUGGUGAAGAAGCGCGCCCCGUGGAGCUCAUCGAGGAGCUCGUCGACCACCGGAAUAGGGAACUUGUCCUUAAGUGUGACCGCAUUAAGGGCAUGGUAGUCGAUGCCAUGGUUUUCGAGUCGCGACUCAUGCGAGUCGCUCUGGGGCAGCGACUCGGAAGAAAUCGAGCCUGCGUUGUGACUAGUCGCGACUCAGAGUCGCGAGUCGACACUAAGCUGAGUCGACCAUAUUUUUGUGACUCAUAGACUAGUCGUCGACUAGUCGUGACUAGUCGAGCGACUCAAAAUCCAUGGUCGAUGCAGAAACGCCAUGUGCCGUCUGACUUCCGGACGAGAAGCACCGGCGCGGUAAAUGGCGAAGUGGAGAGACGGAUGAUGCCUGCGGCAAGCAUGAGCGCACACUGUCGCUGCAACUCAUCCUUCUGCAACUGUGGGUAGCGGUAAGGCCGUACCGCCACCGGCGUGGAGCCUGGCAGAAGAUGUAUACGGUGAUCGUACGUGCGGGCGGGCGGCAGCCCCUGUGGCUCGGUGAAGAUGUCAGCGUGCUGCUGGAGGAGGCUCUCCAAUAGUGGGUGCUCGGCCGUGGCGGUGGUCGCGGCCAGCUGGAGUGGAGUGGUUGGGGCGACACCCCCAAUGCCGUCCCACCGAAUGCGGCGGCCCAACCGCCAGAAGGUCAUCGUCAGCGCGUCGAAAUCCCAGAGAAUAGGACCAAGAGUGCGCAAGAAGUCGACGCCGAGGAUGAAGUCGAAGCAGCCCAAGUCGAUGCCGGCGCAGGUGAUGGUGAAGUGCUCGUCGCCGAUAGUGAUGGGCACGUCGCGGGCGAGCCCGUGGCAGCGGAGACGGUCGCCAUUAGCGACUGUGACUUGCAACUGCUCACCGCCGGUUAGCUGUAAUGCAAGGCGCCGCAUGGUGGUCUCUGGCAGGAAGUUAUGCGUGGACCCUGUAUCCACUAGGGCCACCAGGCGCUCGCCUUGGAUCAUGACCGGUAAGAGCAUCGUCCGUUCAUCACGGAUGCCGGCCAGCGCGUGUAGGGACACCACGAGGACGGUGGCCGGGGCGGGCGCGGGUGCCGCUGCGGGCUCCGCAAGGGCUGGAGCGCCGAGGCCAUCCUCCAGUGUCUCCUCAGUCUCGUCUGUCGUCUCCAAGUAGAAGAGGCGGGGACAGACAUGGCCCGGUGCAUAGGGCGCAUCACAGUUCAAGCACAAGCCCAGGCGCCGGCGUUCCAGCUGUUCCGCCUGAGUGAGGCGCCUGAAUGGCCGCGUCGGUGCCGGGGUGGGUGCCGGGGCGGCUGUGGACGACGCCGGUGCUGCCGGAGACGGCCGGGGAGGCUGUCGGCCCCCACGUGGCGCGGAUGGACGCGUUAAGGCCUGGGCGCGCUGCUCGAACGCCCGGGCAUAGUACAUGGCCGUCUGAAGGUCUUGGGGCCCCUUCAUCUCGACGUCCACGCGGAUGUGGCCGGGAAGGCCGCCGAUGAAAAGCUCCGCCCGCUGUAAGGCCGUCACACCGGGCGCGUGGCACGCCAGGGCCUGGAAGCGGUCGGCAAAGUCCUGCACCGUGGAGGUGAACGGCAGGCGGCCCAACUCGGCCAAGCGGCUCCCGCGGACCGGUGGCCCGAAACGAAGAAGGCACAGCUCUUGGAAACGAUCCCACGGGGGCAUGCCGCCCUCGUCCUGCUCGAGGGCGUAGUACCAUGUCUGGGCGGCCCCGCGGAGAUGGUAGGAAGCCAGCCAAGUGCGCUCCGACGCGGGUGUGCGCUGUCCGCGGAAGAACUGGUCACACUGGUUGAGCCAGUUAAGCGGGUCGUCGGAGCCGUCGUACGUGGCGAAGUCGAUCUUGGCGAACCGGGGCGGCUGCUGGUGUGGCGCGCCCUGGCCCACUGCCUCGGCAGUGCGUAGGGCGGAUGAUGGUGCGCGGUCCAUGGUGGAAGGCCCGACGUAGUUCCCGGUGGCGCCCGACGCCUCGGGCUGCAACGGGAAACCGGACGGCGGACGGGCCUCCGGGUAGGCCGAUGGCGGCCUGUGAAGCCAGUCGGGGAGUGGCGAUGGUGAUGACGGAAAGCGAAUCUCCUGGAUCGGAAGCCCGCUCGGCGACGACCGGCCCAGGUUAGGGCUGGGAUGGGGCGGUGGAGGACCCUGCUCCGUGGCCGCUAGAAGGGAUGGCGCGGCGGGAGACGGCGCGGUCCAGGUGGGCCACUGCGGCCCUGUGGUGGCGGCGAGUGGCGCGGUUGCCGUCGCGAGCUGCGGCGGCCACUGUGGCCAAGGCGGCGGUGCGGCCGCCGGGGCGGGGAGCGNNNNNNNNNNNNNNNNNNNNNNNNNNNNNNNNNNNNNNNNNNNNNNNNNNNNNNNNNNNNNNNNNNNNNNNNNNNNNNNNNNNNNNNNNNNNNNNNNNNNNNNNNNNNNNNNNNNNNNNNNNNNNNNNNNNNNNNNNNNNNNNNNNNNNNNNNNNNNNNNNNNNNNNNNNNNNNNNNNNNNNNNNNNNNNNNNNNNNNNNNNNNNNNNNNNNNNNNNNNNNNNNNNNNNNNNNNNNNNNNNNNNNNNNNNNNNNNNNNNNNNNNNNNNNNNNNNNNNNNNNNNNNNNNNNNNNNNNNNNNNNNNNNNNNNNNNNNNNNNNNNNNNNNNNNNNNNNNNNNNNNNNNNNNNNNNNNNNNNNNNNNNNNNNNNNNNNNNNNNNNNNNNNNNNNNNNNNNNNNNNNNNNNNNNNNNNNNNNNNNNNNNNNNNNNNNNNNNNNNNNNNNNNNNNNNNNNNNNNNNNNNNNNNNNNNNNNNNNNNNNNNNNNNNNNNNNNNNNNNNNNNNNNNNNNNNNNNNNNNNNNNNNNNNNNNCGUGGCCCGGCGCGGUGCCGGGUGCCGGGAGGGUCGGCGCCGAGAGCGACGCCGUGGCGCCUGCCGAGAGCGAGGCCGUGACGCCUGGCGCGGAAGCGGCGGCGGUGGAGGAGUUGGCGUCAGCGGCGGUGGUGGCGGCGGUGGCGGAAUUGGAGGUGGCGAAGACAUGGUCGAAACCCGGGUACCUGAUACCAAAUUGGUAGGACUAGGGUUCCUACCGGCUCUACUCCGUAGGUUAUACGGGCAGAACAGCGAGGGUUGGGGGCGAGGGCGGCGGCUCCGGCGUGUUGGCGCCGUCGCGAGGGAGAAGAAGGGCGGUGGCGGCUAGGGCAAGGUGCGGCUAGGGUUUCCGGCUUCUCUGGAGCCGGGCAAUAUGAUAGAACUAUCUUUAUUGCUUGAUCUCAAAGGAUGUCUUACAACUAGUAUUUAUAACUUUAGCCUAAGAUAACUUGCCUAAAAUAACUUGCCUAAGAUAACUUGUGGGUCAAGCCCCUAAUACUAAUGCCCGGUGGGCCUCUUUCGGGUAUAGACCAAACCGGUCAUAACAAUGUAUGCAUUAAAUUUAGUUCUUGUUUAGUGUUUUACUGUGAUGAAUACUUAUCAAUGCCCUUGUCACUUCAUUUUCAUUUUCUAAUAGUAUCCUGAUGCAAGGGCUUAUCUAUAAUACCUAAAUAGCUCAUCCCCACUAUCUUAUUUCUCUUGACAUGCAGCCUAUCCACCUCAUAUGUGCCACAUCAGCAUUAUCAUCUUUAAUUUUUCCAAAGCAUUGCUUUUCUGAUGAGAAAUACCACUUCAUUUCUUAACCACACGCUGCUAUGUUUUUUUUCUGCCAAAGGCCCACAAGGCCCGACCGCACCGCUUCCUUAUGCACUUCGGUUUCCUUCCCGAUUGAUUUCCCCAUCAAAGCACGAGUCCGUCCGCUUCCUUCUCCACUUCCGUUUCUUCCCCACAGGAUAAAUCUUUCUCCAAUCCUCGCGUGUGCGGCGGCUGGAUGGUAAUCUCACGCGAGGGCGCUCCUCCGGAUAUGAGCACCAGUCCACUCCGACUCCCCUUCGAUGCCUCUCAGGGCGAUGGGAUGUGGGCCGAGCCAUGGUUCCCUUGCCGCCAAUCUAGAACGUUGACCAGCGCAGCCGAAUCAUUCUAAGCGCACGCCAUCGCUCUUCUCCAGGCUCUCCUGGCGCUGGCGGCCUCGGACGAGUCACAAGCGGCCUCCCGGUUGCGGCCCCGAUCUGGACGAGUAGUUCGGGUUCCAGCUGGAGGAGCUGUCAACAUCAAGGUCCGCGAGCCCAACCCAAAGAAAUGCCUAAGCAUCUCUUCUCCUUGCUCUCUCUCGAUUUGUUUUCAGGAGCAGCCGGUAUAUAUCCAUGCCUCAAACAGAGAUUGGGUUCUUUGACUUCGAGCUAGAUAUCCGUGCCACAAGUCAUCGACCCAGUUUCGGGAUUAAACAAUUUGUCCAGUUCUAUGUGGUUCGGCUGUGAUUGCCCCUUUGAUGAUUUGUCUGCACUAUUGUUCAUGUUCAAAGUUAAUAUAGUUUUUGUUUUAUUUUAUUUACAUGCAUGGCCAUUCUAUUGUUCAGGUUUGGACAUUUUUUAUUGAUGCAACUCCUUUUUGUUUUAGCUCUUCUGCUUUCAGGUAUGUAUAUGUUUUGCCUCCUGUCUUCUCCACAGCUGCCUCUCUCCCUCUUCACCUUCUCCAGCCUCAUAUAAAUCCCACUGCUCUCCUCUAAAAGGAAACAGAUGUGUUUAAUUCUCCCAGGUAACCGCUGCAGUACAUUUCCCCUUUUAUCAUUGGAGCUGCUCAUGAGUCAUGACCCUGCUCGAUAGUCGCUGGGUUUUGCCCUUGGAUAUUCGGCCACAUCCAUCGCGUGUUGGUGCCCUGCAUGUUGACCGGGACAUACCUGCGUCCUCACGCCACAACCCCUGUCCGUACAUGCUACCCCAGCAGCCUCCUCAUCGUACGUACAGCCCAUCAAAUUGUUUGCAAAACGAUGCUGAAUUGGAACUAUAUGUAUGGCCUCUUUUUCUGCGGUUUGUUCUUGCAAUCAUGAGCCAGAGGUUGGAAACAUCCUAGGUUGGGUCACGUUUGCGCCGUCGACGCCACCUGCAACCUAUUUCAACCCCCUCUGUACAAGGUUCUCCCUGAUUCCUCCAUUCCAAUCUCCCUGCACCAUGUUGUUCGUUAGAUUACUACCAUGCAUUUGACCUGUUGAUCGUUUUCGCCCUGCUUUCCUUCAGUAUAUUUAGAGAAUCAAUGUUCGUAUCAUGAAUCACGUCUUUGUGUUGAUAUUUUUUUCCCUAGCUCAUCACUAGGUAGUCAUGGAUUCUUAUUUUGCUCUUCUUUUGUUUUGACUGGGUGUAUAUAGUAUAAACAGACAUGCAUACACACUGGGUUCAGACUUCUGUGUAAACUGAAACAGGGAAUUAAUCGUUGUGCCAUGUUCCAAACUAAAAAUAGAGAAAAGUGGACAAAUGAUUGGUUAGCAAAUAUACAUAGCCGCAGGCAAAUAUAUUCUAGGUUGCUGACUGCACAAUCUGAACUAUAUAACUCUGAAAAUAUAUUAGACUCUUUCUCUUGGGAGUUUAGAGCUGUUGUAGCGUUGCUAUAUAAAUAGAUGUCCAGCUCACUUGAUUGUGUAAUAUAGAUGUGUAGGUGAGACAUCAAACUGAACCAUAAUAUCAGGUUUAGAGAUGCACAUGGCCAAUGAUCUCAAACGUGUGUGUGAUGUUUCAGCAUAUAUGCAGUUCUGGUCACUGACUGACAAAUUCGUAGAAAUACAAAAUCAGUACGUACAUUCAGAAAAAACGUGUUAUUAGUUUUAUCAUUGUGGCAUAUCUGCAGUUCUGGUCAUUGACUAACAAACUGUAUAGGCCACUGUAUACAAAACUACAAAUAUAUUAUGAUGUGGGGCUACAUGUAUAGACAUCAUCUGCACUUUUUUUGCAAGCUUCCACUUUGAUUCAUGUGCUCACCUCUUUAUCUUACAUUAGUGUAGAUUGCCAUCUCUGCAGAAUGUGAAGUUAGUUGUGUAGUUUCUUACUUAAAUUUGGUUCAUGACCUUUCACACAAAAUUCAUGAAAAAAAUCCCGCAGCAACGCGCGGGGCAUCAGCUAGUUACUGUUGUAGCUAGUUCGAACAACAAACCAUAAGAAAAUGAGCUGACUCCCUAUACUAUUCACAGGUCACAACAGGAUCCAGUACAAGACAUGCUUUUGGAUGCUAGUGAAGUCCAGAAAGGGCGAAAACGAAGCUUACGAUAUGCUGAAGGUCUUCUUUCAUCAUCUACGUAAUCUAAAUAUUUGUUUGCAUUAUCCUAUUCAAUUCUUCUGUUAUCUACAGUCCCUAACUUUCUACCGUUCUCUGAAGGUCAAAGGACAAGAACGAGUUGCUCUUUCAGCCGUUUGAAAUGAACUACAACAACGAACCGGCCAUGUACUGAAAGGGCUCAUGUGCUUACCGUGAAAAAGGUAUGUUUACCAUCAUCCAGGAACUAUUUUCAACAACAAUGCUGUUUGCGCUGCAGUUUCAUAUUAAGCAUUCCAAAAUAAAAUGUAGCGAUGCUGAAGAAACAAGAUUUACUUUGCCUAAUAAAAGAUUAAAGUUUUUUUUCCAACCCUGUGUGUAUUACAAUGAUGGGCUGUGCGGGGCGGCUUAUGGCUGUGCGGGGCGAGUAGGUGGCGGCUCAGGGCAUGGUAAUGCAGUGUCGGCGGUUGGCGGUGGCCCGCGGUGCAUCUUCUCCUUCCGCAGCGUCCGGGAAGACGAGGGGAUCCGGCAGUCUGCUGGGUACCCUGCUUAGCACCCCAGGCACAGCCCGCGUGCGUCGCUGCUGGAGGUAGUCACCCCCCGGCGUCGCUGCUGGAGCUAGUCACCCCCCGGCGUUGCUUCCUGGCAUCUUUGCGUGGGCGCUGUGUCCGGUCCUUGGUCCCGUGCACCCACCUCGCCCGGAGUGGAGGGAGUCCUGCGGGUACCAGAUGUGCGUAGCAGCAGCCUUGUGUUCGCCACCAAUUGCGUGCACCAGCUCAUCCCCACCCACGCCUGCUUCGUGUCUCUCCCGCGUCGAGAUGUUAUCCGUUCCAUAACCUCCAGAUGCCUCUGAAAAUAUGGCAUUCUAUCGGUUCCUCGUCGACGCGCUGGUCUCGUGGUCCUCGAAGCGCCAGCCCACGGCGUCCCGCUCCAGCGUGGAGGCAGAGUACCGUAGCGUGGCCAACACCGGGCCGAGUGUGUCUGGCUUCGACAACUCCUCGGCAAGCUCUGCUGCGCGGUCACCACUGCAACGCUGCCAUGCUGGUCUACUGCGACAACAUCUCUGCCGUGUACCUAUCCAGCAAUCUCGUUCACCACCACGGCACCAAGCAUGUCGAGCUGGACAUCCACUUGUAUAAAUCUAACCUUGAUCAAUGCAAUCGGUGUGUUCCCCCUGUAUAAGUCUAACCUUAAUGGCUUCUGCACAGAGCGGAUGACUGCAGGUGGACGAUGCUGCGAGUGGGCGGUGGCGCACGUCGACAUGAGGCCAGAGUUUUGGAGAACGCAUCGUCGUGGUCGUGGCUUUGUUAGCAGGUCGCAGGAACAGGUGAUGACUAAGUAGGAGUAGUUCUCAUCAUUGUCUCAAAGAAAACGUGACGGUUUAUUACGGCUGGAUAAUACAGCAAGGUCCGGCGUUCGAUCUCUGGACCGUGUAUUAUACUCCCUCCGUUCUGAAUUAAUUGUCUUGGAUUUGUCUAGAUACGGAUGUAUCUAGACUCAUUUUAGUGCUAGAUACAUCCGUAUCUAGACAAAUCCAAGACAAGUAAUUCGGAACAGAGGGAGUAUUAGCGAACAUCAUUUAUUUAUUUUUUCGAUCGUUGAAACCUCUGGUGGGCCGGAUACUGUGUCAGCGCGCGUGCGUGCCGAGUCAGCCCAUGCGGACGAGCGCACAGGUUGUAUGCUCUAAAAAUUGUCCCACCUCGCCUGCUGUGGGACGCUGUGCGCAGCUUAUAUAGUGCCUUCCUCCAAUCGCAUUACCUCCACGGGGACAACCAGCCGAGAAAGAGGCCUUAGAGCCCACGAAAAAAGGAAAGAGGCUUCAGAGCCCACAAGAGGCUUCAUAGCCCAUGAGAAAAAAAAGGGCUCUUUAUAGAGCCCACAAAAGAAAAAAGAGCCAGAGCCGAAAAAUGGACCGAGGCCAGAGCCAACCAAUAAAAAUAGAGGCUUCAUAGCAUGAGAAAAAGGAAAAGAGGCCUUUAUUAGAGCCCAUGAGAAAAAAGAAGAAAAGAGGCUCUUUAUAGAGCCCACAAAAGAAAAAGAGCCAGAGCCGAAAAAUGGACCGAGGCCAGAGCCCACGAAAAAAGGAAAGAGGCUUCAGAGCCCACAAGAGGCUUCAUAGCCUAGCCCAUGAGAAAAAAGAAAAGAGGCCAAAGGGCUCUUUAUAUUGCCCACAAAAGAAAAAAGAGCCAGAGCCGAAAAAUGGACCGAGGCCAGAGCCAACCAAUAAAAAUAGAGGCUUCAUAGCAUGAGAAAAAGGAAAAGAGGCCUUUUAGCCCAUGAGAAAAAAGAAGAAAAGAGGCUCUUUAUAGAGCCCACAAAAGAAAAAGAGCCAGAGCCGAGGCACAUGGCUUUUUUAAUUUCUUUUUUUAACUCCUAUUUUUUCUGACAUAUGUACGAGAAACAAUUUAUUUAUUUAUGAUGGUCACUUUUAUCCUCCAACCAAGAGUACGAAAAUGCCCAUAAUAUGAAUAUGUAUACUUUUUAACUCCUACUAACUUUUUCCUGAUAUAUAUACCAUGAGAAACAAUUUAUUUAUUUAUGGCGGUCAUUUUUAUCCUCCAAUCAGGAGUGUGAUAAUGCCCAAACCAAUUUAUUAGAGCCCACGAGAAAAAAAGAAAAGAGGCUCUUUAUAGAGCCCACAAAAGAAAAAGAGCCAGAGCCGAAAAAUGGACCGAGGCCAGAGCCAACCAAUAAAAAAAGAGGCAAAGUACCUGUGUUGUCUGUGCUAGACAUUAGCACAUGGCUUUUUUUAAUUGCCUUUUUUAACUCCUAUUUUUUUCCUGAUAUAUGUACAAAAAAUAAUUUAUUUAUUUAUGACGGUCACUUUAAUCCUCCAACCAAGAGUAUGAAAAUGCCCACAAUAUGAACAUGUAUACUUUUUUAACUCCUACUGUUUUUUUCCUGAUAUAUAUACCAUGAGAAACAUUUUAUUUAUUUAUGGCGGUCAUUUUUAUCCUCCAACCAGGAGUGUGAAAAUGCCCAAAAUAUGAACAUGUAUUUUUUAUCUUUGUCGCAACCUUUUUCUUAACUCCUACUGUUUUUUUCUAGUAUAUAUACGAGAAACAAUUUAUUUAUUUAUUUAUGGCGGUCACUUUUAUCCUCCAACAAAGAGUAUGAAAAUGCCCAAAAUAGGAAGGGAAACGUUUUACGCCGGGGCACCGGCCGAGUUUUCGGCCGGUCGCUCGCGACACGCGACCUGACGCGUGGGCCCACAUCACUCCCUUUCCCCACCACACCUUAUCCUCAGCCGCAUCACACCGCUAUAUUUCCCCCAACUUAUCCUGAGCCACACCAGCAUCUAUCUUCAUCAAAUCCCUCUCACCAUGCAAGCCCUCUCAAGCUCGAUUCCUCCCCCUCUCUCUCCUUUCAUUCCUCCUGCAGCCAUGAGAGCACUAGUUUGUUGCUGCUCUGUCGUGCAUCACCCCCCACCCCACGCCCGCCCCACGCCCGGCCCACCGCGUGCUUGGCUGGAACCAGCCAGUCUAGUGCCUGGCAGCGUCAAUUCUUGUUGAUAAAGCUUCGACCUCCGGCUGGAUUUUUGCUGGAACCACUGGUUGGGGAUGUUACAAGUAGGGGGGAUUUUUGCAGCAACUAUAUUCUUUUUUUGCUGGAACCAAUCCUAAUUUUUGCUACCAUCUUGUUUUGAUUUUGCUGGAAGCAGUUUAAAAAUUGCUACCACGGUCUUUCUGUUUUGCUGGAACCGGUAAUUUUUCUGCUUCAACCUAAUACUGGAGAUUUUUGUUGGUAAAGCUUCAACCUCCGGCUGGAUUUUUGCUGGAACCGCUUUGAUUUUUGUUGGAUCCGGCAUUUUUGAUUUUGCUGCAUAUGCUAGGAUUUGGGGCGGCGACGGACAACGGUUGCUAUGUGUUUUGUUGCAUAAGUUUUUUUCUGCUAGAACCAGCAAUCAAUUUUGUUACAACCAGCUGCAGCGGAGCUGGAACCAGCGACAUUUAUUUUGUUUGUGACCUUUGGUGAGGGCACAUUUUUGCUAGAACCGUGAUAUAUUUUUGCUGGGACGGUUUUUGGUUUUUGCUACUACUAGCGAAACCCCUUUUUCGUUGUCGAAGCUCUUUUUGAUGAACACGGUGGUGGAAGCCGGUUUUGGUGGCGAGCUGAGACGGCGACGGCGGGGGCUGCUGCAACCACGACGUCCACAUGUUGGAACCAGUCGAUGAAGAGCUACAAACGGCAGAAACUGAAUUUUCGCGGGCAACCGUGCUGCAAUCCCGACGGCCGCACGACGAGAGGCGUCAGGCCGACAGAGCGACGACACAUGCGGUGGUGCUGUAACGGGAAGACAAGGCGAGGCAGUGGCGCACGCGGCGGUGCUGCAACCGGAAGACGAGGCGAGGCGGUUGGCGCGGGCGGAGGCGGCAUUCUCAUCCUCUCCCUAUUUUCCCGUGCGGGAGGUUGACGAAGGAGGGGAAGGGGGAUUGAUCUGACUUUUUUUUAGAGCAAGGGGAUUGAUCUGACGGGUAUGCAUGUACAGAUCGAAUGGCCCUAGGCAGACCGGCCGAAAGUUUCGGCCGGGACGCCGGCGCCUAUCACUCGCCAAAUAGGAACAUGUAGCUUUCUUAUCUGUCACAGUGUUUUUUUUCUAACUCCUACUAUUUUUUUCCUGAUAAAUAUACAACCAUCACUUUUAUCCUCCAACCAAGAGUAGGAAAAUGCACAAAAUAGGAACAUGUAGCACUGUGAGCUAAAAUAUAACAAACCGAUACAGAACAAACCUUUCCAAUGCCCAAUAAUCUUCAAUGCUCAAGUCCCGACAAGUAAAAUGCAUUUUUUUACGUCAACUGCAUUCUUUAGGGGGUGAAGGUAAAAUUCAUUUGAUGUUCAGAGAGACAACAAUAACUAAUGACAUUAACAUUAGCACAUGGCUUUUAAAAGAUUUUAUCUCGUAAACAAAUUACUUAUGGGGAUCACUUUUAUCCUCCAACCAAGAGUAUGCAAAUUCCCAAAAUAGAGCACGCUGAGCUAAAAUAUAACAGACCCGAUACAGAACAAACCAUUUCACUGCCCAAUAAUCUUCUGCUCAAGUUUUGAUAAGUAAAAUGAUUUUUUCGGGGGCGAAGGUAAAAUGCAUUUGAUGUUCAGAAAAGACAACAAUAACUAAUGAACGAUAUGGGAACAAAUAGUAUGAAGAUGCACAAACUAGGACAUGUAGCACCGUAAGCUAAACUAUCACUGACCCGGUAUGGGACACCUUUUUGCUGCCCAAUAAUUUGUCCUUAUCCACAAUAUCUCCGGCGCUCAAGUUUUGAUAUGUAAAAUGCAUUUUAUUGGCAAGGGGGUAAAGGUAAAAUGCAUUUGAUGUUGGGAAACACAACAAUAAUUAAUGAUAUAUUUAAGAAAAAUCUGAUCUCAAUAAUCAUAAGCAUGAAACAAUCUCUUUAAGCUUUCUCACUGAGAGAUAAAUCUCUCGAUAAAAAAGAUAGGUAGACAUUGGGCUUUGGAACAUCUCCACGCUUUUCUCCGCGUUGUCCAUAUCGCCCAUAGUGUGAUCGCCAUCUUGACAAAUUCACCGCGAUAGAGAUUCUAACUUCAAGAAAGCCAGUUUUUAGCAUUAGUUUCACGGGUCUCCACCACAUGCUUGAUAAGUUCUUCAUCGCCCAACUGUUGGGGAACGUAGUAAUUUCAAAAAAAUUCUUACGCACACGUAAGAUCAUGGUGAUGCAUAGCAACGAGAGGGGAGAGUGUCGUCCACGUACCCUCGUAGACCAAAAGCGGAAGCAUUAGUACAACACGGUUGAUGUAGUCGUACGUCUUCACGAUCCGACCGAUCCAAGUACCGAACGUACGACACCUCCGAGUUCAGCACACGUUCAGCUCGAUGACGUUCCGCGAACUCCGAUCCAGCAGAGCUUCACGGGAGAGUUUCGUCAGCACGGCGGCGUGAUGACGGUGAUGAUGUUGCUACCGACGCAGGGCUUCGCCUAAGCACCGCUACGAUAUGACCGAGGUGGAAUAUGGUAGAGGGGGCACCGCACACGGCUGGGAGAGAUCAACAGAUCAACUUGUCUGUCCAUGGGGUGCCCCCUCUCCCGUAUAUAAAGGAGUGGAGGAGGGGGAGGGCCGGCCCUCAACUAUGGGGCGCCCUGGGGAGUCCUACUCCCACCGGGAGUAGGAUUCCCCCCCCCCCUUCCAUGUAGUAGGAGUAGGAGAGAAGGAAAGGGAAAAGAGAAGAGAAGGAAGGAGGGGCGCANNNNNNNNNNNNNNNNNNNNNNNNNNNNNNNNNNNNNNNNNNNNNNNNNNNNNNNNNNNNNNNNNNNNNNNNNNNNNNNNNNNNNNNNNNNNNNNNNNNNNNNNNNNNNNNNNNNNNNNNNNNNNNNNNNNNNNNNNNNNNNNNNNNNNNNNNNNNNNNNNNNNNNNNNNNNNNNNNNNNNNNNNNNNNNNNNNNNNNNNNNNNNNNNNNNNNNNNNNNNNNNNNNNNNNNNNNNNNNNNNNNNNNNNNNNNNNNNNNNNNNNNNNNNNNNNNNNNNNNCCCCUAAAGCCCAAUAAGGCCCAUAUACUCCCCGGCGAAUUCCCAUAACUCUCCGGUACUCCGAUAAAUACCCGAAUCACUCGGAACCUUUCCGAUGUCCGAAUAUAGUCGUCCAAUAUAUCGAUCUUUACGUCUCGACCAUUUCGAGACUCCUCGUCAAGACCCCAAUCGCAUCCGGGACUCCGAACUAUCUUCGGUACAUCAAAACACAUAACUCAUAAUAUAAAUCAUCACCGAACGUUAAGCGUGCGGACCUUGCGGGUUCUAGAACUAUGUAGACAUGACCGAGACAAAUCUCCGGUCAAUAACCAAUAGCAGAACCCGGAUGCUCAUAUUGGCUCCCACAUAUUCUAUGAAGAUCUUUAUCGGUUGAACCGCAUAACAGCAUACGUUGUUCCCUUUGUCAUCGAUAUGUUACUUGCCCGAGAUUCGAUAGUCGGUAUCUCAAUACCUAGUUCAAUCUCAUUACCGGUAAGUCUCUUUACUCAUUAUGUAAUGCAUCAUCCCGCAACUAACUCAUUAGUCACAUUGCUUACAAGGCUUAUAGGGAUGUGCAUUACCGAGAGGGCCCAGAGAUACCUCUUCAACAAUCAGAGUGACAAAUCCUAAUCUCGAAAUACGCCAACUCAACAAGUACCUUCGGAGACACCUGUAGAACACCUUUAUAAUCACCCAGUUAUGUUGUGACGUUUGGUAGCACACAAAGUGUUCCCCCGGAAACGGGAGUUGCAUAAUCUCAUAGUCGUAGGAACAUAUAUAAGUCAUGAAGAAAGCAAUAGCAACAUACUAAACGGUCAAGUGCUAAGCUAACAGAAUGGGUCAAGUCAAUCACAUCAUUCUCUAAUGAUGUGAUCCCGUUAAUAAAAUGAUAACUCAUGUCUAUGGCUAGGAAACUUAACCAUCUUUGAUUCAACGAGCUAGUGAAGUAGAGGCAUACUAGUGACACUAUGUUUGUCUAUGUAUUCAUACAUGUAUUAUGUUUUCGGUUAAUACAAUUCUAGCAUGAAUAAUAAAUAUUUAUCAUGAAAUAAGGAAAUAAAUAAUAUUUUAUUAUUGCCUCUAGGGCAUAUUGCCUUCAGUCUCCCACUUGCACUAGAGUCAAUAAUCUAGUUCACAUCGCCAUGUGAUUCAACACCAAUAGUUCACAUCACCAUGUGAUUAAUACCCAUAGUUCACAUCACCAUGUGACCAACACUCAAAGGGUUUACUAGAGUCAAUAAUCUAGUUCACAUCGCUAUGUGAUUAACACCCAAAGAGUACUAAGGUAUGAUCAUGUUUUGCUCGUGAGAGAAGUUUAGUCAACGGGUCUGUCACAUUCAGAUCCGUAAGUAUUUUGCAAAUUUCUAUGUCUAUAAUGCUCUGCACGGAGCUACUCUAGCUAAUUGCUCCCACUUUCAAUAUGUAUCCAGAUUGAGACUUAGAGUCAUCUGGAUCAGUGUCAAAAAAUUGCAUUGACAUAACUCUUUAUGACGAGCUCUUUUAUCACUUUCAUAAUCGAGAAAUAUUUCCUUAGUCCUCACUAAGGAUAAUCUUGACCGAUGUCCAGUGAUCUACUCCUAGAUCAAAAUUGUACUCCCUUGCCAAACUCAGAGCAAGGUAUACAAUAGGUCUGGUACACAACAUAGCAUACUUUAUAGAACCUAUGACUGAGGCAUAUGGAAUGACUUUUCAUUCUCUUUCGAUUUUCUGCCCAGGUCGGGUUUUGAGUCUUACUCAACUUCACACCUUGUAACACAGGCAAGAACUCCUUCUUUGACUGUUCCAUUUUGAACUACUUCAAAAUCUUAUCAAGGUAUGUACUUAUUGAAAAAUCUUAUCAAGCGUCUUGAUCUAUCUCUAUAGAUCCUGAUGCUCAAUGUGUAAGCAGCUUCACCGAGGUCUUUCUUUGAGAAACUCUUAUUCAAGUAUCCUUUUAUGCUAUCCAGAAUUUCUAUAUCAUUUCCAAUCAACAAUAUGUCAUCUACAUAUAGUUUUAGAAAUGCUACAGAGCUCCCACUCACUUUCUUGUAAAUACAGGCUUCUCCAAAAGUCUGUAUAAAACCAUAUGCUUUGAUCAACUCAUCAAAGCAUAUAUUCCAACUCCAAGAUGCUUACACCAGUCCAUAGAUGGAUCGCUGGAGCUUGCACAUUUUGUUAGCAUCUUUAAGAUCGACAAAAUCUUCUAGUUGCAUCAUAUACAACUCUUUUUUAAGAAAUCCAUUAAGGAAUGUAGUUUUGUCAUCCAUUUGCCAGAUUUCAUAAAAUAUGGCAACUUACUAACAUGAUUCGGACAGACUUAAGCAUCGAUACGAGUGAGAAGAUCUCAUCGUAGUCAACACCUUGAACUUUGUCAAAAAACCUUUUUCGACAAGUCUAGCUUUGUAGAUAGUAACACUACUAUCAGUGUCCGUCUUCCUCUUUGAAAAUCCAUUUAUUUCUAUGGCUUGCCGAUCAUGGGGCAAGUCCACCAAAGUCCACACUUUGUUCUCAUACAUGGAUCCCAUCUCAGAUUUCAUGGCCUCAAGCCAUUUUGCGGAAUCUAGGCUCAUCAUUGCUUCCUUAUAGUUCGUAGGUUCGCCAUGGUCAAGUAACAUGACCUCCAGAAUAGGAUUACCGUACCACUUUGGUGCGGAUCUUACUCUGGUUGACCUACGAGGUUCGGUAGUAACUUGAUCUGAAGUUUCAUGAUCAUCAUCAUUAUCUUCCUCACUAAUUGGUGUAGGAAUCACUAGAACUGAUUUAUGUGAUUAACUACUUUCCAAUUCGGGAGAAGGUACAAUUACCUUAUCAAGCUCUAUUUUCCUCCCACUCACUUCUUUCAAGAUUAACUACUUUCCAAUUCGGGAUCCAUUUUUUAGCAAUGAAUAUCUGGCCUUUCAGAUCUGUGAUAGAAGGUGUACCCAACAGUUUCCUUUGGGUACUCUAUGAAGAUGCACUUCUCCGAUUUGGGUUCGAGCUUAUCAGGUUGAAACUUUUUCACAUAAGCAUCGCAACCCCAAACUUUAAGAAACGACAACUUUGGUUUCUUGCCAAACCACAGUUAAUAAGGCGUCGUCUCAAUGGAUUUUGAUGGUGCCAUAUUUAAAGUGAAUGCAGUUGUCUCUAAUGCAUAAUCCCAAAACGAUAGUGGUAAAUCGGUAAGAUACAUCAUAGAUCGCACCAUAUCCAAUAAAGUACGGUUAUGACGUUCGAAGACACCAUUAUGCUGUGGUGUUCCAUGUGGCGUGAGCUAUGAAACUAUUCCACAUUGUUUUGAAUGAAGACCAAACUCGUAACUCAAAUAUUCUCCUCUACGAUCAGAUUGUAGAAACUUUAUUUUCUUGUUAUGAUGAUUCUCCACUUCACUUCUGAACUCCUUUGAUCUUUUCAAAUGUUUUCAUACUUGUGCUUCAUUAAGUAGAUAUACUCAUAUCUGCUCAAAUCAUUUGUGAAGAUCAGAAAAUAAUGAUACUCGCCACGAGCAUCAACACUCAUUGGACCGCAUACAUCGGUAUGUAUUAUUUCCAACAAGUGAGUAGCUCGUUCCAUUGUUCCGGAGAACGGAGCUUUAGUCAUCUUGCCCAAAAGGCACGGUUCGCAAGCAUCAAAUGAUUCAUAACCAAGUGAUUCCGAAAAUCCAUCUUUAUGGAGUUUCUUCAUGCGCUUUACACUGAUAUGAUCCAAACGGCAGUGCCACAAAUAAGUUGCACUAUCAUAAUUAACUUUGCAUCUUUUGGCAUCAAUAUUAUGAAUAUGUGUAUCACUACGAUCGAGAUCCAACAAACUGUUUUCAUUGGGUGUAUGACCAUUGAAAGUUUUAUUCAUGUAAACAGAACAACAAUUAUUCUCUGAUUUUUAAAUGAAUAACCGUAUUGCAAUAAACAUGAUCAAAUCAUAUUCAUGCUCAACGCAAAUGCCAAAUAACAUUUAUUUAGGUUUAACACUAAUCCCGAAAGUAUAGGGAGAGUGUGCGAUGAUGAUCAUAUCAAUCUUGGAACUACUUCCAACACUCAUCGUCACUUCACCCUCAACUAGUCUAUGUUUAUUUUGUAACUCCUGUUUCGAGUUACUAAUCUUAGCAAUCGAACAAGUAUCAAAUACCCAGGGGCUACUAUAAACACUAGUAAGGUACACAUCAAUAACCUGUAUAUCCAAUAUACCCUUGUUCACUUUGCCAUCCUUCUUAUCCACCAAAUAUUCAGGGUAUUUCCGCUUCCAGUGACCAUUUCCUUUGUAGUAGAAGCACUCAGUUUCAGGCUUUGGUCCAACUUUUCGCUUCCUCGCGGGAGUGACAACUUGCUUGUCAUUCUACUUGAAGUUCCCUUUCUUUCCCUUUGCCCUUUUCUUGAAACUAGUGGUCUUGUCAAUCAUCAACACUUGAUGCUCUUUCUUGAUUUCUACCUUCAUCGAUUUCAACAUCACGAAGAGCUCGGGAAUCGUUUUCGUCAUCCCUUGCAUACUAUAGUUCAUCACGAAGUUCUAGCAACUUGGUGAUGGUGAAUAGAGAACUCUGUCAAUCACUUUCUUAUCUGGAAGAUUAACUCCCACUUGAUUCAAGCGAUUGUAGUACCUAGACAAUCUGAGCACAUGCUCACUGCUUGAGCUAUUCUCCUCCAUCUUUUAGCUAUAGAACUUGUUAGAGACUUUAUAUUUCUCAACUCGGGUAUUUGCUUGAAAUAUUAACUUCAACUCUUGGAACAUCUCAUAUGGUCCAUGACGUUCAAAACGUCUUUGAAGUCCCGAUUCUAAGCCGUUAAGCAUGGUGCACUAAACCAUUACGUAGUAUCAUAUUGAGCUAGCCAAAUGUUCAUAACGUCUGCAUCUGCUCCUGCAAUAGGUCUGUCAGCUAGCGGUGCAUCAAGGACAUAAUUAUUCUGUGCAGCAAUGAGGAUACACCUCAGAUCACGGACCUAGUCCGCAUCAUUGCUACUAUUAUCUUCCAACUUAGUUUUCUCUAGGAACAUAUCAAAAAUAAUCAUAAACGGGGAGCAAAAUUGCGAGCUAUUGAUCUACAACAUUAUUUGCAAAAUACUAUCAGGACUAAGUUCAUGAUAAAUUAAAGUUCAAUUAAUCAUAUUACUUAAGAACUCCCACUUAGAUAGACAUCCCUCUAAUCAUCUAAGUGAUCACAUGAUCCAAAUCAACUAAAUCAUGUCUGAUCAUCACGUGAGAUGGAGUAGUUUUCAAUGGUGAACAUCACUAUGUUGAUCAUAUCUACUAUAUGAUUCACGCUCGACCUUUCGGUCUCUAGUGUUCCGAGGCCACAUCUGCAUAUGCUAGGCUCGUCAAGUUUAACCCGAGUAUUCUGCAUGUGCAAAACUGUCUUACACCCGUUGUAUUUGAACGUAGAGCUUAUCACACCCGAUCAUCACGUGGUGUCUCAGCACGAAGAACUGUCGCAACGGUGCAUACUCAGGGAGAACACUUAUACCUUGAAAUUUUUAGUAAGGGAUCAUCUUAUAAAGCUACCGCCGAACUAAGCAAAAUAAGAUGUAUAAAAGAUAAACAUCAUAUGCAACCAAAAUAUGUGACAUGAUAUGGCCAUGAUCAUCUUGCGCCUUUGAUCUCCAUCUCCAAAGUACUGUCAUGAUCUCUAUCGUCACCGGCAUGACACCAUGAUCUCCAUCAUCUUGAUCUCUAUCAACGUGUCGUCACAUGGUUGUCUCGCCAACUAUUGCUCUUGCAACUAUUGCUAUCGCAUAGUGAUAAAGUAAAGCAAUUAUUUGGCGCUUGCAUGUUAUGCAAUAAAGAGACAACCAUAAGGCUACUGCCAGUUGCCGAUAACUCGGUUACAAAACAUGAUCAUCUCAUACAACAGCUUAUAUCUCAUCACGUCUUGACCAUAUCACAUCACAACAAGACCUGCAAAAACAAGUUAGACGUCCUCUACUUUGUUGUUGCAAGUUUUACGUGACUGCUAUGGACUGAGAAAGAACCGUUCUUACCUAAGCAUCAAAACCACAACGAUAUUUCGUCAGGUUAGUGCUAUUUUAACCUUCGCAAGGACCGGGCGUAGCCACACUCGGUUCAACUAAAGUUGGAGAAACUGACACCCGCCAGCCACCUGUGUGCAAAGCACGUCGGUAGAACUAGUCUCGCGUAAGCGUACGCGUAAUGUCGGUCCGGGCCACUUCAUCCAACAAUAUCGCCGAACCAAAGUAUGACAUGCUGGUAAGCAGUAUGACUUGUAUCGCCCAUAACUCACUUGUGUUCUACUCGUGCGUAUAACAUCUACGCAUAAACCUGGCUCGGAUGCGACUGUUGGGGAACAUAGUAAUUUCAAAAAAAUUCCUACGCACACGCAAGAUCAUGGUGAUGCAUAGCAACGAGAGGGAGAGUGUCGUCCAUGUACCCUCGUAGACCGAAAGCGGAAGCGUUAGCACAACACGGUUGAUGUAGUCGUACGUCUUCACGAUCCGACCGAUCCAAGUACCGAACAUACGACACCUCCGAGUUUAGCACACGUUCAGCUCGAUGACGUCCCGUGAACUCCGAUCCAGCAGAGCUUCACGGGAGAGUUUCGUCAGCACGACGGCGUGAUGACGGUGAUGAUAUUGCUACCGACGCAGGGUUUCGCCUAAGCACCGCUACAAUAUGAUCAAGGUGGAAUAUGGUAGAGGGGGGCACCGCACACGGCUGGGAGAGAUCAACAGAUCAACUUGUGUGUCCAUGGGGUGCCCCCUCCCCCGUAUAUAAAGGAGUGGAGGAGGGGGAGGGCCGGCCCUCAACUAUGGGGCGCCCUGGGGAGUCCUACUCCCACCGGGAGUAGGAUUCCCCCCUUCCAUGUAGUAGGAGUAGGAGAGAAGGAAAGGGAAAAGAAAAGAGAAGGAAGGAGGGGGUGCAGCCCCUCCCCCUAGUCCAAUUAGGACUAGGCCCGGGGGGGGGGGGGCAGCCUCCCCUCUCUCUUUCCCCUAAAGCCCAAUAAGGCCCAUAUACUCCCCGGCGAAUUCCCGUAACUCUCUGGUACUCCGAUAAAUACCCGAAUCACUAGGAACCUUUCCGAUGUCCGAAUAUAGUCGUCCAAUAUAUUGAUCUUUACGUCUCGACCAUUUGGAGACUCCUCGUCAUGUCCCUGAUCUCAUCCCGGACUCCAAACUACCUUCGGUACAUCAAAACACAUAACUCAUAAUAUAAAUCGUCACCGAACAUUAAGCGUGCAGACCCUACGGGUUCGAGAACGAUGUAGACAUGACCGAGACACAUCUCCGGUCAAUAACCAAUAGUGGAACCUAGAUGCUCAUAUUGGCUCUCACAUAUUCUACGAAGAUCUUUAUCGGUCAAACCGCAUAACAGCAUACGUUGUUCCCUUUCUCAUCGGUAUGUUACUUGCCCGAGAUUCGAUAGUCGGUAUCUCAAUACCUAGUUCAAUCUUGUACCCAAGUCUCUUUCCUCGUUAUGUAAUGCAUCAUCCGGCAACUAACUCAUUAGUAACAUUGCUUGCAAGGCUUAUAAUGAUGUGCAUUACCGAGAGGGCCCGGAGAUACCUCUCCGACAAUCAGAGUGACAAAUCCUAAUCUCGAAAUACACCAACUCAACAAGUACCUUCGGAGACACCUGUAGAGCACCUUUAUAAUCACCCAGUUACGUUGUGACGUUUGGUAGCACACAAAGUGUUCCUCCGGUAAACGGGAGUUGCAUAAUCUCAUAGUCAUAGGAACAUAUAUAAGUCAUGAAGACAACAAUAGCAACAUACUAAACGAUCAAGCGCUAAGCUAACAGAAUGGGUCAAGUCAAUCACAUCAUUCUCUAAUGAUGUGAUCCCGUUAAUCAAAUGACAACUCAUGUCUAUGGCUAGGAAACUUAACCAUCUUUGAUUCAACGAGCUAGUCAAGUAGAGGCAUACUAGUGACACUAUGUUUGUCUAUGUAUUCACACAUGUAUUAUGUUUCCGGUUAAUACAAUUCUAGCAUGAAUAAUAAACAUUUAUCAUGAAAUAAGGAAAUAAAUAGUACUUUAUUAUUGCCUCUAGGGCAUAUUUCCUUCACCAACGCCCACACACAUCUUGACAUUGUGCACUCAAUAAGGGAGAGUGUCUCCACGAGUCAUUGCUUCCACAUAUUUGGCAGCUAUGCGUAUGGCUCAUCUUUCUAAGACGACGAACAUCCUUGAAUGGCAACACAUGUUUUGCUAACCUCCAUAAGAAAGUUCUAAUCUUUCUUUAUACUUGGAUGUUCCAUAAUUAUGUCCAACACUUUUCCUCGACCCAAGCAUUUGAAUCUCAUCAAGCAAGCCCUCCUUUGGUUCAUAGGAUGGGAAUAUUGUAGGAAUAGGAACUUCAUAGGAAGUGAGAUGACAUGCAUCUCAAUUCCUAUAAAGAAAAAGAUGCCAUUUGAUGCAUCGGAUAGGAAUUUUUCCGUUGAGUCUAGGCUAAUGUUUAUUCCCCUUUGAAAUGUGAAGGAUUGAACCCUAUCCUACAUAGGAAUAGGAAUCCAUUCCUACAAACCAAAGGGCUCCAUAGGAAUUUUUCCUUUAAAAAUCCUAUCCUAUGAAAUUCCUACAAGAUUCCUACAAACCAAAGGAGGCCCAAAUCUUCUCUCCUAUUUCUUGUGUUAACUAGCAUAUGGUAGGCCAAUCUAACUGAUAAAUACCCCUUUCUUUCAAAACUGCCAUGCCCAAAAGUCUGCCAUUGGUGUCGUGCUUAAAGGAACGCCUCUAAUUGCUACUGCAUCAGAAGGAAGACAAUACUAUUGUAGUUUAUCCUCUCACCACGACGCCGGCGUGUUGUCUAUGGGAUCACAAACAUAUAUUGGGGGAUCACUCGCCAAGCAUGCAACAUGCCUCAUAGUAGUAUCUCUUGGGCCAACCCAAUUUUGAGUCCAAAUCUGUGUCGAUGACCAGUUCCCAAUUCUCUUUAUGAGUCCCUGGGAGAGCACGCCCCUGCCUUGCAAUAUCGACCUCCAGACUUGGGAGGGAUGGGACCCGAGACCAUCAGCCAAAAUGUCUUACAAUGGGUAGUAUUUAGCCUUUAAGAUCCUUCCACAAAAUGAUUCAGGUGUAGUCAACAACCGCCAUGAUAGUCGUGCAAGAAUGGCUAGGUUAAAAAGCUUGAGGUCCCUAAACCCAAAUCCCCACAUUUUUUGGUUGAGUCAUCGUUUUCCAAGAAACCCAAUGUGGUUUUCGCUGGCCCUCCUUACUGCCCCAAAAGAACCGACGGAUUAGGUUAUUGAGAUGCUCACAAGGUCCUCGGGGUAGCUUGAAACAAGACAUAGAAUAGACCAGAAUCGCCUACCCCACCUAUUUAAUUAAAAUUUAUUUGCCGAUAAGAGUCCAAUAGGGUUGACACUUCCAUCGCCCAUAUACCAUCGGUCUUGAAUAACAACAGGCUACGUCAACAAAUAACAAGUGGUUAACUUGUGUCCGCUUCCACAAUCGAAUGCAACAUCUCCUGCCAGGAUGCUCCUUCUCCCGGAAGGUGUGGCACGAGAUCCUAGGCUGGAUCAGAUCAACUGCCGAUCUAUCGAAUGUGGACCCUAACUUCUACUCCUGGUGGGCCCACUCAUACGACCGUGAACCCGGGCUGGCGCGAAAAGGAUUGGCUUCCACCAUCAUCCUCGCCGCCUGGUGGCUUUGGAAGCACCAGAACGCCUGCAUCUUCGAUGGCGAGUGACCUUCGCUCUCCCACCUCACAACAUAAUUAGAGACGAAGCGCGCCUUUGGGCUAGGGCCGGCGUCACUGGGAUCCAUAAGAUCAUCCCUGAGGGGUAGUUUACUUACCUGCAUGGGCUGAGCAACCCCCUAUCUGUCUUCUUCUAACUCACGUUCAUGCCUUCUUGUGUACAUGGCUUAGUUAGUUGAUGUAAUCCCGUGCUGUAUCUCUCUUUAUCAAUAAAAAGAUACGCAAACUUUGUCUAUUCAUGAAGAAAAAAAUUGUAGAUUUUUUUUGAGGUGGAACUAGGAUUGAUAAGCUCGAACCCAAAGCGGAUAAAAUGCAUCUUCAUAGGACACCCAAAACAGUUGGGUAUAUCUCCUGUCUCAGAUCCGAAAGCAAUAAGGGAUUGUUUCGAGAAUCAGGUCCUUUCUCGAGAAAAAGUUUCUCUCGAAAGAAUUGAGUGGGAGGAUGGUGGAAACUUGAUGAGAUUAUUGAACCGUCUCUUCAACUAGUGUGUGGCAGGGCACAGGAAGUUGUUCCUGUGGCACCUACACCAAUUGAAGUGGAAGCUUAUGAUAGUGAUCAUGAAGCUUCGGAUCAAGUCACUACCGAACCUCGUAGGACGACAAGGACACGUACUACUUCGGAGUGGUAAGGUGAUCCUGUCUUGAAGGUCAUGUUGCUAGACAACAAUGAACCUACGAGCUAUGGAGAAGCGAUGGUGGGCCCGAAUUCCGACAAAUGGUUAGAAGCCAUGAAAUCCGAGAUAGUAUCCAUAUAUCAGAACAAAGCAUGGACUUUGAUGGACUUGCCCGAUGAUCGGCAAUCCAUUGAGAUAAAUGGAUCCUUUAAGAAGAAGAUGGAUGUGGAUGGUAAUGUCACCAUCCAUGAAGCUCGACUUGUGGCGAAGUGUUUUUUCACAAGUUCAAGGAGUUGACUACGAUGAGAUUUUCUCAUCCGUAGCGAUGCUUAAAGUCCGUCGGAUUCAUGUUAGCAUUAGCUGUAUUUAUGAAAUCUGGCAGAUGGAUAUCAAAACGAGUUUCCUUACCAGUUUUCGUGAGGAAAGAUUGUAGGUAAUACAAUCAGAAAGUUUUUGUCGAUCCUAAGGAUGCUAAAAGGUAUGCUAGCUCCAGCGAUCCUUCUAAGGACUGGAGUGAGCAUCUCGGAGUUGGAAUGUAUGCUUUGAUGAUGAUCAAAGAUUUUGGGUUUGUACGAAGUUUAUGAGAAACUUGUAUUUCCAAAGAAGUGAGUGGGAGCACUAUAGAAUUUCUGAUGAGUAUAUGUUGAUCAGAAAUGAUGUAGAAUUUCUAGAAAGCAUAUAGGGUUAUUUGAAAGGUGUUUUUCAAUAGAAAACCUGGAUUAAGCUACUUGAACAUUGAGCAUCGAGAUCUAUAAGGAUAGAUCAAAAUGCUUAAUAAUACUUUCAAAAUGAGAAUAUACCUUGACAUGAUCUUGAAGGUGUUCAAGAUGGAUCAGUCAAAGAAGAAGUUCUUGCCUGAGUUGUAAGGUACGAAGUUAAGACUUAAAGCUCGACCAUGGCAGAAUAGAGAGAAAGGACGAAGGUCGUCUCCUAUGCUUAAGACAUAGGCUCUACAGUAUGCUAUGCUGUGUACCGCACCUGAAGUGUGCCUUGCCAUGAGUUAGUCAAGGGGUACAAGAGUGAUCCAAGAAUGGAUCACAGACAGCGGUCAAAGUUAUCCUUAGUAACUAGUGGACUAAGGAAUUUUCUCGAUUAUGGAGGUGAUAAAAGAGUUCGUCGUAAAGGGUUAUGUUGAUGCAAGCUUGACACCUAUCCGGAUAGCUCUGAGUAGAGAGACCGGAUACAUAUAAUGGAGCAAUAAUUUAGAAUAGCUCCAAGUAGAACAGUUAUUUGGAAUAGCUCCAAAUAGAGCGUGGUAGCUACAUCUAGGAGAUGACAUAGAGAUUUGUAAAGCACACACGGAUCUGAAAGGUUCAGACCCGUUGACUAAAAAAACCUCUCUCACAAGCAACAUGAUCAAACAUAAAACUCAUUGAGUGUUAAUCACAUAGUGAUGUGAACUAGACUACUGACUCUAGUAAACUCUUGGGUAUUAGUCACAUGGCGAUGUGACCUGUGAGUGUUAAUCACAUGGCGAUGUGAACUGGAUUAUUGACUCUAGUGCAAGUGGGAGACUGUUGGAAAUAUGCCCUAGAGGCAAUAAUAAAUAAGUUAUUAUUAUAUUUCUUUGUUCAUGAUAAUAGUCUUUUAUUCAUGCUAUAACUGUAUUAUCCGGAAAUCGUAAUACACGUGUGAAUACAUAGACCACAAUAUGUCCCUAGUGAGCCUCUAGUUGACUAGCUCGUUGUGAUCAACAGAUAGUCAUGGUUUCCUGGCUAUGGACAUUGGAUGUCGUUGAUAACGGGAUCACAUCAUUAGGUGAAUGAUGUGAUGGACAAGACCCAAUCCUAAGCAUAGCACAAAGAUCGUGUAGUUCGUUUGCUAGAGCUUUGCCAAUGUCAAGUAUCUCUUCCUUUGACCAUGAGAUCGUGUAACUCCUGGAUACCGUAGGAGUGCUUUGGGUGUAUCAAACAUCACAACGUAACUGGGUGACUAUAAAGGUGCACUACAGGUAUCUCCGAAAGUAUCUAUUGUUUUAUGCGGAUCGAGACUGGGAUUUGUCACUCCGUGUAAACGGAGAGGUAUCUCUGGGCCCACUCGGUAAGACAUCAUCAUAUGCGCAAUGUGACCAAGGAGUUGAUCACGGGAUGAUGUGUUACGGAACGAGUAAAGUGACUUGCCGGUAACGAGAUUGAACAAGGUAUCGGUAUACCGACGAUCGAAUCUCGGGCAAGUAAAAUACCGCUAGACAAAGGGAAUUGUAUACGGGAUCGAUUGAGUCCUUGACAUCGUGGUUCAUCCGAUGAGAUCAUCGUGGAACAUGUGGGAGCCAACAUGGGUAUCCAGAUCCCGCUGUUGGUUAUUGACCGGAGAACGUCUCGGUCAUGUCUGCAUGUCUCCCGAACCCGUAGGGUCUACACACUUAAGGUUCGAUGACGCUAGGGUUAUAAAGGAAGCUUGCAUGUGGUUACCGAAUGUUGUUCGGAGUCCCGGAUGAGAUCCCGGACGUCACGAGGAGUUCCGGAAUGGUCCGGAGGUAAAGAUUUAUAUAUAGGAAGUCCUGUUUCGGCCAUCGGGACAAGUUUCGGGGUCAUCGGUAUUGUACCGGGACCACCGGAAGGGUCCCGGGGGCCCACCGGGUGGGGCCACCUGCCCCGGGGGGCCACAUGGGCUGUAGGGGUGCGCCUUGGCCUACAUGGGCUAAGGGCACCAGCCCCAAGAGGCCCAUGCGCCUGGGGAAACCCUAAAGGAAGAGUCCCAGCAGGGGAAGGCACCUCCUAGGUGCCUUGGGGGGGGGGGGGAGGACUCCUCCCCUGGCCGCCGCCCCCUUGGAGAUUGGAUCUCCUAGGGGCUGGCGCACCCCCCCUUGGGAUCCCUAUAUAUAGUGGGGUAGGAGGGCCUCCCAAACACACCUUAUGCCUUUGGUGCAGCCCCUCCCUCUCUCCCAAGUUCCCCUCCUCUCCCAUGGUGCUUGGCGAAGCCCUGCGGGAUUGCCACGCUCCUCCACCACCACCACGCCGUUGUGCUACUGUUGGAUGGAGUCUUCCUCAACCUCUCCCUCUCUCCUUGCUGGAUCAAGGCAUGGGAGACGUCACCGGGCUGUACGUGUGUUGAACGCGGAGGUGCCGUCCGUUCGGCACUAGGAUCAUCGGUGAUCUGAAUCACGACGAGUACGACUCCAUCAACCCCGUUCACUUGAACGCUUCCGCUUAGCGAUCUACAAGGGUAUGUAGAUGCACUCCCCUUUCUACUCGUUGCUGGUCUCUCCAUAGAUAGAUCUUGGUGUUACGUAGGAAAAUUUUGGAAUUUCUGCUACGUUCCCCAACACCAUGGUCCGCCUUCCAUGAUCUUCUUCCAAUCUCCUAAGCAAUGGCAUUGAACCAGAAAAAGAUUUGGUCCUUUGAUGUUAAAAGUAACACCUUGGGCCGCCAUCCACGCGUUGCUCAUCUGAGACAGGAGAGCCGCAUGGCUGAACGACUUUGUUGUAUGGACCCGAAAUAGAGCCAACCAUCGUACAUCUUUAACCAGAUCCUCUACCUCCUCCGAGAAGUCAAGGUCUUGUUCCUCCUCUCCAUGGAGCCGCAUACCAGCAAAUUGAUCUUCCAACUCACGUUGCGGUCCCCAGUACUCGCCAAAAGCAUCAUCACCCUGAUCCGAUCUACCUCCUCCCUCCAAGACUCCUCCCGUCCCCCUCCUGUCCUCCAUCCUCCCGCCUUUUACUACCCUCGCCGCCUCACCCCCGAUCGCCUUGUCAUCUCCUCCAGACCCCAUCUCACCCCCCUGAUCGCCAUCGAACCCUAGCCCCGUCUCUUCCAUCCCUCCCGCCUCCUUCAGCUUUAGAUCGGCCAUGCAGAUUGCCCUGCACAACCUCAGGUGGUAGCCCUCGUUAGUCCGAUCGAGACGAGCGGACGCCGACGAGGUUUGUCGUGGACUCUGGCUUGAUCUCCAGAGGAGAAGGUGGAAUCCUAGAAAACCCUAGGGAUUAUUUUAUUUUUGAGGAUUACAAUCGAAUGUCGUAGAUCAGCCUGAAACGUACCACGAGGCCCAGGCCCAGCCUAGUCACGAGGCUCUCCCUCUGUCACCUCGCGCCGCAUCCUGAAACGUCGCUCUCUUCCCUCAUCAAAAAAAGGUGACGGUUCGUGGUCUGGUCUGGAGAUUGCGGAGGCGAUCGGGAGGCGAUCGCGACCUAGUCUCUGGUGUUCUAGGGUUCCUCCAUCUCGCCGCCCAGGAUCGGCUUCUUUCCCCGUUAGCGAAGCGCGGUGCGUCUCCCUAGGGCCUAGGGUCGUACACCACUAGGAACCCUAGGUUGGAGGACGUGGGGAAAGAAGGAAGAGGGAUUGAACAAUGGACGGAGUCGCCGAUAUGUUGCGGGGUUUGAAGUUGUCGGAAGAGGAGAAGAAGGGAGUGAAGAUCAGAUGCGCAAUGCAAGGUAAGGGGAAGGAGUGGUUGAUACAGGCGGUAGGCAAGGUCAUGUCGGAGAAGCUAGCCCACCCAGAUGCCAUCUGUUUUACCUUAGGCAAAGUCUGGUGCCCGAUCAAGGGGAUUGAUUGCAAGGAGAUAGGAGUGAAUCAGUUCCCGUUCACGUUCUUCCAGGAAUCGGGGAAGAGGAAGGCGCUCGAAGAUGGGCCGUGGAUGUUUGACAAAGAGUUGGUGGUGGUGGAGGAGUAUGUGCCAAUGAAGAGACCGGAUGAUUAUCAGUUCAAUAACAUCCCAAUAUGGGUUAGGGUUUACAACCUUCCUCUUGGCAUGAUGAAUGGCGAUUCAGCAGAGGAUAUAGGAAGCCUCAUUGGUGAGUUUGUUGAAGCUGACACAAGUGCAGAUGGAAGCGCCUUUGGGAGAUUUCUGAGGAUCAAGAUUCGGAUGCGUAUUGACAAACCGCUUAUGCAGGGAUUCACGCUGGAAGAUGAGGAGGAAAAAGAUAAAGGGAAGUGGGGGGUAGGAGAUAGUAAUGGAGAGGGAGAGGAGGAGGCUGACAGAGGAUGGUGUAGGUUUGAGUAUGAGUUCCUCCCGGAUUUUUGUUAUACUUGUGGUAUCAUAGGGCAUGGUGACAAAGACUGUUCGAUCAAGGUAGCGAAGGGGGAGAAACAACAGUAUGGUAAAUGGAUCAAGGCUGAUCUGGGCCAUAGGAGGGUUGCUUCGGAAGGAGUGGGGUGGAGGAGUGGGGCUAGGAGUGGAGGAGGAGCCAGAAGCUAUGGCUACAGCCGUUCUGGAGGGCGUUCGGGGAGUGGAAGCGACAGCCUGAGUUGGAGGAAGAACGAUUUCAGGUCCAGUGAAGAAGGACGAAGGAAGAAUGAGGUAGGGGAGGAGGUCAAUAACUCAGUCAAACAGCUCAUUGCUCCCAUCAGGACUGGUGAACCGAGGAAGUUGGACCUGGGGGCGGGAAAAAUACAGAGGCCUGAGGAUGUGGUAGGCCAGAAGAGGGACAUUGUUGAUACUGUGGAAGCUGGUAACAAGGUUGAGAUGCUGAUUAAUGCAAUGGGGGAGAACAAACAAAACACUCCGUCCAGAGUGAUCCAGAAGGGUUCAGGCAUAGAAGCUAAGGGCCAGGACGGUCUGAGCAAGAGUCCGGGGGGGAAGCGUUUUAAGAAGAAGGGGAGGGAUAAACCGAGGGUGGAGUGCAACAGGGAGUGGGAGGGGAUAGUAGGGUCAAAGAGGGAGAGGGUGGAUGCGGAGGGUAUGGAGGAAGGAAGGAAGGAGAGGAGGAUGGAGGAGGAUACUGUGGUGGGUGAGACGGUUUUUAGUCAGGAGGAGGUGACUACUGGAACAAAAGCGGCCGGGCUGUCCACGCAGCCCCGCCGAGCACAAUGAAAAUCAUCGGAUGGAACUGCCGGGGUUUGGGCAAUGGCCCGGCAGUUCGAAGCCUCCUCGAGAUGGGGAGGGUGGAGGAGCCCGACGUUCUUUUUCUGGCUGAAACAAAGAUGACAGUGGAGGAGUUGGAGAAGUUUAGGUGGAUGUUAGGUAUGGCACAUAUGUUAGCAUGGAGCUCAGAGGGGAGGAGUAGGGGGGUGGCGCUCUUUUGGAGGUGUGAGGUGGAUGUGAAGCUGAGAUCAUUUGGACGGAGACAUAUUGACGUGGAUGUAACUGAGGGAGAUGGCAGAAUCUGGAGACUCACCGGGGUGUACGGCGAAUCUGUUACUGAACGGAAGGGUGAAACUUGGCGGAUGAUGCGGCUUCUAGGACAACAACAUUAGCAAGAUCGACCAUGGUUAUGUUUGGGUGAUUUUAAUGAGAUUUUGUCUCUUGAUGAGAAGGUCGGAGGGGCCAUCCGGCCGCAAUGACUCAUGGACAAUUUCAGGCAAGCACUGGAAUCCUGUGGGCUCUCUGAUCUCGGCUAUGAGGGUGAUAAGUUUACCUGGAGAAACCAUAGCCGAGAGGUAGAUGCUUAUAUCUGUGAGAGGCUUGACAGAGCAGCAGCUAAUGAUCGUUGGUGUAAUUGGUUCCCUGAGUUCACGGUACUUAAUGGGCCUCCCCGUCACUCGGAUCACAGACCGGUUAUUGUGUGCACCCAAGGAGAAAAUAGAAGGGGACCCGGGGGCGAUCGAGGCUUUCGGUUUGAGGCAUGGUGGCUUAAGGAGGAUGGGUGUAGUGAACAAGUGCAGGCGGCCUGGGAGGAGGGAUGCAUGGAGGAACACGGGGGUGUCUCGACUGGCUUAAGGAAUGUCGCAAGAAGAAUGACGAAGUGGGGAAAGGAGGUGGUAGGAGAGUUGGAGGAGCGGCUGAAGCAGGCUCGUCGUGAUCUUGAAACGACUAUGCGAGCUCCUGUGAGUGAGGCGAAAGUUCGGGAGGAAGCUAAAUUGCGUCGUCAAGUAGAAAAGUUGGAAGAGAGGAGGAAUAUCAAAGCAAGACAGAGAUCUCAUGUAUCUUGGUUGAAGGAUGGCAGAAGUACGCGCUACUUUAUGGCUGUGGCAUCCGCGAGGAGGAAAGCAAACAGGGUGAAGAAGUUGAGAAGGGAGGAUGGUACGGAGGUGAAGGAGGGAGGGGAUCUUAACGAUUAUGUUUGUUCUUAUUUUCAGGAUCUUUUUACCUCGUCCCAAGGGAGUAGAACGGCGGAAUUAAUCGAGAAAGUUCAACCCCGUGUAACUAGUGCUAUGAGAGCUAUUCUGGAGGCGGAGGUGACAAGGGAGGAGGUGAAAGCGGCUCUGGAUCAUAUAGGAGACCUUAAGGCACCUGGACCGGAUGGGAUACCCUCUAUUGUGUACAAGAAACACUGGCAUUUCAUGGGGGAGAAAGUGAUUGAGGAAGUGCUUGCGGUCCUCAACGGUGGGGCCAUGCCAGAGGGAUGGAAUGACAUUGUCGUUGUCUUAAUACCCAAAGUUAAGUCCCCGAGCAGAAUCAAAGACCUGAGGCCAAUCAGCUUGUGUAAUGUGGUUUACAAAUUGGUGUCUAAGGUCAUCUCGAACCGACUCAAGUUGGUACUCCCAGAAAUUAUUUCGGACAACCAAAGUGCCUUUGUGCCAGGGAGGCUGAUUACAGAUAACGUUCUCAUUGCAUAUGAGUUGUCACACUUCCUGAUGAACAAGAGGACAGGAAAGGAUGGGAUUGUUGCUGUGAAGGCGGACAUGAGUAAAGCCUAUGACCGUGUCGAGUGGAAUUUCUUGAGAGCCAUGCCGGUAAAGCUGGGAUUUGGAUCGCGCUGGAUCGGCCUAGUCAUGAAUUGUGUCAGUACUGUCAAAUACCAGAUCAGAAUCAAUGGUAGUUUAACGGCCCAGUUCUCCCCAUCUCGAGGUUUUCGACAAGGUGACCCAAUAUCACCAUAUUUGUCCGUUAUUUGCGCGGAAGGGCUUUCAUCGCUGCUCCAUGACGCCGAGGCUGCAGGAACAGUGAGCGGAGUGAAACUGUGUCGGACUUCACCGGUCGUCUCCCAUUUACUGUUCGCCGAUGAUUCUAUGCUGCUUCUCAAGGCCAAACAUAACGAAGCCCAAUCACUGAGAGAUAUCUUGGAUCUCUAUGAGAACUGCUCCGGACAGUGUAUUAAUUUGGAGAAAUCGGCAGUUAUGUUUAGCCCGAACACCGGAGGAGAGGCCAGAACUGCUGUGAAGGACGCCCUCCGGAUUCAAAGUGAAAAUUGGAAUGAUAGGUAUUUGGGGCUGCCGGUGCAUGUAGGUAAGUCCAGGAAGAAGGCAUUCGCUUUCGUCAAAGGGGCCAUGGCGGGCAGAGUGUAUGGGUGGAAAGAGAAGUUAAUAGCAAAACCAGGAAAGGAAGCCCUAGUCACCACAGUAGCACAGGCCAUUCCAACUUUUGCUAUGUCGUGCUUUUACCUCACUAAGUCCUUUUGCGAGGAGCUCAGCUCUCUUAUUGGCAAUUACUGGUGGAGCCAGCAAGACAAGGAGAACAUCACCCACUGGAUAAGUUGGAAGAAGCUCAUCUUACCCAAGGCGCAGGGGGGUCUCGGAUUCCGCGAUAUGCAUGGAUUCAAUCUGGCCAUGUUGUCGAGGCAGGUUUGGAGGCUCAUUCAAUCACCAGAUUCCCUUUGUGCACGUAUUCUGAAAGCCCGUUACUUCCCGACCGGGUCUCUUCUGGAUGCAAGGCCUGUCGACGGCAUUUCAUACUCUUGGAGGAGCUUGCUGCAUGGUCUUGACCUCUUUCGGGAGGGAUAUAUAUGGAGAAUAGGUGAUGGAACCGGGGUUAGAAUAUGGAGCGAUCCGUGGUUACCGCGUCCAGGGUCUCGUAGUGUGAUUACACCGCGUGGACAAUGCCUACUGGAGUGGGUUAGCGAUCUUAUUGACCCGGUCACCGGCAAUUGGGAUGAGCAGCUCGUAAGGGACACUUUCUGGAGUGAGGAUGCAAAUCAGAUCAUGCAGAUUCCGCUAAGGGAAGGUGUCCAAGACUUUAUCGCCUGGCAUUAUGACACAAGGGGAUUACAUUCCGUUAAGAGUGCCUACAAGCUGCAGGCUCAGCUUGAGCGAAUGAGAGAGAACAGAGAUGUAGGUGGGAGUUCAACCAACCCAGGGAAUUUGAAUGAGAUCCGGGACGAUUCGUGGAAAAGGAUUUGGAAGUUGCCGUGUCCUCGAAAUAUCCAGAUGUUCACUUGGAGGUUGAAACACGAAUCCCUAGCUCUUCGUACCAAUGUGGCUCGCAGAGGGAUCCCGAUCACGGACACGAAAUGUCUCUUCUGUGCGCGGGCGGCUGAGGACGGAGCACACCUGUUCAUCAAGUGUAAAUCGGUGAAGUGCGUGUGGCGGGAGCUAUCACUCGAGGGAGAACGUGCACAGCUGGAGAGAAUAGGGUCCGUGCAUGCAAUGCUCGAAUUCUUGUGGGGGUUGGAUGAGAAAAAGUGCCUCCAUAUACUCACCUUCUGGUGGUUGUGGUGGGCCAAUCGUAACAAGCUGCGUAAGGGCCAGAUGCCAAUCACAGCGGAGUUGCUUGCGAGGCAAACGAGGGCCAAUGUACUCGAGUACUGGGAAAUCUUCCGACAGCCUGCGGUGAAGUCGCAGCCGGACAAGUGGCGGCCCCCAGUGAAUGCAGAGUACAAAAUCAACGUCGACGGAUCGUUUGUGCCGGGAGAAAUCCAUGCUGGCUGGGGCGCGGCAGUGAGAACGAAGGAUGGUCGGCUGGUGUGCGCCAGGGCUGGCAAGCAGGAUCACGUCACGGAUGCCUUUGCCGCGGAGAUUUAUGCCAUGUCACAUGCGGUCACCAUGGCAGCGGAUCUCGGCAUCGUUCGGCUCGAACUGGAGACGGAUUCCCAACUCUUAGCUGAGGCCUUGGACUUGCAAAGAGUGGAUUCUUCUGCCUACGCAUCUGUCAUUGAGGACACGAAGUACCAGCUCAAGCUUUGGUUUGCUGAGGUUGUAAUCACCGUGUGUAGACGCACGGCGAAUUCUGUAGCUCACGAUCUUGCCACAAUUGGCCGUAGUUGUGAUCCCAACCAGUAUAUGGAAUGGGACUCGAAUGUACCUGCCCAUGUGGGCGCCUCUGUAAUAGGUGAUAUGCCUAAACUCAGUUAAGUAAUAAAGCUUUGCUUUGCUCAAAAAAAAAAGAAAGAAAAGAGAAAAAAAAGGAAACGUCGCUCUCCCCUUCCUCCCAUCGCCUCCAGGUCUCCAGUGCUCCAUCCGCCAUCGCCUCCAGUGCUCCCGCCGCCAUCGCCGGCGCACGGCACUGACCGGAAAACACGCUCUCAGCUAGGCGCCAGCACCGCCGCCGCUUCCAGGUUCGGAGCGCGCUUGACCGGCAGCAGGCCUCCAUUGCCCCGGCCAGGUCGCAGGUUAGUAAAAAACCUAAGUCCGUCUACAGUUUGGCGGGCACCACUUCUGCUAUGUUGUUGCUAUUCUGCUUUAGUUAACACUAGAAUGAAGCAAAUUGAUAUUCUUGCCUGCAGACGCUCCUUCAAUCAGAACCCUGGGAUGUCUAGUUUGGUCAAAACUGACAUGUCAAAUUUGUGUGAACUCUUGUUGUUGUCGAUUACAAGCUAGCUAGUGUAAAAUUCUGCUUUCCUGUAUGGUUUCCUACUCUAAUUUCUUGUACCGCACUGUAUGGUGCGCACCGGUUCUACUCUCUCAAAUAAGAAAACGGAGCUGCUAAAAAUCAGUCGACUGAGACUUCGUGAAGUCUCAGUCGACGCCUCAACCUUUGGAUCGUUGUUGCUUUAAGAUUCACGCAGCGCCGUGUCUUUGUCUCAGUUCGGCCCAUUAAAGCGUGAGUCUGGCCUGUUUUCCUGUCUGUUUCGUUGUUUGGUCUGGGUUCCUUGUCGUGGUGGUGCGAAGAUGACAGGGUUUGCCCGUGGACUGGGCUGGUAUUUAGCCCUUUUUUGUUGUUUGCUUUUUAUUCUUUUUCUUUCUUUUGUAAACUUUUACAAUUGGAGAGAGAGAAGGGGAAGCUGUCACCAUUACUGUAUGUGACUUAGGGAGGGGAAGAGGUCCUGCCACAUACACUCCUCUCUCAGUACUCUCUUUGUAGUAUGGGUGUUUCUCCUUGUGUGCAAGUGGCCAUCCUUUUUUACUUGAAAAAAAGUCUGCUUUUUUGUUGUUGCCUAAUCAAUGUGUUUAUUCCACUUCUAUUUUUAUUUUUUUUCUUCAUAAUUUUAUGUACCUUCUAACAUAUCAUUUAUCAUUUGCUUCUUUAUUAUUGUUUUUGCUUUUAACUUUUUUAUUUGUCCAGUUGCACUAUCUUUUUCAAUGUGCAACGUGAGUUAAGCAAAUUUCCAGUAAGACAUUUUUUAUUUUUUUCAUAUUAUGUGAUGUGUUUUUUAGUAUUUUAGCGUACCAUUUGCACAUUUCUAGUGACACGAUUGCUGCAAUUAUUUUCUUCGUUGUUUUUUUUUUGUCGUUGUUUUUGGGCCGUUUUUAGGUCAGCAAUUAUUUUCACCAGUUUUCUACUUAAUCAUUAGCUAUUGUAUUAAAUAUGUAUGUGUGGUGUGUAUUAUUCAGCAUGUAUGUAUGGAGGAGUUCAAAAACACUGGGUAACUCAGCAACCUUUUUCCAUUUUUCAUUUUUUUGGGCCUUGUGUUUCUUAUUAGUUUUUGUCACGAUACCACCCUCUUUUUAUUAACUUUUGUUUGGUGUGUGUUAAAAAAAGUUGGUUGUGCCAUGCAAUGAAAGGGGUUAUUUACAUGACGGGAGAGGGAGGGGGAGGUAGUUGUAUGUUCGAUACUAGGCUUUUGCAACUGCAAGUGUCUCCCUAGAUGGCAAUUGCUUGCCUCCCUCCCGACUGCAACUGGCUUGGGUUUUUGUCGGAGGGCGAAGGAAGAGGGGAGGGCAGUUACAUGUCCGACACUAGGCUUGCAAUUGCAAGUGUCACACUGUAAUUGCAUGCCUACACACCCUACUGCAGUCGACCUUUUUUGGUGGGCAACAUGAGGGGAUAGUUGCAUGUCCAACACUAGGGUUGCAAUUGCAAGUGUUGUCCUCGGCUGCACUUGCAUGCCUACACACGCAACUACAACCGAAACUUUUUUUGGUCGGUGGGCGGCGAGAAAGGAGGGCGGGCAGUUGCAUGCCCAACACUAGGCUUGCAAUUGCAAGUGUUGUCCUCGGCUGCAAUUGCAUGCCUACACACUCGGUUGCAACUAAUCUUUUNNNNNNNNNNNNNNNNNNNNNNNNNNNNNNNNNNNNNNNNNNNNNNNNNNNNNNNNNNNNNNNNNNNNNNNNNNNNNNNNNNNNNNNNNNNNNNNNNNNNNNNNNNNNNNNNNNNNNNNGGGACAGGUGCAUGUAUGGCAUUAAACAUGCAGCUCCAAGUGUCGCCUUGUGAGCAAUUGCAUGUCAACACACCUGAUUGCAACUAACGUUUUUGUUUUGUUGGUGGGCAAAGGGAUAGGGGGAGCGCGGUUGCAUGCCCGACACUAGGCUUGCAACUACAAGUGUCGUCCUUCACUACAACUGCACAUCUCUCCUCCCUACUGUAAUUGGCGUUGUGUUUUUGCCGGAGCCUGGCAGAAGAGUAGGGGGGCAGUUGCAUGCCCGGAAGUAGGCUUGCAACUUCAGGUGUCUCCCUCCACUGCAAUUUGCAUGCCUCCCUCCCGAUUGCAAAUGGCCUUCUAUUUUUUUGGAGGGCGAUGGGAGAGGGGAGCGAAGUUGCAAGUCUGGCGAUAGGCUUGCAACUGUAAGUGUCGCACUCGACUGUGACUGCAUGCCUACACACCCAAUUGCGACUAACCUUGUUGUUUUGUUGGUGGGCGACAUGAGAGAUGGUAGUUGCAUGUCUGACACUAGGGUUGCAACUGCAAGUGUCGCCCUAGACUGCAAUUGCAUGCCUACAUGCCCAACUGCAACCAACCUUUUUUUGGUCGGUGGGUGGCAAGAAAGGGGGAGGGUAGUUGCAUGCCCAACACUAGGCUUGCAACUGCAAGUGUCACCCUCAACUGCAACUGCAUGCCUACAUACCCGAUUGUAACUGAUCUUUUGCUUUGUCGAUGGUCGAUGGUAGACGCGGGGGGAGGGGGUUGUAGGUCUGGCACUAGGCCUGCAACUACAAGUGUCGCCAUGUCUACAAUUGCAUGUCGACACACCUGACUACAUUGACAUUUUCUUUUUGUUGGUGGAUAGCAGGAGAGGGGAGCAGUUGCAUGCCCAACACUAAGCUUGCAACUGCAAGUGUCGUCCUCAUCUGCAAUUACAUGUCUUCCUCCCGACUGCAACUCGCCUUGUGUUUUUGUUGGAGGUCGAUGGGAGAGGAAGGGGUAGUUGCAUGCUCAGCACUAGGCUUGCAACUACAAGUGUGGCCCUCGACUGCACACGCAACUCCAAGUGUCGUCCAAGAUCACAACUACACGAUGUAACAUGAAACACAACUAUAAAGGGUACAAACGCCUGCAGCUAGCCGCUCCCUACACUUUUAUUAUUUUUUUCAAAUACACAUUAAACAUUUUUAAUAUAUUUUUUACAUUUUUAAAAUAUAUGGCAGUUUUUUAAAAUAUUAUUGAACAAUUUACAAUUACACAAUGAAUUUUUUAAUACAGAAUAAAAAUUUAAAAUACGGAAACACUUUUUUCUAAAAUAUCACGACAAAUGUAAACAAGUGCUUCAAGAAAAAACACAAACAAAAGAAAAAAAGAAAAGGAAAAAAAGCAAAAACAAACAAAAAACUAGACUCACGAAAUCAUGCAAAGACCUAACGAUACGCUAGUGGUGCGCUUCAAGAAGUAGCGCCCAGAAAAAUCACAAGACAAUAAAAAAUCGGUGGCCAAAAGCACUUGUCAUGUACAUUUUUGUCUCUAUCAUGGGCCCAUACUUUUUUGUUCAACACCCUUUUCCCUGUGUGUAUAAAACAAACAAACAAGGAAAUAUCCGUGUCCAAAUACACAAACAAAGAAAACAAAUAAACAAGAGGGAACAAGAAAAGCCUAGAAAUCAGGCUGAUACAGCCCAUCAGACGCCAAGUCAAGAAAUGGGCCUAAUCUACUUUAGAUGAUGUCAGCUGAGUGAGACUUCGCGAAGUCUAAGUCGACUGAGACCUAGACAGACCCAUAAGAAAAUAAAAGGACAAAUCAGGGAGGAACCUCCUCGGUUGCAGUUAGUAUAGGAAUGGGACCACCUUUUCCACCAACGUCCAAAGUUACGUAGGUUUAGAAACAAAAUAUAUGUUCACCUUUUGUUACCUGAUGUCUACAGCGGAAAUGAUUCUCGAGCAACAGGUGUGAUGAAGUUUGCCUUAGUGAAGAAAAACAAAAGAAUCCAGUAAAAUCUUGAGGGGAAGGGAAACAUGGUUAUUUGGUCAUGGUCAACCAUGUCGCCUCUUGUUAUAAUGGGAAAUAAAAACAUUACAAUGUCACCAGAGAAAUUAGUUCAUUCAGACGUUUACGAUGGAAAAUGUGUUAAAUCCAAAAAUGCUAGUUGCAAACUUGCAAUGAAGAUUUCACCCAAAUUUUCUAAACUGUCUCUUUGCUACAAUUUUAUGUAGGUGUAGCUCCAAGAACAGGUGUUCUGUGGCGUGUAUUGAUGGCCAAUAGCGAGUUCGAGUAUGUGAAGAGGGAAUUCGAGUUCGACCAUCACCUCCCGGCCUCCAACUGGAUCAUUGUCUGCUUAGAUGGCUGUCAUUUCCACCGGUACUGUUCAUCUCUUCCUUCAAUAAGGAAAAAAAGUGGUUAAGCAACUGCAUAGAUCAUUUCACCAUGUCAAGUUCUUAAUCUUGUCCAUGCACCAAUGUCUUUUGCUUGAUUGUUGAAGUAUAAGCAUGUGGGAAACAUGCAAUGAAGGUUACUAUAUGCAUAUCUGGGAAUUACUGUUGCUUCAGAUUAUAAAUAGCUUAUCUUUGUUGUUCCAGUCUCCACUAAUUUCACUCCUCUUUUUGUUAGAUUCUCGAAGAUACACGCCUUUGAGAAACCAAAUGAUGAGAGCGCUUUAAGAUUGAUGAAUGCUUGUGCUAGUUCUAUCCUCGAGGAAUUUCCUGACAUAGUGUUUUCUUAUGGUGUUAGAGCAUCUCUAGCAGACCCCUUAAAAGAGCCAAAACUGUAAAAUAACUGCUUUUUACAGGAUUGAGCGGAAAAACCGACCCGGCCAAACCACUCAAAAUCGGCCGACCCGCAUAUUUUUUUGAGGGAAACCUUAAAAUAAGCCUCCAAUCCUGCAGUUGUUCAAGAUUCAGGGCAAAUUUUUCUGUUCACCUUAAAAAAAGACAGUUGGCGGGAGGGAAGUUUCAGGUCCAACCGCCAGAAUAGUUUUCAUUUUGAUCAAGAUCUAUCAUGUCAGUCUCGAUUCCGGCCAAAUUUCCAGCAGACAGGCCUGAUCUGGAGCGAUUCUAGUUGAUUUCGGUGGGCCGGCGCUAGCUCCGUGCGUGCUCCUUGGGAUCCGUUCCAAUGUAGCCUGCGCGGUACCACAAAACAGGUUUAAGGUUCCCCUUAUAAUGCUUUUACGGUACCGCGAUAUAAGGGAUCUACUAGAGAUGCUCUUAGCGAUGAGUACAGGUAUAACCCGUAUAACAUCUUCUCAUGAAAGUUAGAUUGUAAAAUGGAUGCAAAUUUUAUAUUAAAAAUUUGUAUGCAAAUACUUUUAUGAAUGGAGAUACUUUUGAAUUGCACGGGCUUUGUUCUCAGAUAAUAAUGUUAGGUUCUCAUAUUUCUGUUUGCUUUGCAGUUUUGUUUUCAGAGAGGGAACAGAAUUCUGUCAAAGACUUCUCUACCAAUAAUUGCAGCAAAAUUCUCUCUUUGUGUGUUUCUUACAUCACACCUGUGUAUGUGAUGAAGUUGAAAGAUUUCUUUCCAAAUAAAGAGUUGAGAGAGGCUCCAUAUUUUGAUGGGCGAGUUGUAUGCUAUCCAAAUAUGAAGACCAUUCGUGAUUAUUUGGCAUGGAGGCAACUGGACUGUAAGCUUCUUUAACUACAGUCGACAGUUUCCUAGUAUAAGUGAUAAGAUUCUUGUAUUUUGCAAUUGUGCAUGUUGAUCUCCUCUACAAUAACCUCUUGUCGUGUAUGUUAUUCCCCCAAAGUUGUAGAAACGUCAGCAAUAUUAAAUAAACACAAGUAUGGUGUAUGUAUCAUCAUUCAAUAGAUUUGUAUGUCCGGUUGCUCCGUUGCUUAGUUUGUUUUAGUUUAUUGGGUAAGUAUAAUGAACAUAUUUAAUUUGAGACGUGUGUUUCAGGUCAUAGAAAUAAUCAUUAAAAUACAUGCUUCUAGACAAUAGUGAUAUCUGAAAAAACUGAAAAAGAGGCACAACAAGCAUUGAAGGUAAUCUAAGUUUUAUAGAGUUUGAGUUGUCUUUUGUAUCAUUUGUAUAAAUUCUUUUUUGUGAACCAUCUAUUCUAGGGAACAUUUUCUAAGGAUAAAAACGAGUUGCUUUCACAACAGUUCCAAAUCAUCCAUGAUGAUGAAUCGACUAUGUUCCGAAAAGGAUCCAGCGUUUAUCGAGAUAACGUAAUGGUGUCAACCAUACAAAAGGAAAUCAUCAUUAAAUGUUCCUACUCAUUCUCAGUGACAUAUUUUCCAUGUUUCUGUCACAAGAUAUCGCUUGCAUGAUUUAUGCAAAUGACCAUCAUAGUUUCUAAUCAUAACUUGGUGCAGAGAUCAAUCUAGCAUUUCUGAAUUCGCAUCUGAUAUCCAGAUAGUUAAAUGUGAAAAGUCCCUCUAUACUUUAGUUUUGAGGGAUAAUGGGAACUCCGUAUUUGGCAUUUCACGCCAUUUCCUUGUCUGAUAUUGGUCGAAUGCUAUAAUUCUUCUAAUCAGCUGUGCAGAUUACGUAAUGUAUUUCUAUUGUGGGUCUGAUUGUUGAAUAAUGUUAUUUUGUGGGACAUGUUUUGCUCAACUCUUACUUAAGAACAGUUAACCCUGUAUGGUGCUCUUUCGAAUACUGAUGGAAGUGUUGUUGUACAUAUCAUUGCAGGUAGAAACAACGCUGAAAAUUGACGAUUAUGGGAAUCUUAUAAAAAGAACCCGGUUGGCAAUUACAGUGUCAAUUUUUGAUAUCAUAGGACAUGAGUUUCGAGAAAAACAUCAAAACAUUCUUCGAGAAGGUUAGUUGAAUCAUUAUAGUUUUAGCAAUGCUUCCAGUCCAGCUCCAGUCAACUUUUGAUACAUACAACCAGUACUGUACUGUAUACAACAUCGGUCUAACUGUGUGUUUGGGAGAAGAAAAAUAUAGAUACGAAUAUAUUAUAGAAGUACGAAUACAUCCAUAGGCUUCCAUGUUGUAAUUGAACUGUUGUUCAUAUCAGCGCCUGCCAAAUUGAUCAGUGAGGACCCCUAGUUUCCUAUUUAUGGAAUGUAUAUGCUCCAAUGCCAUUUACAGUUUCUUGUCGACAGUAGUACAAUAUGUAACAUCUGAAUUUAUCUGUUCAUCUACACCAGUAUGUAUGGUAGGACUAGGGUUCCUACCGGCUCUACUCCGUAGGUUAUACGGGCAGAACAGCGAGGGUUGGGGGCGAGGGCGGCGGCUCCGGCGUGUUGGCGCCGUCGCGAGGGAGAAGAAGGGCGGCGGCGGCUAGGGCAAGGUGCGGCUAGGGUUUCCGGCUCCUCUGGAGCCGGGCAAUAUGAUAGAACUAUCUUUAUUGCUUGAUCUCAAACGAUGUCUUACAACUAGUAUUUAUAACUUUAGCCUAAGAUAACUUGCUAAAAUAACUUGCCUAAGAUAACUUGUGGGUCAAGCCCCUAAUACUAAUGCCCGGUGGGCCUCUUUCGGGUAUAGACCAAACCGGUCAUAACAUCUCUCCCCGCCUGUGCAAACAGCUCGUCCUCGAGCUGAAAGUCUGGAUAGUGUUGGCGGAAUUCCUCACGCUGCUCCCAAGUAGCCUCCUCCUCCGGAAGGCCCGCCCACUGAACGAGGAUGAACCAGACGCCACGACGGAGCUGCGCCUGCAACACCUUUGCCGGCUCUGGAAGAAUGCGACCAUCGGCCAUGGGAGGAAGCGCCGGAGGAGCCGCCGGUGGCUCGCCACGGAAAGGCUUGAGCAGCCCCACAUGGAAGACGUCGUGGAUGCGAGCGCGGGCUAGAAGCUGAAGACGAUAGGCCACCUUCCCAAUGCGCUCCAAGAUAGGGAAGGGCCCGGCGUAGCGAGGGCCGAGCUUGCGCUUCGCGCGCGGGUCGAGUGACUGCGUAGAGCGAUGGAGAAGAUGCAGCCACACCCAAUCACCCACCGCGAACUCUGCCUCGCGAUGAUGAUCGUCGUAGUAGUGCUUGGCCAGCUGCUGGGCCUGAAGGAGACGCUGACGAACCUCAGCAAGCAUCUCGUCACGAGUGCGGAUGAGGUCACCCGCAACCUCUGUCCGAGCUGUCUCCGGAUCCACCGGAAGUAUAGGCGGGGGUGGUCGACCAUAGACCACCUCAAACGGCGUAGCGCGCAGGGCGGAGUGAUAAGAGGUGUUGUAGCAGUACUCCGCCCAAGAGAGCCAGUCCACCCAAGCGCGAGGCCGAUCACCUGUCACACAACGCAAAUACAUGGCAAUGACCUUGUUAAGCACCUCGGACUGACCGUCCGUCUGAGGAUGGAAUGCCGUACUCAGGCGGAGCUGGACACCCGCCAUCCUGAAGAGGUCGCGCCAGACGUGGCCCGUGAACACUGGGUCCCGAUCACUGACGAUCGAAGCAGGGAACCCGUGUAGACAGCCGAUGCCGUCGAAGAAGGCCCGGGCCACUGACGCCGCCGUGUAUGGAUGGCCGAGCGCGAUGAAGUGGGCGUACUUGGAGAAGCGGUCGACCACCGUGAGGAUGACCGACUUGCCGGCCACCUUGGGAAGACCCUCAAUGAAGUCCAUGGAUAUAUCCGCCCAGACCUGAGACGGCACCUCCAAGGGUUGGAGUAACCCGGCCGGCCUCAGGGUCUCUGUCUUGUUGCAUUGGCAUGUCUGAUAAGACCGAACCCAGUCGCGGACCAGGGCGCGAUCGCCAGGGAUGUAGAAGUCGGCGCAAAGACGAUGGAGGGUUUUCUGCAUACCCUCAUGACCCGCUGAGUGGGCGAGCUAUAACACUUGGUGAAGGAGAUCAUCCUGCAUCGGAACAAAGACCCGCCGCCCAUGUAGGAGCAUUCCGUCAGAGAAGCGCCAAGGCUCCUCCAGGUCGACGGCCGUGAGCUGCUGCUGAAGACGGACGGCGUCGUCGGCCGUCGCAGUGGCACGGCGAAUGUCGGCGAAGAGGCCGAACGUCGGCCCGGAGCGGAUGCACAGGGCCGCCCCGGCGGACUCAUCGACGGAGGAAGCGAGGUCGGAGUCACGACGGGACAGCGCGUUGGCCACGGUGUUAAGGCGGCCCGGCCGAUACUCGACGGAGAAGUCGAAGCCGAAGAGCUUGCUGAUCCACUGGUGCUGCGGCACGGUCGACAGCCGCUGGUCCAGCAAGAACUUCAGGCUGUAGUGGUCGGUGCGAAUGUGGAAGGACCGUACCCACAAGUACGGCCGCCAAUGACGAACAUCCUGUACAAGGCCAAUGAGCUCCCGCUCGUAUGCCGCCAGCUUAAGAUGACGCGGAGCGAAAGGCCGGCUGAAGAAGGCGAGGGGCCCAUCGCCCUGAUGAAGCACGUCGCCGAACCCUGCGCCCGAGGCGUCACAGUCCACCAUGAACGGGCGGUCGAAGUCGGGCAUCUGGAGCACGGGGCCUGUCGUGAGGGCCCCCUUGAGGGCCUCGAACGCCGUCGUCGCCUUGUCGUCCCAGGCGAAAGCGUCGCGGCGAAGCAACCGCGUGAGGGGCGCCGCGAUGAGCCCGAACUCCCGGAUAAAUUUCCGGUAGUAGCCGGCGAGGCCGAGGAACCCGCGGAGAGCCCGCGGCGAGUGAGGCGUCGGCCAUGCGGAGACGGCAGCCACCUUGUCGGCGUCCAUAGCCACCCCGUCGGCCGAGAUGACGUGGCCCAAGUAGGCCACCGAAUGCGUCCCGAACGAGCACUUCGAGCGUUUAAGGUGGAGGUGGUGCGCUCGAAGCUCGUUGAAGACGAUGGCGACGUGCUGGAGGUGCUCGGCCCAAGACGCACUGUAGAUCAGAAUAUCAUCAAAGAAAACGAGCACAAACCGGCGUAAGUAGGGCCUGAGGACGUCGUUUAUCAGAGCCUGGAAGGUCGCCGGGGCGUUGGUGAGGCCAAAGGGCUUCACCAAGAACUUGAAGUGGCCGUGACGAGUCCGAAACGCCGUCUUGGCGAUGUCAUCCGGGUGCAUGCGCACCUGGUGGUACCCCGACCGGAGGUCGAGUUUGGUGAAGAAGCGCACCCCGUGGAGCUCAUCGAGGAGCUCGUCGACCACCGGAAUAGGGAACUUGUCCUUAAGUGUGACCGCAUUAAGGGCACGGUAGUCGAUGCAGAAACGCCAUGUGCCGUCUGACUUCCGGAUGAGAAGCACCGGCGCGGUAAAUGGCGAAGUGGAGAGCCGGAUGAUGCCUGCGGCAAGCAUGAGCGCACACUGUCGCUCCAACUCAUCCUUCUGCAACUGUGGGUAGCGGUAAGGCCGUACCGCCACCGGCGUGGAGCCUGGCAGAAGAUGUAUACGGUGAUCGUACGUGCGGGCGGGCGGCAGCCCCUGUGGCUCGGUGAAGAUGUCAGCGUGCUGCUGGAGGAGGCUCUCCAAUAGUGGGUGCUCGGCCGUGGCGGUUGUCGCGGCCAGCUGGAGUGGAGUGGUUGGGGCGACACCCCCAAUGCCGUCCCACCGAAUGCGACGGCCCAACCGCCAGAAGGUCAUCGUCAGCGCGUCGAAAUCCUAGAGAAUAGGACCAAGAGUGCGCAAGAAGUCGACGCCGAGGAUGAAGUCGAAGCAGCCCAAGUCGAUGCCGGCGCAGGUGAUGGUGAAGUGCUCGUUGCCGAUAGUGAUGGGCACGUCGCGGGCGAGCCCGUGGCAGCGGAGACGGUCGCCAUUAGCGACUGUGACUCGCAACUGCUCACCGCCGGUUGGCUGUAAUGCAAGGCGCCGCAUGGUGGUCUCUGGCAGGAAGUUAUGCGUGGACCCUGUAUCCACUAGGGCCACCAGGCGCUCGCCUUGGAUCAUGACCGGUAGGAGCAUCGUCCGUUCAUCACGGAUGCCGGCCAGCGCGUGUAGGGACACCACGAGGACGGUGGCCGGGGCGGGCGCGGGUGCCGCUGCGGGCUCCACAAGGGCUGGAGCGCCGAGGCCAUCCUCCAGUGUCUCCUCCUCAGUCUCGUCUGUCGUCUCCAAGUAGAAGAGGUGGGGACAGACAUGGCCCGGUGCAUAGGGCGCAUCAUAGUUGAAGCACAAGCCCAGGCGCCGGCAUUCCAGCUGUUCCGCCUGAGUGAGGCGCCUGAAUGGCCGCGUCGGUGCCGGGGUGGGUGCCGAGGCAGCUGUGGACGACGCCGGUGCUGCCGGAGACGGCCGGGGAGGCCGUCGGCCCCCACAUGGCACGGAUGGACGCGUUAAGGCCUGGGCACGCUGCUCGAACGCCCGGGCAUAGUACAUGGCCGUCUGAAGGUCUUGGGGCCCCUUCAUCUCGACGUCCACGCGGAUGUGGUCGGGAAGGCGGCUGAUGAAAAGCUCCGCCCGCUGUAAGGCCGUCACACCAGGCGCGUGGCACGCCAGGGCCUGGAAGCGGUCGGCGAAGUCCUGCACCGUGGAGGUGAACGGCAGGCGGCCCAAUUCGGCCAAGCGGCUCCCGCGGACCGGUGGCCCGAAACGAAGAAGGCACAGCUCUCGAAAACGAUCCCAUGGGGGCAUGCCGCCCUCGUCCUGCUCGAGGGCGUAGUACCAUGUCUGGGCGGCCCCGCGGAGAUGGUAGGAAGCCAGCCAAGUGCGCUCCGACGCAGGUGUGCGCUGUCCGCGGAAGAACUAGUCACACUGGUUGAGCCAGUUAAGCGGGUCGUCGGAGCCGUCGUACGUGGCGAAGUCGAUCUUGGCGAACCGUGCUGGUGUGGCGCGCCCUGGCCCACUGCCUCGGCGGUGCGUAGGGCGGAUGAUGGUGCGCGGUCCAUGGCGGAAGGCCCGACGUAGUUCCCGGUGGCGCCCGACGCCUCGGGCUGCAACGGGAAACCGGACGGCGGACGGGCCUCCGGGUAGGCCGAUGGCGGUCUGUGAAGCCAGUCGGGGAGUGGCGAUGGUGACAACGGAAAGCGGACCUCCUGGAUCGGAAGCCCGCUCGGCGACGACCGGCCCAGGUUAGGGCUGGGAUGGGGCGGUGGAGGACCCUGCUCCGUGGCUGCUGGAAGGGAUGGCGCGGUGGGAGACGGCGCAGCCGGCGCGGUCCAGGUGGUCCACUGCGGCCCUGUGGUGGCGGCGAGUGGCGCGGUUGCCGUCACGAGCUGCGGCGGCCACUGUGGCCAAGGCGGCGGUGCGGCCGCCGGGGCGGGGAGCGCCGGGUAGCCGCCGGUGAUGGCCCCCGGUACCGAGUACCACGGCAACGCCUGCUGACCCGCAGCCAUGGCGGGAUGGAGUGGUGGAGGCGGCCUGUACGGACUUGCCAGGUAGAGGUGGAUGCCCUGAACCGCGGCUACGAGGUCGUUGAGGACGCCGGCCANNNNNNNNNNNNNNNNNNNNNNNNNNNNNNNNNNNNNNNNNNNNNNNNNNNNNNNNNNNNNNNNNNNNNNNNNNNNNNNNNNNNNNNNNNNNNNNNNNNNNNNNNNNNNNNNNNNNNNNNNNNNNNNNNNNNNNNNNNNNNNNNNNNNNNNNNNNNNNNNNNNNNNNNNNNNNNNNNNNNNNNNNNNNNNNNNNNNNNNNNNNNNNNNNNNNNNNNNNNNNNNNNNNNNNNNNNNNNNNNNNNNNNNNNNNNNNNNNNNNNNNNNNNNNNNNNNNNNNNNNNNNNNNNNNNNNNNNNNNNNNNNNNNNNNNNNNNNNNNNNNNNNNNNNNNNNNNNNNNNNNNNNNNNNNNNNNNNNNNNNNNNNNNNNNNNNNNNNNNNNNNNNNNNNNNNNNNNNNNNNNNNNNNNNNNNNNNNNNNNNNNNNNNNNNNNNNNNNNNNNNNNNNNNNNNNNNNNNNNNNNNNNNNNNNNNNNNNNNNNNNNNNNNNNNNNNNNNNNNNNNNNNNNNNNNNNNNNNNNNNNNNNNNNNNNNNNNNNNNNNNNNNNNNNNNNNNNNNNNNNNNNGGAGGGUCGGCGCCGAGAGCGAGGCCGUGGCGCCUGCCGAGAGCGAGGCCGUGACGCCUGGCGCGGAAGCGGCGGCGGUGGAGGAGUUGGCGGCAGCGGCGGUGGUGGCGGCGGUGGCGGAAUUGGAGGUGGCGAAGACAUGGUCGAAACCCGGGUACCUGAUACCAAAUUGGUAGGACUAGGGUUCCUACCGGCUCUACUCCGUAGGUUAUACGGGCAGAACAGCGAGGGUUGGGGGCGAGGGCGGCGGCUCCGGCGUGUUGGCGCCGUCGCGAGGGAGAAGAAGGGCGGCGGCGGCUAGGGCAAGGUGGGGCUAGGGUUUCCGGCUCCUCUGGAGCCGGGCAAUAUGAUAGAACUAUCUUUAUUGCUUGAUCUCAAAGGAUGUCUUACAACUAGUAUUUAUAACUUUAGCCUAAGAUAACUUGCCUAAGAUAACUUGUGGGUCAAGCCCCUAAUACUAAUGCCCGGUGGGCCUCUUUCGGGUAUAGACCAAACCGGUCAUAACAAUGUAUGCAUUAAAUUUAGUUCUUGUUUAGUGUUUUACUGUGAUGAAUACUUAUCAAUGCCCUUGUCACUUCAUUUUCAUUUUCUAAUAGUAUCCUGAUGCAAGGGCUUAUUACUGUUGUAGCUAGUUCGAACAACAAACCAUAAGAAAAUGAGCUGACUCCCUAUACAAUUCACAGGUCACAACAGGAUCCAGUACAAGACAUGCUUUGGAUGCUAGUGAAGUCCGGAAAGGGCGAAAACGAAGCUUACGAUAUGCUGAAGGUCUUCUUUCAUCAUCUACGUAAUCUAAAUAUUUGUUUGCAUUAUCCUAUUCAAUUCUUCUGUUAUCUACAGUCCCUAACUUUCUACCGUUCUCUGAAUGUCAAAGGACAAGAACGAGUUGCUCUUUCAGCCGUUUGAAAUGAACUAUAACAACGAACCGGCCAUGUACUGAAAGGGCUCAUGUGCUUACCGUGAAAAAGGUAUGUUUACCAUCAUCCAGGAACUAUUUUCAACAACAAUGCUGUUUGCGCUGCAGUUUCAUAUUAAGCAUUCCAAAAUAAAAUGUAGCGAUGCUGAAGAAACAAGAUUUACUUUGCCUAAUAAAAGAUUAAAGUUUUUUUUCAACCCUGUAUGUAUUACGAUGAUGGGCUGUGCGGGGCGGCUUAUGGCUGUGCGGGGCGAGUAGGUGGCGGCUCAGGGCAUGGUAAUGCAGUGUCGGCGGUUGGCGGUGGCCCGCGGUGCAUCUUCUCCUUCCGCAGCGUCCGGGAAGACGAGGGGAUCCGGCAGUCUGCUGGGUACCCUGCUUAGCACCCCAGGCACAGCCCGCGUGCGUCGCUGCUGGAGGUAGUCACCCCCCGGCGUCGCUGCUGGAGCUAGUCACCCCCCGGCGUUGCUUCCUGGCAUCUUUGCGUGGGCGCUGUGUCCGGUCCUUGGUCCCGUGCACCCACCUCGCCCGGAAUGGAGGGAGUCCUGCGGGUACCAGAUGUGCGUAGCAGCAGCCUUGUGUUCGCCACCGAUUGCGUGCACCAGCUCAUCCCCACCCACACCUGCUUCGUGUCUCUCCCGCGUCGACAUGUUAUCCGUUCCAUAACCUCCAGAUGCCUCUGAAAAUAUGGCAUUGCUACCGGUUCCUCGUCGACGCGCUGGUCUCGUGGUCCUCGAAGCGCCAGCCCACGGCGUCCCGCUCCAGCGUGGAGGCAGAGUACCGUAGCGUGGCCAACACCGGGCCGAGUGUGUCUGGCUUCGACAACUCCUCGGCAAGCUCUGCUGCGCGGUCACCACUGCAACGCUGCCAUGCUGGUCUACUGCGACAACAUCUCUGCCGUGUACCUAUGCAGCAAUCUCGUUCACCACCACGGCACCAAGCAUGUCGAGCUGGACAUCCACUUGUAUAAAUCUAACCUUGAUCAAUGCAAUCGGUGUGUUCCCCCUGUAUAAGUCUAACCUUAAUGGCUUCUGCACAGAGCGGAUGACUGCAGGUGGACGAUGCUGCGAGUGGGCGGUGACGCACGUCGACAUGAGGCCAGAGUUUUGGAGAACGCAUCGUCGUGGUCGUGGCUUUGUUAGCAGGUCGCAGGAACAGGUGAUGACUAAGUAGGAGUAGUUCUCAUCAUUGUCUCAAAGAAAACGUGACGGUUUAUUACGGCUGGAUAAUACAGCAAGGUCCGGCGUUCGAUCUCUGGACCGUGUAUUAUAUUAGCGAACAUCAUUUAUUUAUUUUUUCGAUCGUUUGAAACCUCUGGUGGGCCGGAUACUGUGUCAGCGCGCGUG